AGGCUAUGGCUCCGUGUACAAGGGUGUGCUGCUCCCAGGCAAUGUCCAUGUCGGGGUCAAGAUGCUAGAGGGUAACUCCAACUGCAAUGGAGAAGAUUUCAUUAGUGAGGUUUCAACCAUUGGCAGGAUCCACCAUGUCAAUGUGGUGCGUUUAGUUGGCUUCUGCUCGGAGGAAAUGAGAAGGGCGCUUGUCUACGAGUACAUGCCUCGAGGUUCUCUGGACAAAUACAUCUUCUCGGCUGAGAAGACUUUCUCCUGGGACAAGCUCAACGAGAUCGCUUUGGGCAUUGCGAGGGGUAUCGACUACCUGCACCAGGGUUGCGAGAUGCAGAUUCUCCACUUUGACAUCAAGCCGCACAACAUCUUGCUAGACAGCAAUUUCAUCCCUAAAGUUGCUGAUUUCGGUCUCGCUAAACUAUACCCAAGGGACAAAAGUUUUGUGCCAUCGAGAGCCCUACGGGGAACAAUUGGGUACAUAGCUCCUGAGAUGAUAUCUCGUAGCUUUGGUGUCAUAUCGAGCAAGUCUGAUGUUUAUAGCUUUGGGAUGCUCCUGCUAGAGAUGGCCGGAGGAAGAAGGAAUGCUGAUCCAAAUGCGGCAAACACGAGCCAAGCGUACUAUCCGUCGUGGGUGUAUGACAAACUAACUGCUCCAGUGGUGGAUGCGAUAUGUCCAGUUGCUAGCAUGCAUGAAUUAGAGAGGAAGCUGUGCAUCGUUGGAUUAUGGUGCAUUCAGAUGAAGUCACAUGACAGGCCAACGAUGAGCGAGGUCAUAGACAUGUUGGAAGGUGGCUUUGAUGGCCUGCAGAUGCCUUCCAGGCCAUUCUUCUGCGACGACGAUCACACCGCUGUCCCGGAUUCUUACCCUUUGUUGUCCGAGCUGACAGAGAUCUCAGAGGAGGANNNNNNNNNNNNNNNNNNNNNNNNNNNNNNNNNNNNNNNNNNNNNNNNNNNNNNNNNNNNNNNNNNNNNNNNNNNNNNNNNNNNNNNNNNNNNNNNNNNNGUGUCAGUAACUUAUCAAUUACACUUAUAAGUGAAUGGACACAACAGAGUAAAGACCCUCACCUGAAGUUGUAUGGAAACAGUAUGUGGUCACAGAAAUUUUGAUCUAUUAGAAACCUUAGAAGGUUUUCCUCCGUCUCCUUGGGUUUAUCAGUUAGCGUCGCUAUAUGUAUUUUAUCUGGGUCAAUAAACCCAAUAUUUAGGAUGGUCUUACUUUUACAAUCCAGAAUCUCCAUUCUGCAUAAUAGAAUACAAGUUAUAUAUAGACAAUGAAUUGAAAUAACUAAACAAGUUAUAUGUAGACGACGAAUUGAAAAACUUACACACAAUAGCAACUCAUAAGCGAUUUGUCGAGGGCGUCGCCAUUGUACAUCUGGAAGAGUUCAUCAAAGUUGAUAUGGAUUUCUUCGGAGCGGCCGUAGUACUCCCGUGGGACACUCAGCACGAUCAUCGUUCUCCCAUUCUUUGAUUCACUUAAGUACCAUUUAUGCAAGUAACGCAUAUUUGUUGGGAGAUUAUCUUUGCUGACCAAAGGCUCUCCCAUGACAAACUAUGGCUUAGGGGCUACCACAGCCUUGGGUAUCCUGUCGUCUUGGGAAGCCAGCAAAUCUUCAACUGAGAUACCACAUUCAGCCGCCAACUCCUUUGCUCUUUCAAAAGCUUGCCCCUGCACCGGAGGGGGAACAUUCUCGGUUAACACCUUGAGGGGUGGGAUCGACUGUUUGGCCUGUUGUCCAAGCUGAGGAACGUCUGAUUUUUUCUUGCUUGUAGUUGAACUUGAUUUGCUCCCACUUGCACUUGCACGUGAGCUGCUCUUUUUCACUUCCUUCUGCAAUGUGCGUGUAUAGUCAUCAGGCUUAUAGUGUAAGUCAUACUGUGAUGGAAGGGUUAUGAAGUCUUUUGCCCAUGCUAUUUGUUUCUCGGUGUAUUCCGGGCGGGGCUCGGGUUCCUUCUUUUUCAUCUGCGCAUCAUGUUGUUCCUUUGCUAUCCUGGCGUUUUCCUCGGGGGUACGAUCAUAAGGUUUGAUAGGAAGAUUAGCAUGAGGUACCUUUGGGAGUGGCGACAGUUUGCGCUUUGGGGAGCUCCGUCGCUUAAAAAUCAUCGACGGAGCGUUCUUGCUGGCACACUUCCGCUUAGUAUCCUGUGCGGGCGGCGGCGGAGACGGACGACCCAAGUCCGGCGGCGGUGAUCGAGAUGGACUCGUGUUGUGCUGGCCGACGUCAUGUGGAGGGCUUGGAGGUAAUGGAGGUGUAGGUGACCUGCGACGACUCGGAGGCGGUGUUGUCCUUGGGGUCGAGCCUGGAAGCUUGAUGUAGUUCUUGUGCAUCGUCGGGCGGGGCCUCAGAUUCAGCCACGCCGCUUUUCCCUUAGAUGGGGCGCUGGUAAUAUCAAGUGCAGGAUCUUCCUGGCGCGGUACUCCUCUAAGCUCAUCAAUCUGCUUUUGUUGCUCGUUAAUCCUGGCAAGCAACUGGUUGAACUUGUCAUUCUCCUCAUCCUGCUGCCGCUUCUUUGCUCUCUCUCGGCUUCUGUAAGUGUCUUGGUCUCUGGCAAACCCAAGCCACCACGGGUAAGAAGGACCGAAGUCUCGCGUUCGUCCUCCAUGUUCGUCAUUGCCGAGGACCAGUGUGAGCAAAUAUUUAUCUCUAUCUGCAGUGAACUUUCUUUUUCCCUCCUUAAUUUCUUUCACUAUCCUUUUCCAAUUCUCCCUGGGUAUCCUAAGACCGUCAUUGCAGAUGAGCUCCCCUGUUUUUUCGUCGUACGACCCACCAUGCGCAAGGAAUCAAUUUCUUGCUCUUAAUUCCCACUCAUCACGGAGUGGUUCAGGUAAGAUGCCUUUAUCUAGCAGAUCUUGCUCUUUCUUAUCCCACUUUGGGAUGGCAGUCUCAUAGCCCCCUGGCCCCAGCUUGUGGUGAUAUUUCUUCUUGUCGGCAUUUAUCUUGUUCUUUUCUGAUAAUGUCUGGGCAUCUUCUGACUCCUUGUACUCUUGAAAUGCCUUCCAGUGAUUCGCCUGCUUGGCUAGAUACCCCUCGAAUACUGGCACUUUCUUUGUCUUCAGAUAGUUUUCCAUAGCUUCUUCUUCCAGCUACGGAACAGUUCGGCCAUCUUCUUCAGAGUCCAUUGCUUGACUUUGGCCCUCAGUUUGUCUGCGGCGUCUUCAUUCUCACAUUCUGGCAGGUUGAAAUGUGACAUGAGAUCAUUCCAAAGAUUAUCUUUGUACCUUUCGGCGACAUAGUCACUAUCGGCUGCCCUUUUGCGCUUGUUCCACUCCCGAACGCUGAUCGGGACGUGAUCCCUAACGAGAACUCCGCAUUGCUUCUUGAAUGUGUCAGCAACAUUCUUAGGAAGCUUGGGUUCGCCCGUAGGAAAUAUCACCUCAAAGGUGUAAUGCGUCCGUGCAUCCAACUUUCUAGUCGGGCCUCGUUUCGUAGUUUUGCUCGAUGUGGAGGCCUAAGAGGGAGAAACAUUCAUCAAAUGAAUGUAUAUGUAUACAAUAUAGAGCUAUCUCCAAUAUUUUUCACAUAUUACAAGUGAUUGUCGAACUUCAUAUGUAUCCCUCGCCGGACUUUAUUAUUUCUUCACCGGCUUCUCCAUCAGUGGAGCUAUCACCUUCUCCGUCAUUGGACCUAUCUCCUGCCCCAUCGGCUUCAUCUUCGUGUCGCUCGACCUCCAUUCCAACGUCCUGCUUUAGAUAUGACGACGGAGAUUCAGCUGGUUCAACGUCGGGGCCGUCUUUGAUUAUAUCUUCGAGAAGUUCUUCCUCUUCGAGGUUUUUGAUAUGUGGAUCCAUAGUUCUGCAAAAAACGGAUUCUCUUAACCUUUGUACCAAAAAAGAAUUAUUCUAUCAGGAACUCCGUUCGAAAACAACUUAAGUCCCGGGUCGUGGCUCCACCCGGGACUCCUAGAUUUUUGCAUAGUAUUCAAAGUAGGAGUACUUUUCCAAUUUGAGCAUUCAAUAAGCAAAACCAAAUCGUAAAAUAAAGUAGUAUUCAAAUUAGCAUGCAUUCAAUUAUAAGCUAAUACAUCAUCACUUUUGUCCGUACACCGUCGAAUAUUAUCACUAAUACUCCUCGAAUACUAUCAUACAUAUAGCAUCACUGAUACAUCUAGAACCGUAGCGCCCGACGUGUAUCGGCGCGGGCGGUGGACACCCAAAGAGAAGGAACCAUCACAGGAUCAUAGCUCCAGUGAGAUCCCCGAAGAACCUGCCAGGUAUGCUCGAACCUGCCCUCCAAUGCAACCAUGUAGCGACGGACGUGCUCAUCCUCCUCGCUGACACGGUGACGUACCACCUCCGCGGUGUCCGGAAGCCUCGGCACCCUCACUGGCCCACGCGACCGCCACCAAACAAGGAUCGUGUCAACGACGGGCUGGCUCCUCACCAACCUACGCCCCCCGGAAGGUAGCACCUUCCAAUACCAGCCGGGCGGAGCCCAGUCCCAGACAGGGCCCCUCUGAUCAAGCAGGUGUCCUCCGCCGAGUCGACGACGAGGAUGCGGGAUGCAUCGUAAAAUGAACUAAAAAAAUAAACUAGUUCUAUUAAUUUUCUUGCUAAAAAUAAACUAUUAACACUUAAGCAUAUACAAUAGCAAAAUUAAACUAUUAACACUUAAGCAUAUACAAUAGCAAAAUUAAGCAAUAAUCUAAGAAACACUAUUAACACUUAAGCAUAUACACUAUACAAUAGCAAAAUUAAGCAUAUACACUAUACAAUAGCAAAACUAAAUGACACUAUACAAUAUGUCUCCUCUUCUUCUACUUCUUCUUCUACUUCUACUUCUCCUCUUCUUGUAGUACUUCUCCUCUUCUCUUCUUCUACUUCUCCUCUCCUCCUCUUCUAAUUUUUUCUCUUCUUCUACUUCUCCUCUUCUUCUAUUUUUCCUCUUCUUCUCCUCUCCUCCUCUUCUUAUUCUCCUUUUUCUUCUUUUCUUCUCCUCCUCUUCUUAUUUUCAUUUUUCCUAAUCUUAUUUUCUUAUUUUUAUUCAUAUUUCUUCUUCUUGUAACCCUAACCUAAUUCUAAAUAUUACUAACCCUAAUAAUCUAGCACAAACCUAAUAACAAUUGGAAUUAAAUGACAUUUUUUUUCUUUUUCUUCCUUUCUUCUCCUUUUUCUUCCUUUCUUCUCCUUUUUCUUCCUUUCUUCCCUUUUUCUUUUUUUCUUCUCAUUUUUCUUAUUUUCUUCUCCUUUUUCUUCUUUUCUUCUCCUUUUUCUUCUUUUCUUCUUCUAUUUUUCCUCUUCUUGUCCUCUCCUCCUCUUCUUUUCUUCUCCUUUUUCUUAUUUUCUUCUCCUUUUCCUUCUUUUCUUCUACUGGCCGGAGUGUUGGGGAGGAGGGGGCGGGGGGCUUACCGGCCGGAGGUGUCGACGGCGCGCGGCGAGGAGGACGGCGCGCGCGAGGACGACGGCGGCGGCGAGGAGGACGGCAGGCGGCGGCGAGCAGGACGUCGGGCAGCCUGACGGCGUCGUCGAGUUCGUCGCUGUGCCGCACCGGGCAGGAGAACGAGAGGAAGAAGAAGAGAAAUGGACGAUUUGGGUUGGAAUUUUUCGAAGUCCCGCUUAUAUAGGUGGAUCUUUAGUCCCGGUGCGUGGCUCAAACCGGGACUAAAGACACCCUUUAGUCCCGGGUGGAGCCACGGCCCGGGACUAAAGCCCCUCGUUUCCCGCCUCCUCGCCUGCCGAAAAGGGGUCUUUAGUCCCGGGGCGUGGCUCCAACGGGGACUAAAGGGGGUCUUUAGUCCCGGGGCGUGGCUCCACCCGGGACUAAAGCCCCUCCUCGGCUGCACGAUAAGUUUAGUCCCACCUCGCCCAGCGAGGGGGACUAACACUUGUUUAUAAGCCCCGUCGUAGCUUCUCCAUCGAGCUCCUCUCUAAAGCAGGCUUACGGGCCUAAACUCACUGAAAAUUGAAACUAUAUUAGAAAUUAUAGAGAAAAUUCAAUCUAAAUUCAAAUGAGAAUUUAGAUUGAAUUUUCUCNNNNNNNNNNNNNNNNNNNNNNNNNNNNNNNNNNNNNNNNNNNNNNNNNNNNNNNNNNNNNNNNNNNNNNNNNNNNNNNNNNNNNNNNNNNNNNNNNNNNGUUCUUCUUCUCCUCUUCCGUCUCCUUCUCCUCCUCCUCCUACUCCUCCUUCUUUUACUUCUUCUUCUCUUUCUCUUAUUCUACAUAGCUUAAUUAGACUCAUCCAACAAAGCCUAAAUUGGCUAAUUAUCCAUCUAAAUGACAUAAGUAGCUUAGUUAGCUCCUAAAUGGUCUAUUUAAUAAAAAUGACCUAUACUUAGCUAAUUAUCCUCGAAAUGACAGAAUUAGCUCCAAAAAGGCAUUCUUAGCCAAUUUAGCCCCGAAGAAGGAGACGAGAGGAGAAGAAAGAGGAAAAAUGAAAGGAAGGAAGAAGAAGAAGCGGAGAAGAAGGAGAAGGAGAGGGAGGAGGAUAAGAAGAAGGAGGAGAAGGAGGAGAAGAAGGAGAAGAAGCUCCUCCUUCUCCUUCUUCCUCCUUCUUCCUCCUUCUCCUUCUCCUUCUUCUUUUGUUCUUCUUCUCCUCUUCCGUCUCCUUCUCCUCCUCCUCCUACUCCUCCUUCUUUACUUCUUCUUCUCUUCUCUUAUUCUACAUAGCUUAAUUAGACUACAUACCAACAAAGCCUAAAUUGGACUAAUUAUCCAUCUAAAUGACAUAAGUAGCUUAGUUAGCUNNNNNNNNNNNNNNNNNNNNNNNNNNNNNNNNNNNNNNNNNNNNNNNNNNNNNNNNNNNNNNNNNNNNNNNNNNNNNNNNNNNNNNNNNNNNNNNNNNNNCUACGUAGCUUAAUUAGACUCAUCCAACAAAGCCUAAAUUGGCUAAUUAUCCAUCUAAAUGACAUAAUUAGCUUAGUUAGCUCCUAAAUGGUCUAUUUAAUAAAAAAUGACCUAUACUUAGCUAAUUAUCCUCGAAAUGAUAUAAUUAGCUCCAAAAAGGCAUUCCUAGCCAAUUUAGCCCGAAGAAGGAGACGAGAGGAGAAGAAAGAGGAAAAAUGAAAGGAAGGAAGAAGAAGAAGAGGAGAAGAAGAAGAAGGAGAGGGAGCAGGAUAAGAAGAAGGAGGAGGAGAAGGAGGAGCUACCUUCUCCUUCUUCCUCCUUCUUCCUCCUUCUCCUUCUCCUUCUUCUUUUCUUCUUCUUCUCCUCUUCCGUCUCCUUCUCCUCCUCCUUCUUUUACUUCUUCUUCUCUUUCUCUUAUUCUACGUAGCUUAAUUAGACUCAUCCAACAAAGCCUAAAUUGGAUAAUUAUCCAUCUGAAUGACAUAAUUAGCUUAGUUAGCUCCUAAAUGGUCUAUUUAAUAAAAAUGACCUAUACUUAGCUAAUUAUCCUCGAAAUGAGAGAAUUAGCUUCAAAAANNNNNNNNNNNNNNNNNNNNNNNNNNNNNNNNNNNNNNNNNNNNNNNNNNNNNNNNNNNNNNNNNNNNNNNNNNNNNNNNNNNNNNNNNNNNNNNNNNNNAGUUGCGGGAUCUUGUAUUACGGAACGAGUAAAGAGACUUGCCGGUAAACGAGAUUGAAAUAGGUAUGCGGAUACUGACGAUCGAAUCUCGGGCAAGUAACAUACCGAAGGACAAAGGGAAUGACAUACGGGAUUAUAUGAAUCCUUGGCACUGAGGUUCAAACGAUAAGAUCUUCGUAGAAUAUGUAGGAUCCAAUAUGGGCAUCCAGGUCCCGCUAUUGGAUAUUGACCGAGGAGUCUCUCGGGUCAUGUCUACAUAGUUCUCGAACCCGCAGGGUCUGCACACUUAAGGUUCGACGUUGUUUUAUGCGUAUUUGAGUUAUAUGGUUGGUUACCGAAUGUUGUUCGGAGUCCCGGAUGAGAUCACGGACGUCACGAGGGUUUCCGGAAUGGUCCGGAAACGAAGAUUGAUAUAUAGGAUGACCUCAUUUGAUUACCGGAAGGUUUUCGGAGUUACCGGGAAUGUACCGGGAAUGACGAAUGGUUCCGGGGGUUCACCGGGGGGGGGGGGUCAACCCACCCCGGGGAAGCCCAUAGGCCUUGGGGAGACACACCAGCUUUUAGUGGGCUGGCGGGACAGCCCACAAGUGGUCUAUGCGCCAAGAAAACAAAAAUCAAGAGGAAAAGAAAAAAAAGGAGGAGGUGGGAAGGGAGGAGGACUCCCUCCCACCAAACCUAGUCCAACUCGGUUUGGGGGGGGGGGGAGAGUCCUGCCCCUUGGCUCGGCCGACCCCCUUGAGGGUCCUUGGACCCCAAGGCAAGGCCCCCUCCCUCCCACCUAUAUAUACGGAGGUUUUAGGGCUGAUUUGAGAUGACUUUUCCACGGCAGCCCGACGACAUACCUCCACGGUUUUUCCUCUAGAUCGCGUUUCUGCGGAGCUCGGGCGGAGCCCUGCUGAGACAAGGUCAUCACCAACCUCCGAAGCGCCGUCACGCUGCCGGAGAACUCUUCUACCUCUCCGUCUCUCUUGCUGGAUCAAGAAGGCCGAGAUCAUCGUCGAGCUGUACGUGUGCUGAACGCGGAGGUGCCGUCCAUUCGGUACUAGAUCGUGGGACUGAUCGCGGGAUUGUUCGCGGGGUGGAUCGAGGGACGUGAGGACGUUCCACUACAUCAACCGUGUUCUCUAACGCUUCUGCUGUACGGUCUACAAGGGUACAUAGAUCACUCAUCCCCUCUCGUAGAUGGACAUCACCAUGAUAGGUCUUCGUGCGAGUAGGAAAAUUUUUGUUUCCCAUGCGACGUUCCCCAACAGUGGCAUCAUGAGCUAGGUUCAUGCGUAGAUGUCUUCUCGAGUAGAACACAAAAGUUUUUGUGGGCGGUGAUGUGCGUUUUGCUGCCCUCCUUAGUCUUUUCUUGAUUCCGUGGUAUUGUUGGAUUGAAGCGGCUUGGACCGAUAUUACUCGUACGCUUACGAGAGACUGGUUUCAUCGUUACGAGUAACCCCCUUUGCUCAAAGAUGAAUGGAAAGUGUCGGUUUCUCCAACUUUAGUUGAAUCGGAUUUGACCGAGGAGGUCCUUGGAUGAGGUUAAAUAGCAACUCAUAUAUCUCCGUUGUGGUGUUUGCGUAAGUAGGAUGCGAUCCUACUAGAUACCCUUGGUCACCACGUAAAACAUGCAACAACAAAAUUAGAGGACGUCUAACUUGUUUUUGCAGGGUAUGAUUGUGAUGUGAUAUGGCCAACGAUGUGAUGUGAUAUAUUGGAUGUAUGAGAUGAUCAUGUUGUAAUAGAAAUAUCGACUUGCACGUCGAUGGUACGGCAACCGGCAGGAGCCAUAGGGUUGUCUUUAUACUAACGUUUGUGCUUGCAGAUGCGUUUACUAUUUUGCUAGGAUGUAGCUUUAGUAGUAAUAGCAUAAGUAGCACGACAACCCCGAUGGCAACACGUUGAUGGAUGAUCAUGGUGUGGCGCCGGUGACAAGAAGAUCGUGCUGGUGCUUUGGUGAUGGAGAUCAAAAAGCACGUGAUGAUGGCCAUAUCAUGUCACUUAUGAAUUGCAUGUGAUGUUAAUCCUUUUAUGCACCUUAUUUUGCUUAGAACGACGGUAGCAUUAUGAGAUGAUCUCUCACUAAAAUUUCAAGAGGAAAUUGUGUUCUCCCCGACUGUGCACCGUUGCUACAGUUCGUCGUUUCGAGACACCACGUGAUGAUCGGGUGUGAUAGACUCAACGUUCACAUACAACGGGUGCAAAACAGUUGCGCACGCGGAACACUCGGGUUAAGCUUGACGAGCCUAGCAUGUGCAGACAUGGCCUCGGAACACAUGAGACCGAAAGGUCGAUCAUGAAUCAUAUAGUUGAUAUGAUUAGCAUAGGGAUGCUUACCACUGAAACUAUACUCAACUCACGUGAUGAUCGGACUUGGGAUAGUGUAAGUGGAUCAUGAACCACUCAAAUGACUAGAGAGAUGUACUUUUUGAGUGGGAGUUUAGCAUGUAAUUUGAUUAAGUUGAACUCUAAUUAUCUUGAACAUAGUCUAAGUCCACUUUGAAAAUAUUUGUGUUGUAGAUCAUGGCUCACGCGACAGUCAUCCUGAAUUUUAAUACGUUCCUAGAGAAAGCUAAGUUGAAAGAUGAUGGAAGCAACUUUGUAGACUGGGCUCGUAAUCUUAAGCUAAUCUUACAAGCUGGGAAGAAGGAUUAUGUCCUUAAUGCUGCGCUAGGAGAUGAACCACCCGCUACGGCUGAUCAGGAUGUUAAGAACGCUUGGUUAGCACGUAAGGAGGACUACUCAAUAGUUCAAUGUGCAGUCUUGUAUGGCUUAGAACCGAGACUUCAACGUCGCUUUGAGCGUCAUGGAGCAUUUGAGAUGUUCCAAGAGUUGGAGUUUAUCUUUCAGAAGAACGCCCGGAUCGAGAGGUAUGAGACCUCCGAUAAAUUCUAUGCUUGCAAGAUGGAGGAAAACUCGUCUGUCAGUGAACAUGUGCUCAAAAUGUCUGGGUACUCAAACCGUCUAGCUGAGCUGGGGAUUGAACUCCCGCAAGAAGCUAUCACUGACAGAAUCCUUCAAUCACUGCCGCCAAGCUAUAAAGGGUUUGUGUUGAACUACAACAUGCAAGGGAUGAACAAGUCUCCCGGCGAGUUGUUUGCGAUGCUGAAAGUCGCAGAGUCUGAACUCCGUAAAGAGCAUCAAGUGUUGAUGGUGAGCAAGACCACUAGUUUCAAGAGAAAUGGCAAAGGCAAGAAGGGCAAUUCGAAGAAGAGCGGCAAGCCCGUUGCCAAUCCGCCGAAGAAACCCAAGGCUGGACCUAAGCCUGAAACAGAGUGCUUCUAUUGCAAGGGUAUGGGUCACUGGAAGCGCAAUUGCCCCAAGUAUCUGGCAGAUAAGAAGGCGGGCAAAGAAAAAUCAGGUAUAUUUGAUAUACAUGUUAUUGAUGUGUACUUAACCGGCUCUCGUAGUAGUGCCUGGGUAUUUGAUACCGGUUCUGUUGCUCAUAUUUGCAACUCGAAACAGGAACUGCGGAAUAGGCGAAGGCUGGCGAAAGAUGAAGUGACGAUGCGCGUAGGAAAUGAUUCCAAGGUUGAUGCAAUCGCCGUCGGCACAGUGUCACUUCAGCUUCCAUCGGGAUUAGUGAUGAACUUAAAUCAUUGUUAUUUAGUGCCUGCGUUGAGCAUGAACAUUAUAUCUGGAUCUUGUUUAUUGCGAGACGGAUACUCUUUUAAGUCUGAGAAUAAUGGUUGUUCUAUUUCUAUGAGUAACAUCUUUUAUGGUCAUGCACCGAAUGUGAGAGGAUUGUUGAUAUUGAAUCUUGAUAGCGAUACACAUAUACAUAGCAUUGGGACCAAAAGAGUUAGAGUUAACAAUGAUAGCGCCAUAUUUUUGUGGCACUGCCGCUUAGGUCAUAUUGGUGUAAAGCGCAUGAAGAAACUCCAUGCUGAUGGACUUUUGGAGUCACUUGACUUUGAUUCACUUGACACGUGCGAACCAUGCCUCAUGGGCAAGAUGACUAAGACUCCGUUCUCCGGAACAAUGGAGCGUGCAAGUGACUUGUUGGAAAUCAUACAUACCGAUGUGUGUGGUCCGAUGAGCGUGGAGGCACGCGGCGGAUAUCGUUAUUUUCUCACCUUCACUGACGAUUUGAGUAGAUAUGGUUAUGUCUACUUGAUGAAGCACAAGUCUGAAACAUUUGAAAGGUUCAAGCAAUUUCAGAGUGAAGUUGAAAAUCAUCGUAACAAGAAGAUCAAGUUCCUACGGUCUGAUCGUGGGGGUGACUAUCUGAGUUUCGAGUUUGGUGCUCACUUAAGACAAUGUGGAAUUGUUUCACAGUUAACACCGCCUGGAACACCACAGCGUAAUGGUGUGUCCGAACGUCGUAAUCGUACUUUAUUAGAGAUGGUGCGAUCUAUGAUGUCUCUUACCGAUUUGCCGUUAUCGUUUUGGGGUUAUGCAUUAGAAACAGCUGCAUUCACUUUAAAUAGGGCACCAUCAAAAUCCGUUGAGACGACACCAUACGAACUGUGGUAUGGCAAAAGGCCAAAGUUGUCGUUUCUUAAAGUUUGGGGAUGUGAUGCUUAUGUCAAAAAGCUUCAGCCUGAAAAGCUGGAACCCAAAGCGGAAAAGUGCGUCUUCAUAGGUUACCCAAAAGAGACAGUUGGGUACACCUUCUAUCUCAAAUCCGAGGGCAAAGUGUUUGUUGCUAAAAACGGAGCUUUUCUCGAGAAGGAGUUUCUCUCGAGAGAAUUGAGUGGGAGGAAGAUAGAACUUGACGAGGUUGUCGAACCUCUCAUCCCUCUGGAUGGUGGCGCAGGGCAAGGGGAAACCUCUGUCGUUGCGACGCCGGUUGAAGAGGAAGUUAAUGAUGAUGAUCAUGAAACUCCGGUUCAAGUUUCUGUCAAACCACGCAGGUCGACGAGACCACGUGCUGCUCCAGAGUGGUACGGUAAUCCUGUCUUAUCAAUCAUGUUGUUAGACAACAAUGAACCUGCAAAUUAUGAAGAAGCAAUGGUGGGCCCAGAUUCCAACAAAUGGCUAGAAGCCAUGAAGUCCGAGAUAGGAUCCAUGUAUGAGAACAAAGUGUGGACUUUGGAGGUACUACCUGAGGGCCGCAAGGCUAUUCAGAACAAAUGGAUUUUUAAGAGGAAGACGGACGCUGACGGCAAUGUGACCGUUUAUAAAGCUCGACUUGUGGCAAAGGGUUUUUCACAAGUUCAAGGAGUUGACUACGAUGAGACAUUCUCACCCGUAGCGAUGCUUAAGUCCGUCAGAAUCAUGUUAGCAAUAGCUGCAUUUUUCGAUUAUGAAAUCUGGCAGAUGGAUGUCAAAACGGCGUUCCUUAACGGUUUCCUUAAGGAAGAGUUGUAUAUGAUACAACCCGAAGGUUUUGUCGAUCAUAAGAAUGCUAACAAGGUGUGCAAGCUCCAGCGAUCCAUUUAUGGACUGGUGCAAGCAUCUCGGAGUUGGAACAAACGCUUUGAUGAGGUGAUCAAAGCAUUUGGGUUUAUACAAGUGGUUGGAGAAUCUUGUAUUUACAAGAAAGUGAGUGGGAGCUCUGUGGCGUUUCUAAUAUUAUAUGUGGAUGACAUAUUGCUGAUUGGAAACAACGUGGAGUUUUUAGAGAGCAUAAAGGAUUACUUGAAUAUGAGUUUCUCUAUGAAGGACCUAGGAGAAGCUGCUUACAUUCUAGGCAUUAAGAUCUAUAGGGAUAGAUCAAAACGCCUGAUAGGACUUUCACAAAGCACAUACCUUGAUAAAGUUUUGAAGAGGUUCAAAGUGGAACAGUCCAAGAAAGGGUUCUUGCCAGUUUUACAAGGUACGAGAUUGAGUAAGACUCAGUGCCCAGCAACUGAUGAAGAUAGAGAGCAUAUGCGCUCCGUCCCCUAUGCUUCAGCCAUAGGUUCUAUCAUGUAUGCAAUGUUGUGCACAAGACCGGAUGUUAGCCUGGCCAUAAGUAUGGCAGGUAGGUUCUAGAGUAAUCCAGGAGUGGAUCACUGGACAGCGGUCAAGAAUAUCCUGAAGUACCUGAAAAGGACUAAGGAUAUGUUUCUCGUGUAUGGAGGUGACGAAGAGCUCGCCGUAAAAGGUUACGUCGAUGCAAGCUUUGACACAGAUCCGGACGACUCUAAGUCGCAAACCGGAUACGUAUUUAUUUUUAAUGGGGGUGCGGUAAGCUGGUGCAGUUCCAAGCAAAGCGUCGUAGCAGAUUCUACAUGUGAAGCGGAGUACAUGGCUGCCUCGGAGGCGGCUAAGGAGGGUGUCUGGAUGAAGCAGUUCAUGAGGAUCUUGGAGUGGUACCAAGCGCACUGAAUCCAAUAACCUUGUUCUGUGACAACACGGGUGCCAUUGCCUUAGCAAAGGAACCACGGUUUCACAAGAAGACCAGACACAUCAAACGACGCUUCAACCUCAUCCGCGACUACGUCGAGGGAGAAGACGUAAAUAUAUGCAAAGUGCACACGGAUCUGAAUGUAGCAGACCCGCUGACUAAACCUCUUCCACGGCCAAAGCAUGAUCAACACCAGAACUGUAUGGGUGUUAGAUUUAUUACAAUGUAAUUCACAUGAUGAUGUGAGGGCUAGAUUAUUGACUCUAGUGCAAGUGGGAGACUGUUGGAGUUAUGCCCUAGAGGCAAUAAUAAAUAUAGUUAUUAUUAUAAUUCCUGUAUCAAGAUAAUCGUUUAUUAUCCAUGCUAUAAUUGUAUUGAAUGAAGACUCAUUUACAUGUGUGGAUACAUAGACAAAACACCGUCCCUAGCAAGCCUCUAGUUGGCUAGCGAGUUGAUCAAAGAUAGUCAGUGUCUUCUGAUUAUGAACAAAGUGUUGUUGCUUGAUAACUGGAUCACGUCAUUAGGAGAAUCACGUGAUGGACUAGACCCAAACUAAUAGACGUAGCAUGUUGAUCGUGUCAUUUUGUUGCUACUGUUUUCUGCGUGUCAAGUAUUUAUUCCUAUGACCAUGAGAUCAUAUAACUCACUGACACCGGAGGAAUGCUUUGCGUGCAUCAAACGUCGCAACGUAACUGGGUGACUAUAAAGAUGCUCUACAGGUAUCUCCGAAGGUGUUCGUUGAGUUAGUAUGGAUCAAGACUGGGAUUUGUCACUCCGUGUGACGGAGAGGUAUCUCGGGGCCCACUCGGUAAUACAACAUCACACUCAAGCCUUGCAAGCAAUGUAACUUAGUGUAAGUUGGGGGAUCUUGUAUUGCGGAACGAGUAAAGAGACUUGCCGGUAAACGAGAUUGAAAUAGGUAUGCGGAUACUGACGAUCGAAUCUCGGGCAAGUAACAUACCGAAGGACAAAGGGAAUGACAUACGGGAUUAUAUGAAUCCUUGCCACUGAGGUUCAAACGAUAAGAUCUUCGUAGAAUAUGUAGGAUCCAAUAUGGGCAUCCAGGUCCCGCUAUUGGAUAUUGACCGAGGAGUCUCUCGGGUCAUGUCUACAUAGUUCUCGAACCCGCAGGGUCUGCACACUUAAGGUUCGACGUUGUUUUAUGCGUAUUUGAGUUAUAUGGUUGGUUACCGAAUGUUGUUCGGAGUCCCGGAUGAGAUCACGGACGUCACGAGGGUUUCCGAAAUGGUCCGGAAACGAAGAUUGAUAUAUAGGAUGACCUCAUUUGAUUACCGGAAGGUUUUCGGAGUUACCGGGAAUGUACCGGGAAUGACGAAUGGGUUCCGGGAGUUCACCGAGGGGGACAACCCACCCUGGGGAAGCCCAUAGACCUUGAGGGUGGCACACCAUCCCUUAGUGGGCUGGUGGGACAGCCCAAAAGGGCCCUAUGCGCCUAGGAAAGAAAAUCAAAGAGAAAAGAAAAGAAAAAAGGAGGUGGGAAGGGAAGGAAGGACUCCCACCCACCAAACCAAGUCCAACUCGGUUUGGGGGGGAGCCUUCCCCCUUGGACUCGGCCGACCCCCUUGGGGCUCCUUGAGCCCGAAGGCAAGGUCCCCUCCCUCCCACCUAUAUAUACGGAGGUUUUAGGGCUUAUUUGGGACGACUUUUCCACGGCAGCCCGACCACAUACCUCCACGGUUUUUCCUCUAGAUCGCGUUUCUGCAGAGCUCGGGCGGAGCCCUGCUGAGACAAGGUCAUCACCAACCUCCGGAGCGCCGUCACGCUGCCGGAGAACUCUUCUACCUCUCCGUCUCUCUUGCUGGAUCAAGAAGGCCGAGAUCAUCGUCGAGCUGUACGUGUGCUGAACGCGGAGGUGCCGUCCGUUCGGUACUAGAUCGUGGGACUGAUCGCGGGAUUGUUCGCGGGGCGGAUCGAGGGACGUGAGGACGUUCCACUACAUCAACCGCGUUCACUAACGCUUCUGCUGUACGAUCUACAAGGGUACGUAGAUCAGUCAUCCCCUCUCGUAGAUGGACAUCACCAUGAUAGGUCUUCGUGCGCGUAGGAAAAUUUUUGUUUCCCAUGCGACGUUCCCCAACAAUUUUAACAUCAAUUCACCGUAAUUUUACGUUUCAUAAUUUUUGUCUUAUUUUAUACGUAAAAAGAGACCAUAAAAUAAUAUAAUCAAUGUAAAAAAAAUUAUGUCACAUAAAACUACGUACAUACAAAACUAGUGCAAAAAAUACAAUAAAUUCAAUUUUUUCUGGUCUUGUGAUCUAUAUUUUUGUUUUCCUUUUAUCAAAUUUUACGUAGUGAUUCAAUAUAAAUGUAACUAUUUGUAUUUAAAAUUUAAUUUAUUUGUAAAUUGAUCGUAAGAUUAUCUCGGGUGAAGAAUAAACUAUUCUGCGUCCUGGGUGAUGAAUAGAGUUUCUAUAUAUAUAUAUAUAUAUAUAUAUAUAUGACAAAUUAUAUCUGNNNNNNNNNNNNNNNNNNNNNNNNNNNNNNNNNNNNNNNNNNNNNNNNNNNNNNNNNNNNNNNNNNNNNNNNNNNNNNNNNNNNNNNNNNNNNNNNNNNNAACAAAAUAGAUAAUAGUUUGGAUAGUCAAAAUUAUUAAUUAUGAAAAUAAGAAGUAGUUUUGCAUUAUUUAUUCAAUUUGAAACACUUUUCAUUAUCAUAGUUUUGUCAAAUUCUCAAAUAUGCAAAAAGAAUUUUUAAUAAACAUAGUUUUUAAUUGAAAAUAACAAAAUAGAUAAUAGUUUGGAUAGUCAAAAUUAUUAAUUAUGAAAAUAAAAAAUAGUUUGAACUAUUUAUUCAAUUUGAAACACUUUUCAUUAUCAUAGUUUUGUCAAAUUCUCAAAUAUGCAAAAAGAAUUUUUAAUAAACAUAGUUUUUAAUUGAAAAUAACAAAAUAGAUAAUAGUUUGGAUAGUAAAAAUUAUUAAUUAUGAAAAUAAAAAAUAUUUUUGCAUUAUUUAUUCAAUUUGAAACACUUUUCAUUAUCAUAGUUUUGUCAAAUUCUCAAAUAUGCAAAAAGAAGUUUUAAUAAACAUAGUUUUUAAUUGAAAAUGAAAAAAUAAGUUAAUAGUUUGGAUAGUCAAAAUUAUUAAUUUGGAAAAUAUAAAAUAGUUUUGAAUUAUUUAUUCAAUUUCAAACACUUUUCACUAUCAUAGUUUUGUCAAAUUCUCAAAUAUGCAAAAAUAAUUUUUAAUAAACAUAGUUUUUAAUUGAAAAUAACAAAAUAAGUUAAUAGUUUGGAUAGUCAAAAUAAUUAAUUUUGAAAACAGAAAAAAAUUGAAACUAUAUGAGAAAUCAUGGACAAAAUUCGACCUGAAUUCACUUUGAAUUCAGAUUGAAUUUUAUCCACAAUUUCGAAUUUAGUUUCAAUUUUCAGUAAGUUUAGGCUUGUAAGCCUGCUUUAAGGAGGGGCUCGAUGGACAAGCUGCGACGGGGCUUAUAAACAAGUGUUAGUCCCCCUCGCUGGGCGAGGUGGGACUAAACUUAUCGUGCAGCCGAGGANNNNNNNNNNNNNNNNNNNNNNNNNNNNNNNNNNNNNNNNNNNNNNNNNNNNNNNNNNNNNNNNNNNNNNNNNNNNNNNNNNNNNNNNNNNNNNNNNNNNAGAAAAUUCAAUCUAAAUUCAAAUGAGAAUUUAGAUUGAAUUUUCUCUAUGAUUUCGAAUAUAGUUUCAAUUUUAUUCUAUUUUCAUAAUUAAUAAUUUUGACUAUCCAAACUAUUAUCUAUUUUGUUAUUUUCAAUUAAAAACUAUGUUUAUUAAAAAUUCUUUUUGCAUAUUUGAGAAUUUGACAAAACUAUGAUAAUGAAAAGUGUUUGAAAUUGAAUAAAUAAUGCAAAACUAUUUUUUAUUUUCAUAAUUAAUUAUUUUGACUAUCCAAACUAUUAUCUAUUUUGUUAUUUUCAAUUAAAAACUAUGUUUAUUAAAAAUUCUUUUUGCAUAUUUGAGAAUUUGACAAAACUAUGAUAAUGAAAAGUGUUUGAAAUUGAAUAAAUAAUGCAAAACUAUUUUCUAUUUUCAAAAGUAAUUAUUUUGACUUCGUGUACAAAACGGACAAUCUCUCUCGAAGUAGGAGCGUUUCGAACGAGAACUCAUCUCUUACAAAGGGAUUUCAUUUUUUUGAACUAGUUGACCCUGAAAUUGAAAAGCACUACAAAUGAACUCUGAAAAUGUUGAAAGUUGGCAUGCUAUCAUCAUUUCACCCACAUAGCAUGUGUUAAAAAGUUGAGAGGGCUACGACAAAAACUGGAUGCACUUCGUAUACAAAACGGACAAUCUCUCUCGAAGUAUCAGGGUUUCGAACGAGAACUCAUCUCUUACAAAAGGAUUUCAUUUUUUUGAACUUAUUUGAACUCCAUACUUUUUGUGUGUUCAAAAUGCACCAUUCUAAGGCACAUCACAAAAUUUCAACANNNNNNNNNNNNNNNNNNNNNNNNNNNNNNNNNNNNNNNNNNNNNNNNNNNNNNNNNNNNNNNNNNNNNNNNNNNNNNNNNNNNNNNNNNNNNNNNNNNNUAAUGAGUAGCAUAUGUGUGUGUGUGUGUGUGAUUAAUGUCUCAAGUCUUACGAAAUAACCUACUAUUAUGUUUUCCCAGACAUGUGAAGUUUUAUGUGGAAAGAUGUAAUAAUAUUUAGCAGUUAGAGGAUGUAGAUCUCCAACUGUUAAUUGAAACGUAUUUAUCUUCUUGAAAGACACACACAAAAAGCAUGAUGUAAAAAACUGCAGAGUACUCUGUUUUCUUCAGCUGCUGAUGAUGCUCGAAAUUUUUGGAGUGGGUAUGAACAGACCCAGCCUGUCCUGUAUGAAGUAUGAACCCUUGUGAUUGAUAAAGCUUGGGCUUAGUGUAUGGAGAUGAUGAUGAUUGCAGAGGAAUUCAUGUCGACGAUGGUGUUCACACUUUUAUCUAUUUUUCCUAAGGCUAAAUUCUUGUAACCAUGAAUGUGAGUGUGUACCUGCAGUCUAGUGUUGCAUAUUUUUUUUUGAUAAAGGGCUUUUAUUGUUGAGUUGUUACGUUCCUUGUGCAUUACGCUGCCUUGUACUUAUCCACUGUAACCACCAUACCUGGUCCUGGGGAUGACCGCGGCACCACCUCCUCCAUAUCCCUGCAUGUAGGGAUCGGUGGUGACCCUUGGCGUAUAUAUGUGUAAUCACUUGAUGAGUAAAGUGUGUGCAUUGUUUCACAAUUCUUCUUGGUAAUCAGAGCUACCGAUCUAUGUCUUCUCACCCCAACUCUCCACCUCCUGGCACUGCUGCCGCCGUAGCAGCCUCUGCCUCCCCGGAACGCCCCCACGCGACUCUCUCUCCCGAUCUCACCUCUGCCCCACCCGUCCCCGGUGCCUUCUCCCUCUCUACUGCCCCGGCUGAGACCCUCCCUGCUCCACCACCCUCUCGCCUCCCUUCCAGCAUCUCCGACGUCGUUGAUUUCAAGCUGGCCCUUGAUGGCACGAACUUCAUCCGGUGGCGCAACUUCCUCAACCUCAUCCUCGCCUGCUACCACGCCGAAAACCAUGUCUAGGACGGUGCGGUCGACCGCCUCUCCAACCCACAGUGGCGCGACGACGACAACACAAUCGUGCUGUGGUUCUUUGCCACAGUGGACGGGGCUCUCCUCGACAUCGUCGCCCCGGCCGACUCCACCGCCUACACCAUCUGGAAGCGCCUCUACGAGUUCUUCCUCGCGAACGAGGCGGAACUCGCGAUGCAUCUUGGAUAGGAGUUCCGGGCGUGCGUUCGCGGCGACCUCUCCGUCAACGACUACUGUCGUCGUCUGCAGAACAUCGCCGCCGCCCUCGCCGACGUCCGCGAACCCGUCUCUGAUCGUACCUUGACGCUGCAGAUGCUCGAUGGCAUCGGGAAAAAGUUCGAGCUUCAGGCCGCCAUCAUCCAGUCCACUGUGCCUCUUCCCUCCUUCGCCCAGGCCCGCUCGCGCCUCGCCCUUUUGGAGCUCACCCUAGACAAGCGGGCGCGCGCUGAGGGCGCGCACGUGAUGGCUGUCCAUGAUGAGCGCGGCGGCGGAUGCGGCGACCGCGGGGAUCGUGGCGAUCGUGGUCGUGGCGGUGGCAACCCUCCUGGCGGUGGGCGCGGCGGCGACAACCAAGGCGGCGCUCCCUACGCCGGUCGCGGUGGCGGCAACCGUGCUGGUGGUGGACGCGGGCGCGGCCGUGGCCGCGGCCGCGGUGAUGCCCCUCCAGUGGCGGUCGCGGCUCCCACCAGCAGCCCUGGCUGGGGUACUUUGCCCCUGUCGGGAUGCCGUUCCCACCGCCCCGCGCGCCGUGGAUCCCGCCCAACUUGGCCGGCAUCCUUGGUCCUCGUCCCGGCGCUCCGACGCAUGCCUACCCGGUGGUCCAGUCGACCGCGCCGCCUGUCCCCUACUCCGGCUCACCUCCCACUUGGGACGCGACGACCAUGUACCACGCUGCACCGAGAUAUGGGCCUACUUUUUCCCCUCAUGCCGAGUGGAUCAUGGACACAGGGGCUUCUUCCCACAUGACCGGGGACCCAGGUAUUCUGAUCAAGUCUCAUCCUUUAUUAGCGUCUCAUUCUCGCCACAUUAUUGUCGGUAAUGGGGCUCGCCUCCCGGUCGUCGCCAUUGGUAACGCCCGUCUUUCUUCUCGACCCUUCUACCUCACUCACAUUCUCCUCUCCCCCAACAUUGUCCAAAACCUCAUUUUCGUGCGUCAAUUCACUCGUGACAAUUUAUGUUCUGUGGAGUUUGACCCUUUUGGUUUUUCCAUGAAGGAUCUUCGCACCAAGGUGGUCCUUGUGAGGUGCAAUAGCUCCGGUGACCUCUACCGCGUCUCCCACGUCUCAGGCACUCCUGGUAGCGCUACACCGGUGGCCCUCGCUGCUACCUCAUCGGAUCUUUGGCAUAAGAGGCUCGGGCACCCGAGCUCCUCCACCCUAGUUUAUUUUCCCUUUGAUGUUCCUUCAAGAUUUAAUAAAACCCCCUUGUCACCCCUUUGUACUGCCUGCCAUUUAGGCAAGCACACACACCUUCCCUUCCCCACCUCUACUUCCUACACCACCGCGCCAUUUCAGCUCUUACAUUGUGACUUGUGGACCUCUCCCAUUGUUAGUUUUUCCGGCUAUAAAUACUAUCUUGUUAUUUUGGAUGAUUACACGCAAUACUCUUGGACUUUCCCCCCUUCAUGCCAAAUCCGAUACUUGUGCCACUUUGCAGCGCUUCUUCGCUUACGUUCUCACUCAGUAUCACGUCACUAUCCGCUGUUUGCAGUGCGACAAUGGCGGUGAGUUCCUCACCACGGUGCUCCGCGACUUCUUCUCCUCCCAUGGCAUCACGUUUCGUCUUACCUGCCCCCAUACAUCCCCACAAAAUGGCAAAGAGGAACGCCAUAUACGCACUACUAACGAUGUUAUCCGGACUCUCCUCUUCCAAGCACACCUCCCUCCGCCAUUUUGGGUCGAAGCCCUCCAUACCGCCACCACCCUCCUUAACAUCCGCCCAUCCCGUGCCAUCCACCACUUCACCCCCACUUCCUUCUCUAUGGCGAACAUCCCACCUACGAUCACUUGCGCACCUUCGGAUGUCUUUGCUUUCCAAACCUCUCAGCCACUGCGCCACACAAACUUUCUCCACGAUCCACACGCUGCGUCUUCCUUGGCUACCCACGCGAACAGAAGGGCUGUCGCUGCUUCGACCUCUCAUCUUGCAAAGUUAUUACCUCUCGCCAUGUCGUCUUUGACGAACACAACUUUCCUUAUAUCUCCUCUUCGCCUGCCACAGAAGAUCUGGCCACUAUCCACCCUGUUCCCCCCGCUCCAACCGGAUCUCUGGCGCCUGCCCAACCAGCUUCGCUCCCGCCUACCGCGCCUCGCCCGCCGCGCCCUCUGGGCCCCGCUGCCCAUGCACCACAUGCAACCUCCCCACCUGCAUGUCCGCGUCCCCUGCCUCCCCAUGCACCACAUGCCCUGCCUCCCCCCAUGCGCGCACUAGGCCCUGCCUCGCCUGCCGCUUCCCCACCUACUCCACCUCGUGACCCGCGCGUGUCGGUUACGCCCGCGCACACACCGCGUCCUCACCCCACGUCCUGUAGCUCCUCGAGCCCCACCACCCAUGCACGCCAUGCAGCUUCCCGCGCUGCCCGCCCGCCCGACUUGGCCUCCUCCACCACCCCACUACGCCCUACGUCUCCCUCGGCGCCUCCCAUCACACCAGCUUCCCCGCCCAGCUUUCCUGCUGCUGUACCGCCUUCCUCGCUACCACCUGCUGUUGUGCCCAUCUCUCCGCGCCACCACCCUCAUCCCAUGAUCACUCGGGGCAAACGCGGGUUUACCAUGCCUAAGCAACAUUUCGACCUGUCCGUUACCACCGCCCCUUCGCCCCUUCCCUCCUCCUACCACCCCGCCCUCCGUGAUCCCCAUUGGCACGACGCGAUGUUGGAUGAGUAUAAUGUGCUAAUACAGAAUGACACUUGGUCUUUGGUGCCUUGUCCUGCAGGUGUUAACGUGGUGACGGCAAAUGGAUCUUCUGUCAAAAACUCCGUCCCGAUGUGUCGGGGGAUAACUCCGGGGUAGGCUCAUCGAGCCUAUUCCUUCAUUCCUGGCCCAAUGGGCAUGAAGGCGCAGAGAUUCUCAAGGCCCAAGUCUUCUAACCGGCUAGGCAUCCCCUGCCGGCUGGAAGACGAGGCGACCACCUUUCUGGCCGGCCAGGCAACCCCUGCCGGCUAGAAUCCAGGCGGCCUCCCCUUCGGACCCGGCCUGGUCCCGCCAGCCGGGCUAAGGAGGAGGCGGCCACCCUCAAGCUGUCUGACCAAGCAGGCUAGCCGACCGAGGAUCACCAGUCACAUCAGAUCGUAGGUCAGGAAAGGACCUCACGAUUAAAGGUAGCUACGCGUCAGCAAAGGUACUGAAUCAGGGCGCCCGGCUGGUACGAGCGUCGGUGGCCACGCCGCUGACCUACCCCGGCUCUGAUCCAUCACCUAGCCUGAUGUCGGACCGUCACACUCCCACUCCAUUACUGCACUCGGCGUGGGGAACAGUGGAGGCGGUCGUACUGCCUGCCCAUGAAGAAUCUCGCGGGGCGACGCUCGACGUACAGCGUGUGCUCAGCGUCAACCUUACGCGGGAGCCCCAUUGGCCAGCUGGCGGGUCCCACAGCAAUCGAGACCAUGCAGCCGGCGGGCCCCUCAUCGACAAGACAAGACCCUUGUGGGCCCCUGGCCAGCCGGCGAAGCAGCCAGCCGAGUCCCACGCAUGUACCCUUUAUCCAUAUUGUAGGCCGGCGGGUUCGUCUAUAAAACCCCCCGGCCGCCCCCGAUGCAAGGAGGCCGAUCACUUACCAGUCAUUCAACACUACACACUCACCAACCAACAGAGAGCGAGGUAGAGACGAGUCGGCUGCUCCCCUCUUCCUCCUCCCAACACAGCUCCAGGAGCAACAUUGUACUAUGUUCCCAUACAUCAAACACACAAGCAGGAUUAGGGGUAUUAUCUCUACGGAGAGCCCUGAACCUGGGUACAUCGUGCGUCCCAUGCGUGUACCAACCUCGUUCCCAGCGCCCACCUUUGUCCCUUCGGUUCUCAUCGACUUUAGCCUACCUAUGUCAUAUGUUGUGAGUAUUCACCAACAUUUGGCGCCCACCGUGGGAACGAUCGCGGCAUCGGCUGGCUUCACGCGCUGGGCGGGGGCCCGCACCUACACCACCGGAUGCAUCGCGUCCGGAUCAGUUUGCAUGCCCGUGGAGCUCGCUUUCGACGAGGCGACGCUCAUGAUGAUCGACGUCCCCGUCCGCCAUGCGGAUUCGGACGAAGAUUCAGAUGACGAGGCGCUCCCUAGCGUCGCCGUCGCUGCUAUGGAGAACCUCAGCGUUCUCUUCAGCGAUCUUCGCCUCAACGACGGCCCAUGCUACUUCGGCGAGGACUACGACGUUGAGGCGCUCUGCGCCAGCUUCAGCAUGCUCUCUAUCGCUGAGACGCCUGCCCACUACGUUUACCCCAGUAACGUCCUCAUCUUCGAUGGCCCUUCACCGUCGGUGGGGUUCUUCACCCCAUACCACGUCGCUGCCGUCUCCAACGCCGCGGAGGUGAUGGUUAUCGGCGCCGGCACCGGCACGUCUCCCCGCAAGGCCUCCGCGGGCGCUAGCGAGCCCGCUGUGGCCGCCGCAGACACUCUUCGGGAUGCCAUCGUCGGCCUGAAGACACCGGUCACUGCUUCCGCCGACCCUGCAGACGCUCGGGCCUCACUGGAGGAGGCUCGCAAGCGUAUCUUGGAGGAGGGCAUCGCCGUGGCCUCGGCAAAACGUCGGCUGGAGGCUACACAUCGUGAGUAUAACUCCGCAUAUGGUCUUACUCCGAUUUCCGAGGCCCCCAGCCGGCUUGGAUCGGUCCGCAGUCGCGGACGAUUCGUCGCCGAGGUUCUAGGCGGGGACCUGCCCACCUACGAGACUCCUGCGGCCAACAUGCGGGCGGGACAGGCGGCCAUGGAGGAGAUGGCAAGCUUCGAAGGCGAGGAGUGCCCCUUCCAGGAGAUGCGUGUCAAGGAUCUCCUUGACGCUGCUACCCAGCAGUACGCUCGGUUCGACCCUGGCCAGGCUCAUUCAGAGUCCCCGGGACCAAACUCGGGAGCUCGCCGCAACCCUAGCGGCCAGCACCACGCCGAAGGAUCUUCCUCGCAUCGCCCUUCCGGCUGGAGGGGCGAGGGAAGCCAAGGCCGGCGCUCGCAGCACCAGAGCGAGCACACUUCAGGCCUACGUCGCGGAGGCAACGAGGGCGACUCGGAGUACGGGGAUCUUCCCCCGCGAAGAACUCACGCAUCCGGCUCCCGAGGAGCCUCCCCUCUCGCCACCAGGGCUGGCGCCCCCGCCUCCUAGAACGAGCGGGACGCCCGCCGCCGUAUCAUCGCCCUGGCCCAUUCGGCCCUCCUAGAGGAAGACGGACCCGUCGGUCCGGCUUGCUUCGGCCCCCGGAUCCGAGGGGAGCCGUUCCCCCGAGGUUUCACCCUACCUCGGGAUACGCUGAAAUACAACGGCACGGCCAAGCCAGAAGAUUGGCUGAUCGACUACACCACGGCCAUAGGCAUCGCCAGGGGCAACAAGCGUGUAGCGGUUCGCUACGUGCCACUCGUGCUGGCCGGCUCGGCUCGGACCUGGCUUAACAGCCUCCUGGCCGGCAGCAUCAACUCCUGGGUGGACUUCGAGGAGGCGUUCGUCCGCAACUUCACCGACACCUACAAGCGCCCUGGUCGGCCUCGCGAGCUGGCCAUGUGCGUCUAGAAGGCCGACGAACCCCUCGGCGACUACGUCACCUGGUCGACCGAGCUCCGCAACUCCUGUGAGGGGGUGCAUGAGGUACAAGCCAUACAGUAAUUCAUUGACGGAUGCCGAGACGGCACCCUCCUCAAGCACAAGCUCAUGUGCGCCGAGCCCACCUCCUUGGCGGUGCUCAUGGCCAAGGCGGACAAGUACGCCACGGCGGACUCCGCAAUGUGCAUCAAGGUGACCGCCUCGGAAAAGGUUGUGCCUGCGCCGGCUACUCCCAAGCCGGCUGGGGACAACCGAGGCGGACAGAACAACUACAAGCGCAAGGCGGAUCAGAUGGCUAACAACAAGCUAGUGGCCAACAUGGAGGGAGAGGCAUCGGCUUCCCAAGCCAGCCCUCCACGAAAGUGUCGCAAUCAGGGCGACCCCAACUGGCUGCCCAAGCAGUCUCUCGAGCAGCUGCUCGACGCCCCCUGCAAGAUACAUUCGGGGGCGGCGCCGUCUACCCAUACCCUUGGAUAGUGCAGCGUUGCACGCUGGCUGUCGCAAGGGGAGGGCCUGCCGGCUCCUCCGGGUGCGCAGGCGGCGCCCCGUGCACCGGCUCCCCAUCACGCUCCUCUUCCGCCGCCGCCGCCUCGCGACGACGGCCCACACCAUGACGACUACCCGCAUCAAGAUAGAGCGUUCGUCAUCUUCACCAGUGAAGGCGACGACAAGCACAACCUGCGCCAAAGGUGGCACGAGGUAAACGCCACUGUCCCCCCGGUUCCCCAGUACAUGCAUUCGUCUAACAAACCAAUUACAUGGAGCCGGGUGGACCACCCUGCCGUGAUGCCCAACCCGGGGUCAUACGCACUCGUCGUCGACCCCACCUUCGCCUCGAAGAGGCUCACCUGCUGAUUCUCCCGGGUGCUGGUCGACGGUGGCAGCAGCAUCAACAUCCUCUACCUCGACACUCUCCGCAAGCUUGGGCUCAAGGAGACGGACGUCCUUCCAACCAGCACUGUCUUCCAUGGCAUCGUGCAUGGGCGGUCGUGCUCGCCCAUCGGCAAGAUCCAGCUGGACGUCCUCUUCAGCGACAAGGCCCACUUCCGUCGCGAGUUCAUAUGGUUCGAGGUGGUGGACCUCAGCAGCCCGUAUCACGCGCUGCUGGGGAGACCGGCUCUGGCCAAAUUCAUGGCUAUCCCGCACUACGCCUACCUGAAAAUGAAGAUGUCGGGUCCCAAGGGCAUCAUCGCUGUUGUUGGCGACUACAAGAAGUCGCUCGAGUGUGCCCAAGAUAGCAGCCGCCUCGCCGACGCCUUGGUGAUUGCCGAGGAGAAGCGGUAGAUUGACCGGCUCGUGGCCCAGGCUACCGAGCAGCCGGCGAUUCCUUCUCCUCUGUCCCAAUCGGCCGGCGAGGGCUCUUUCAAGCCGGCUAAAGAGACCAAGCAGGUCCCACUCUACCCUGCCAACCCAAAGCAGUGCAUCACCAUCGGGGCUGGCCUCAGCCCCAAAUAGAAAGGCGAGCUCGUCGACUUCCUCCGUGAGAAUCGGGACAUCUUUGCAUGGUCCCUCAAGGACAUGCUGGGUGUUCCGAGGAAGUACGCCGAGCAAAAACUUCACGUGCGACCGGAUGCAAAUCCGGUGAAACAACCUUUGCGCCGCUUCGCCGAGGGGAAGCGGCGCACAAUCGGAGAAGAGAUCACCCGGCUCCUUGCAGCUGGCUUCAUCAUGGAGGUUUUACACCCGGACUGGCUGGCGAACCCAGUCGUGGUGCUGAAGAAGAACAACACAUGGCGAAUGUGCAUCGACUACACUAGCCUGAAUAAGGCCUGUCCGAAAGACCCUUUCGCGUUGCCUAGGAUAGAUCAAGUAAUCGACUCCACUGCAGGCUGUGAACUACUGUCAUUUCUUGAUGCUUAUUCAGGCUACCAUCAAAUCAAGGUGGAUCCAGCUAAUUGCCAGAUGACCUCCUUCAUCACGCCCUUCGGGGCCUACUGCUACACCAACAUGAUGUUCGGUCUGAAGAACGCAGGUGCGACGUUCCAACGCUGCAUGCAACAGUGCCUACUUCCACAGAUUGGCAGAAACAUCCACGUCUAUGUAAAUGACAUCGUCGUCAAGACGAAGCAGCACUUCAGCCUCCUCGACGACCUGCGAGAGACAUUUGCCAAUCUGCGCGAAUACAAGAUCCGGCUCAAUCCUGAGAAGUGCGUCUUCGGGUCCCAGGCGGCAAACUCUUGGGGUUCUUCGUAUCCGCCCGCGACAUCGAAGCGAACCCUGAGAAGAUCAGCACCAUCGAGCGGAUGGUGCGGUCGGCUCGGAUGCUCGAUGUCCAGAAGUUUGCCGGCUUCUUGGCAUCCCUCAGCCGGUUCGUCAGCCGGCUUGGCGAGAAGGCCCUUCCACUCUACCAGCUCAUGACGAAGACGGCGAAGUUCGAGUGGAACGACCAGGCGGACGAAGCCUUCCGCGACCUCAAGCGGGUAAUCUCGAGCCUGCCAAUCUUGGCAGCCCCAUGUGAAAGGGAAACCAUACUCAUAUAUAUCGCGGCGACCACUCGCGUGGUCAGCGUAGUGUUGGUAGUUCAGCAUAAAGAGGAAGGCAAGGCCCUGCCAGUACAGCGCCAUGUCUACUACCUUAGCGAGGUCUUGUCCGCCUCUAAGCAGAACUACCCUCAUUAUCAGAAAAUGUGUUAUGGUGUUUACCUUGCUGCAAAGAAAUUAAAAUAAUACUUCCAAGAGCAUGCCAUCACUGUGGUGAGCACGGCUCCACUAUCAGAGAUCAUGGGCAACCGUGAUGCCACGGGCAGAAUUGCCAAAUGGUCCAUCGCCAUGGCGGACCAGGACAUUCAGUACGAGCCUCGCACCGUCUCCAGACUCCACGCAUUGGCGGAUGCACUUCGACGGCUCGAAGAUGCGGACGGGACUGGGAGCCGGCAUCAUCUUGACGUCUCCGAAAGGGGACCAGCUUAAGUACGCUCUCCAGAUCCACUUCGCCGCCUCCAACAACGUCGCCGAGUACGAAGCACUGGCCCACGGCCACCGGCUUGCCAAGGAGAUUGGCAUCCGGCGGCUCAUAUGCUUCGGCGAUUCGGACUUGGUGGUGCAGCAGGUCUCUGGCGAGUGGGACGCCAGGGACGCCAACAUGGCAAGCUACCGCUUCCUCAUCCAGCAGCUCAACGGCCCCUUCGAGGGUUGUGAGUUCCACCAUGUUCCCAGGGCAGACAAUGAGGUGGCAGAUACGCUAGCAAAGAUCGGCUCCACAAGGGAGGCCAUCCCGGCCGUCGUCUCCCUCGAGCAACUCCACAAGCCGUCUAUCAAGCCGUCUCUGGAGUCGGCAUCAAUCUUCGUACCAGCCGACUCCAUGAUACAAGCGCCGCCGGCUCCGCCAGUUAUGUCGGCUGCGGACCCCAUGCCGGUUGCACUGACGGCUCCGACUCCAAAUGCGGCACCGACUAAGUCUAUGGUGCAAGCGCCGUCGGCUCCACCAACUACGUAGGCUUCAGAUCCUAAUCCGGCUCCAUUGGUCCACCCGACUCCAACAACGACAACCCCGGCUCUGCCCGGGUUCGAAUCCUCCCAGUGGGUGGACGUCAUGGAGAUAGACGAGGAGCCGGCUGCAGCAAUAGCACCAAAGACGCCAUCAAGCUCGGGGGCUGCAGAAGCCCCCAACAGUCAAGACGAAGCGGAGGCGACCCUUGUGUCGGCUCCAUUAUGGGCUCAGGCCAUUCUGGCCUUCCUUCUUCGCGGCGAACUUCCUCAAAAUGAGGCGGAGGCGAGACAGACCCAGCGCAGGUCCACCGCGUACGCCAUCAACAAUCGCGAGCUGGUGCGACGCAACACGACCGACGUGUUCCAACGUUGCGUCGAAUCAGAAAAAGGGCAGGAGAUCCUUAGAGACAUCCACCAGGGGGAGUGUGGGCAUCAUGCCGCCUCCAGAACCCUGGUGGCCAAAGCAUUCCGCCAUGGAUUCUACUGGCCCACGACCCUCGAGGAGGCUGUGGAUCUGGUGGACAAAUGUGAAGGCUGCCAACGCUUCAGUGCACAGAGCCAUAUGCCGCCUUCAACACUGAAAACCAUCCCCUUAUCUUGGCCAUUCGCCGUCUGGGGACUGGACAUGGUUGGGCCCUUCAAGAGGGCUCGCGGAGGGAUGACACAUCUUUUGGUAGCCGUCGACAAGUUCACCAAGUGGAUCGAAGCCAGGCCUAUCAAGAAGCUUGACGGCCCCACUCCUGUCAGGUUUAUCUCGGACAUCUCUGUCCGAUAUGGCGUUCCCCACAACAUCAUCACCGACAACGGCACCAACUUCGCCAAGGGCGCCCUGGCGUUCUACUAUUCCAAGGUAGGCAUCCGGCUCGACCUGGCCUCGAUGGCACACCCCCAGUCAAACGGCCAAGGGGAGAGGCCCAACGGCCUGAUCCUAGCCGGCAUCAAGCCAAGGCUGGUGGCACCACUGGUCAGGUCAGCCGGUUGCUGGAUCGAAGAACUGCCGGCUGUGCUAUGGAACCUCCGCACCACGCCCAACCGGUCGACCGGCUUCACUCCAUUCUUCCUGGUAUACGGGUCUAAGGCUAUCAUCCCCACGGAUAUCGAAUUCGACUCGCCUUGGGUCACCCUAUACACAGAAACGGAGGCGAAGGAGGCCAGAGAGGACGGUGUGGAUCUCCUCGAGGAAGCAAGGGACUUGGCUUUGAGCCGGACGGACAUGUACCAACAGAAGCUGAGAUACUACCAAAACAAAAGGAUCAGGCCUCUCUCUUUCAGAGAGGGAGACUUGGUCCUCAGAAGAAUCCAGCGCACUGUCGGCCGGCACAAGCUCUCACCCCCUUGGGAGGGACCCUUCAUCAUCAGUAGGGCGUUACACAACAACGCUUACUACCUGAUUGAUGCCUAGAAGCCAAGGAAGCGCAAGAGGGACGACUCUGGCCAAGAAACGGAGCGCCCAUGGUACGCGGCGUUGCUUCGCCCGUUCUAUUGCUAAAAGGCAGAAGACAAGAAAAGGAAAGAGCAUGCACAUGUAUCUUCCUCCCUCUUCAGGGAACAAAGAAGGCAAUAAAAAGGACAUGCUCCAUGUUUCUUUUUGUCAAGAGUUCUCACUCACGUGUACGGGCUACACAACGUACCACCUCUUGCUGGCUUGCUCAAGCUCGGAGGCUACGCGGCGCGGCCCCUUGCUAGCUUUAAACAAGCUCGGGGGCUCGCCAGCUGCCUGAACGGUCAAACCCUUAUAACGGACACAUAGUGUAUCGGCUAACCCCUGGUCCGUCGCUUGAACCUGCGGGCUGACUCUGGUCGCUCGGUUCGCGAUAUGACGCCAGGUAAGGUCAAAUACAUGCAAAGUCCGGCUAUACUUGGGACGUCCGGCUCGGGCCGGCUCGAUCGUAUAUACGAUCUCCUUCAAGACUCAAGACGGCCUCUGAUUGCCGAGACUCAAGACGGCCUCUGACUCCCGAGAACCACAAAUAUGGUGAAAAAAGCAGGCUCCAUGCUUUCUCUUGCUAAAAGAGUUUUCACUCAGUGUACGGGCUACACCGCGUACCACCUCUUGCUGGCUUGCUCAAGCUCGGAGGCUACGCAACGCGGCCCCUUGCUAGCUUUAAACAAGCUCGGGGGCUCGCCAGCCGCUCGGACAGUCAAUCCUUGUAGUCGGGCACAUAGUGUACCGGCUGAUUCCCGGUCCAUCGCUUGAACCUGCGGGCAGGCUCCGGUCGCUCGGUUCGCGAUGUGACGCCGGGUCAGGUCGAAUACAUGCACAGUCCGGCUAUACUAGUGACGACCGGCUCGAGUUGGUUCAUUCAAGUCGGCCUCUGAUUGGCUUAUGUCUUGUUCUUUAUGUCUUGAUGGCUUCGGAUAAGAGAAGUCAACCAGGAAUCAAAAGACGGGAUCAUAAGACAACACGCUUGGUGACGAAUAUAAUGCUGAAUAUAUACAUUCAUAAAAAGCAUUGGCCCACGGCCCACGUUCGUUACAUCCCUCCGGGGGUAGAACCAAAAACACAAAAGGACACGAGUAACGGGAAAGCGGCCUCAGUGGUCGUCUCGGCUGCUGCUCCUGAUGUGGUAACAUCGCCGCCUCAGGCUUCUCCCGAGGUGGAUGCGUCGUCUCCCUCAUUGCGGCCCCCGGCUCCGCUGAUCCCGGAGUCGGCAUACGCCCCACCGCUGGAGGCGGCUGCAGAUUCCGCAGCCCGGGCCACCUUGUCGGAGCAGCCAUCGGCGUCGUAGGGCUGAAGGCCGUGCAGAUCCUCAGCGAUCACACCGCCGUCUUCACCCAGCUCCAAGACGAAGUCGUCCCAGGCUGCGUACUCAGCCACGACGUUGGCCCUCACCGGGAGCUCCUCCUCCAGGCCUUGCAACUCCGCCUCUGAGCCAUCGCGCUGGGCAGCCAGCUUGCCCAAGUUCAGGUUGCGAUACCAUGACUUGGCCAAGCGCAGGUCCAUAUAAGCCCCAGACCACGCUGCGGAGGCUCGCCAGGCGUCCAGGCGCUCUUCACCCGCCGCGAGCCAACGGGCAAGACGGCUUAUGGUCAUCGGCUCCACGCCCACCUGCCACAGGGCCGUCACCAUCGACGAACCCGCAACUUGGAGCUGAGUCACAGACUCGCCCAGGACGUGUAAGCGGGCCCGAAGCCCCACACCAAUCUCCUCGAUGCUCCAGCCGGAGGUAGUAUCUACCACCUGCCCGGCCGCGCGGCGCUCCUCGCGGCACACCUCAACGGCGGUGUCGGCUGCGACCUGGGUCUCGGAGAAGAGAUCUGGGGUAAAGACAACCAGGACGUAAGAACACAGCAAGAGGAGGAGACAGCCAAAAAAACCAAACGCAAAACAAGGAAAGGAAACCUACGCUGGUAGGCACCGUCGGUCUCAUGAAAGACCUCGAGGACCUCACGCUCCCGCACCUCACUCGCAUGAGUGAGGCGGGCGAUUUCCUCCUGGAGGGUCGCGGCGGACUCCAGCGCCUUACCCAGAUGCACUUGCUUCUGGGUAAGGGCUUCAUCCUUCGCCCUCAACGCGGCGUCCUUGAGGUUCGCCUCCUCAAGAUGGAGCGACGCGAGGCGGUCCAUGUCAGGAGAGUAAGAGGCCUCCUUCUCCUGCAGCAUGGCCCGCAGCCGCUCCAGCUCGACCCGACUGGCCGCCUCGAGCUCCUUCUUCUCCGGCUGAAGAAGGUCCAGCUGCUCUUGGAGCUGGCCGCCGGCUUCGCGAAGGGCAUCACGCUCCGCGGCGGCCUCGCCUAGCCGGACUUCAAGCUCGGCGAUCCGGCGAUCAGCCCCCAGGUGCUGGUCCCGAAGCUCGUUGUACGCCUGUACCUGAGCAUCGUAUAGCGCCUGUCAAAGGGGAGAGAAAGGGAACAUGAUUACGAUUCGAGUGGGUUAAAAGGAUAACCAGCCCGAUUCUCGGGGGCUACACCCAGUGGGUGCGCUUGCGCGCCCCCACUGAAGAAAAAUAUGCAGAAGAAAAGGCCUCCAAGAGAUUCAAACCGGUUGGCAAUCGACCCGCCCGAUUCUCGGGGGCUACACCCAGUGGGUGCGCUGUCGCGCCCCCACUGACGUCAAGAGAAGAGAAAAAAGUGCAAAGAAAAACCAAAAAAGGCAAGGCCUACCUGGGUACAGGCUUCCAGGUGCUCCAUGUCGCCGCAUACCACGCGGGCCGCCUGCUCCACCUUCGACCGGCCGCUGCCAAACAGAGUCACCAGCUCCGGCAUGCCGGAAAGAACGGUGCCGGCGGGCAUUCGCAGGCGGGCCGCAUUCGCCGCCCACCAUGACUUCAUGGGCCGGCUCGCAGGCCGGCCCCCUGCCCUUGGCGCGACAGGGCCCUGCUGGGGGACGACGAUGGCGCCGGCUCCUGGUGCCGGCUCAACGGCCGGCUCGGGCGCCGCCCCAGCCGGCGCUACCUCCUCCACACGAGGCGGAUGAGCCACGUCCGACGCAUCCAUGGUUGCCCCUGGGGCGUCAGGGGCUGCGUUUGGCGCGGCCAGAUCCAGCACCGGCUCCAGGUCCACCUGCUCUGGGGAGAAACCGGGAUCGUCUCCAGGUCCACCUGCUCCGGCGCUGCUGGCUCAGGCGGCUGGGUCCCUUCAGUCCUCGGGGUCGGCCUCGAAGCGGCCUCGCUAGCUGCCUCCUCCACACGAGCGUGUGCGGAUGGGUCCUGUCUAGCCUUCGCACGCUUCUCCGCCUGCCUCUCGACCCGGCUGGGGCAAGUCUGAUCCACGGCAGCCUUCCCCACAGCUGUGUGCCACCGGCGCUUGGACUCUAUCUCCAGCUCCCUAUCGGCAGCAUCAGCUGUUGCCCAGCCGGCCCGCUCGGCCGCGGAGGCGGUGUCUUCAUCCGCAUCCUCCGCCUCCCUGUCAAGCCAAGCUUCUCAGGAACAAAGUUCAUCUCAAGAUAUGGAAGGGAGAAGAGGAGGAAACCAUACCCGACAACUACCGGGACCUGCCUCCGGCAACCGCCACGGCGCCUCUUGGUGCCGCCUGCUCGCUGCCCGGCUAGGGGACCCGGCGCCGGUCGCUUAGAGGCCGGCCGGGAAGUUGUGUCACCAUUGCCCUUCUUCCCGGCUGCCUCGUCAGCAGCGGUUGCUCCGCCACCUUGACACCGGUCGCGCGACGGUAGUGGGCCGGUGACCUCCUCCACCUCGUCGGAGUCUCCCUCGAACGCUGCAUCAGAGAAGAAUGAGGCUUCCUCAUCGUCGUCCGUCCAGUCUGCCACGGCGUGCCGCGGGUACUCACUAGACGGCUCGGUCCCUUCUGACUCCAGGGAAUCUCCCGAGCUGGCGGAGGAGUCUGAGCGGGGCUCCAUCGCAUCCUCGUCCUCCAUCUCGGAGGCGCCGUGCGCCUCCACAUCAGGAGCAGGCGGACGGAGGGACCCCUGCAUGGUUUGGAACAUCUACUAGAAAGGAAUUCAAGUAGGCUCAGCAAACGCCACCGGCUUCAGAACAAAACGACAGAAAAGAAGGGAGAAAGGCUACCACCAGAGGCGGAUGAGACCGGUUGAACAGGGCCAUCCCCAUGUCCAUUCCCCGCCCUCAUCCAUGCGGGUGGUGGAGAUCAGGUUCACCCUUCGCGCCACAGCACCCGGGGUGAACCUAUUGAUGGACAGCCGGCAUGGAUCAAGCCGGCCGCUCAUCUGGCAGACCAGAUGCGGCCGCCUUUGCAGAGGCAGAAUCCGGCGGACCACCAUGGUGGCAAGAAGGUCGCGGCCGAGGAGGCCGCUCUCCCUCAAGACAUCAAGGUAGGCGCGAAUAGGCGCCACCUCAGGAUGCGGCUUGGGAGUCUUCGCGUCCCAAUUUUUCCACGUCGGAGGGGCGAUGGUGAACGGGGGCAUGUUGAGAGCGUCCUGGGACGGGUCGGUGCUCCUCACGUAGAAGAACCCCUUCUGCCAAUGCUUGACGGAGUCUUGCAAAGGCAUCUGGGGAAAGCCGAACUUCGGGCGGUGAUGCACCAACGCAGCCCCGCACGGCGUCAUGGGGUGCGGCCCCUUGAGCUUCUCCACCUCAGAUUUUUCCAUGUCGAUGGAUUGCUGCUUAAAAAAGAACAGGUUGCGCCACAGAUCGACGCGAGACUCGAUUCCCACGAAGCCCUUGCACAGGACCACGAAGGCGGCCAGCUGCAGUAUGGCGUUCGGCGCCAAAUGAUGCGGUUGCAGGCCGAAGAACUGGAGCCACUCGGUGAAGAAUGAGCUAGCCAGGAGCCCGAAACCCCGGUAGAAGUGCUCGGCGAAGACCACAACCUCUCCCACGAGAGGCGCGGGAGAGACCUCGGAGCCAGGAAGGCGCACCGACACUUGGGAGACCGGGGGCAGCAGACGAUGAUGAUGGAGCGCAUCAAUGAGCUCCUCGUCGACAUCGCUGCCCAGCCAGGCCCCGUGCAAGGACGCCUGCUGCGCUGUCGACUUCCUCCAUGAAGAUCUACCGGCCAUGGCUGCGGGUGGCGAGAGCUCGGAGCGGUCGGCGGAGGUCUCGGCGGCGAAGAAGAAGGAGACAAAGGGCGCGAGCUCUUCCUCUUAGGACGCAAGGAGGAAGAAAGCAUGGAGCAGGGCAAGAAGAGGGGGCGAAUGGCCUCCUUGAAGCCCUCGCGUCCCAUUUAAACGCCACGAAGCGUCGUGGGGAGGGGAUCCAGUGCGCGCCGGCCCCAUUCAUUCCGUGUAUUACGGGCGGUAACGCCCCCAAAGCCCAACCAUCGCGGAGUAAAUCCGCAGAGGAUCUCCCGUGCGGAGGCCGAGGGGGCAUCGUGGCGGGACCCAGGGCCCAGGCCCGGUCCCGUCAGCAGUAAUUGCCAUCAUUACGCGCCUGGCACGUGGCGCUCUCCGCGCCAGUUACGACUAGACCGAAGCAUCACUUCGAAGCUACCCGGCUCCAAAGCCGGUGUCCUGUUGGGGAACGUCGCAUGGGAAACAAAAAAUUUCCUACGCGCACGAAGACCUAUCAUGGUGAUGUCCAUCUACGAGAGGGGAUGAGUGAUCUACGUACCCUUGUAGAUUGUACUGCAGAAGUGUUAGUGAACGCGGUUGAUGUAGUGGAACGUCGUCACGUCCCUCGAUCCGCCCCGCGAACUAUCCCGCGAACAGUCCCACGAUCUAGUGCCGAACGGACGGCACCUCCGCGUUCAGCACACGUACAGCUCGACGAUGAUCUCGGCCUUCUUGAUCCAGCAAGAGAGACGAAGAGGUAGAAGAGUUCUCCGGCAGCGUGACGGUGCUCCGGAGGUUGGUGAUGAUCUUGUCUCAGUAGGGCUCCGCCCGAGCUCCGCAGAAACUCGAUCUAGAUGUGAAACCGUGGAGAUAUGUGGUCGGGCUGCCGUGGCAAAGUUGUGUCAAAUCAGCCCUAAAACCCCACUAUAUAUAGGAGGAGGAGGGGGGAGACUUGCCUUGGGGUCCAAGGACUCCCAAGGGGGUCGGCCGAGCCAAGGGGGAAGGCCUACCCUUCCCAAACCGAAUUCUACUUGGUUUGGAAGGUGGAGUCCUUCUUCCCUUUCCCACCUCCUUCUUUUUUUUCCUUUCCUCUUUGAUUUUCUUCCCAAUGCGCAUAUGGCCUUCUUGGGCUGUCCCACCAGCCCACUAAGGGCUGGUGCGCCACCCCCAAGGCCUAUGGGCUUCCCCGGGGUGGGUUGACCCCCCCCCCGGUGAACUCCCGGAACCCAUUCGUCAUUCCCGGUACAUUCCCGGUAAUUCCGAAAACCUUCCGGUAAUCAAAUGAGGUCAUCCUAUAUAUCAGUCUUUGUUUCCGGACCAUUCCGGAAACCCUCGUGACGUCCGUGAUCUCAUCCGGGACUCCGAACAACAUUCGGUAACCAACCUUAUAACUCAAAUACGCAUAAAAUAACGUCAAACCUUAAGUGUGCAGACCCUACGGGUUCGAGAACUAUGUAGACAUGACCCGAGAGACUCCUCGGUCAAUAUCCAAUAGUGGGACCUGGAUGCCCAUAUUGGAUCCUACAUAUUCUAUGAAGUUCUUAUCGUUUGAACCUCAGUGUCAAGGAUUCAUAUAAUCCCGUAUGUCAUUCCCUUUGUCCUUCGGUAUGUUACUUGCCCGAGAUUCGAUCGUCAGUAUCCGUAUACCUAUUUCAAUCUCGUUUACCGGCAAGUCUCUUUACUCGUUCCGUAAUACAAGAUCCCGCAACUUACAUUAAGUCACAUUGCUUGCAAGGCUUGUGUGUGAUGUUGUAUUAUCGAGUGGGCCCCGAGAUACCUCUCUGUCACACGGAGUGACAAAUCCCAGUCUCGAUCCAUACUAACUCAACGAACACCUUCGGAGAUACCUGUAGAGCAUCUUUAUAGUCACCCAGUUACGUUGCGACGUUUGAUACACACGAAGCAUUCCUCCGGUGUCCGUGAGUUAUAUGAUCUCAUGGUCAUAGGAAGAAAUACUUGACACGCAGAAAACAGUAGCAACAAAAUGACACGAUCAACAUGCUACGUCUAUUAGUUUGGGUCUAGUCCAUCACAUGAUUCUCCUAAUGAUGUGAUCCCGUUAUCAAGUGAAAACACUUGCCUAUGGUUAGGAAACCUUGACCAUCUUUGAUCAACGAGCUAGUCAACUAGAGGCUUACUAGGGACAGUGUUUUGUCUAUAUAUCCACACAUGCACUGUGUUUCCAAUCAAUACAAUUAUAGCAUGGAUAAUAAACGAUUAUCAUGAACUAAGAAAUAUAAUAAUAACUAAUUUAUUAUUGCCUCUACGGCAUAUUUCCAACAGUCUCCCACUUGCACUAGAGUCAAUAAUCUAGUUCACAUCACCAUGUGAUUCCAACGAAUCCAACACCCAUAUAGUUAUGGGGUCUGAUCACGUCUUUGCUCGUGAGAGAGGUUUUAGUCAACGGUUCUGAAACUGUCAGAUCCGUGCGUUCUUUACAAAUCUUUAUGUCAUCUUAUAGAUGCUGCUACUACGUGCUAUUCGGAAAUGCUCCAAAUAUCUACUCUACUAUACGAAUCCGUUUCACUACACAUAGUUAUUCGGAUUAGUGUCAAAGCUUGCAUCGACGUAACCCUUUACGACGAACUCUUUAACCACCUCCAUAAUCGAGAAAAAUUCCUUAGUCCAUUAGUUACUAAGGAUAAAUUUUGACCGCUGCUAGUGAUUCAAUCAUGGAUCACUCUCUGUACCUCUCAACAGACUUUGAGUCAAGGCACACAUCAGGUGCGGUACACAGCAUGGCAUACUUUAGAUUCUACGGCUAAGGCAUAGAAGACGACCUUCGUCUAUUCUCUUUAUUCUGCCGUGGUUGGGUUUUGAGUCUUACUCAAAUUCACACCUUACAAUGCAACUAAGAACUCCUUAUUUGCUGAUCUAUUUUGAACUCCUUCAAACACUUGUCAAGGCAUGCAUCUUGUUGAAACUUCCAUUAAGCGCUUUCAAUCUAUCUCCAUAGAUCUUUGAUGUUCAACGUUCAAGUAGCUCAAUCCAGGUAUUCCUUUGAAAACUCCUUUCAAACAACCUUGUAUGCUUUACAGAAAUUCUACAUUACUUCUGAUCCACAAUAUGUCAACCACAUAUACUUAUUGUAAAUUCUAUAGUGCUCCCACUCACUUCUUUGGAAAUACAAGUUUCUCAUAAACCUUGUACAAACCCAAAAUCUUUGAUCAGCUCAUCAAAGUGUAUAUUCCAACUCCGAGAUGCUUGCACCAGUCCAUUGAAGGAUCACUGGAGCUUGCAUACUUGCUAGUAUCUUUAGGAUCGACAAAACCUCCUGGUUGUAUCACAUACAAUGUUUGCUCAAGGAAACCGUCGAGGAAACAAUGUUUUGACAUCCUACAUGCAAUAUUUCAUAAAUAAUGCAGCAACUACUAACAUAAUUCUAACAGACUUCUAGCAUCGCUACGAGUGAGAAAGUCUCAUCAUAGUCAAAUGUUUGAUCUUGUCGGAAACAUCUUUGCGACAAGUCGAGCUUUUCAUAAUAGUGACUUAUCACCAUCAUCGUCUGUCUUCCUUUUAAAGAUCCAUCUUUACUCAAUAGUCCUCUGACCAUCAAGUAGUUCUUCCAAAGUCUACACUUUGUUUUCAUACAUGGAUCCUCUCUCGGAUUUCAUGGCUUUCAGCCAUUUGUCGGAAUCCGGGCCCACCAUUUCUUUCUUCAUAACUCGUAAGUUCAUUGUUGCUCAACAACAUGACCUCCAAGACAGGGUUACCGUACCACUCUGCAGUAGUACGCGACCUUGUCAACCUACGAGGCUUGUAGUAACUUGAACCGAUGCUCGAUGAUCACCAUCAUCAGCUUCCACUUCAAUUGGUGUAGGCGCCACAGGAACAACUUCCUGCGCCCUACUACACACUGGUUGAAGUGAUGGUUCAAUAACCUCAUCAAGUUCUACUACCCUCUCACUCAAUUCUUUCAAGAGAAACCUUUCCUCGAGAAAGGAUCCGUUUCUAGAAACAAACACUUUGCUUUCGGAUCUGAGAUAGGAGAUGUACCCAACUGUUUUGGAUAUCCUAUGAAGAUGCAUUUAUCCGCUUUGGGUUCGAGCUUAUCAGACUGAAACAUUUUCACAUAAGUGUCGAAGCCCCAAACUUUCAAGAAACGACAGUUUAGAUUUCUGUAAACCUCAGUCUAUACUGUGUCAUCUCAACGGAAAUAUGCGGUGCCCUAUUUAAAGUGAAUGCAGUUGUCUCUAAUGCAUAACCCAUAAACGAUAGUGGUAAUUCGAUAAGAGACAUCACAGCAUGCACCAUACCAAAUAGUGUGUUUCUAUGACGUUCAGACACAUCAUCACACUAUGAUGUUCUAGGUGGCAUAAACUGUGAAACAAUUUCCACAUUGUCUUAACUGCGUACCAAAACUCGUAACUCAGAUAUUCAUUUCUAUGAUCAUAUCGUAGACAGUUUAUCCUCUUGUUACGACGAACUUCACUCCGAAACAGAAUUGAACUUUUCAAUAUUUCAGACUUGUGACUCAUUAAGUAAAUAUUCUAGUAUCUACUCAAAUCGUCAUUGAAGUAAGAACAUAAUGAUAUCCACUGCGUGCCUCAGCACCCAUUGGACUGCAUACAUCAAAAUGUAUCACUUCCAACAAGUUACUAUCUUAUUUCAUCUCAAUGAAAACAAUGCCUUGCUCAUGUGGUAUGAUUUGCAUGUCACUAGUGAUUUGAAAUCAGGUGAGUACAAAGAUCCAUCAGCAUGGAGCCUCUUCAUGCAAUUUAUACCAACAUGACUCAAGCGGCAGUGCCACAAGUAAGUGGUACUAUCAUCAUUAACUCGUAUCUUUUGGUACCAAUAUCAUGAACAUGUGUAACACUACGAUCGAGAUUCAAUAAACCAUUGAAGGUGAUUAUUCAAAAAAAUAGAGUAACCAUUAUUCUCUUUAAAUGAAUAAUCGUAUUGCAAUAAACACGAUCCAAUCAUGUUCAUGCUUAACGCAAGCACCAAAUAACAAUUAUUUAGGUUUAACACCAAUCCCGAUGGUAGAGGGAGCGUGCGACGUUUUGAUCAUAUCAACCUUGGAAACACUUCCAACACGUAUCGUCACCUCGCCUUUAGCUAGUCUCCAUUUAUGCCGUAGCUUUCAUUUCGUGUUACUAAUCACUUAGCAACCGAACCGGUAUCCAAUACCCUCAUGCUACUAGGAGUACUAGUAAAGUACACAUCAACAUCAUGUAUAUCAAAUAUACUUCUCUCGACUUUUGCCAGCCUUCUUAUCUACCAAGUAUCUAGAGUUGCUCCGCCUCAGUUACUGUUCCCCUCAUUACAGAAGCACUUAGUCUCGGGUUUGGGUUUAAUCUUGGGUCUCUUCAUUAGUGCAGCAAAGGUUUUGCCGUUUCACGAAGUAUCCCUUCUAGCCCUUGCCUUUCUUGAAACUUAGUGGUUUUACUAACCAUCAACUAUUGAUGCUCCUUCUUGAUUUCCACUUUCGCAGUGUCAAACAUCGCGAACGCUCAAGGAUCAUUGUAUCUAUCCUUGAUAUGUUAUAGUUCAUCACGAAGCUCUCACAGCUUGGUUGCAGUGACUUUGGAGAACCAUCACUAUCUCAUCUGGAAGAUUAACUCCGACUUGAUUCAAGCGAUUGUCGUACUCAGACAAUCUGAGCACACGCUCAACGAUUGAGCUUUUCUCCUUUAAUUUGUGGACAAAGAAUCUUGUCGGAGGUCUUGUACCUCUUAACAAGGGCACAAGCAUGAAAUCACAAUUUCAUCUCUUUAGAACAUCACUUAUGUUCCGCGACGUUUUAAAACGUUUUCGGCGCCUUGCUUCUAAGCCAUUAAAUAUUUUGCACUGAACUAUCGUGUAGUCAUCAGAAACGUGUAUUUCAGAUGUUCACAGCAUCCACAGACGACGCUUGAGGUGCAGCACACCGAGUGGUGCAUAAAAUACAUAAGCCUUCUGCGCAGCAACGAGGACAAUCCUCGGUUUUACAAACUUAGUCUGCAAAGUUUGCUACUAUCAACUUUCAACUAAAUUUUCUCUAGGAACAUAUAAAAACAGUAGAGCUAUAGCGCAAGCUACAUUGUAAUUCGCAAAGACCAUUAGACUAUGUUCAUGACAAUUAGUUCAAUUAAUCAUAUUACUUAAGAACUCCCACUCAAAAAGUACAUCUCUCUAGUCAUUUGAGUGGUACCUGAUCCAAAUCCACUAUCUCAAGUCCGAUCAUCACGUGAGUCGAGAAUAGUUUCAUUGGUAAGCAUCUCUAUGCUAAUCAUAUCAACUAUACGAUUCAUGCUCGACCUUUCGGUCUCAUGUGUUCCGAGGCCAUGUCUACACAUGCUAGGCUCGUCAAGCUUAACCCGAGUGUUCCGCGUGUGCAACUGUUUUGCACCCGUUGUAUGUGAACGUUGAGUCUAUCACACCCGAUCAUCACGUGGUGUCUCGAAACGAAGAACUGUCGCAACGGUGCACAGUCGGGGAGAACACAAUUUCGUCUUGAAAUUUUAGUGAGAGAUCACCUCAUAAUGCUACCGUCGUUCUAAGCAAAAUAAGGUGCAUAAAAGGAUUAACAUCACAUGCAAUUCAUAAGUGACAUGAUAUGGCCAUCAUCAUGUGCUUCUUGAUCUCCAUCACCAAAGCACCGGCACGAUCUUCUUGUCACCGGCGUCACACCAUGAUCUCCAUCAUCAUGAUCUCCAUCAACGUGUCGCCAUCGGGGUUGUCGUGCUACUCAUGGUAUUACUACUAAAGCUACAUCCUAGCAAAAUAGUAAACGCAUCUGCAAGCACAAACGUUAGUUUAAAGACAACCCUAUGGCUCCUGCCGGUUGCCGUACCAUCGACGUGCAAGUCGAUAUUAACUAUUACAACAUGAUCAUCUCAUACAUCCAAUAUAUCACAUCACAUCGUUGGCCAUAUCACAUCACAAGCAUACCCUGCAAAAACAAGUUAGACGUCCUGUAAUUUUGUUGUUGCAUGUUUUACGUGGUGACCAUGGGUAUCUAGUAGGAUCGCAUCUUACUUACGCAAACACCACAACGGAGAUAUAUGAGUUGCUAUUUAACCUCAUCCAAGGACCUCCACGGUCAAUUCCGAUUCAACUAAAGUUGGAGAAACUGACACCCGCGAGUCAUCUUUGAGCAACGGAGUUACUCGUAGCGAUGAAACCAGUCUCUCGUAAGCGUACGAGUAAUGUCGGUCCGAGCCGCUUCGAUCCAACAAUGCCGCGGAAUCAAGAAAAGACUAAGGAGGGCAGCAAAACGCACAUCACCGCCCACAAAAACUUUUGUGUUCUACUUGAGAAGACAUCUACGCAUGAACCCAGCUCAUGAUGCCACUGUUGGGGAACGUCGCAUGGGAAACAAAAAUUUUCCUACGCGCACGAAGACCUAUCAUGGUGAUGUCCAUCUACGAGAGGGGAUGAGUGAUCUACGUACCCUUGUAGAUCGUACAGCAGAAGCGUUAGUGAACGCGGUUGAUGUAGUGGAACGUCUGUUGGAAAUAUGCCCUAGAGGCAAUAAUAAAUUAGUUAUUAUUAUAUUUCUUUGUUCAUGAUAAUCGUUUAUUAUCCAUGCUAUAAUUGUAUUGAUUGGAAACACAAUACUUGUGUGGAUACAUAGACAAAACACUGUCCCUAGUAAGCCUCUAGUUGACUAGCUCGUUGAUCAAAGAUGGUCAAGGUUUCCUGGCCAUAGGCAAGUGUUGUCACUUGAUAACGGGAUCACAUCAUUAGGAGAAUCAUGUGAUGGACUAGACCCAAACUAAUAGACGUAGCAUGUUGAUCGUGUCAUUUUGUUGCUACUGUUUUCUACGUGCCAAGUAUUUAUUCCUAUGACCAUGAGAUCAUAUAACUCACUAACACCGGAGGAAUGCUUUGUGUGUAUCAAACGUCGCAACGUAACUGGGUGACUAUAAAGAUGCUCUACAGGUAUCUCCGAAGGUGUUAGUUGAGUUAGUAUGGAUCAAGACUGGGAUUUGUCACUCCGUGUGACGGAGAGGUAUCUAUGGGCCCACUCGGUAAUACAACAUCACACACAAGCCUUGCAAGCAAUGUAACUUAGUGUAAGUUACGGGAUCUUGUAUUACGGAACGAGUAAAGAGACUUGCCGGUAAACGAGAUUGAAAUAGGUAUGCGGAUACUAACGAUCGAAUCUCGGGCAAGUAACAUACCGAAGGACAAAGGGAAUGACAUACGGGAUUAUAUGAAUCCUUGGCACUGAGGUUCAAACGAUAAGAUCUUUGUAGAAUAUGUAGGAUCCAAUAUGGGCAUCCAGGUCCCGCUAUUGGAUAUUGACCGAGGAGUCUCUCGGGUCAUGUCUACAUAGUUCUCGAACCCGCAGGGUCUGCACACUUAAGGUUCGACGUUGUUUUAUGCGUAUUUGAGUUAUAUGGUUGGUUACCGAAUGUUGUUCGGAGUCCCGGAUGAGAUCACGGAUGUCACGAGGGUUUCCGGAAUGGUCCGGAAACGAAGAUUGAUAUAUAGGAUGACCUCAUUUGGUUACCGGAAGGUUUCCGUGCAUUACCAGAAAAGUUUCGGGCUCAUCGGUAGUGUACCGGGAGUGCCGGGAGGGGUGCCGGGGACCAUCGGGAGGGGUGUCACGCCCCAAGGGGUCUCAUGGGCUAUGGGAAGAGAUAAACCAGCCCCUAGUGGGCUGGAAUAAGUUCCCACUAAGGCCCAUAAGGUUUGAGAAGGAAAAAACACAAGGUGGAAAGAGUUUCCAAGUGGGAAGGUGGAAUCCUACUCCAAGUAGGAUUGGAGUAGGACUCCUCCACCUCCAAUUUCGGCCAAACCUUUAGGUUUUGAGGCUGCCUCCUCCCCUCCCUCCCACCUAUAUAUACGGAGGUAUUAGGGCUGAUUUGAGACGACUUUUCCACGGCAGCCCGACCACAUACCUCCAUAGUUUUUCCUCUAGAUCGCGUUUCUGCGGAGCUCGGGCGGAGCCCUGCUGAGACGAGAUCAUCACCAACCUCCGGAGCGCCGUCACGCUGCCGGAGAACUCUUCUACCUCUCCGUCUCUCUUGCUGGAUCAAGAAGGCCGAGAUCAUCGUCGAGCUGUACGUGUGCUGAACGCGGAGGUGCCGUCCGUUCGGUACUAGAUCGUGGGACUGAUCGCGGGAUUGUUCGCGGGGCGGAUCGAGGGACGUGAGGACGUUCCACUACAUCAACCGCGAUCUCUAAUCGCUUCUGCUGUACGAUCUACAAGGGUACGUAGAUCACUCAUCCCCUCUCGUAGAUGGACAUCACCAUGAUAGGUCUUCGUGCGCGUAGGAAAAUUUUUGUUUCCCAUGCGAUGUUCCCCAACAGUGGCAUCAUGAGCUAGGUUCAUGCGUAUAUGUCUUCUCGAGUAGAACACAAAAGGUUUUGUGGGCGGUGAUGUGCGUUUUGCUGCCCUCCUUAGUCUUUUCUUGAUUCCGCGGUAUUGUUGGAUUGAAGCGGCUUGGACCGACAUUACUCGUACGCUUACGAGAGACUGGUUUCAUCGUUACGAGUAACCCCCUUUGCUCAAAGAUGACUGGCAAGUGACGGUUUCUCCAACUUUAGUUGAAUCGGAUUUGACCGAGGAGGUCCUUGGAUGAGGUUAAAUAGCAAUUCAUAUAUCUCCGUUGUGGUGUUUGCGUAAGUAAGAUGCGAUCCUACUAGAUACCCUUGGUCACCACGUAAAACAUGCAACAACAAAAUUAGAGGACGUCUAACUUGUUUUUGCAGGGUAUGAUUGUGAUGUGAUAUGGCCAAUGAUGUGAUGUGAUAUAUUGGAUGUAUGAGAUGAUCAUGUUGUAAUAGAAAUAUCGACUUGCACGUCGAUGGUACGGCAACCGGCAGGAGCCAUAGGGUUGUCUUUAUACUAACAUAUGUGCUUGCAGAUGCGUUUACUAUUUUGCUAGGAUGUAGCUUUAGUAGUAAUAGCAUAAGUAGCACGACAACCCCGAUGGCAACAUGUUGAUGGAUGAUCAUGGUGUGGCGCCGGUGACAAGAAGAUCGUGCCGGUGCUUUGGUGAUGGAGAUCAAGAAGCACGUGAUGAUGGCCAUAUCAUGUCACUUAUGAAUUGCAUGUGAUGUUAAUCCUUUUACGCACCUUAUUUUGCUUAGAACGACGGUAGCAUUAUGAGGUGAUCUCUCACUAAAAUUUCAAGACGAAAUUGUGUUCUCCCCGACUGUGCACCGUUGCGACAGUUCUUCGUUUUGAGACACCACGUGAUGAUCGGGUGUGAUAGACUCAACGUUCACAUACAACGGGUGCAAAACAGUUGCACACGCGGAACACUCGGGUUAAGCUUGACGAGCCUAGCAUGUGCAGACAUGGCCUCGGAACACAUGAGACCGAAAGGUCGAGCAUGAAUCGUAUAGUUGAUAUGAUUAGCAUAGGGAUGCUUACCACUGAAACUAUUCUCGACUCACGUGAUGAUCGGACUUGAGAUAGCGAAUUUGGAUCAUGUACCACUCAAAUGACUAGAGAGAUGUACUUUUUGAGUGGGAGUUCUUAAGUAAUAUGAUUAAUUGAACUAAUUGUCAUGAACAUAGUCUAAUGGUCUUUGCGAAUUAUGAUGUAGCUUGCGCUAUAGCUCUAUUGUUUUUAUAUGUUCCUAGAGAAAAUUUAGUUGAAAAUUGAUAGUAGCAACCUUUGCAGACUGAGUCUGUAAAACCGAGGAUUGUCCUCGUUGCUACGCAGAAGGCUUAUGUCCUUAAUGCACCACUCGGUGUGCUGCACCUCGAGCGUCGUCUGUGGAUGCUAUGAACAUCCGACAUACACGUUACUGAUGACUACACGAUAGUUCAGUGCAAGAUACUUGAUGGCUUAGAAGCAAGGCGCCGAAAACGUUGUAAAACGUCACGGAACAUAAGUGAUGUUCCGAAGAGAUGAAAUUGUGAUUUCAUGCUUGUGCCCUUGUUAAGAGGUACGAGACCUCCAAACAAGAUUCUUUGUCCACAAAGUAAAGGAGAAAAGCUCAAUCGUUGAGCAUGUGCUCAGAUUGUCUGAGUACGACAAUCGCUUGAAUCAAGUGGGAGUUAAUCUUCCAGAUGAGAUAGUGAUGGUUCUCCAAAGUCACUGCCACCAAGCUAUGAGAGCUUCGUGAUGAACUAUAACAUAUCAAGGAUAGAUACUAUGAUCUUUUGAGUGAUUCGCGAUGUUUGACACUGCGAAAGUAGAAAUCAAGAAGGAGCAUCAAUAGUUGAUGGUUAGUAAAACCACUAAGUUUCAAGAAAGGCAAGGGCUAGAAGGGAUACUUCGUGAAACAGCAAAACAGUUGCUGCACUAAUGAAGAGACCCAAGAUUAAACCCAAAACCCGAGACUAAGUGCUUCUGUAAUAAGGGGAACAGUCGCUGAGGCGGAGCAACUCUAGAUACUUGGUGGAUAAGAAGGCUGGCAAAAGUCGAGAGAAGUAUAUUUGAUAUACAUAAUGUUGAUGUGUACUUUACUAGUACUCCUAGUAGCACAAGGGUAUUGGAUACCGGUUCGGUUGCUAAGUGAUUAGUAACGCGAAAUGAAAGCUACGACAUAAACGAAGACUAGCUAAAGGCGAGGUGACGAUACGUGUUGGAAGUGUUUCCAAGGUUGAUAUAAUCAAACGUCGCACGCUCCCUCUACCAUCGGGAUUGGUGUUGAACCUAAAUAAUUGUUAUUUGGUGUUUGCGUUAAGCGUGAACAUGAUUGGAUCAUGUUCAUUGCGAUACGAUUAUUCAUUCAAAGAGAAUAAUGGUUACUCUAUUUGCUUGAAUGAUCACCUUCAAUGGUUUAUUGAAUCUCGAUUGUAGUGUUACACAUUGGUGCCAAAAGAUACGAGUUAAUAAUGAUAGUACCACUUACUUGUGGAACUGCCGCUUGAGUCAUGUCAGUAUAAAUUGCAUGAAGAGGCUCCAUGCUGAUGGAUCUUUGUACUCACCUGAUUUCGAAUCACUAGUGACAUGCAAAUCAUACCACGUGAGCAAGGCCUUGUUUUCAUUGAGAUGAAAUAAGAUAGUAACUUAUUGGAAGUGAUACAUUUUGAUGUAUGCAGUCCAAUGGGUGCUGAGGCACGCAGUGGAUAUCAUUAUGUUCUUACUUCACUGACCACUUGAGUAGAUACAGGAGUAUUUACUUAAUGAAUCACAAGUCUGAAAUAUUGAAAAGUUCAAUUCCGUUUCAGAGUGAAGUUCGUCGUAACAAGAGGAUGAAGUGUCUACGAUAUGAUCAUAGAAAUGAAUAUCUGAGUUACGAGUUUUGGUACGCAGUUAAGACAAUGUGGAAGUUAUUUCGCAGUUCAUGCCACCUGGAACAUCAUAGUGUGAUGAUGUGUCUGAACAUCAUAGCCACGCACUAUUUGGUAUAAUAUAUACUAUGGUGUCUCUUAUCGAAUUACCACUAUCGUUUAUGGGUUAUGCAUUAGAGACAACCGCACUCACUUUAAAUAGGGCACCGCGUAUUUCCGUUGAAGAUGACACAGUAUAGACUGAGGUUUAGAGAAAUCUAAACUGUCGUUUCUUGAAAGUUUGGGGUUUCGACACUUAUGUGAAAAAGUUUCAGUCUGAUAAGCUCGAACCCAAAGCGGAUAAAUGCAUCUUCAUAGGAUAUCCAAAACAGUUGGGUACAUCUCCUAUCUCAGAUCCGAAAGCAAAGUGUUUGUUUCUAGAAACGGAUCCUUUCUCGAGGAAAGGUUUCUCUUGAAAGAAUUGAGUGGGAGGGUAGUAGAACUUGAUGAGGUCAUUGAACCAUCACUUCAACCAGUGUGUAGCAGGGCGCAGGAAGUUGUUCAUGUGGCGCCUACACCAAUUGAAGUGGAAGCUGAUGAUGAUGAUCAUUGAGCUUCGAAUCAAGUUACUACAAAACCUCGUAGGUCGACAAGGUCGCGUACUGCUGCAGAGUAGUACGGUAACCCUGUCUUGGAGGUCAUGUUGUUGAGCAACAGUGAACCUACGAGUUAUGGAGAAAGCGAUGGUGGGCCCGGGUUCCGACAAAUGGCUGGAAGCCAUGAAAUCCGAGAGAGGAUCCAUGUAUGAAACCAAAGUGUAGACUUUGGAAGAACUACUUGAUGGUCAUAGGACUAUUGAGUAAAGAUGGAUCUUUAAAAGGAAGACAGACGAUGAUAGUGAUAAGUCGCUAUUAAGAAAAGCUCGACUUGUCGCAAAGAUGUUUCCGACAAGAUCAAACAGUUGACUAUGAUGAGACUUUCUCACUCGUAGCGAUGCUGAAAGGCUGUUAGAAUUAUGUUAGUAGUUGCUGCAUUAUUUAUGAAAUAUUGCAUGUAGGAUGUCAAAACAUUGUUUCCUCAACGGUUUCCUUGAGCAAACAUUGUAUGAGAUACAACCAUGAGGUUUUGUCGAUCCUAAAGAUACUAGCAAGUAUGCAAGCUCCAGUGAUCCUUCAAUGGACUGGUGCAAGCAUCUCGGAGUUGGAAUAUACACUUUGAUGAGAUGAUCAAAGAUUUUGGGUUUUUUACAAAGUUUAUGAGAAACCUGUAUUUCCAAAGAAGUGAGUGGGAGCACUAUAGAAUUUCUGAUAGGUAUAUGUGGUCGACAUAUUGUGGAUCAGAAGUAAUGUAGAAUUUCUGUAAAGCAUACAAGGUUGUUUUGAAAGAAGUUUUCAAAGGAGUACCUGGAUUACGCUACUUGAACGUUGAGCAUCAAAGAUCUAUGGAGAUAGAUCGAAAAGCACUUAACGGAAGUUUCAACAAGAUGCAUGCCUUGACAAGUUUUUGAAAGGAGUUCAAAAUAGGUCAGCAAAGAAGGAGUUCUUGGUUGCGUUGUGAGGUGUGAAUUUGAGUAAGACUCAAAACCCGACCCCGGCAGAAUAAAGAGAAUAGACGAAGGUCGUCUUCUAUGCCUUAGCCGUAGAAUCUAAAGUAUGCCAUGCUGUGUACCGCACCUGAUGUGUGCCUUGACUCAAAGUAUGUUGAGAGGUACAGAGAGUGAUCCAUGAUUGAAUCACUAGCAGCGGUCAAAAUUUAUCCUUAGUAACUAAUGGACUAAGGAAUUUCUUUCUCGAUUAUGGAGGUGGUUAAAGAGUUCGUCGUAAAGGGUUACGUUGAUGCAAGCUUUGACACUAAUCCGAAUAACUAUGAGUAGUGAAACGGAUUCGUAUAGUAGAGUAGAUAUUUGGAGCAUUUCCGAAUAGCACGUAGUAGCAGCAUCUAUAAGAUGGCAUAAAGAUUUGUAAAGAACACACGGAUCUGAAAGUUUCAGAACCAUUGACUAAAACCUCUCUCACGAGCAAGACGUGAUCAGACCCCAUAACUAUAUGGGUGUUGGAUUCGUUGGAAUCACAUGGUGAUGUGAACUAGAUUAUUGACUCCAGUGCAAGUGGGAGACUGUUGGAAAUAUGCCCUAGAGGCAAUAAUAAAUUAGUUAUUAUUAUAUUUCUUUGUUCAUGAUAAUCGUUUAUUAUCCAUGCUAUAAUUGUAUUGAUUGGAAACACAAUACUUGUGUGGAUACAUAGACAAAACACUGUCCCUAGUAAGCCUCUAGUUGACUAGCUCGUUGAUCAAAGAUGGUCAAGGUUUCCUGGCCAUAGGCAAGUGUUGUCACUUGAUAACGGGAUCACAUCAUUAGGAGAAUCAUGUGAUGGACUAGACCCAAACUAAUAGACGUAGCAUGUUGAUCGUGUCAUUUUGUUGCUACUGUUUUCUACGUGCCAAGUAUUUAUUCCUAUGACCAUGAGAUCAUAUAACUCACUAACACCGGAGGAAUGCUUUGUGUGUAUCAAACGUCGCAACGUAACUGGGUGACUAUAAAGAUGCUCUACAGGUAUCUCCGAAGGUGUUAGUUGAGUUAGUAUGGAUCAAGACUGGGAUUUGUCACUCCGUGUGACGGAGAGGUAUCUCGGGGCCCACUCGGUAAUACAACAUCACACACAAGCCUUGCAAGCAAUGUAACUUAGUGUAAGUUACGGGAUCUUGUAUUACGGAACGAGUAAAGAGACUUGCCGGUAAACGAGAUUGAAAUAGGUAUGCGGAUACUAACGAUCGAAUCUCGGGCAAGUAACAUACCGAAGGACAAAGGGAAUGACAUACGGGAUUAUAUGAAUCCUUGGCACUGAGGUUCAAACGAUAAGAUCUUUGUAGAAUAUGUAGGAUCCAAUAUGGGCAUCCAGGUCCCGCUAUUGGAUAUUGACCGAGGAGUCUCUCGGGUCAUGUCUACAUAGUUCUCGAACCCGCAGGGUCUGCACACUUAAGGUUCGACGUUGUUUUAUGCGUAUUUGAGUUAUAUGGUUGGUUACCGAAUGUUGUUCGGAGUCCCGGAUGAGAUCACGGAUGUCACGAGGGUUUCCGGAAUGGUCCGGAAACGAAGAUUGAUAUAUAGGAUGACCUCAUUUGGUUACCGGAAGGUUUCCGUGCAUUACCAGAAAAGUUUCGGGCUCAUCGGCUAUGGGAAGAGAUAAACCAGCCCCUAGUGGGCUGGAAUAAGUUCCCACUAAGGCCCAUAAGGUUUGAGAAGGAAAAAACACAAGGUGGAAAGAGUUUCCAAGUGGGAAGGUGGAAUCCUACUCCAAGUAGGAUUGGAGUAGGACUCCUCCACCUCCAAUUUCGGCCAAACCUUUAGGUUUUGAGGCUGCCUCCUCCCCUCCCUCCCACCUAUAUAUACGGAGGUAUUAGGGCUGAUUUGAGACGACUUUUCCACGGCAGCCCGACCACAUACCUCCAUAGUUUUUCCUCUAGAUCGCGUUUCUGCGGAGCUCGGGCGGAGCCCUGCUGAGACGAGAUCAUCACCAACCUCCGGAGCGCCGUCACGCUGCCGGAGAACUCUUCUACCUCUCCGUCUCUCUUGCUGGAUCAAGAAGGCCGAGAUCAUCAUCGAGCUGUACGUGUGCUGAACGCGGAGGUGCCGUCCGUUCGGUACUAGAUCGUGGGACUGAUCGCGGGAUUGUUCGCGGGGCGGAUCGAGGGACGUGAGGACGUUCCACUACAUCAACCGCGAUCUCUAAUCGCUUCUGCUGUACGAUCUACAAGGGUACGUAGAUCACUCAUCCCCUCUCGUAGAUGGACAUCACCAUGAUAGGUCUUCGUGCGUGUAGGAAAAUUUUUGUUUCCCAUGCGACGUUCCCCAACAACGUCUUCACGUCCCUCGAUCCGCCCCGCGAACUAUCCCGCGAACAGUCCCACGAUCUAGUGCCGAACGGACGGCACCUCCGCGUUCAGCACACGUACAGCUCGACGAUGAUCUCGGCCUUCUUGAUCCAGCAAGAGAGACGUAGAGGUAGACGAGUUCUCCGGCAGCGUGGCGGCGCUCCGGAGGUUGGUGAUGAUCUUGUCUCAGCAGGGCUUCGCCCGAGCUCCGCAGAAACUCGAUCUAGAUGUGAAACCGUGGAGAUAUGUGGUCGGGCUGCCGUGGCAAAGUUGUGUCAAAUCAGCCCUAAAACCCCACUAUAUAUAGGAGGAGGAGGGGGAGACCUGCCUUGGGGUCCAAGGACUCCCAAGGGGGUCGGCCGAGCCAAGGGGGAAGGCCUCCCCCUCCCAAACCGAAUUCUACUUGGUUUGGAAGGUGGAGUCCUUCUUCCCUUUCCCACCUCCUUCUUUUUUUUUCCUUUCUUCUUUGAUUUUCUUCCCAAUGCGCAUAUGGCCUUCUUGGGCUGUCCCACCAGCCCACUAAGGGCUGGUUCGCCACCCCCAAGGCCUAUGGGCUUCCCCGGGGUGGGUUGCCCCCCCCCCCGGUNCCCCCCCCCGGUGAACUCCCGGAACCCAUUCGUCAUUCCCGGUACAUUCCCGGUAAUUCCGAAAACCUUCCGGUAAUCAAAUGAGGUCAUCCUAUAUAUCAAUCUUUGUUUCCGGACCAUUCCGGAAACCCUCGUGACGUCCAUGAUCUCAUCCGGGACUCCGAACAACAUUCGGUAACCAACCAUAUAACUCAAAUACGCAUAAAAUAACGUCGAUCCUUAAGUGUGCAGACCCUACGGGUUCGAGAACUAUGUAGACAUGACCCGAGAGACUCCUCGGUCAAUAUCCAAUAGCGGGACAUGGAUGCCCAUAUUGGAUCCUACAUAUUCUACGAAGAUCUUAUCGUUUGAACCUCAGUGUCAAGGAUUCAUAUAAUCCCGUAUGUCAUUCCCUUUGUCCUUCGGUAUGUUACUUGCCCGAGAUUCGAUCGUCAGUAUCCGUAUACCUAUUUCAAUCUCGUUUACCGGCAAGUCUCUUUACUCGUUCCGUAAUACAAGAUCCCGCAACUUACAUUAAGUCACAUUGCUUGCAAGGCUUGUGUGUGAUGUUGUAUUACCGAGUGGGCCCCAAGAUACCUCUCCGUCACACGGAGUGACAAAUCCCAGUCUCGAUCCAUACUAACUCAACGAACACCUUCGGAGAUACCUGUAGAGCAUCUUUAUAGUCACCCAGUUACGUUGCGACGUUUGAUACACACAAAGCAUUCCUCUGGUGUCCGUGAGUUAUAUGAUCUCAUGGUCAUAGGAACAAAUACUUGACACGCAUAAAACAGUAGCAACAAAAUGACACGAUCAACAUGCUACGUCUAUUAGUUUGGGUCUAGUCCAUCACAUGAUUCUCCUAAUGAUGUGAUCCCUUUAUCAAGUGAUAACACUUGCAUAUGGUCAGGAAACCUUGACCAUCUUUGAUCAACGAGCUAGUCAACUAGAGGCUUACUAGGGACAGUGUUUUGUCUAUGUAUCCACACAUGCACUGUGUUUCCAAUCAAUACAAUUAUAGCAUGGAUAAUAAACGAUUAUCAUGAACUAAGAAAUAUAAUAAUAACUAAUUUAUUAUUGCCUCUAGGGCAUAUUUCCAACAUGUCCUUCGUUGCAAACAACGACCAAAAUAUCAAGACAAAUCAACAAGCCGGUGAGGCCGCCCGCCAGCAGGCGGCAGACCUCGCCAGCUUUGGGGACUACUGUCGGGGGGAUAACCCCGGGGUAGGCUCAUCGAGCCUGUUCCUUCAUUCCCGGCCCAAUGGGCAUGAAGGCGCAGAGAUUCUCAAGGCCCAAGUCUACUGACCGGCUAGGCAUCCCCUGCCGGUUGGAAGACGAGGCGGCCACCUUUCUGGCCGGCCAGGCAACCCCUGCCGGCUAGAAUCCAGGCGGCCUCCCCUUCGGACCCGGCCUGGUCCCGCCAACUGGGCUAAGGAGGAGGCGGCCACCCUCAAGCCGGCUGACCAAGCAGACUAGCCGGCCGAGGAUCACCAGUCACAUCAGAUCGUAGUUCAGGAAAGGACCUCACGAUUAAAGGUAGCUACGCAUCAGCAAAGGUAUUGAAUUAGGGUGCCCGGCAGGUACAUGCGUCGACGGCCACACCGCUGACCUACCCCGGCUCUGAUCCAUCACCUAGCCUGAUGUUGGACCGUCACACUCCCACUCCAUUACCGCACUCAGCGUGGGGAACAGUGGAGCCGGUCGUACUGCCUGCCCAUGAAGAAUCUCGCGGGGCAACGCUCGACGUACAACGCGUGCUCAGCGUCAACCUUACGCGGGAGCCCCAUUGGCCAGCCAGCGGGUCCCACAACAAUCGAGACCAUGCAGCCGGCGGGCCCCUCAUCGACAAGAUAAGACCCUUGUGGGCCCCUGGACAACCGGCGAAGCAGCCAGCCGGGUCCCACACAUGUACCCUUUAUCCAUAUUGUAGCCUGGUGGGUUCGUCUAUAAAACUCCCCGGCCGCCCCCCAUGCAAGGGGGCCGAUCACUUACCAGUCAUUCAACACUACACACUCACCAACCAACAGAGAGCGAGGUAGAAACGAGCCGGCUGCUCCCCUCUUCCUCCUCCCAACACAGCUCCAGGAGCAACAUUGUACUCUGUUCCCAUACAUCAAACACACAAGCAAGAUUAGGGGUAUUAUAUCUACGGAGAGCCCUGAACCUGGGUACAUCGUGCGUCCCAUGCGUGUACCAACCUCGUUCCCAGCGCCCACUUUUGUCCCUUCGGUUCUCAUCGACUUUAGCCUACCUAUGGCAUAUGUUGUGAGUAUUCACCCACACGAUGUCUCCUUGAAUCGCUACAAGGCAUGAUGGGUGGUUCGUGGUUUCACACAGCAGGCUGGCGUUGACUAUGUGGAGACCUUCAGCCCCGUGGUCAAGCUCGCUACAAUCCGCGUCGUGCUCAGCCUUGCCACCGUCAACAACUGGCCACUCCGGCAAAUGGAUGUCAAGAAUGCCUUCCUCCAUGGAGAUCUCGUUGAGACAGUCUACUGCCAACAACCCUCCGGCUUCGUCGAUACCACUCAUCCCACGCAUGGCUGCCGCCUCAACAAGUCCCUCUAUGGCCUCAAGCAGGCUCCCCGGACUUGGUUUCUUCUCUUCACUGGGUUUCUCCACACGCUUGGCUUUGUCUCAUCCAAGUGUGACACCUCGCUCUUCAUUCUUCGCCGAGAUUCCUCCAUGGCGUAUCUCCUUUUGUAUGUCGACGACAUCAUCUUGACAGCCAGCAACACCUCCCUCCUUGAGUCGCUUGUGUCAUCGCUUGCUCGCGAGUUCUCUAUGAGCGAUCUCGGAGAUAUUCACCACUUCCUAGGCAUCAACGUGCAUCGCAACACUGCCGGGUUGUUCUUGUCUCAGGAACAUUACGCCCUUGAGGUUUUGGAUCGUGCCAACAUGCUCAAUUGCCAUCUCGGCUCCACACCGAUUGACACCCGCUCUAAGCUCACGAGUGCGGUUGGCACCCCCUUCUCCGAUCCCACCAAAUAUUGUAGUAUCGCCGGUUGUCGGGGGGAUAAUCCCGGGGUAGGCUCAUCGAGCCUGUUCCUUCAUUCCCGGUCCAAUGGGCAUGAAGGCGCAGAGAUUCUCAAGGCCCAAGUCUUCUAACCGGCUAGGCAUCCCCUACCGGCUGGAAGACGAGGCAGCCACCUUUCUGGCCGGCCAGGCAACCCCUGUCGGCUAGAAUCCAGGCGGCCUCCCCUUCGGACCCGGCCUGGUCCCGCCAGCCGGGCUAAGGAGGAGGCGGCCACCCUCAAGCCGGCUGACCAAGCAGGCUAGCCAGCCGAGGAUCACCAGUCACAUCAGAUCGUAGGUCAGGAAAGGACCUCACGAUUAAAGGUAGCUACGCGUCAGCAAAGGUACUGAAUCAGGGCUCUCGGCAGGUACGAGCGUCGGCGGCCACGCCGCUGACCUACCGCGGCUCCGAUCCAUCACCUACCCUUAUGUCGGACCGUCACACUCCCACUCCAUUACUGCACUCGGCGUGGGGAACAGUGGAGGCAGUCGUACUGCCUGCCCAUGAAGAAUCUCGUGGGGCAACGCUCGACGUACAGCGUGUGCUCAGCGUCAACCGUACGCGGGCGCCCCAUUGGCCAGCCGGCGGGUCCCACAGCAAUCGAGACCAUGCAGCCGGCGGGCCCCUCAUCGACAAGACAAGACCCUUGUGGGCCCCUGGCCAACCGGCGAAGCAGCCAGCAGGGUCCCACGCAUGUACCCUUUAUCCAUAUUGUAGGCCGGCGGGUUCGUCUAUAAAACCCCCCGGCCGCCCCCCAAUGCAAGGAGGCCGAUCACUUACCAGUCAUUCAACACUACACACUCACCAACCAACAGAGAGCGAGGUAGAGACGAGCCGGCUGCUCCCCUCUUCCUCCUCCCAACACAGCUCCAGGAGCAACAUUGUACUCUGUUCCCAUACAUCACACACACAAGCAGGAUUAGGUGUAUUAUCUCUAUGGAGAGCCCUGAACCUGGGUACAUCGUGCGUCCCAUGCGUGUACCAACCUUGUUCCCAGCGCCCACCUUUGUCCCUUUGGUUCUCACCGACUUUAGCCUACCUAUGGCAUAUGUUGUGAGUAUUCACUGACAUUUGGCGCCCACUGUGGGGCCGAUCGCGGCAUCAGCUGGCUUCACGCGCUGGGCGGGGCCCCGCACCUACACCACCAGAUUCAUCGCGUCCGGAUCAGUUUGCAUGCCCGUGGAGCUCGCUUUCGACGAGGCGACGCCCAUGAUGAUCGACGUCCCCGUCCGCCAUGCGGAUUCGGACGAAGAUUCCGAUGACGAGGCACUCCCUAGCGUCAUCGUCGCUGCUAUGGGGAACCUGAGUGCUCUUCGCCUCAAUGACGGCCCAUGCUACUUCGGCGAGGACUACGACGUUGAGGCACUCUGCGCCAGCUUCAGCACGCUCUCUAUCGCUGAGACGCCUGCCCAGGACGUUUAGCCCAGUAACGUCCUCAUCUUCGAUGGCCCUCCACCGUCUGUGGGGUUCUUCACCCCAUACCACGUCGCUGCCGUCUCCAACGCCGUGGAGGUGAUGGUUAUCGGCGCCGGCACCAGCACGGCUCCCGGCAAGGCCUCCAGGGAGCUGGCGAGCCCGCUGCAGCCGCCGCAGACACUCUUCGGGACGCCAUCGCCGGCCUGAAGACACCGAUUACCGCUUCUGCCGACCCUGUAGACGCUCGGGCCUCACUGGAGGAGGCUCGCAAGCGUAUCUUGGAGGAGGUCAUCGCCGUGGCCUCGGCAAAACAUCGGUUGGAGGCUACACAUCGUGAGUAUAACUCCGCAUAUGGUCUUACUCCGAUUUACGAGGCCCCCAGUCGGCUUGGAUCGGUCCGCAGUCGCGGACGGUUCGUCGCCGAAGUUCUAGGCGGGGACCUGCCCACCUACGAGACUCCUGCGGCCAACAUGCGGACGGCGCACGCGGCCAUGGAGGAGAUGGCAAGCCUGGAAGGCGAGGAGCGCGCCUUCCAGGAGAAGCGUGUCAAGGAUCUCCUUGACGCUGCUACCCAGCAGCACGCUCGGUUCGACCCUGGCCAGGCUCAUUCAGAGUCCCCGGGACCAAACUCGGGGGCUCGCCGCAACCCUAGUGGCCAGCACCACGCUGAAGGAUCUUCCUCGCAUCGCCCUUCCGGCUGGAGGGGCGAGGGAAGCCAAGGCCGGCACUCGCAGCACCAGAGCGAGCACACAUCGGGCCUAUGUCGCGGAGGCGACGAUGGCGACUCGGAGUACGGGGAUCUUCCCCCGCGAAGAACUCACGCAUCCGGCUCCCAAGGAGCCUCCCCUCUCGCCACCGGGGCUGGCGCCCCCGCCUCCCAGGACGAGCGGGACGCCCGCCGGCGUAUCAUCGCCCUGGCCUAUUCGGACCUCCUAGAGGAAGACGGACCCGUCGAUCCGGCUUGCUUCGGUCCCCGGAUCCGAGGGGAGCCGUUCCCCCGAGGUUUCACCCUACCUCGGGAUACGUCGAAAUAUAACGGCACGGCUAAGCCAGAAGACUGGCUGAUCGACUACACCACGGCCGUAGGCAUCGCGAGGGGCAACAAGCGCGUAGCGGUUCCCUACGUGCCACUCAUGCUAGCCGGCUCGGCCCGGACCUGGCUUAACAGCCUCCCGGCCGGCAGCGUCAACUCCUGGGUGGACUUCGAGGAGGCGUUCGUCCACAACUUCACCGGCACCUACAAGCGCCCUGGUCGGCCUUGCGAGCUGGCCAUUUUCGUCCAGAAGGCCGACGAACCCCUCCGAGACUACGUCACCCGGCCGGUGGACCGAGCUCCGCAACUCCUAUGAGGGGGUGCAUGAGGUACAAGCCAUACAGUACUUCAUUGACGGAUGCCGAGACGGCACCCUCCUCAAGCACAAGCUCAUGUGCGCCGAGCCCAGCUCCUUGGCGGUGCUCAUGGCCAAGACGGACAAGUACGCCACGGCCGACUCCGGAAUGUGCAUCAAGGUGACCGCCUCGGACAAGGUUGUGCCUGCGCCGGCUACUCCCAAGCCGGCUGGGGACAACCGAGGCGGCCAGAACAACUACAAGCGCAAGGCCAAUCAGAUGGCUAACAACAAGCUAGUGGCCAACAUGGAGGGAGAGGCGUCGGCUUCCCAAGCCGGCCCUCCACGAAAGCGUCGCAAUCAGGGCAACCCCAACUGGCUGCCCAAGCAGUCUCUCGAGAAGCUGCUCAACGCCCCCUGCAAGAUACAUUUGGGGGCGGCGCCGUCUACCCAUACCCUUCGAUAGUGCAGCAUCGCACGCCGGCUGUCGCAAGGGGAGGGCCUGCCGGCUCCUCCGGGUGCGCAGGCGGCGCCCUGUGCACCGGCUCCCCAUCACGCUCCGCUUCCACCGCCGCCGCCUCGCGACGACGGCCCACACCCUGACGACUACCCGCAUCAAGACGGAGCGUUCGUUGUCUUCACCAGUGAAGGCGACGACAAGCACAGCCUGCGCCAAAGGCGGCGCGAGGUAAACGCCACUGUCCCCCUCCCCCCGGUUCCCCAGUACAUGCAUUUGUCUGACAAACCAAUUACAUGGAGCCGGGUGGAACACCCUGUGGUGAUGCCCAACCCGGGGUCAUACGCACUUGUCCUCGACCCCACCUUCGCCUCCAAAAGGCUAACCUGCCGAUUCUCCCGGGUGCUGGUCAACGGCGGCAGCAGCAUUAACAUCCUCUACCUCGACACUCUCCGCAAGCUCGGGCUCAAGGAGACGGACGUCCUGCCAACCAGCACUGUCUUCCAUGGCAUCGUGCCUCCACUACAGGAAUCGGGCAUUUUGCCGUCAAGACGCUAAAGACGGCAAAGAGAGAAUUACAGACGGCAAAUUUUUUGCCGUCAGCCCAUGACGGCAAAAAAUGUCGUCAGACCAUGUGCCCGCAAAGGGUAAUUUCGCCGUCAGCAUUUUUUCGGGCAGACGGCUAAAUAUUUUCCGUUAGUGAAAAUGGUUUGCCGUCAUCUAUUAUGAGGCAGACGGCAAAAAACCUAAAAUAACCACCCGGACCGCGUUAACUCUUUGCCGUCAUCCGACCGGAAUGCAAGACGACAAAGAUUACGGGUUUGCCGUCAGUUGUUAUCAAUACCAGACGGCAAAGAAAUUUUCUUUUAAAAAUAAAAUAAACAACAAUCCUCAGUUAUCAAAAAAUGUAUUGCAUAACACAUAAUCUUCAUUAUUAAAAAACCCAAAAUAUAAACAACAAUCCUCAGUUAUCAAAAAGGCUCAAUCAUCAAUUAUCACAAAAUAUAUACACACUAUAAUGUACAUAAUACACACAAUGCAUCAUAAUACAUCGAGCGGAACCAGCCCCUUCUCCCGUCCUGACGCCCCCGCACAGGAGCGUCACUGCCCAACGCCCAGCCGCAUCGCGCUCUCGUCGACCUCGCCGGCCGGUCGCCGGUCGGAGCCCAGCCUCUUAUUCCUGCCCGCCUGGCGCGGUAGCGCUCCCCUGCGUGCGCUCGUGCUCCCGCCCCUGCGUCGUCUCCUGUAACGGAUGGAUGGAUGGAUGCGGAUGAAUGAUUUGUUGCUUGUUGGUAGAUGGAUGGAUGCAACGGAUCAGGAUUUGGGAAAGGUCACUCACGGACCCCAGCGGAGCCUGAGCAACCCACACCAUACGAACGUGCCAAUGGAGAUGGAGCUCUGGCCAUGGCCGAUAUGUGCGACGCUGGCGGUCGCCACGCUCCUCUACUACCUGGCCAGCCCGACACGCAGCCGCAGUGUGGGCACGGGGCUGAUGCGGAUGUCGUCGAGCCCCACGCCGCUGCCCGUCGCCGGCAACCUGCUCAGCCUCCGUCGCGGCAACCUCCACCACAUGGCCCCGUCAUGACGCUCCGUGGUGUCCUCGCGCGACGCGGCCCGGGAGGCGUUCACGAGGCACGACCCGCGCCUGGCCGCGCGCGUCGUGGAUAGGGGCGGCGGGGAGAUGGAUGGGGGCGGCGGGGGAGAUGGAUGGGGGCGGCGGGGGAGAUGGAUGGGGGCGGCGGGUGCGACGGGGGAGAUGGAUGGGGGCGGCGGGGGAGAUGGAUGGGUACGAGAGAGAAGACAGGUGGGGAGAGGAUAAGGUCGGGUGGAGGUGAGUGGUGGGCCAGCUGGGUUUUUUUUUGAGGGGACCAGCCGGGUUGAGUGGGUGGGAGAGCCAGCGACGGUGGGAUGGGCCGUCACGUCAUCGAUCGGUGGGAUCGAUCCGCGUGGUGUGCUUUCUCUUUGCCGUCAUCCGGUUAUUUUUCAAGACGGCAAAUUAAGUAUUUGCCGUCAUCCGGUUAUUUUUCAAGACGGCAAAUUAAGUCUUUGCCGUCAUCCGGUUAUUUUUCAAGACGGCAAAAUAUUUUUUCACCCACGUCCGUGCGUGGUGCGAUGGGGUGGGCUGGUGUGUCUCAGAUCUUUCCACGUCAUUGAUCCGCGUGAUCAAUCUGUGCGUUGUGCUUCUUAUUUUGCCGUCAUCUAGUUACUUUUACAGAGGGCAAAAUUAUUUUGCCAUCAUCCAGUUAUUUUCAAAGACGGCAAAAUAAUUUUGCCGUCAUCUAGUUAUUUUUACAGACGGAAAAAUACAUCUUUGCCGUCAUCCAGUUAUUUUUACAGAUGGCAAAAUAUUUUUUCACCCAUGUCCGUGCGUGGUGGGAUGGGGUAGGCUGGUGUGUCUCAGAUCUUGCCACGUCAUCGAUCCGCGUGAUCGAUCCGUGUGAUGUGCUUCUUCUUUGCCGUCAUCACUUUCUAUUACAGGCGGCAAAUUAUGUCUUUUCCGUCAUCCGCUUAUUUUUACAGACGGCAAAAUAAUUUUGCCGUCUGCAAUUUUUAUUAUAGACGGCAAAAUAAGUUUACGCCGGCAGUCAUUCUUUGCCGUCAGCAGCUGACGGCAACUGACGGCAAAAGUGCUCUUUGCCGUCAUCCACGAAGAAAAGCUGACGGCAAAGAUCUGAACAGACGGCAAAUUACCUGAUUCCCGUAGUGCUCGGCAGUCGUGCUCACCCAUCGGCAAGAUCCAGCUGGACGUCCUCUUCGGCGACAAGGCCCACUUCCGCCGAGAGUCCAUAUGGUUCGAGGUGGUGGACCUCAGCAGCCCGUAUCACACGUUGCUGGGGAGACUGGCUCUGGCCAAAUUCAUGGCUAUCCCGCACUACGCCUACCUGAAAAUGAAGAUGCUGGGUCCCAAGGCCAUCAUCACUGUUGUUGGCGACUACAAGAAGUCGCUCGAGUGUGCCCAAGAUAGCAGCCGCCUCGCCGACGCCUUGGUGAUUGCCGAGGAGAAGCGGCAGAUCGACCGGCUCGUGGCCCAGGCUACCGAGCAGCCGGCGAUUCCUUCUCCUCCGUCCCAAUCGGCCGGCGAGGGCUCUUUCAAGCCGGCUAAAGAGACCAAGCAGGUCCCACUCGACCCUGCCAACCCAAAGUAGUGCAUCACCAUCGGGGCUGGCCUCAGCCCCAAAUAGGAAGGCGAGCUCGUCGACUUCCUCCAUGAGAAUCGGGACAUCUUUGCAUGGUCCCCCAAGGACAUGUCGGGUGUUCCGAGGAAGUACGCCGAGCACAAACUUCACGUGCGACCGGAUGCAAAGCCGGUGAAACAACCUUUGCGCCGCUUCACCGAGGGGAAGCGGCGCACAAUUGGAGAAGAGAUUACCCAGCUCCUUGCAGCCGGCUUCAUCAUGGAGGUUUUCCACCCGGACUGGCUGGCGAACCCAGUCCUGGCGCUGAAGAAGAACAACACAUGGAGAAUGUGCAUCGACUACACUAGCCUGAAUAAGGCCUAUCCGAAAGACCCUUUCGUGUUGCCUAGGAUAGAUCAUGUGAUCGACUCCACUACAGGCUGCGAACUGCUGUCAUUUCUGGAUGCUUAUUCAGGCUACCAUCAAAUCAAGCGGGAUCCAGCUGAUCGCCUGAAGACCUCCUUCAUCAUGCCCUUCGGGGCCUACUGCUACACCACCAUGACGUUCGGUCUGAAGAACGCAUGUGCGACGUUCCAACGCUGCAUGCAGAAGUGCCUACUGUCACAGAUUGGUAGAAACAUCCACGUCUAUGUGGAUGACAUCAUCGUCAAGACGAAGCAGCACUUCAGCCUCCUCGACGACCUGCGAGAGACAUUCGCCAAUCUGCGCGAAUACAAGAUCCGGCUCAAUCCUGAGAAGUACGUCUUCGGGGUCCCAGACGGCAAACUCUUGGGGUUCUUCGUAUCUGUCCGCGGCAUCGAAGCGAACCCUGAGAAGAUCAGCACCAUCGAGCGGAUGGUGCGGCCGGCUCGGAUCCUCGACGUCCAGAAGCUUGCCGGCUGCUUGGCAUCCCUCAGCCGGUUCAUCAGCUGGCUUGGCGAGAAGGCCCUUCCACUCUACCAGCUCAUGAAGAAGACGACGAAGUUCGAGUGGGACGACCAGGCGGACGAAGCCUUCCGUGACCUCAAGCGGGUAAUCUCUAGCUUGCCAAUCUUGGCAGCCCCAUCUGAAAGGGAACCUGUUGGGGAACGUCGCAUGGGAAACAAAAAUUUUCCUACGCGCACGAAGACCUAGCAUGGUGAUGUCCAUCUACGAGAGGGGAUGAGUGAUCUACGUACCCUUGUAGAUCGUACAGCAGAAGCGUUAGUGAACGCGGUUGAUGUAGUGGAACGUCCUCACGUCCCUCGAUCCGCCCCGCGAACAAUCCCGCGAUCAGUCCCACGAUCUAGUACCGAACGGACGGCACCUCCGCGUUCAGCACACGUACAGCUCGACGAUGAUCUCGGUCUUCUUGAUCCAGCAAGAGAGACGGAGAGGUAGAAGAGUUCUCCGGCAGCGUGACGGCGCUCCGGAGGUUGGUUAUGACCUUGUCUCAGCAGGGCUCCGCUCGAGCUCCGCAGAAACGCGAUCUAGAGGAAAAACCGUGGAGGUAUGUGGUCAGGCUGCCGUGGAAAAGUCGUCUCAAAUCAGCCCUAAAACCUCCGUAUAUAUAGGUGGGAGGGAGGGGACCUUGCCUUGGGGCUCAAGGAGCCCCAAGGGGGUCGGCCGAGUCCAAGGGGGAAGGCUCGCCCCCCCAAACCGAGUUGGACUUGGUUUGGUGGGUGGGAGUCCUUCCUUCCCUUCCCACCUCCUUUUUUUUAUUUUCUCUUUGGUUUUCUUUCCUAGGCGCAUAGGGCCCUUUUGGGCUGUCCCACCAGCCCACUAAGGGCUGGUGUGCCACCCUCAAGGCCUAUGGGCUUCCCCAGGGUGGGUUGACCCCCCCCCCCCCCGGUGAACUCCCGGAACCCAUUCGUCAUUCCCGGUACAUUCCCGGUAACUCCGAAAACCUUCCGGUAAUCAAAUGAGGUCAUCCUAUAUAUCAAUCUUCGUUUCCGGACCAUUCCGGAAACCCUCGUGACGUCUGUGAUCUCAUCCGGGACUCCGAACAACAUUCGGUAACCAACCAUAUAACUCAAAUACGCAUAAAACAACGUCGAACCUUAAGUGUGCAGACCCUGCCGGUUCGAGAACUAUGUAGACAUGACCCGAGAGACUCCUCGGUCAAUAUCCAAUAGCGGGACCUGGAUGCCCAUAUUGGAUCCUACAUAUUCUACGAAGAUCUUAUCGUUUGAACGUCAGUGCCAAGGAUUCAUAUAAUCCCGUAUGCCAUUCCCUUUGUCCUUCGUUCUGUUACUUGCCCGAGAUUCGAUCGUCAGUAUCCGCAUACCUAUUUCAAUCUCGUUUACCGGCAAGUCUCUUUACUCGUUCCGCAAUACAAGAUCCCGCAACUUACACUAAGUUACAUUGCUUGCAAGGCUUGUGUGUGAUGUUGUAUUACCGAGUGGGCCCCGAGAUACCUCUCUGUCACACGGAGUGACAAAUCCCAGUCUUGAUCCAUACUAACUCAACUAACACCUUCGGAGAUACCUGUAGAGCAUCUUUAUAGUCACCCAAUUACGUUGCGACGUUUGAUACACACAAAGCAUUCCUCCGGUGUCAGUGAGUUAUAUGAUCUCAUGGUCAUAGGAAUAAAUACUUGACACGCAGAAAACAGUAGCAACAAUAUGACACGAUCAACAUGCUACGUCUAUUAGUUUGGGCCUAGCCCAUCACGUGAUUCUCUUAAUGACGUGAUCCAGUUAUCAACCAACAACACUUUGUUCAUAAUCAGAAGACACUGACUAUCUUUGAUCAACUGGCUAGCCAACUAGAGGCUUGCUAGGGACGGUGUUUUGUCUAUGUAUCCACACAUGUAAAUGAGUCUUCAUUCAAUACAAUUAUAGCAUGGAUAAUAAAGAUUAUCUUGAUACAGGAAUUAUAAUAAUAACUAUAUUUAUUAUUGCCUCUAGGGCAUAAUUCCAACAGUCUCCCACUUGCACUAGAGUCAAUAAUCUAGCCCUCACAUCAUCAUGUGAAUUACAUUGUAAUAAAUCUAACACCCAUACAGUUCUGGUGUUGAUCAUGCUUUGGCCGUGGAAGAGGUUUAGUCAGCGGGUCUGCUACAUUCAGAUCCGUGUGCACUUUGCAUAUAUUUACGUCCUCUCCCUCGACGUAGUCGCGGAUGAGGUUGAAGCGUCGUUUGAUGUGUCUGGUCUUCUUGUGAAACCGUGGUUCCUUUGCUAAGGCAAUGACACCCGUGUUGUCACAGAACAAGGUUAUUGGAUUCAGUGCGCUUGGCACCACUCCAAGAUCCGUCAUGAACUGCUUCAUCCAGACACUCUCCUUAGCCGCCUCCGAGGCAGCCAUGUACUCCGCUUCACAUGUAGAAUCUGCUACGACGCUUUGCUUGGAACUGCACCAGCUUACCGCACCCCCAUUAAGAAUAAAUACGUAUCCGGUUUGCGACUUAGAGUCGUCCGGAUCUGUGUCAAAGCUUGCAUCGACGUAACCUUUUACGACGAGCUCUUCGUCACCUCCAUACACGAGAAACAUCUCCUUAGUCCUUUUCAGGUACUUCAGGAUAUUCUUGACCGCUGUCCAGUGAUCCACUCCUGGAUUACUCUGGAACCUACCAGCCAUACUUAUGGCCAGGCUAACAUCCGGUCUUGUGCACAACAUUGCAUACAUGAUAGAACCUAUGGCUAAAGCAUAGGGGACGGAGCGCAUAUGUUCUCUAUCUUCAUCAGUUGCUGGGCACUGAGUCUUACUCAAUCUCGUACCUUGUAAAACUGGCAAGAACCCUUUCUUGGACUGUUCCAUUUUGAACCUCUUCAAAACAUUAUCAAGGUAUGUGCUUUGUGAAAGUCCUAUCACGCGUUUUGAUCUAUCCCUAUAGAUCUUAAUGCCUAGAAUGUAAGAAGCUUCUCCUAGGUCCUUCAUAGAGAAACUCUUAUUCAAGUAAUCCUUUAUGCUCUCUAAAAACUCCACGUUGUUUCCAAUCAGCAAUAUGUCAUCCACAUAUAAUCUUAGAAAUGCCACAGAGCUCCCACUCACUUUCUUGUAAAUACAAGAUUCUCCAACCACUUGUAUAAAUCCAAAUGGUUUGAUCACCUCAUCAAAGCGUUUGUUCCAACUCCAAGAUGCUUGCACCAGUCUAUAAAUGGAUCGCUGGAGCUUGCACACCUUGUUAGCAUUCUUAGGAUCGACAAAACCUUCGGGUUGUAUCAUAUACAACUCUUCCUUAAGGAAACCGUUAAGGAACGCCGUUUUGACAUCCAUCUGCCAGAUUUCAUAAUCGAAAAAUGCAGCUAUUGCUAACAUGAUUCUGACGGACUUAAGCAUCGCUACGGGUGAGAAUGUCUCAUCGUAGUCAACUCCUUGAACUUGUGAAAAACCCUUUGCCACAAGUCGAGCUUUAUAAACGGUCACAUUGCCGUCAGCGUCCGUCUUCCUCUUAAAAAUCCAUUUGUUCUGAAUAGCCUUGCGGCCCUCAGGUAGUACCUCCAAAGUCCACACGUUGUUCUCAUACAUGGAUCCUUUCUCGGACUUCAUCGCUUCUAGCCAUUUGUUGGAAUCUGGGCCCACCAUUGCUUCUUCAUAAUUUGCAGGUUCAUUGUUGUCUAACAACAUGAUUGAUAAGACGGGAUUACCGUACCACUCUGGAGCAGCACGUGGUCUCGUCGACCUGCGUGGUUCGACAGAAACUUGAACCGGAGUUUCAUGAUCAUCAUCAUUAACUUCCUCCUCAACCGGCGUCGCAACGACACAGGUUUCCCCUUGCCCUGUGCCACCAUCCAGAGGGAUGAGAGGUUCGACAACCUCGUCAAGUUCUAUCUUCCUCCCACUCAAUUCUCUCGAGAGAAACUCCUUCUCGAGAAAAGCUCCAUUUUUAGCAACAAACACUUUGCCCUCGGAUUUGAGAUAGAAGGUGUACCCAACUGUCUCUUUUGGGUAACCUAUGAAGACGCACUUUUCCGCUUUGGGUUCCAGCUUUUCAGGCUGAAGCUUUUUGACAUAAGCAUCACAUCCCCAAACUUUAAGAAACGACAACUUUGGCCUUUUGCCAUACCACAGUUCGUAUGGUGUCGUCUCAACGGAUUUUGAUGGUGCCCUAUUUAAAGUGAAUGCAGUUGUUUCUAAUGCAUAACCCCAAAACGAUAACGGCAAAUCGGUAAGAGACAUCAUAGAUCGCACCAUCUCUAAUAAAGUACGAUUACGACGUUCGGACACACCAUUACGCUGUGGUGUUCCAGGCAGUGUUAACUGUGAAACAAUUCCACAUUGUCUUAAGUGAGCACCAAACUCGAAACUCAGAUAUUCACCCCCACGAUCAGACCGUAGGAACUUGAUCUUCUUGUUACGAUGAUUUUCAACUUCACUCUGCAAUUGCUUGAACCUUUCAAAUGUUUCAGACUUGUGCUUCAUCAAGUAGACAUAACCAUAUCUACUCAAAUCGUCAGUGAAGGUGAGAAAAUAACGAUAUCCGCCGCGUGCCUCCACGCUCAUCGGACCACACACAUCGGUAUGUAUGAUUUCCAACAAGUCACUUGUACGCUCCAUUGUUCCGGAGAACGGAGUCUUAGUCAUCUUGCCCAUGAGGCAUGGUUCGCACGUGUCAAGUGAAUCAAAGUCAAGUGACUCCAAAAGUCCAUCAGCAUGGAGUUUCUUCAUGCGCUUUACACCAAUAUGACCUAAGCGGCAGUGCCAAAAAAUAUGGCGCUAUCAUUGUUAACUCUAACUCUUUUGGUCUCAAUGUUAUGUAUAUGCGUAUCGCUAUCAAGAUUCAAUAUGAACAAUCCUCUCACAUUAGGUGCAUGACCAUAAAAGAUGUUACUCAUAGAAAUAGAACAACCAUUAUUCUCUGACUUAAAAGAGUAACCGUCUCGCAAUAAACAAGAUCCAGAUAUAAUGUUCAUGCUCAACGCAGGCACUAAAUAACAAUGAUUUAAGUUCAUCACUAAUCCUGAUGGCAACUGAAGUGAAACUGUGCCGACGGCGAUUGCAUCAACCUUGGAACCAUUUCCUACGCGCAUCGUCACUUCAUCCUUUGCCAGCCUUCGUCUAUUCCGCAGUUCCUGUUUCGAGUUGCAAAUAUGAGCAACAGAACCGGUAUCGAAUACCCAGGCACUACUACGAGAGCCGGUUAAGUACACAUCAAUAACAUGUAUAUCAAAUAUACCUGAUUUUUCUUUGCCCGCCUUCUUAUCUGCCAGAUACUUGGGGCAAUUGCGCUUCCAGUGACACAUACCCUUGCAAUAGUAACACUCCGUUUCAGGCUUAGGUCCAGCUUUGGGUUUCUUCGUCGGAUUGGCAACAAGCUUGCCGCUCUUCUUUGAAUUACCCUUAUUGCCUUUGCCGUUUCUCUUGAAACUAGUGGUCUUAUUCACCAUCAACACUUGACGCUCUUUACGGAGUUCAGACUCUGCGACUUUCAGCAUCGCAAACAACUCGCCGGGAGACUUGUUCAUCCCUUGCAUGUUGUAGUUCAACACAAAGCCUUUAUAGCUUGGCGGCAGUUAUUGAAAGAUUCUGUCAGUGAUAGCCUCUUGCGGGAGUUCAAUACCCAGCUCAGCUAGACGGUUUGAGUACCCAGACAUUUUGAGCACAUGUUCACUUACAGACGAGUUCUCCUCCAUCUUGCAAGCAUAGAAUUUAUCGGAGGUCUCAUACCUCUCGAUCCGGGCGUUCUUCUGAAAGAUAAACUUCAACUCCUGGAACAUCUCAAAUGCUCCAUGACGCUCAAAGCGACGUUGAAGUCCCGGUUCUAAGCCAUACAAGACUGCACAUUGAACUAUUGAGUAGUCCUCCUUACGUGCCAACCAAGCGUUCUUAACAUCCUGAUCAGCCGUAGAGGGUGGUUCAUCUCCUAACGCAGCAUUAAGGACAUAAUCCUUCUUCCCAGCUUGUAAGAUUAGCUUAAGAUUACGAGCCCAGUCUACAAACUUGCUUCCAUCAUCUUUCAACUUAGCUUUCUCUAGGAACGUAUUAAAAAUCAGGAUGACUGUAGCGUGAGCCAUGAUCUACAACACAAAUAUAUUCAAAGUGGACUUAGACUAUGAUCAAGAUAAUUAGAGUUUAACUUAAUCAAAUUAUUCGCUAAACUCCCACUCGAAAAGUACAUCUCUCUAGUCAUUUGAGUGGUUCAUGAUCCACUUACACUAGCUUAAGUCCGAACAUCACGUGAGUUGAGUAUAGUUUCAGUGGUAAGCAUCUCUAUGCUAACCAUAUCAUCUAUAUGAUUCAUGAUCGACCUUUCGGUCUCAUGUGUUCCGAGGCCAUGUCUGCACAUGCUAGGCUCGUCAAGCUUAACCCGAGUGUUCCGCGUGCGCAACUGUUUUGCACCCGUUGUAUGUGAACAUUGAGUCUAUCACACCCGAUCAUCACGUGGUGUCUCGAAACGACGAACUGUAGCAACGGUGCACAGUCGGGGAGAACACAAUUUCGUCUUGAAAUUUUAGUGAGAGAUCACCUCAUAAUGCUACCGUCGUUCUAAGCAAAAUAAGGUGCAUAAAAGGAUUAACAUCACAUGCAAUUCAUAAGUGACAUGAUAUGGCCAUCAUCACGUGCUUCUUGAUCUCCAUCACCAAAGCACCGGCACGAUCUUCUUGUCACCGGCGCCACACCAUGAUCUCUAUCAACGUGUUGCCAUCGGGGCUGUCGUGCUACUCAUGCUAUUACUACUAAAGCUACAUCCUAGCAAAAUAGUAAACGCAUCUGCAAGCACAAACGUUAGUAUAAAGACAACCCUAUGGCUCCUGCCGGUUGCCGUACCAUCGACGUGCAAGUCGAUAUUUUCUAUUACAACAUGAUCGUCUCAUACAUCCAAUAUAUCACAUCACAUCGUUGGCCAUAUCACAUCACAAGCAUACCCUGCAAAAACAAGUUAGACGUCCUGUAAUUUUGUUGUUGCAUGUUUUACGUGGUGACCAUGGGUAUCUAGUAGGAUCGCAUCUUACUUACGCAAACACCACAACGGAGAUAUAUGAGUUGCUAUUUAACCUCAUCCAAGGACCUCCUCGGUCAAAUCCGAUUCAACUAAAGUUGGAGAAACCGACACUUGCCAGUCAUCUUUGAGCAACGGGGUUACUCGUAGCGAUGAAACCAGUCUCUCGUAAGCGUACGAGUAAUGUCGGUCCAAGCCGCUUCAAUCCAACAAUACCGCGGAAUCAAGAAAAGACUAAGGAGGGCAGCAAAACGCACAUCACCGCCCACAAAAACUUUUGUGUUCUACUUGAGAAGACAUCUGCGCAUGAACCUAGCUCAUGAUGCCACUGUUGGGGAACGUCGCAUGGGAAACAAAAAUUUUCCUACGCGCACGAAGACCUAUCAUGGUGAUGUCCAUCUACGAGAGGGGAUGAGUGAUCUACGUACCCUUGUAGAUCGUACAGCAGAAGCGUUAGUGAACGCGGUUGAUGUAGUGGAACGUCCUCACGUCCCUCGAUCCGCCCCGCGAACAAUCCCGCGAUCAGUCCCACGAUCUAGUACCGAACGGACGGCACCUCCGCGUUCAGCACACGUACAGCUCGACGAUGAUCUCGGCCUUCUUGAUCCAGCAAGAGAGACGGAGAGGUAGAAGAGUUCUCCGGCAGCGUGACGGCACUCCGGAGGUUGGUGAUGACCUUGUCUCAGCAGGGCUCCGCCCGAGCUCCGCAGAAACGCGAUCUAGAGGAAAAACCGUGGAGGUAUGUGGUCGGGCUGCCGUGGAAAAGUUGUCUCAAAUCAGCCCUAAAACCUCCGUAUAUAUAGGUGGGAGGGAGGGGACCUUGCCUUGGGGCCCAAGGAGCCCCAAGGGGGUCGUCCGAGUCCAAGGGGGAAGCCUCCCCCCCCCAAACCGAGUUGGACUUGGUUUGGUGGGUGGGAGUCCUUCCUUCCCUUCCCACCUCCUUAUUUUUCUUUUCUCUUUGAUUUUCUUUCCUAGGCGCAUAGGGCCCUUUUGGGCUGUCCCACCAGACCACUAAGGGCUGGUGUGCCACCCUCAAGGCCUAUGGGCUUCCCCAGGGUGGGUUGACCCCCCCCCCCCGGUGAACUCCCGGAACCCAUUCGUCAUUCCCGGUACAUUCCCGGUAACUCCGAAAACCUUCCGGUAAUCAAAUGAGGUCAUCCUAUAUAUCAAUCUUCGUUUCCGGACCAUUCCGGAAACCCUCGUGACGUCCGUGAUCUCAUCCGGGACUCCGAACAACAUUCGGUAACCAACCAUACAACUCAAAUACGCAUAAAACAACGUCGAACCUUAAGUGUGCAGACCCUACGGGUUCGAGAACUAUGUAGACAUGACCCAAGAGACUCCUCGGUCAAUAUCCAAUAGCGGGACCUGGAUGCCCAUAUUGGAUCCUACAUAUUCUACGAAGAUCUUAUCGUUUGAACCUCAGUGCCAAGGAUUCAUAUAAUCCCGUAUGUCAUUCCCUUUGUCCUUCGGUAUGUUACUUGCCCGAGAUUCGAUCGUCAGUAUCCGCAUACCUAUUUCAAUCUCGUUUACCGGCAAGUCUCUUUACUCGUUCUGCAAUACAAGAUCCCGCAACUUACACUAAGUUACAUUGCUUGCAAGGCUUGUGUGUGAUGUUGUAUUACCGAGUGGGCCCCGGGAUACCUCUCCGUCACACGGAGUGACAAAUCCCAGUCUUGAUCCAUACUAACUCAACUAACACCUUCGGAGAUACCUGUAGAGCAUCUUUAGAGUCACCCAGUUACGUUGCGACGUUUGAUACACACAAAGCAUUCCUCCGGUGUCAGUGAGUUAUAUGAUCUCAUGGUCAUAGGAAUAAAUACUUGACACGCAGAAAACAGUAGCAACAAAAUGACACGAUCAACAUGCUACGUCUAUUAGUUUGGGUCUAGUCCAUCACGUGAUUCUCCUAAUGACGUGAUCCAGUUAUCAAGCAACAACACUUUGUUCAUAAUCAGAAGACACUGACUAUCUUUGAUCAACUGGCUAGCCAACUAGAGGCUUGCUAGGGACGGUGUUUUGUCUAUGUAUCCACACAUGUAAAUGAGUCUUCAUUCAAUACAAUUAUAGCAUGGAUAAUAAACGAUUAUCUUGAUACAGGAAUUAUAAUAAUAACUAUAUUUAUUAUUGCCUCUAGGGCAUAAUUCCAACAGAACCCAUACUCAUAUAUAUCACGGUGACCACUCGCGUGGUCAGCGUAGUGUUGGUAGUUCAGCGUAAAGAGGAAGGCAAGGCCCUGCCAGUACAGCGCCCUGUCUACUACCUUAGCGAUUUCUUCUCCGCCUCUAAGCAGAACUACCCUCAUUAUCAGAAAAUGUGUUAUGGUGUUUACCUUGGUGCAAAGAAAUUAAAACAAUACUUCCAAGAGCGUGCCAUCACUGGGGUGAGCACGGCUCCACUCUCAGAGAUCGUGGGCAAGUAGGUUACCGUGAUGCCACGAGCAGAAUUGCCCAAUGGUCCAUCGCCAUGGCGGACCAUGACUUUCAGUACGAGCCUCGCACCGCCAUCAAAUCACAGGUGGUGGCCGACUUCUUAGUCGACUGAGCCGAGACCCAGUUCGAGCCACCGCCUCCAGACUCCACGCAUUGGCGGAUGCACUUCGACGGCUCGAAGAUGCGGACGAGACUAGGAGCCGGCAUCAUCUUGACGUCUCCGAAAGGGAACCAGCUCAAGUACGCUCUCCAGAUCCACUUCGCCGCCUCCAACAACGUCACCGAGUACGAAGCACUGGCCCACGGCCUCCGGCUUGCCAAGGAGAUUGGCAUCCGACGGCUCAUAUGCUUCGGCGAUUCGGACUUGGUGGUGCAGCAGGUCUCUGGCGAAUGGGAUGCCAGGGACGCCAACAUGGCAAGCUACCGCUUCCUCAUCCAGCAGCUCAGCGGCCCCUUCGAGGGUUGUGAGUUCCACCAUGUUCGCAUGGCAGAAAAUGAGGCGGCACACACACUAGCAAAGAUCGGCUCCACAAGGCAGGCCAUCCGAGCUGGCAUCUCCCUCGAGCAACUCCACAAGCCGUCUCCGGAGUCGGCAUCAAUCUUCGUACCGGUCAAAUCCACGAUACAAGUGCCGUCGGCUCCGCCAGUUAUGCCGGCUGCGGACCCCACGCCGGCUGCACUGACGGCUCCGGCUCCAAAUGCGGCACCGACUGAGUCUACGGUGCAAGCGCCGUCGGCUCCACCAACUACACCGGCUUCGGAUCCUAAUUCGGCUCCAUUGGUCCACCCAACUCCAACAACGACAACCCCGGCUCUGCCCGGGUUCGAAUCCUCCCAGUGGGUGGACGUCAUGGAGAUAGACGAGGAACCGGCUGCAGCAAUAGCACCAAAGAUGCCAUCAAGCUCGGGGGUUGCAGAAGCCCCAAACAGUCAAGACGAAGCGGAGGCGACUCUUGUGUCGGCUCCAUCAUGGGCUCAGGCCAUUCUGGCCUUCCUUCUUCGUGGCGAACUUCCUCAAAAUGAGGCGGAGGUGAGACAGACCCAGUGCACGUCCGCCGCUUACGCCAUCAUCAAUCGUGAGCUGGUGCGACGCAGCACGACCGGCGUGUUCCAACGUUGCGUCGAAUCAGAAAAAGGGCAGGAGAUCCUCAGAGACAUCCACUAGGGGGAGUGUGGGCAUCAUGCCGCCUCCAGAACCCUGGUAGCCAAAGCAUUCCGCCAUGGAUUCUACUGGCCCACGGCCCUCGAGGAGGUUGUGGAUCUGGUGGACAAAUGUGAAGGCUGCCAACGCUUUAGUGCACAGAGCCAUAUGCCGCCUUCAGCACUGAAAACCAUCCCCUUAUCAUGGACAUUCGCCGUCUGGGGACUGGACAUGGUUGGGCCCUUCAAGACGGCUCGCGGAGGGAUGACACAUCUUCUUGUAGCCGUCGACAAGUUCACCAAGUGGAUCGAAGCCAGGCCUAUCAAGAAGCUUGACGGCCCCACUGCUGUGAGGUUUAUCACGGACAUCUCUGUCCGAUAUGGCGUUCCCCACAACAUCAUCACCGACAACGACACCAACUUCGCCAAGGGCGCCCUGGCGCUCUACUGUUCCAAGGUAGGCAUCCGGCUCGACCUGGCCUCGGUGGCACACCCCCAGUCAAACGGCCAAGCGGAGAGGGCCAACGGCCUGAUCCUAGCCGGCAUCAAGCCAAGGCUGGUGGCACCACUGGUCAGGUCAGCCGGCUGCUGGAUCAAAGAACUGCCGGCUGUGCUAUGGAGCCUCCGCACCAUGCCCAACCGGUCGACCGGCUUCACUUCAUUCUUUCUGGUAUACGGGUCUGAGGCUAUCAUUCCCACGGAUGUCGAAUUCGACUCGCCUUGGGUCAACCUAUACACAGAAACGGAGGCAAAGGAGGCCAGAGAGGACGGUGUGGAUCUCCUCGCGGAAGCAAGGGACUUGGCUUUGAGCCGGACGGCCAUCUACCAACAGAAGCUAAGAUACUACCACAGCAAAAGGAUCAGGCCUCUCUCUUUUAGGGAGGGAGACUUGGUCCUCAGAAGAAUCCAGCGCACUGCCGGCCGGCACAAGCUCUCACCCCCUUGGGAGGGACCCUUCAUCAGUAGGGCGUUACACAACAACGCUUACUACCUGAUUGACGCCCAGAAGCCAAGGAAGCGCAAGAAGGACGACUCCGGCCAAGAAACAGAGCGCCCAUGGAACACGGCGUUGCUUCGCCCGUUCUAUUGCUAAAAGGCAGAAGACAAGCAAAGGAAAGAGCAUGCACAUGUAUCUUCCUCCCUCUUCAGGGAACAAAGAAGGCAAUAAAAAGGACAUGCUCCAUGUUUCUUUUUGUCAAGAGUUCUCACUCACGUUUACGGGCUACACAGCGUACCACCUCUUGCUGGCUUGCUCAAGCUCGGAGGCUACGCGGCGCGGCCCCUUGCUAGCUUAUAACAAGCUCGGGGGCUCGCCAGCCGCCUGAACGGUCAAACCCUUAUAACGGACACAUAGUGUACUGGCUAACCCCUGGUCCAUCGCUUGAACCUGCGGGCUGACUCCGGUCGCUCGGUUCGCGAUAUGACGCCAGGUAAGGUCGAAUACAUGCAAAGUCCGGCUAUACUUGGGACGACCGUCUCGUGCGGGCUCGAUCGUAUAUACGAUCUCCUUUAAGACUCAAGACGGACUCUGAUUGCCGAGACUCAAGACGGCCUCUGACUGCCGAGAACCACAAAUAUGGUGAAAAAAGCAGGCUCCAUGCUUUCUCUUGCUAAAAGAGUUUUCACUCAGUGUACGGGCUACACCACGUACCACCUCUUGCUGGCUUGCUCAAGCUCGGAGGCUACGCAGCGCGGCCCCUUGCUAGCUUUAAACAAGCUCGGGGGCUCGCCAGCCGCUCGGACGGUCAAUCCUUGUAGUCGGGCACAUAGUGUACAGGCUGAUUCCCGGUCCAUCUCUUGAACCUGCGGGCAGGCUCCGGUCGCUCGGUUCGCGAUGUGACGCCGGGUCAGGUCGAAUACAUGCACAGUCCGGCUAUACUAGUGACGACCGGCUCAAGUUGGUUCAUUCAAGCCGGCCUUUUAUUGGCUUAUGUCUUGUUCUUUACGUCUUGAUGGCUUCGGAUAAGAGAAGUCAACCAGGAAUCAAAAGACGGGAUCAUAAGACAACACGCUUGGUGACGAAUAUAAUGCUGAAUAUAUACAUUCAUAAAAAGCAUUGGCCCACGGCCCGCGUUCGUUACAUCCCUCCGGGGGUACAACCAAAAACACAAAAGGACAUCAGUCACGGGACAGCGGCCUCAAUGGUCAUCUCGGCUGCUGCUCCUGAUGUGGUAGCAUCGCCGCCUCCGGCUCCUCCCGAGGUGGAUGCGCCGUCUCCCCCGUUGCGGCCCCCGGCUCCGCUGAUCCCGGAGUUGGCAUACUCCCCACCGCUGGAGGCGGCUGCAGAUUUCCGCAGCCCAGGCCGCCUCGUCGGAGCUGCCAUCGGUGUCGUAGGGCUGAAGGCCGUGCACAUCCUCAGCGAUCAUACCGCCGUCUUCAUCCCACUCCAAGACGAAGUCGUCCCAGGCUGCGUACUCAGCCACGGCGCUGGCCCUCACCAGGAGCUCCUCCUCCAGGCCUUGCAGCUCCGCCUCUGAGCCGUCGCGCUGGGCAGCCAGCUUGCCCAUGUUCAGGUUGCGAUACCAUGACUUGGCCAAGCGCAGGGCCAUAUAAGCUCCAGACCACGCUGCGGAGGCUCGCCAGGCGUCGAGGCGCUCUCCACCCGCCGUGAGCCAACGGGCAAGACGGCUCAUGGUCGUCAGCUCCACGCCCUCCGGCCACAGGGCCGCCACCAUUGACGAACCCGCAACCUGGAGCUGAGUCACAGACUCGCCCACGACGUGCAGGCGGGCCCGAAGCCCCCACACCAAUCUCCUCGACGCUCCAGCCGGAGGUAGUAUCUACCUCCUCUCCAGCCACGCGGCGCUCCUCGCGGCACACCUCAACGGCAGUGUCGGCUGCGACCUGGGUCUCGGAGAAGAGAUCUGGGGUAAAGAUAGCCAGGACGUAAGAACACAGCAAGAGGAGGAGACGGCCAAAAAAACGCAAAACAAGGAAAGGAAACCUACGCUGGAAGGCGUUGUCGGUCUCAUGAAAGACCUCGAGGACCUCGCGCUCCCGCACCUCACUCGCAUGAGUGAGGCGGGCGAUUUCCUCCUAGAGGGUCCCGGCGGACUCCAGCGCCUUACCCAGCUGCGCUUGCUUCUGUGUAAGGGCUUCAUCCUUCGCCCUCAAGGCGGCGUCCUUGAGGUUCGCCUCCUCAAGAUGGAGCGACGCGAGGCGGUCCAUGUCAGCAGAGUUGGAGGCCUCCUUCUCCUGCAGCAUGGCCCGCAGCCGCUCCAGCUCGACCCGGCCGGUCGCCUGGAGCUCCUUCUUCUCCGCCUGAAGAAGGUCCAGCUGCUCUUGGAGCCGGCCGCCGGCUUCACGAAGGGCAUCACGCUCCGCGGCGGCCUCGCCUAGUCGGACUUCAAGCUCGGCGAUCUGGCUAUCAGCCCCCAGGUGCUGGUCCCGAAGCUCGUUGUACGCCUGUACCUGAGCAUCGUAUAGCGCCUGCCAAAGGGGAGAGAAAGCGAACAUGAUUAAGAUUCGACCUGGUUAAAAGCAUAACCAGCCCGAUUCUCGGGGGCUACACCGAGUGGGUGCGCUUGCGCGCCCCCACUGAAGAAAAAUAUGCAGAAGAAAAAGGCCUCCAAGAGAUUCGGACCGGUUGGCAAUCAACCCGCCCAAUUCUCGGGGGCUACACCUAGUGGGUGCGCUGUCGCGCCCCCACUGACGUCAAGAGAAGAGAAAAAAGCAAAAGAAAAACCAAAAAAGGCAAGGCCUACCUGGGUACGGGCUUCCAGGCGCUCCAUGUCGCCGCAUACCACGCGGGCCGCCUGCUCCACCUUCGACCGGCCGCUGUCAAACAGCAUCACCAGCUCCGGCACGCCGGAAAGAACGGUGCGAGCGGGCAUUCGCAGGCGGGCUGCGUUUGCCGCCCGUCAUGACUUCAUGGGCCGGCUCCCAGGCCGGCCCCCUGCCCUUGGCGCGACAUGGCCCUGCUGGGGGACGACGAUGGCGCCGGCUCCUGGUGCCGGCUCAACGGCCGGCUCGGGCGCCGCACCAGCCGGCGCUACCUCCUCCACAGGAGGCGGAUGAGCCGCGUCCGGCGCAUCCAUGGUCGCCCCUGGGGCGUCAGGGGCCGCGUCCGGCGCGGCCAGAUCCAGCACCGGCGCAUCAGGAGCUGCUUCGGCCCGGGGAGAAACCGGGAUCGUCUCUAGGUCCACCUGCUCCGGGGCUGCCGGCUCAGGCGGCUGGGUCCCUUCGGUCCUCGGGGUCGGCCUGGAGGCGGCCUCGCUAGCUGGCUCCUCCACACGAGCGUGUGCGGAGGGGUCCUGUCUAGCCUUUGCACGCUUCUCCGCCGGCCUCUCGACCCGGCUGAGGCAAGGCUGAUCUACGGCGGCCUUCCCCACAGCCGUGUCCCACCGGCGCUUGGACUCUAUCUCCAGCUCCCUAUCGGCAGCAACAGCUGCUGCCCAGCCGGCCCGCUCGGCCGCGGAGGCGGUGUCUUCAUCCGCAUCCUCCGCAUCCCUGUCAAGCCAAGCUUCUCAGGAACAAAGUUCAUCUCAAGAUAUGGACGGAAGAAGAGGAGGAAACCAUACCCGACAACUACUGGGACCUGCCUCCGACCACCGCCACGGCGCCUCUUGGCGUCGCCUGCUCGCUGCCUGGCUAGGGGACCCGACGCCGGUCGCUUAGAGGCCGGCCGGGAAGUUGUGGCACCCUUGCCCUUCUUCCCGACUGCCUUGUCUGCAGCGGUCGCUCCGCCACCUUGACGCCGGACGCGAGAUGGUAGUGGGCCGGUGACCUCCUCCACCUCGUCGGAGAGUCCCUCGAAGGCUACAUCAGAGUAGAAUGAGGCUUCCUCAUCGUCGUCCGUCCAGUCUGCUAGGGCGUGCCUCGGGUACUCACCAGACGGCUCGGUACCUUCCGACUCCAGGGGAUCUCCCGAGCCGGCGGAGGAGUCUGAGCGGGGCUCCAUCGCAUCCUCGUCCUCCAUCUCGGAGGCGCCGGACACCUCCACCUCAGGAGCAGGCGGACGGAGGGACCCCUGCAGGGUCUGGAACAUCUACAAGAAAGGAAUUUAACCAGGCUUAGCAAAUGCCACCGACUUCAGAACAAAACGACAGAAAAGAAGGGAGAAAGGCUACCAUCAGAGGCGGAUGCGCCUGGUUGAACGGGGCCAUCCCCCAUGUCCAUUUCCCGCCCUCAUCCAUGCGGGCGGUGGAGAUCAAGUUCACCCUUCACGCCACAGCACCCGGGGUGAACCUCUUGAUGGACAGCCGGUAUGGAUCAAGCCGGCCGCUCAUCUGGCAGACCAGAUGUGGCCGCCUCUGCAGAGGCAGAAUCUGGCGGACCACCAUGGUGGCAAGAAGGUCGCGGCCGAGGAGGCCGCUCUCCCUCAAGACAUCAAGGUAGGCGCGAAUAGGCGCCACCUCAGGAUGCUGCUUGGGAGUCUUCGCGUCCCAGUUUUGCCGCGUCGGAUGAGCGACGGCGAACGGGGGCAUGUUGAGAGCGUCCUGGGCCGGGUCGGUCCUCCUCACAUAGAAGAACCCCUUUUGCCAAUGCUUGGCGGAGUCCUGCAAAGGCAUCUGGGGAAAGCCCUGUUGGGGAACGUCGCAUGGGAAACAAAAAUUUUCCUACGCGCACGAAGACCUAUCAUGAUGAUGUCCAUCUACGAGAGGGGAUGAGUGAUCUACGUACCCUUGUAGAUCGUACAGCAGAAGCGUUAGAGAACGCGGUUGAUGUAGUGGAACGUCCUCACGUCCCUCGAUCCGCCCCGCGAACAAUCCCGCGAUCAGUCCCACGAUCUAGUACCGAACGGACGGCACCUCCGCGUUCAGCACACGUACAGCUCGACGAUGAUCUCGGCCUUCUUGAUCCAGCAAGAGAGACGGAGAGGUAGAAGAGUUCUCCGGCAGCGUGACGGCGCUACAGAGGUUGGUGAUGAUCUCAUCUCAGCAGGGCUCCGCCCGAGCUCCGCAGAAACGCGAUCUAGAGGAAAAACUAUGGAGGUAUGUGGUCGGGCAGCCGUGAGAAAGUCGUCUCAAUUAUGCCCUAAAAGCUCCAUAUAUAUAGGAGGAGGGAGGGGGACCUUGCCUUGGGGUCCAAGGGACCCUCAAGGGGUCGGCCGAGCCAAGGGGGGAGGACUCCCCCCCAAACCGAGUUGGACUUGGUUUGGUGGGAGGAGUCCCCCUCCCUUCCCACUUCUUCCCUCUUUUUUUUUCUUUUCCUUUGAUUUCCUUCUCUUGGCGCAUAGGUCCCCUUGGGGCUGUCCCACCAGCCCACUAAGGGCUGGUGUGUCUCCCCAAAGCCUAUGGGCUUCCCCGGGGUCGGGUUGCCCAACCCCCCCCCCCCCGGUCGAACUCCCGGAACCCAUUCGUCAUUCCCGGUACAUUCCCGGUAACUCCGAAAACCUUCCGGUAAUCAAAUGAGGUCAUCCUAUAUAUCAAUCUUCGUUUCCGGACCAUUCCGGAAACCCUCGUGACGUCCGUGAUCUCAUCCGGGACUCCGAACAACAUUCGGUAACCAACCAUAUAACUCAAAUACGCAUAAAACAACGUCGAACCUUANAUUGUAUUUUUUGCACUAGUUUUGUAUGUACGUAGUUUUAUGUGACAUAAUUUUUUUACAUUGAUUAUAUUAUUUUAUGGUCUCUUUUUACGUAUAAAAUAAGACAAAAAUUAUGAAACGUAAAAUUACGGUGAAUUGAUGUUAAAAUUGUUGGGGAACGUCGCAUGGGAAACAAAAAUUUUCCUACGCGCACGAAGACCUAUCAUGGUGAUGUCCAUCUACGAGAGGGGAUGACUGAUCUACGUACCCUUGUAGAUCGUACAGCAGAAGCGUUAGUGAACGCGGUUGAUGUAGUGGAACGUCCUCACGUCCCUCGAUCCGCCCCGCGAACAAUCCCGCGAUCAGUCCCACGAUCUAGUACCGAACGGACGGCACCUCCGCGUUCAGCACACGUACAGCUCGACGAUGAUCUCGGCCUUCUUGAUCCAGCAAGAGAGACGGAGAGGUAGAAGAGUUCUCCGGCAGCGUGACGGCGCUCCGGAGGUUGGUGAUGACCUUGUCUCAGCAGGGCUCCGCCCGAGCUCUGCAGAAACGCGAUCUAGAGGAAAAACCGUGGAGGUAUGUGGUCGGGCUGCCGUGGAAAAGUCGUCCCAAAUAAGCCCUAAAACCUCCGUAUAUAUAGGUGGGAGGGAGGGGACCUUGCCUUCGGGCUCAAGGAGCCCCAAGGGGGUCGGCCGAGUCCAAGGGGGAAGGCUCCCCCCCAAACCGAGUUGGACUUGGUUUGGUGGGUGGGAGUCCUUCCUUCCCUUCCCACCUCCUUUUUUCUUUUCUUUUCUCUUUGAUUUUCUUUCCUAGGCGCAUAGGGCCCUUUUGGGCUGUCCCACCAGCCCACUAAGGGAUGGUGUGCCACCCUCAAGGUCUAUGGGCUUCCCCAGGGUGGGUUGUCCCCCUCGGUGAACUCCCGGAACCCAUUCGUCAUUCCCGGUACAUUCCCGGUAACUCCGAAAACCUUCCGGUAAUCAAAUGAGGUCAUCCUAUAUAUCAAUCUUCGUUUCCGGACCAUUUCGGAAACCCUCGUGACGUCCGUGAUCUCAUCCGGGACUCCGAACAACAUUCGGUAACCAACCAUAUAACUCAAAUACGCAUAAAACAACGUCGAACCUUAAGUGUGCAGACCCUGCGGGUUCGAGAACUAUGUAGACAUGACCCGAGAGACUCCUCGGUCAAUAUCCAAUAGCGGGACCUGGAUGCCCAUAUUGGAUCCUACAUAUUCUACGAAGAUCUUAUCGUUUGAACCUCAGUGGCAAGGAUUCAUAUAAUCCCGUAUGUCAUUCCCUUUGUCCUUCGGUAUGUUACUUGCCCGAGAUUCGAUCGUCAGUAUCCGCAUACCUAUUUCAAUCUCGUUUACCGGCAAGUCUCUUUACUCGUUCCGCAAUACAAGAUCCCCCAACUUACACUAAGUUACAUUGCUUGCAAGGCUUGAGUGUGAUGUUGUAUUACCGAGUGGGCCCCGAGAUACCUCUCCGUCACACGGAGUGACAAAUCCCAGUCUUGAUCCAUACUAACUCAACGAACACCUUCGGAGAUACCUGUAGAGCAUCUUUAUAGUCACCCAGUUACGUUGCGACGUUUGAUGCACGCAAAGCAUUCCUCCGGUGUCAGUGAGUUAUAUGAUCUCAUGGUCAUAGGAAUAAAUACUUGACACGCAGAAAACAGUAGCAACAAAAUGACACGAUCAACAUGCUACGUCUAUUAGUUUGGGUCUAGUCCAUCACGUGAUUCUCCUAAUGACGUGAUCCAGUUAUCAAGCAACAACACUUUGUUCAUAAUCAGAAGACACUGACUAUCUUUGAUCAACUCGCUAGCCAACUAGAGGCUUGCUAGGGACGGUGUUUUGUCUAUGUAUCCACACAUGUAAAUGAGUCUUCAUUCAAUACAAUUAUAGCAUGGAUAAUAAACGAUUAUCUUGAUACAGGAAUUAUAAUAAUAACUAUAUUUAUUAUUGCCUCUAGGGCAUAACUCCAACAGUCUCCCACUUGCACUAGAGUCAAUAAUCUAGCCCUCACAUCAUCAUGUGAAUUACAUUGUAAUAAAUCUAACACCCAUACAGUUCUGGUGUUGAUCAUGCUUUGGCCGUGGAAGAGGUUUAGUCAGCGGGUCUGCUACAUUCAGAUCCGUGUGCACUUUGCAUAUAUUUACGUCUUCUCCCUCGACGUAGUCGCGGAUGAGGUUGAAGCGUCGUUUGAUGUGUCUGGUCUUCUUGUGAAACCGUGGUUCCUUUGCUAAGGCAAUGGCACCCGUGUUGUCACAGAACAAGGUUAUUGGAUUCAGUGCGCUUGGUACCACUCCAAGAUCCUCAUGAACUGCUUCAUCCAGACACCCUCCUUAGCCGCCUCCGAGGCAGCCAUGUACUCCGCUUCACAUGUAGAAUCUGCUACGACGCUUUGCUUGGAACUGCACCAGCUUACCGCACCCCCAUUAAAAAUAAAUACGUAUCCGGUUUGCGACUUAGAGUCGUCCGGAUCUGUGUCAAAGCUUGCAUCGACGUAACCUUUUACGGCGAGCUCUUCGUCACCUCCAUACACGAGAAACAUAUCCUUAGUCCUUUUCAGGUACUUCAGGAUAUUCUUGACCGCUGUCCAGUGAUCCACUCCUGGAUUACUCUAGAACCUACCUGCCAUACUUAUGGCCAGGCUAACAUCCGGUCUUGUGCACAACAUUGCAUACAUGAUAGAACCUAUGGCUGAAGCAUAGGGGACGGAGCGCAUAUGCUCUCUAUCUUCAUCAGUUGCUGGGCACUGAGUCUUACUCAAUCUCGUACCUUGUAAAACUGGCAAGAACCCUUUCUUGGACUGUUCCACUUUGAACCUCUUCAAAACUUUAUCAAGGUAUGUGCUUUGUGAAAGUCCUAUCAGGCGUUUUGAUCUAUCCCUAUAGAUCUUAAUGCCUAGAAUGUAAGCAGCUUCUCCUAGGUCCUUCAUAGAGAAACUCAUAUUCAAGUAAUCCUUUAUGCUCUCUAAAAACUCCACGUUGUUUCCAAUCAGCAAUAUGUCAUCCACAUAUAAUAUUAGAAACGCCACAGAGCUCCCACUCACUUUCUUGUAAAUACAAGAUUCUCCAACCACUUGUAUAAACCCAAAUGCUUUGAUCACCUCAUCAAAGCGUUUGUUCCAACUCCGAGAUGCUUGCACCAGUCCAUAAAUGGAUCGCUGGAGCUUGCACACCUUGUUAGCAUUCUUAUGAUCGACAAAACCUUCGGGUUGUAUCAUAUACAACUCUUCCUUAAGGAAACCGUUAAGGAACGCCGUUUUGACAUCCAUCUGCCAGAUUUCAUAAUCGAAAAAUGCAGCUAUUGCUAACAUGAUUCUGACGGACUUAAGCAUCGCUACGGGUGAGAAUGUCUCAUCGUAGUCAACUCCUUGAACUUGUGAAAAACCCUUUGCCACAAGUCGAGCUUUAUAAACGGUCACAUUGCCGUCAGCGUCCGUCUUCCUCUUAAAAAUCCAUUUGUUCUGAAUAGCCUUGCGGCCCUCAGGUAGUACCUCCAAAGUCCACACUUUGUUCUCAUACAUGGAUCCUAUCUCGGACUUCAUGGCUUCUAGCCAUUUGUUGGAAUCUGGGCCCACCAUUGCUUCUUCAUAAUUUGCAGGUUCAUUGUUGUCUAACAACAUGAUUGAUAAGACAGGAUUACCGUACCACUCUGGAGCAGCACGUGGUCUCGUCGACCUGCGUGGUUUGACAGAAACUUGAACCGGAGUUUCAUGAUCAUCAUCAUUAACUUCCUCUUCAACCGGCGUCGCAACGACAGAGGUUUCCCCUUGCCCUGCGCCACCAUCCAGAGGGAUGAGAGGUUCGACAACCUCGUCAAGUUCUAUCUUCCUCCCACUCAAUUCUCUCGAGAGAAACUCCUUCUCGAGAAAAGCUCCGUUUUUAGCAACAAACACUUUGCCCUCGGAUUUGAGAUAGAAGGUGUACCCAACUGUCUCUUUUGGGUAACCUAUGAAGACGCACUUUUCCGCUUUGGGUUCCAGCUUUUCAGGCUGAAGCUUUUUGACAUAAGCAUCACAUCCCCAAACUUUAAGAAACGACAACUUUGGCCUUUUGCCAUACCACAGUUCGUAUGGUGUCGUCUCAACGGAUUUUGAUGGUGCCCUAUUUAAAGUGAAUGCAGCUGUUUCUAAUGCAUAACCCCAAAACGAUAACGGCAAAUCGGUAAGAGACAUCAUAGAUCGCACCAUCUCUAAUAAAGUACGAUUACGACGUUCGGACACACCAUUACGCUGUGGUGUUCCAGGCGGUGUUAACUGUGAAACAAUUCCACAUUGUCUUAAGUGAGCACCAAACUCGAAACUCAGAUAGUCACCCCCACGAUCAGACCGUAGGAACUUGAUCUUCUUGUUACGAUGAUUUUCAACUUCACUCUGAAAUUGCUUGAACCUUUCAAAUGUUUCAGACUUGUGCUUCAUCAAGUAGACAUAACCAUAUCUACUCAAAUCGUCAGUGAAGGUGAGAAAAUAACGAUAUCCGCCGCGUGCCUCCACGCUCAUCGGACCACACACAUCGGUAUGUAUGAUUUCCAACAAGUCACUUGCACGCUCCAUUGUUCCGGAGAACGGAGUCUUAGUCAUCUUGCCCAUGAGGCAUGGUUCGCACGUGUCAAGUGAAUCAAAGUCAAGUGACUCCAAAAGUCCAUCAGCAUGGAGUUUCUUCAUGCGCUUUACACCAAUAUGACCUAAGCGGCAGUGCCACAAAAAUAUGGCGCUAUCAUUGUUAACUCUAACUCUUUUGGUCUCAAUGUUAUGUAUAUGCGUAUCGCUAUCAAGAUUCAAUAUGAACAAUCCUCUCACAUUAGGUGCAUGACCAUAAAAGAUGUUACUCAUAGAAAUAGAACAACCAUUAUUCUCUGACUUAAAAGAGUAACCGUCUCGCAAUAAACAAGAUCCAGAUAUAAUGUUCAUGCUCAACGCAGACACUAAAUAACAAUGAUUUAAGUUCAUCACUAAUCCUGAUGGCAACUGAAGUGAAACUGUGCCGACGGCGAUUGCAUCAACCUUGGAACCAUUUCCUACGCGCAUCGUCACUUCAUCCUUUGCCAGCCUUCGUCUAUUCCGCAGUUCCUGUUUCGAGUUGCAAAUAUGAGCAAUAGAACCGGUAUCGAAUACCCAGGCACUACUACGAGAGCCGGUUAAGUACACAUCAAUAACAUGUAUAUCAAAUAUACCUGAUUUUUCUUUGGCCGCCUUCUUAUCUGCCAGAUACUUGGGGCAAUUGCGCUUCCAGUGACCCAUACCCUUGCAAUAGUAACACUCCGUUUCAGGCUUAGGUCCAGCUUUGGGUUUCUUCGUCGGAUUGGCAACAGGCUUGCCGCUCUUCUUUGAAUUACCCUUCUUGCCUUUGCCGUUUCUCUUGAAACUAGUGGUCUUAUUCACCAUCAACACUUGAUGCUCUUUAUGGAGUUCAGACUCUGCGACUUUCAGCAUCGCAAACAACUCGCCGAGAGACUUGUUCAUCCCUUGCAUGUUGUAGUUCAACACAAAGCCUUUAUAGCUUGGCGGCAGUGAUUGAAGGAUUCUGUCAAUGAUAGCCUCUUGCGGGAGUUCAAUACCCAGCUCAGCUAGACGGUUUGAGUAUCCAGACAUUUUGAGCACAUGUUCACUGACAGACGAGUUCUCCUCCAUCUUGCAAGCAUAGAAUUUAUCGGAGGUUUCAUACCUCUCGACCCGGGCGUUCUUCUGAAAGAUAAACUUCAACUCCUGGAACAUCUCAAAUGUUCCAUGACGCUCAAAGCGACGUUGAAGUCCCGGUUCUAAGCCAUACAAGACUGCACAUUGAACUAUUGAGUAGUCCUCCUUACGUGCCAACCAAGCGUUCUUAACAUCCUGAUCAGCCGUAGCGGGUGGUUCAUCUCCUAGCGCAACAUUAAGGACAUAAUCCUUCUUCCCAGCUUGUAAGAUUAGCUUAAGAUUACGAGCCCAGUCUACAAAGUUGCUUCCAUCAUCUUUCAACUUAGCUUUCUCUAGGAACGUAUUAAAAUUCAGGAUGACUGUAGCGUGAGCCAUGAUCUACAACACAAAUAUAUUCAAAGUGGACUUAGACUAUGAUCAAGAUAAUUAGAGUUUAACUUAAUCAAAUUAUUCGCUAAACUCCCACUCAAAAAGUACAUCUCUCUAGUCAUUUGAGUGGUUCAUGAUCCACUUACACUAGCUCAAGUCCGAUCAUCACGUGAGUUGAGUAUAGUUUCAGUGGUAAGCAUCCCUAUGCUAAUCAUAUCAUCUAUAUGAUUCAUGAUCGACCUUUCGGUCUCAUGUGUUCCGAGGCCAUGUCUGCACAUGCUAGGCUCGUCAAGCUUAACCCGAGUGUUCCGCGUGCGCAACUGUUUUGCACCCGUUGUAUGUAAACGUUGAGUCUAUCACACCCGAUCAUCACGUGGUGUCUCGAAACGACGAACUGUAGCAACGGUGCACAGUCGGGGAGAACACAAUUUCGUCUUGAAAUUUUAGUGAGAGAUCACCUCAUAAUGCUACCGUCGUUCUAAGCAAAAUAAGGUGCAUAAAAGGAUUUACAUCACAUGCAAUUCAUAAGUGACAUGAUAUGGCCAUCAUCACGUGCUUCUUGAUCUCCAUCACCAAAGCACCGACACGAUCUUCUUGUCACCGGCGCCACACCAUGAUCUCCAUCAACGUGUUGCCAUCGGGGUUGUCGUGCUACUCAUGCUAUUACUACUAAAGCUACAUCCUAGCAAAAUAGUAAACGCAUCUGCAAGCACAAACGUUAGUAUAAAGACAACCCUAUGACUCCUGCCGGUUUCCGUACCAUCGACGUGCAAGUCGAUAUUUUCUAUUACAACAUGAUCAUCUCAUACAUCCAAUAUAUCACAUCACAUCGUUGGCCAUAUCACAUCACAAGCAUACCCUGCAAAAACAAGUUAGACGUCCUGUAAUUUUGUUGUUGCAUGUUUUACGUGGUGACCAUGGGUAUCUAGUAGGAUCGUAUCUUACUUACGCAAACACCACAACGGAGAUAUAUGAGUUGCUAUUUAACCUCAUCCAAGGACCUCCUCGGUCAAAUCCGAUUCAAGAAACCGACACUUGCCAGUCAUCUUUGAGCAACGGGGUUAUUCGUAGCGAUGAAACCAGUCUCUCGUAAGCGUACGAGUAAUGUCGGUCCAAGCCGCUUCAAUCCAACAAUACCGCGGAAUCAAGAAAAGACUAAGGAGGGCAGCAAAACGCACAUCACCGCCCACAAAAACUUUUGUGUUCUACUCGAGAAGACAUCUACGCAUGAACCUAGCUCAUGAUGCCACUGUUGGGGAACGUCGCAUGGGAAACAAAAAUUUUCCUACGCGCACGAAGACCUAUCAUGGUGAUGUCCAUAUACGAGAGGGGAUGAGUGAUCUAUGUACCCUUGUAGAUCGUACAGCAGAAGCGUUAGUGAACGCGGUUGAUGUAGUGGAACGUCCUCACGUCCCUCGAUCCGCCCCGCGAACAAUCCCGCGAUCAGUCCCACGAUCUAGUACCGAACGGACGGCACCUCCGCGUUCAGCACACGUACAGCUCGACGAUGAUCUCGGCCUUCUUGACCCAGCAAGAGAGACGGAGAGGUAGAAGAGUUCUCCGGCAGCGUGACGGUGCUCCGGAGGUUGGUGAUGACCUUGUCUCAGCAGGGCUCCGCCCGAGCUCCGCAGAAACGCGAUCUAGAGGAAAAACCGUGGAGGUAUGUGGUCGGGCUGCCGUGGAAAAGUCGUCUCAAAUCAGCCCUAAAACCUCCGUAUAUAUAGGUGGGAGGGAGGGGACCUUGCCUUGGGGCUCAAGGAGCCCCAAGGGGGUCGGCCGAGUCCAAGGGGGAAGGCUCCCCCCAAACCGAGUUGGACUUGGUUUGGUGGGUGGGAGUCCUUCCUUCCCUUCCCACCUCCUUUUUUUUUCUUUUCUCUUUGAUUUUCUUUCCUAGGCGCAUAGGGCCCUUUUGGGCUGUCCCACCAGCCCACUAAGGGCUGGUGUGCCACCCUCAAGGCCUAUGGGCUUCCCCAGGGUGGGUUGACCCCCCCCCCCCGGUGAACUCCCGGAACCCAUUCGUCAUUCCCGGUACAUUCCCGGUAACUCCGAAAAUCUUCCGGUAAUCAAAUGAGGUCAUCCUAUAUAUCAAUCUUCGUUUCCGGACCAUUCCGGAAACCCUCGUGACGUCCGUGAUCUCAUCCGGGACUCCGAACAACAUUCGGUAACCAACCACAUAACUCAAAUACGCAUAAAACAACGUCGAACCUUAAGUGUGCAGACCCUGCGGGUUCGAGAACUAUGUAGACAUGACCCGAGAGACUCCUCAGUCAAUAUCCAAUAGCGGGACCUGGAUGCCCAUAUUGGAUCCUACAUAUUCUACGAAGAUCUUAUCGUUUGAACCUCAGUGCCAAGGAUUCAUAUAAUCCCGUAUGUCAUUCCCUUUGUCCUUCGGUAUGUUACUUGCCCGAGAUCCGAUCGUCAGUAUCCGCAUACCUAUUUCAAUCUCGUUUACCGGCAAGUCUCUUUACUCGUUCCGCAAUACAAGAUCCCGCAACUUACACUAAGUUACAUUGCUUGCAAGGCUUGUGUGUGAUGUUGUAUUACCGAGUGGGCCCCGAGAUACCUCUCCGUCACACGGAGUGACAAAUCCCAGUCUUGAUCCAUACUAACUCAACUAACACCUUCGGAGAUACCUGUAGAGCAUCUUUAUAGUCACCCAGUUACGUUGCGACGUUUGAUACACACAAAGCAUUCCUCCGGUGUCAGUGAGUUAUAUGAUCUCAUGGUCAUAGGAAUAAAUACUUGACACGCAGAAAACAGUAGCAACAAAAUGACACGAUCAACAUGCUACGUCUAUUAGUUUGGGUCUAGUCCAUCACGUGAUUCUCCUAAUGACGUGAUCCAGUUAUCAAGCAACAACACUUUGUUCAUAAUCAGAAGACACUGACUAUCUUUGAUCAACUCGCUAGCCAACUAGAGGCUUGCUAGGGACGGUGUUUUGUCUAUGUAUCCACACAUGUAAAUGAGUCUUCAUUCAAUACAAUUAUAGCAUGGAUAAUAAACGAUUAUCUUGAUACAGGAAUUAUAAUAAUAACUAUAUUUAUUAUUGCCUCUAGGGCAUAAUUCCAACAAAAAUAGAGGGGGUGAAGAAUAACUAUUCCUCACCCAGGGUGACGAAUAGCGCGACCCUGGAUUGCAUACGAGCAAUUCAAGAGGAAUUGACGGGAUUCUUUAUUGAGCAUGUCAUACCAUCAGAUGGAGAAUAUCAUCAGGAUUUCUUACCGAUUUUGGUGGGCGAUAGAUAUUAGCUAGUUAGGGAUUGCAAGAGAUAUUAUAUAUUGUAUAUAUGUAUGAUCCUGUACUAUAUGUAGUAGCGUCGAGUUGUUUGACCAAGCACGGAGAAAGAGAGGUCAUUUCACUCUAUAUAUGUUCAUGACGAUGUUGUGUAAUUAAUGGUUCCUUCAUUUACUUACUAGCUAACAUCAAGUUCUCUCUAUAUGUAGUAGGUACCGUCGACCAAGCACGGAGAAAGAAAUGUCACUUCUCUCUAUAUGUAGUAGCUAUCUAACACAAUAUGAAACCCCUAAUAAAACCCUCCAAAACCCCUACGCCCCCCUCAUUUAAAAAAACAAAGAACCCAACGCCUACGAGCUGCUGACGCGUGACUGCCUUUGGGUCCCGGUUGGUGUUACCAACCGGGACUAAAGGUCCUCCUGCCUGGGCGCCUCGCAACGGCCGCGUGGAGAUCCUUUGGGUCCGGUUCAUAAGCCAAUCGGGACUAAAUGUUUGGGCCUUUAGUCCCGAUUGUUUUGUCCCGGUUGAAGAACUGGGACUAAAGCCCCUCUGGAACCGAGACUAAAUCCCAAUUUUCUACUAGUGAUAUAUCAUAUUUGAUGCUUGAUUAUAUACUGUUUCAAUUUUUCAUGAUUUAACAGAAACGCUAAAUAAGGUUUAGAUCCGGUAUAGCUCCGCUAUAGCCUUUCAUAGCUUCUGAUCGAGUCGCUGCUAAAUGGCAUAGCCCACUAUUUAAAGCAUUGAAAAUAAUUGACCUGGCGUUAUGGAAAAUGCUUUUAGUUUGUCCUGUACAAAAAAAACUUCCACUUAAUAGUUUAUUUCAGUAUUUUUCAGUCGGGCGUAGUUUAAAUGAUGUCCAUUAUAAAUUGUAAUCUGCAGGCACUUGGAACCAAGGGAAAUAUCAAUGCAUCUGCCCAUUUAAUCUGCACGUGGUUUGAAGAUAUUCUGGGGAGUUAGUUUCAUAUUAGGAGGGGUUUAGCGAAGUAUUUCAACUAGAACUAGAUAAAAAUGAGGAAUUAGAUAAGCCUUAGUUUUUCAUCUUUGCAAAACAUGCCUUAGGUAAUCUCAAUAUCUCAAAUGAAUGAUAUUUUCUUAUUUUUCAUUUUUUAGUCCCUGAUAUUUGUCAUUUUCUCAAGGCACCAAAUUCCAUCUUACCAUGACUAGGACAGGAUUGGACCAGUACAGGAUGCUAUAGUAACACAAUUGGACUCUUCUGUUAACCAAGAGGUCAUCGGUCAAGAACAUCACCAUCACUUAGAUGAGCCAGUAGGUGGUAUGUAUCCAACUUUAGUUGGCGGCUAGUAGCCAAGUCUCCUAGUCAGCAACAUCACGUUCAUGUAGAGGCACUAGUUGGCAUGUAAUGUCCAUUCUUUGGAGUUCUAUUUUUAACUCUGGCAGCCACUCACUUAUUCAGCCAUUCAUCUGCACGUCUGUGCUUCUUUGUACAAGUCUGCCAUGGCGAUGCCCACUACCCUCAAGGUCUUAACUAUCUUGUAUGUGCUUGUACUUCUUGUUGCAUAUCAGGUUGAAGGGCGAAAUCAUCGGCCUGAUUGUCCUACUUUCUCAUGCGGCCCACUUGGAUACGUAUCAUCCCCAUUUCGUCAGGCAAGUGAUCCACCUGGGUGUGGUCAUCAAUCGUACGAGCUAGUUUGCAGUGAUACUAAGGCUACAAUUCACAUCGACAAUGCAACAUACUAUGUGUCUGGGAUCAACUACAGUGAUUCUACCUUCUGGAUCGUCGAUGCCGACAUAGAUUUAUACAACAGCUGCCCUCUACCGCGGUGGAAUUAUGAUCAGCAUCCAGCUGCUGGUUUCACGCUGAGAAACCGGCAACACGACACUCAUCACGCCAUCAAAGUUGAAUUGGCACCUGCAGCAUAUAAUCAGGCUAUAUUUGUUAAUUGUUCUCGGGAAGUGAAGGACAACGGUAUGUACAGGCCUGUUGCUUGCUUGAGCACCAGCCAUUCUUUUGUUUAUGUGUUAAUAACUGGUGGCCUAGGGAGAGGGAGUACUAUGGCGAACCUUGAGCCUUGUUGCGGUUAUUUGGCCAUGACUCCAUUAGGUGGCCAGGAAAUUGGCAUGAAGGGCACUGCACCGCUUGAGAAUGCAAGCUAUGCAGAUGUCGUAAAAUUCAUGACACACGGCUUCCGCGUUAAAUUUCCUUUCAGACUUCGCCAAUCUGGAGACUUCUUGGGAUGUCUGAUGGAUGAUUUGGCGCCGUGAGUUUGAGAUCUUGAUACCUCGUACUUGUAAGCUCUGCUUUUGUUUUUGCACAUGCACACCUGAUCAUUCUACAUUUUUCGUUUUUUUUUUUGCAGCACAUUCACUAAAGAUUGGAUUCUAACAAUUCUUUCGAUUGAUGUAAGUUUCAUGGGUUGCGCAGCUAAAGCAGUUCCAGAACCAUUUGAUAUUUGCUUGUAUAUAAUUAUGGCGUCAUUAGCAUAUGCCAGGCUUAUUGCUGGUACGUGAGAAUUACAUAUUCCAGUAUGGUUUACUGCCUGUGUCUAUAAAUCAGAUCACAAAUAAACCUGUUUUGUUUUAUGCAGUGUUCUGGAGGUUUGUAUUGGUGCCCCUGGUCGUAUUAAUCUUCCUUGCCCACAAGUAUUGGAAAACAAGGAUCACGAUGGAUGCUGUUGAGAAGUUCCUCCAGAUGCAGCAAAUGAUCGGCCCGUCAAGGUACGCCUAUACAGACAUCACCGCAGUCACCAGCCAUUUCAUAGAUAAGCUGGGUCAGGGAGGCUAUGGCUCCGUGUACAAGGGUGUGCUGCUCCCAGGCAAUGUCCAUGUCGGGGUCAAGAUGCUAGAGGGUAACUCCAACUGCAAUGGAGAAGAUUUCAUUAGUGAGGUUUCAACCAUUGGCAGGAUCCACCAUGUCAAUGUGGUGCGUUUAGUUGGCUUCUGCUCGGAGGAAAUGAGAAGGGCGCUUGUCUACGAGUACAUGCCUCGAGGUUCUCUGGACAAAUACAUCUUCUCGGCUGAGAAGACUUUCUCCUGGGACAAGCUCAACGAGAUCGCUUUGGGCAUUGCGAGGGGUAUCGACUACCUGCACCAGGGUUGCGAGAUGCAGAUUCUCCACUUUGACAUCAAGCCGCACAACAUCUUGCUAGACAGCAAUUUCAUCCCUAAAGUUGCUGAUUUCGGUCUCGCUAAACUAUACCCAAGGGACAAAAGUUUUGUGCCAUCGAGAGCCCUACGGGGAACAAUUGGGUACAUAGCUCCUGAGAUGAUAUCUCGUAGCUUUGGUGUCAUAUCGAGCAAGUCUGAUGUUUAUAGCUUUGGGAUGCUCCUGCUAGAGAUGGCCGGAGGAAGAAGGAAUGCUGAUCCAAAUGCGGCAAACACGAGCCAAGCGUACUAUCCGUCGUGGGUGUAUGACAAACUAACUGCUCCAGUGGUGGAUGCGAUAUGUCCAGUUGCUAGCAUGCAUGAAUUAGAGAGGAAGCUGUGCAUCGUUGGAUUAUGGUGCAUUCAGAUGAAGUCACAUGACAGGCCAACGAUGAGCGAGGUCAUAGACAUGUUGGAAGGUGGCUUUGAUGGCCUGCAGAUGCCUUCCAGGCCAUUCUUCUGCGACGACGAUCACACCGCUGUCCCGGAUUCUUACCCUUUGUUGUCCGAGCUGACAGAGAUCUCAGAGGAGGAUAAUGAGUAGCAUAUGUGUGUGUGUGUGUGUGAUUUAAUGUCUCAAGUCUUACGAAAUAACCUACUAUUAUGUUUUCCCAGACAUGUGAAGUUUUAUGUGGAAAGAUGUAAUAAUAUUUAGCAGUUAGAGGAUGUAGAUCUCCAACUGUUAAUUGAAACGUAUUUAUCUUCUUGAAAGACACACACAAAAAGCAUGAUGUAAAAAAUGCAGAGUACUCUGUUUUCUUCAGCUGCUGAUGAUGCUCGAAAUUUUUGGAGUGGGUAUGAACAGACCCAGCCUGUCCUGUAUGAAGUAUGAACCCUUGUGAUUGAUAAAGCUUGGGCUUAGUGUAUGGAGAUGAUGAUGAUUGCAGAGGAAUUCAUGUCGACGAUGGUGUUCACACUUUUAUCUAUUUUUCCUAAGGCUAAAUUCUUGUAACCAUGAAUGUGAGUGUGUACCUGCAGUCUAGUGUUGCAUAGUUUUUUUUUUGAUAAAGGGCUUUUAUUGUUGAGUUGUUACGUUCCUUGUGCAUUACGCUGCCUUGUACUUAUCCACUGUAACCACCAUACCUGGUCCUGGGGAUGACCGCGGCACCACCUCCUCCAUAUCCCUGCAUGUAGGGAUCGGUGGUGACCCUUGGUGUAUAUAUGUGUAAUCACUUGAUGAAUAAAGUGUGUGCAUUGUUCCACAAUUCUUCUUUUAUUACUUCAAAGUUUAAGCAUUACACCCGUCCUUCCCAUAACUAGGAUGUACACAUAUGAACCAAAGUAGUCAGAACAGCAGCGACCUCACCGUCAGGUCAGGGUAAGAAAAAUUAAGUUGGUUUUCUUGCUGUUAUACACAUUCCAAUUUAAAGUUCAACAGAAAACUACUGUACAAGCCAAGAAUACAACCUCCUGCCGUAUGCGUUCCCGCGAUUACGAGUGCGAUUGUAGACUCGCUAUCGUCCAAUCCCGCAUCUUCAGCAGUAAACAGCCGCUGCGAGAAGGAUGAGUGCUCUAGCUCAUAUAUAUGAACCACUGCAAACGACUGGAUAGCACCAGCAACCUCACUCCUAGGGCACCUCCCUCUCAAAACAGGCUUUCUCCCCGCUUUAUAUAUAAAGCAUAAGUUCCAGCAUCCAUACAACCACAGCCCAACAUAGUGAUAAAACAAAAGAGUGUUGGGGCAACAGCACAGUCACGCCCAAGAAAAGGAAAAAGAAAACAGAAAACGCCAACAAAGGGGCAAGCUAAGCAUCAUGGGAGCGGGGGAAGAGCCGUCGGGCAGACAUCAUCAGCGCGUCCAGAUAGCCCUGAAGCCGGCCGCGGUCUCGGGGCCUAACGAGCGGAUGCCAAUGCUGCAAGAAGGCAAGGAAUUUGAAGAACGAGUCAGAUGCAUGCCGCUGAAACACCCGCUCAAUCACCAUCUUAUUGCGAGUCGUCCAAAGAGUCCACGUCAAUGCUGCGAAUACCAGCCAGAACAAUCAGCGCUUACGGCCAGCCUGGGUGUCCCUUACUUGCAGAAAUUCUGCGAGGUCAUGGGCCUCCCACUCAGGUCCCAGAGCCUCACGCACAAAGCAUCAAAGGGCUUGUGCCGCAAUGCAGGAGAAUAGAAUAUGACUUCCAAUCUCUGGGACGUGGCACAGGGGACAGGUGCCGUUACCCGGACCAUGGCGUUUCAGCACCUCGGUCCCUGAAGGCAGGAGGUCAUGGAGAAGCUGCCAAACAAAAAUCUUAAUCUUCAGGGGCAACGGUGCCUUCCAAAGUGGGGAUAACCACGGAAGGACCGGCAACCUGCACAGAGCCAAAUAUGCCAAGCUAACGGAGAAUUCUCCCGAAGGAGAAAGACCCCAAGACACAUAAUCUCUACCCGACGAGACUAGGAGAGGCACCACUUCCUUCAAGAUCUCCCACUCGUGGACCUCGGCUGUACCGAGGGGGUGGCGGAACGCAACAUGCCAUCCGUCCUCCAGAGCGGACGUGGAGACAAGGGCGGUUGGGUCGCCGCAAAGAGCAAAGAGCAUCGGAAAUCGCAGGCGUAAAGGUUCCCCAUCCAGCCACGGGUCCAACCAAAACUGGGUCCCAGACCCAUUGCCCGCCGAGACCCGUAGGCCCAGCCUAAUAUCAUUCUUGAUGCCUUGAAUAGAUUUCUAGAACUGCGACCCAGUCGCGAGCGAGCAGGCCAAGAGGGGUCUACCCUAAAGGUACUUGGCCUCAAUUAAUUGUAGCCACAGACCCCCAUCUCCCUGUAGGAUCCGCCAAACCCAACGCAGCAUCAGGGCAACGUUCAUGCGGCGGGAUGCAGGUAUGCCCAAGCCCCCUCGAUCCUUCGGUAAGCAAAUAUCGGCCCACUUCACCAUGUGGUAUUUAGGCCUACCAUCCCCUGCCUGUCAGAAGAACCUAGCCAGCUCCUUGUCAAAGGAGCUAUGUACGCCUUCAGGCAAGAUAUACAUCCCCAUCAUAUAUAUGGGGAGACUCGCAAGGUUAGCGCUAAUGAGGACGGUCUUGCUGCCCUUAGACGUGAACCUGCCGCACCAGGGCUCCGCACGGGACGCUACUCGUCCCACGAGCGGAUCAAACCCGCUAACCAUGAUCCUGGACUCAGCCAGAGGCAUCCCCAAAUAAGAGAUGGGGAGGACAGCCAGGGCAAGGAAAGUCCCAUCUCUGUCAUCCAAAUUUCUACAGGAAUAAUUUCAGACAUGUAAACGUCGAAACGACUUGUAGACCGAGAACAAAUUGCCACCACAUUCCAAUUUAAUAUGUGUUAAUUUCAGCCGUAUAAAAAGACAUUCAAAUGACUUGGAAGUCCAGCAAAAAAACUAAAAGCUAAGAAUGUGACCUCCUGCCGUAUGGGUUCUUGCGAUGACCUCUGCCUUAUGUGUCCCGCAUCUUCGGGAGAGAGUCAUGAAUGCGAUUGUAGACUUGCUCUGAAAAUUCCAGGCCCGGUAUCAUCCCCAUCAAGUAAAUUACUGUGAAAAUGAUGAUUGCUUCCAUUACAAAAUCAGUGGAAGUCAGUAGCAGUGUAAGUCUCCGAUCAAUCCAAAGCUGCUCUGGUGUUGGUGUGGGGCUUAUCGACCAUCGCAAAACAGUGGACAACAGUAGUUAUCUUAGACCUCAAUCAGUCUCAGGGCAACAAAAAUACAUAUGUUGCUUUUUCUAAGGAAUAUUUUUUAGAGCAGUAUUGUAUACAUAGCUACCUCAAAACGAAUAAUUUAGCUCAUAAGAAAUUAAGAAAGGAUCAGGAAUUUAACUCAUCACUCAUCAUAUGAAGAAGACAAAAUAAAAACAGCAAAAAAACAUAAACACUGCCAGCAAAUAUUAACUUGGGUAUUAGAGAUAACAAACACAUGAAUAGGGGUGUUUAUAAAUGUGCUCCCUUUGUAAAGCUUGGGCUCAGUGUUCCCACGCCUCCAGCGAUAUUCGUCAUGGGCAGAUAGUACGGCCGCCUCCAUUGUUCCCCACGUCGAGUGCAGUAAUGAAGUGGAAGUUUGACGGUCCGACACUAUGCUGGGUGAUGGAUCAGAGCCGGGGUAGGUCAGCGGCGUGGCCGCCGACGCUCGUACCUGCCAGGCACUCCGAUCCAGUACCUUUGCUGACGCGUAGCCACCUUUAAUCGUAGAGUCUCGUCAUGACCUACGACCUGAUGUGACUUAAGGUCCCCGGCCGGCUAGCCCGCCUGGGCAUGGCCGCCUCGUUUCUAGCCGGCUGGCUUGGUCAAGGCGGUCAAGAAGAGGUAGCCGUCUCGUCCUCCAGCCGGUAGGUGCAGUCUAGCCGGCCAGAGGACUUGGGCCUUGGGGAAUUAUACUUGGUCAUUCUUUUUGGGCAGGAGAAGAAGGAGCAGGCUCGAUGAGCCUACCCCGGGGUUAUCCCCCAACACUCGGGCUCAGUAUAUGGAGAUGAUGAUGAUUGCAGAGGAAUUCGUGUCGACUGCACUUUUAUCAUUUUUGGUAAGGUUAAGUUCUUGUAACCAUGAAUGUGAUUGUUUACCUGCAGUCCAGUGUCGCAUAUGGACCAAACUAGUUGACAGCAGCAGCCUCACCAUCAACUCAGGGUGAGAAAAAUUAAGCUGAUUUCUUGCUGUCACACGCAUUGUGAUUUAAUCGACGGCAAUUUCAACGGUAUAAAAAUCAUCCAAAUGACUUUGAAGUUCAGCAGAAAACUACUGUACAAGCCAAGAAUGCAACCUCCUGCCGUAUGCGUCUCCUGCAAUUAAGAGUGUGAUUGACAAGCACUGCAAGGACGACAAGUCCUCCGGCUCAUAUGAACCACUAUAAAUAACUGGACAGCAGCAGCAACCUCGCUCUCAGGGCAAAAAAAAGUCCAGUAUCUGUCAUCCGAAUUUCUACAGCAAUAAUUUCAGACAUGUAAACGUCGAAACGACUUGUAGACCAAGAACAAAUUGCUAAUGCGUUAAUUUCAGCCAUAUAAAUAACAUUCAAAUGACUUGAAAGUCCAGGAAAAAAGAGAGCUAAAAAGCUAAGAAUGUGACCUCCUGCGUAUGGGUUCUUGCGAUUACCAGUACCGCUGUAGACUCGCUGCCGUAUGUGUCCCGCAUCUUCGGCAGAGAAUCAUGAAUGCGAGUGCAGACUUGCUCUGAAAAUUCAGAGCCUGGAGCGAAAGGUGGGAGGGGAGGGUGCGCGCUGUCCUCUGGGAGCUCUAUACGACGCCUUGUGCACCCGACUGCCAAGGAAACGCACAAAAGACUCAGACCUGGGCUGGCCCGGUAGCCAUUUUACUGUAGCGCCAGAUCGAUAAUACAGUAAAAAAACACAUGCGAGCAAAUGCUUCUGUAGCUGCUGCAUAUUGUAAAAGACGAACCUUUUCAAAAAUUACGACAUUUUAAAUUGAAUAUGUUUCUGAAAACAUGAUGUUUUUUCAAAUAUGCGAACCUUUUUUCAAAAAACGUUGAACACUUUUUGGUUUGGGAAAAGAUUACGUUUCACCGGCUGAUCUGAUUGAUCCAUCCGCCGCCUGCUCGUCCGUUAGAUCUCGCCUCGAUCACGAACCAUUUCCCGAAACUGGCUCGUUGUUUCAGAAACUGAAGCGUUAAUUCAUGACGGGGGCUGAAGCUGGAGCACUCCAGGUUCCUCGUCGUGGCUACUCUGCUACUGGGGACGAGCCUGCCGGAGUCCGGCGAACCGCCACCGCCAUCGGUCCUCGCCAGCUCGCCGGAUCCCCACCUCGCCGACGAGAUCCAGCCCCUCGCCGGGUCCCCACCUCACCGGAUCGCCAGAUCCCCACCUCGUGCGGUGAACGAGGAGGUGUGCGGCGCGGACGCCGGCAAGCUUCCGCCGCCGGGAGCUUCUCUGCCUCGCUGGAGAUGCGUCCCUGCUCGCACGCCCGACUCUCCGUUGAGCAUGGAUCCCGGCUGCAACAUGACUUUUGUUGCAAAAAUUCCUGAAACUCGACCGUUGUUGCAAAAAAUUCUUUUGUAAAAAUAUUUAUGUUACAGAAAGAUGAAGAAAAAUAAUAAUUCUGCAACAAGCAAAUUGUUUCUGAAAGUCGACCGUUGUUUCAGGAAUUAACGGAUCCAAAGUUUAUUUCUUGCAAUAAAUCGAAAGUUUCCGCAACUCGAGCGUCGUUUCAGAAAAUAACUGCUGACCAUGCGACGGGAAUGUGCGGUGUUAGGUCGGCAUCCGACGGCUAGCUAGGUGAUGAAUAAUUUUUCAAAAUCAUCCGGCGGACGCGUAGCGUUCCCCUUUUGAUUUCUGGAACAUUUUUCGAAUUUUUUAUUAUAUGUUGAAAAUAGGAAACAUUGUUUCGAAAGCGCAAACAUUUUUUAGAAAUACGAACAUUUGCAAGAAUUUUUACAAAUUCCGGAACAUUUUUUCAAAAGUCGGAAUACUUUUGAAAUUCCGGAACAUUUGUAUGAAAUAUACAAAACAAUUUUAUCAAAAUCCAGAGCAUUUUUUGAAAUUUCGGAACAUUUUUCUGAAAAUCCGAAACUAUUUAUAAAUAUUCGGAACAUUUUUCAAAUUCUGAAACAUCUUCUAAAAUGCCGGAUUUUUUUUAAAUUACGGAACAUUUUCUUGAAAAAUACGAAACAUUUUUAUAAAAUUCUGGUACAUUUUUUCAAAUUCCAGAACAUUUUUCUAAAAUCCGGAACGUUUUUUUCAAAAUUCUGGAACAUUUUUUCAAAUUCCAGAACAUUUUUCGGAAAAUACGAAACCUUUGUAUAAAAAUUCCGGAACAUUGUUUGAAAUUCUGAAACAUUUAUUCAAAUUCUGGAACAUUUUUUCAAAUUAUGAAACAUUGUUUCAAUUUAUGGAACAAUUUGUUAAAUUUUGGAACAUUUUUACAAAUUCCGAAACAUUUUUUCAAAUUCUGGAACAUUUUUUCAAAUUCCAAAACAUUUUUUGAAAAUCCAGGACUUUUUUGAAACAGAAACAGAAAGAAAGAAAUAUAAAAGAAUGAAGAAAAAAGAAACUGAUUUUUUUAUUAUCCAGAACAUUUUUUGAAACAAAAACAGAAAAGAAAAACAGAAAAAGAAAACUAAAAAAACAGGUUCAGUGAACAUUAUAGAAGUUUUCCAAAACCGGAAAAAACCGACUAAAAACCCUAGAAGAUUCCCAAAACCGGAACCACCUAAACAUGUUAACGGGCCGGCCCAUGUAAUCACUCCUGUGUUUGCCCUGUUCUGUGCGUUUGCCCGACAGUUUGACGCAAAGAGCAUGAAAUAGGAUAUUCCCUGUCCUCAUUCCUAGUGCACGAGUCAUGUUAUAGAAGGUCCCGUUACAUCGUCCGUGACACAUUUUAGUUUGGUCAGUUUAUAGCUUCUGCCUCACAAGAUGCCCAAAUUACAACACCACAACCAUUGUGAGACCUCCUCCCCAUCACCUUAAGCGUCAAGGAUGGUAUUCACCGCUCAUGUGCAUCCCCACUUGGACUAGCACAUGCAAAGGAGGCGAGCGCUCUCUAAGGACACACUGUUUUCCCGGUUGGCUGCUCAUGAUUGACCAGUCCAGAUAGGAUUUUCCAAAAAGUAGCCAGACAAUUUGUUUACAACAAGGUGAUGGGUUCUAGGGAAAAUCCUAUAUGCCGCUCACUGCGUCCAAUUGUUGACGCUUCGCACAGGGUGAUGGGUCCAAAACAGGAACACUUUGUGAAAACACGGGCAUUUUCAAGACAUCAGGACUUCUUUUUAAAAAUGUGAACAAUUAAAAAAAUCAAGAAUUUUUUCAAUAAAAAAUAUGGACAUUCAUUAAAAAGAAAAUAAAGAAACAAAAACGAAUAUAGAAAAUAGAAAACCAAACAAAACCGGUAAAAACUGAACAUGAACCAUGUAGGAAGUUCUUAAACACGUGACUCGAUUGAGGCUAAAUAGGCUGAUCCAUCUCUCGGUUAUUCACCUUAUUAAAACGUCAAAUAAUAUGGAUCCUAGGGAGUAAAUUUUUUUAAAAACGUAAAAUGCUACUCCCUUAGAUCCAUAGAAAUUUGAAAUCAACGACAAUUAAUAUGGAUUAUAGCAGUAGCAUCUUUUGAAAUUAUAGGUAAUUUAUUUAAAAUUUCAACAUUUUUUUAAAAUAUAAACAUUUAAAAAAACUCCCCCAAGGAACAUUCUCUGAAAACACGACAUUUUAAAAAAUCAAGACUUAUAUAUGAAAAGUUAACCGUUUAAAAAAUCUAACAUUUUGAAAAAUUCAAGACAUGUAUAUGAAAAGUGAACAGUUAAAAAUCUAAUAUUUUCCCUAAUUUCAUAACAUUUAAGAAAAAGGAAAGAGAAAAAGAUAAAAACCAAAAUAUAAAGCAAAAAACCGAACAUGAACCGUCUAGAAAGUUCCUAAAACCAGGAUUCUGUAGAGCACGUAGCUGCUAUGGCUCGAUGCAUCUCUCGGUCAUUCACCUUCCUGAAAUGACGAAUGUUUUGUUGCAGAAUGCAUCAAAUAGGUUUCAUCAUUCUUUCGUCUUUCAUCUGCUUUCGAAUUUCCCUUUCGUCAGGGUUAGGUGAAGCACUACAGCCGAAGGCCAUGCUCACAUAGAGGGCCUAUUUGGUGCACCGAGCAAUUGGUGCUACUUGUGCACUGGACCCCACACAAUUGAUGCUCGCCAUGAUGGUGAUAAGAUAAAAAAAACUUUUAUUUACUUUGUAGGGGCGCACAACCGCGAUAUGGUGCCACAUAAUUUGACCACGAGCAUGACAAAAAACAGGAGACAUAUGAAUCCAGGCGUGGAUCGGAGGUUACGUUCCGAACGUACAACCCCCUACACGAUUUGGGUCAGCCCGUUGGGCGCCAUUUGUUACGUUCUUUAUUUUCUAUUAUCCUCGUUUUUUGUUUUACCAUUAAAUUUAUAUAUAAUAAUUUUAUUUUGAGAAAAUUUUAAAAUAUUCACAAAAACAUUACAAAGCCAUAAAAUGUUCGUAACUUCAAAAGUAUUGUUUAUUAUUUCAAAAACUAUUCAUGAAUUUCACAGAAUGUUCACAGAGUUCAAAACUUGUUCAAUUUUUUAAAAAUGGUCACAAAUUCAAAACAAUCAUGGUUUUAAAAAAAUGUUUGUUUCAAAACAAAAUAUAAAUUAAAAAAAUAUGUUGACAAACUUCAUAGAGUUUCUGAAUAUAAAAAAUGUUCACAAUUUAAGAAAUGUGCAGGAAUUUCAAUAAAAUCUGGAAGUUAGGAAGGUUGUUACCAAAGUUCAAAAAAAACUUGCCUAUAUUUAAAAUGUUCCAAAAUUAAAUAAUUGUUAACAAUUAAAACAUAUCUUGAAUUUUAAAAAAUAUUUAAGAAUUUGAAAAUUAUUCUCUUAUAUUGACAAACGUGAAUUUAAAUUUGAUUGCAAAUUUUAUAAAUCAUGCACAAUUUUCAAAGAAAUCACUAAUUUUAAAAAUUGUUUCAAGGAAGGAUCUAGAAGUUUCCAAAACCAGUGGGAAAAAAGCAGAAUGGGCCAUCCCAUGCAGAGGACAGGGCGUGUGUAGGUUAUACGGUAGAUUGCUUUUUUUUAUUUACCACAAUACAAACAUAGAUGUUCAUACAUAUGUAUAUACACUCACCUUAACGAACGCACAUGUUAUUCUUAUAAGCAUCUUUGAAAGACUAAGCCGACACAAUAUAUCAAGAUCUACUAGAGAGACACUUAUGGUUAGUUGGUUGAUAUCCAGAUACCUUCAUGGGAAAUAAGAAACACCCAAAAACAGUUGAUCAGUUUGUAUUAUUGCGUGUGCAAGUCUACCACAAUGCCCAACCCUAGUUCUUAUCGAUACAUCAUUCUUAUGGUGAAAACAACUCAAUGGUUCGUGCGUGCAAACAAGGCCCGCCCGUUUUACACGGCUCGUCCCCCUUGCCUCUCCCCAUACCUCAACACGUUUUGGUCCUCGACGAUAGAUGACCUCUCAAGUGGCUGCAUCAUUAAAAAGUGCUACGGCAAUUCUUUGUACUUAGGAAUUAUCACACCUGUUGCAUGCCACACCAUGUGAUCGAUGCCGAUCAAACAACAGAACGUGCGACUGAUGUUGUUGAUCGAUGAAAGCGUUUUUCAAAUAAUUGGUGGUUGGAUGGUUAGGAGAACAGAAAUAUUCAUGUCCCGUGAGAGUUCAAGUUCUAGGCUUGAAGUUGGUGCUCGCAUUAUUUUUGAAUUUAUUUUUGGCUUCUGUCAGUGUUCAUUCAGUGAAAGGAGACAUCCCGUCGAGGCGAGACACAUGUGAUGACUUUGUAAAGUCUGAAGAUGCUUUGUCGACUCAGUCUCUCGGAGAUGCUCAAAGAAGUAGAGUAUGCGUGCGUGCGUGCGUGUGUGCAUGCAUAACGACAAGUGUAUGCUCAUGUAUGCAAGCGACUUCGAUCGUAUUGUGUUAAAAAAAAUCAAUUGCAAAGUAAAGACAGUGACGAAUAAAAAUCCCCUUUUGCAGGGGAGCCCAACUCUGCCCGUUUAUAACCCUUGUGGCGGACAGUGACGAAUAUUGUGUUUAAAAAAUAUUUUCCGGACAGAAAGACGUAUCCACAUUUUUUGCAACUCGGACCCUUGUGGCUGCCGGCGAGCGAUUCCCGCCCUAAUUCUCCGGCGUCUAAGCGAGCUCCUCGUCUUUCCUUGGGCUCCGGCGAAGCGCCCCCAUUCCUCUGCUCCGGUGAGUAAUCCCCCUUGCUCUCACUUCGUUUUUAGUGACACGAUUAUUUUCAGGAUCUGCGCAUUAGAAAGAGCUUAGUUACAGAAGCGUCGAUCCGCAGAACAAAGCUCCAUGUGAUUCCGAUAUGCUGCAAAUAUCUACUAGUACAUGGUGAUGACUGGUUAUUCAUGCAUCAGCUGGCAGGUGCUAGCACAGGGGAGGGGAAAGAUCGGAACAUGUUCAGUCGACUGCUGAUAUUUGAAGGAACAGGGAAAUAGAUAUUCUGUGAUGUUCUCAGCACAAUGGAAAUGACAAUCAUGUUUCCUGAGGAUCCCAGUGUGGAAUAAUGCACUGUAGGAAAUAUAAAUCAGCGGAGCGUCACAACAAGGUAAGCAACAAACCACUGCAUUUCUAACUGUUAUUAUACAGUCCAAAUGAAGUUCUCAUAUGGUCUUGCAAAUACCUGGUAGUAGUAUUUUAUUACAUGGGGACGGACGAUUAUUCAUACAAUCAGGUGCUAAUAAGUAAUAGAGUGGAAAGAAGGAAAUAUAAUGCACGCUAGUGCUACUGCUAUGUAUUGUUGUGCAACACAUGGACUAAGUGCAUGUCUUCAAAUAAUGGCAGCAUUCUCUGUGCUUUUAUGUUCUAGGAUGAUGAUUUUCAGACGACACAAAGGGCUUAGGGGGAAUCUGUAGGUUCUGCAACCUCCCAGUUAACAUGUUUACCACCUUUGUCAUUGAUGGCCGAUUCUUCGGGUUCCACUGGAUACACCACAGGGCCACAAUAGUCAGCUGCCUCAUCUUUUCUUUUUCUUCUCCUGUCAUUUCUGAAGUAAGCUCCCAUUCAUGUCCACUGAUUACUCUCUCGUAGACCCAUUCAGGGAGAUAUACCUCGUCCUGGUACUCAACACUUGGGUCUGAGUUCCUCCUUCCACUCACCAUUUCUAGCACCAGCAUGCCGAAACUGUACACGUCUGACUUGUAAGACACCCCUCCAAAGUUCCGAGAAUAUACCUCUGGUGCGAUGUAUCCCAUUGUGCCUCUGGCUGCAGUCAAGGUAAUGAUGCUUUGGUCCCUUGCACACAGCUUUGCAAGGCCAAAGUCUGAGAUCUUUGGAUUGAAGUUGUAGUCCAGCAGGAUGUUAUGUGGCUUGAUGUCAAAGUGGAGGAUGCGCUGGUUGCAGCCUUGAUGCAGGUAUUCCAUUCCUCUGGCAAUGCCUAAAGCAAUAUCUAGCAUUUUGUUGGGUGCUAGGAGCUGUCGAGAGAUAUUCGGAACUUGUGGGAAUAUGUAUUUCUCCAGUGACUCGUUAGGCAUGAAUUCAUAAAUAAGGGCCCGUCUCAUUCCUUCGGAGCAAAAGCCCAAGAGACGUACGAUAUUUGCAUGGUGGAUCAGUCCAAUGGUUGCAACUUCAUUGAUGAAGUCCUCCCCCUCUCCUGUAGAGCUCUCUAGCAUCUUGACUGCCACGGGUACUCCAUUUGGUAGCUCGCCUUUGUACACACUUCCGAAUCCACCCUGACCGAGUUUAUCCUUGAACCUUCUUGCUAUCUUCUUAACAUCACGGAAGGUGUAUCUUGUAGGUUUCGAUGUGCCAUAUGCCUUGAGAAACAUUUCAACCUUCAUAUUUAUCUCUUCAUUGUACCUUGACUUCAAGGAGAAAUAUAUCACAAUGGCCACCAUCGAUGAAAAAACUACAAAUGCAGCUACAGAUGAGGCUGCUGAUUAGAAAAAAUAAAGGAAAUUAGCUAAUUGCAUUCAGAUAAGAGGCCAUGCAUUCCCGACUCUUAUUGUAAUGGGAAAACACAAAGGAGUUAUAGUGGUAAGCAACAAGAAUUUCAUUUAGAAUGAGCAAAAGGAAAAGAGUUGCAACAUUACCCGCAAUUGGGACGACAUGGGUACCUGCAUUUGCAUGUAGGAAGAAUAUCAUUAGUUUUUUCCAUGAUUUAAUUUGAAUGUAGAUGAAAACAGAAGACUACUUCAUUACUUCUACAAAGUAUGUUUGGAACAACUAAUUCCUGAUUCGUUGGUGCGUGUCUAUUGGACCUUAGACAUAUGGUGUAAUAUCGAUUAAUUAUUCUUUGUUAUGUUAUAGUUGUACACUUAUUUAUUCAUAUUCAGAUAUCAAAUACUAAAGCAAUAUGAAAAAUGAUCAAUUAAGGUUCAUCUCUUACUUUUUAUGUGCCGAGAAUUUUACAAAUUAGUACCACCAUAGGUUUUCCCAUAUAAUUUGGCACUUGCAUCUCUUAACGGAUGUUUUUUGGUGGGAACUUUCAAGGAUGUGAACCUACAGACUGUAUGUGCUUGAACAACUUAACCAUUUCUAUGAUUUGCAUCACAUUUUUGUUUGUUAAAUAAUUGAACUAUCGGUGAAAAUCCUAUUGGAAGAUUUAAAACAGUUAACACCGGAAUAUAAGAGAUUGAAUUGUUGUUCCAAAAUAAAUUGACACACCAAGGGAAAGAAAGAAUACCAUGGGGCUGGCAGAAUGCUUGACGGCUUCGUGAACUGAAUCCACAGUGUCAACCUUCACGUUCACACUGUUGGCAGACAUCGGUAAGGUUACUGAGGUACCAAGUGAAUGUUGUUUCACCAAAACUGAUGACUGCACUCGCUUUUUUGUUGAAGGCAAGAUCGUCUUGUAAGUUUGGGCCAUGUAUAUCAUAGCUGUAGGGUACUGGAAUGCCUCUAGAAACAGCCUCACAGUCUCGUGGUAGAUCAUAUAUGUAUGCAUAAGCUGACGCCGCCAAAUACCAGAAUUGGGUUGCGUUGUUACUGAGACAAGCAGCUGGGCCAGCUAUGCUGUAUGGAUCUGCAGGUAUGAAUCCGCUUGAACAACGUACCAGGGUCGUUCGUGAUGGAGGUAGUUUGUACACAUCAGUUGCUAAAUUUGUUGAGAUGAGCCUCUGAAGUGGGCACUGCAUCGCAGGUUCCGCAAGCGGGGCGACGUUGAUGACACGGUGUCUGUAGUAGAUCUCGGUCACUUUGCAGGAGCCAAGAACAGGGUGAUCCAGGAUUAUGUCAUCCCCGGAGCAUGAUAACUGCAUGCCAGGUGCGCCACAUGAUGAUAGCCCGAACGGGAACCGGAUCUCAGGGCCAUGUUUGCUGCACCUGUGAGGUGAACAUUGUUUGGAGAAACCUUCAUCAUCCGAUGCUGCGCCCACAUAGGUUUGAUGGGUUAGAAGAGAUAGCAGCAGCGGUGUCAGAAGAAAUUUAAGCAAAUCCAUGGGAUGUAUUGGGUAUGAAGAUGGAAGAAGAGAAAGCCAGGAGUAUUAAAAAUCGCAGUUUUCUUUAACCUCUGGUGAGGAUGGGGGUGGCGCUUGUCUUGAAAGUAAUGUGCCUGGCCAGGAAUUCCAGCUGUCACCAAAACCUCUGUCAUAGGUGUUGUAUGGCUCAGAAAUUAAGUUCCGUGGUUCUAUUACUGUUUUGGACCAUUUAUGCCAUUUCACCACACAUAUAUCCUCUAGUGCUCCAAUAAAAUUCCAAUCCUCUAAGGACAUGGUAAAGCAUAAAAAAUAUGUGCAUCCAUUUAGCUUUAUAAUUAUCAUUUCGGUUCGGACCACCAGUUGUUUCUUGUUAGUUUCCAUGUAGUACUUCCCUUCCUUCCUAUUGCAUUAUACCAUUUAAUUCCUGAUAGGUCGUUUUCCAUUGCUACAUCUCCAUGAUGAACCUGUCUUAAUACUGCCAAGAAGAUCUUCAAGGCUAUUUACAAGUUGGCCAUAAAAAAGAAAGAGUUAACUGGAUAUUUGAGUUAUGCAACAAAAAACAAGAGGAGGAGAGGAGAAGAGUACACGGUACUGUGAGUGGCGAAUACUACUGUUGUUGUUACUAGAGCCAGAACCAAUUUUCCAUGGGCCCCAUUGCUUUGAUGAUUAAGAUGCUCCAUCACUAGUGGGGACGGGCCUUUAGCCCCGGCCCGUAAGGGGUUUUAGUCCCGGUUCACCAACCGGGACUAAAGGGGCGGGACUAAAGGCCUAACCUUUCGUCCCGGCCCUCUUACAAGCCGGGACUAAAGGUGCUCCACAUGGGCGCCUCGUAGCGCCCCAGGGGCAGGCCCUUUAGUCCCGGUUCGUUACACGGACCGGGACUAAAGAUUUUCAGAUUUUCAGAUUUUGCUGGUUUUUGGGUUUUUUUUAAUGAAAUUAUUUUUGCGUUUUAGGGUUUUAGGGUUUAGGUGGUCGGGAGAUUAACGUCAUGCCUCGUUUGGUGUUCGGGAAUUAGUUUUCAUAUAAUUUAAAUAGAAAUAAUUAUGCAUAUAUAUAUANNNNNNNNNNNNNNNNNNNNNNNNNNNNNNNNNNNNNNNNNNNNNNNNNNNNNNNNNNNNNNNNNNNNNNNNNNNNNNNNNNNNNNNNNNNNNNNNNNNNACGAACAUUUUAUGGCUUUGUAAUGUUUUUGUGAAUAUUUUAAAAUUUUCUCAAAAUAAAAUUAUUAUAUAUAAAUUUAAUGGUAAAACAAAAAACGAGGAUAAUAGAAAAUAAAGAACGUAACAAAUGGCGCCCAACGGGCUGACCCAAAUCGUGUAGGGGGUUGUACGUUCGGAACGUAACCUCCGAUCCACGCCUGGAUUCAUAUGUCUCCUGUUUUUUGUCAUGCUCGUGGUCAAAUUAUGUGGCACCAUAUCGCGGUUGUGCGCCCCUACAAAGUAAAUAAAAGUUUUUUUUAUCUUAUCACCAUCAUGGCGAGCAUCAAUUGUGUGGGGUCCAGUGCACAAGUAGCACCAAUUGCUCGGUGCACCAAAUAGGCCCUCUAUGUGAGCAUGGCCUUCGGCUGUAGUGCUCCACCUAACCCUGACGAAAGGGAAAUUCGAAAGCAGAUGAAAGACGAAAGAAUGAUGAAACCUAUUUGAUGCAUUCUGCAACAAAACAUUCGUCAUUUCAGGAAGGUGAAUGACCGAGAGAUGCAUCGAGCCAUAGCAGCUACGUGCUCUACAGAAUCCUGGUUUUAGGAACUUUCUAGACGGUUCAUGUUCGGUUUUUUGCUUUAUAUUUUGGUUUUUAUCUUUUUCUCUUUCCUUUUUCUUAAAUGUUAUGAAAUUAGGGAAAAUAUUAGAUUUUUAACUGUUCACUUUUCAUAUACAUGUCUUGAAUUUUUCAAAAUGUUAGAUUUUUUAAACGGUUAACUUUUCAUAUAUAAGUCUUGAUUUUUUAAAAUGUCGUGUUUUCAGAGAAUGUUCCUUGGGGGAGUUUUUUUAAAACUGUUUAUAUUUUAAAAAAACUGUUGAAAUUUUAAAUAAAUUACCUAUAAUUUACAAAAGUAUGCUACUGCUAUAAUCCAUAUUAAUUGUCGUUUGAUUUCAAAUUUCUAUGGUAUCUAAGGGAGUAGCAUUUUACGUUUUUAAAAAANNNNNNNNNNNNNNNNNNNNNNNNNNNNNNNNNNNNNNNNNNNNNNNNNNNNNNNNNNNNNNNNNNNNNNNNNNNNNNNNNNNNNNNNNNNNNNNNNNNNACUAAAGACCCCUUUUCGGCAGGCGAGGAGGCGGGAAACGAGGGGCUUUAGUCCCGGGCCGUGGCUCCACCCGGGACUAAAGGGUGUCUUUAGUCCCGGUUUGAGCCACGCACCGGGACUAAAGAUCCACCUAUAUAAGCGGGACUUCGAAAAAUUCCAACCCAAAUCGUCCAUUUCUCUUCUUCUUCCUCUCGUUCUCCUGCCCGGUGCGGCACAGCGACGAACUCGACGACGCCGUCAGGCUGCCCGACGUCCUGCUCGCCGCCGCCUGCCGUCCUCCUCGCCGCCGCCAUCGUCCUCGCGCGCGCCGUCCUCCUCGCCGCGCGCCGUCGACACCUCCGGCCGGUAAGCCCCCCGCCCCCUCCUCCCCAACACUCCGGCCAGUAGAAGAAAAGAAGGAAAAGGAGAAGAAAAUAAGAAAAAGGAGAAGAAAAGAAGAGGAGGAGAGGACAAGAAGAGGAAAAAUAGAAGAAGAAAAGAAGAAAAAGGAGAAGAAAAGAAGAAAAAGGAGAAGAAAAUAAGAAAAAGGAGAAGAAAAAAAGAAAAAGGGAAGAAAGGAAGAAAAAGGAGAAGAAAGGAAGAAAAGGAGAAGAAAGGAAGAAAAGAAAAAAAUGUCAUUUAAUUCCAAUUGUUAUUAGGUUUGUGCUAGAUUAUUAGGGUUAGUAAUAUUUAGAAUUNNNNNNNNNNNNNNNNNNNNNNNNNNNNNNNNNNNNNNNNNNNNNNNNNNNNNNNNNNNNNNNNNNNNNNNNNNNNNNNNNNNNNNNNNNNNNNNNNNNNAUCAUGAUCUUCUUCCUCCGCCAUUCGGUCACCGGAGCCGUCAUGACCUCCCUCCUCCUCCAUUGUUGGAUCACCGGCAUGACCUCCUUCCUCCUCCAUUGUUGGAUCAUCGGAGCCGUCAUCCUCUCCUUCUUGAUCAUUUGUGUUGUUGAGAAACGACAAGGGAUCACGUCCGUCGCGAAUUAUAUCCCCAACAAAUCUUAUUUUUCCCAGUCUCUGUCCAUGGUUUCUGCAAAUAUUACAACAUGGUAAUAUGAAAACAUGAGAGAUGGAUUAGCGUGGCCUCGAUAGUUGGUCGGGCGAGCGGACGCCCUCUCUCUCAUGCAUGUCCGACCGACCCCCCCCCCCUCUCAUUUCAAAAAAAGACUUGCUUCACAUUUUCAUUUAACAAAAAUACUACCUUCAUAUUUUCAUUUAAAAACAGAGCACAUUUCCACGAAACAUUUCAUCUCUCAAAAUGGGAGCUUCACAUAUUCAUUUCAAAACUCAUCAUGCGUAUGCAAAAUUUAAAAUUUGUUUCUCUAUCUAAAAAACAGAUCGCAUUGCCAAAAAUAGAGCACAUCCAAAAAAAAAUAAAGCACAUUUCAUACAUCUCAUCUCAUAUCAUUAUGCAACACAAAUUCAUCUGUCUAUUCAUCUCAUCUCAUUAUGCAACAAAAAACAGAGCAUGGCCGGAGCACUGGCAGCAGGGGACCAUGGCCGGAGCAGUCGUAGCAGGGGCGAGCAUGGCCGGAGUAGUGGCAACAGGGGGGCUUGGGAAAGGGGGGAGCUCAUUGCGGACGCAGGGAUGGAGCUGUGGAGAACGGCGACGACGAGGAGCCGGGCUCGGGGACACGCAGCUAUGGUGAUGUUCUUGGCCGGUGACCCCUUGGUUAACAGAAGAGUCCAAUUGCGUUACUAUAGCAUCAUGUAGUGGUCCAAUCCAGUCCUAGUCAUAUUAACAUGGAAUUCAGUGCCUUGAGAAAAUGAUAAAUAACAGGACCAAAAACUGGAAAAUAAGAAAAUAUCAUUCGUUUGAGAUAUUUGAGUUUACCAGUUAGCAAGGCAUGUUUUGCAGAGAGGAAAAACUAAGUCUGAUCGAAUUUCUAGUUGAAAAACAUCCCCAAACCCCUUCUUAUAUGAAACUAACUCCCCAGAAUAUCUUCAAACCACGUCCAGAUUAAAUAGUCAGAUGCAUCGAUAUUUUCCAUGGUUUCCACUGCCUGCAGAUUACAAUUUAUAAUGGACAUCAUUUAAACCACAUACGAGUGAAAAAAAAUAUUAAGUGGAAGCUUUUUCUUUGCAGGACUAACUAAAAGCAUUUUCCAUAACGCCAGGUCAAUUAUUUCUGACAAUGACCUUUCCAGUUUCCAGCACAUUGGGAUCCUAAGCUUNNNNNNNNNNNNNNNNNNNNNNNNNNNNNNNNNNNNNNNNNNNNNNNNNNNNNNNNNNNNNNNNNNNNNNNNNNNNNNNNNNNNNNNNNNNNNNNNNNNNAAAUAGUGUGUUUCUAUGACGUUCAGACACAUCAUCACACUAUGAUGUUCUAGGUGGCAUAAACUGUGAAACAAUUUCCACAUUGUCUUAACUGCGUACCAAAACUCGUAACUCAGAUAUUCAUUUCUAUGAUCAUAUCGUAGACAGUUUAUCCUCUUGUUACGACGAACUUCACUCCGAAACAGAAUUGAACUUUUCAAUAUUUCAGACUUGUGACUCAUUAAGUAAAUAUUCUAGUAUCUACUCAAAUCGUCAUUGAAGUAAGAACAUAAUGAUAUCCACUGCGUGCCUCAGCACCCAUUGGACUGCAUACAUCAAAAUGUAUCACUUCCAACAAGUUACUAUCUUAUUUCAUCUCAAUGAAAACAAUGCCUUGCUCAUGUGGUAUGAUUUGCAUGUCACUAGUGAUUUGAAAUCAGGUGAGUACAAAGAUCCAUCAGCAUGGAGCCUCUUCAUGCAAUUUAUACCAACAUGACUCAAGCGGCAGUGCCACAAGUAAGUGGUACUAUCAUCAUUAACUCGUAUCUUCUUUCCAGCACAGUGGNNNNNNNNNNNNNNNNNNNNNNNNNNNNNNNNNNNNNNNNNNNNNNNNNNNNNNNNNNNNNNNNNNNNNNNNNNNNNNNNNNNNNNNNNNNNNNNNNNNNCUCUAGUUGGCUAGCCAGUUGAUCGAUGAUAGUCAGUGUCUUCUGAUUAUGAACAAGGUGUUGUUGCUUGAUAACUGGAUCACGUCAUUGGGAGAAUCACGUGAUGGACUAGACCCAAACUAAUAGACGUAUCAUGUUGAUCGUGUCAUUUUGUUGCUACUGUUUUCUGCGUGUCAAGUAUUUAUUCCUAUGACCAUGAGAUCAUAUAACUCACUGACACCGGAGGAAUGCUUUGUGUGUAUCAAACGUCGCAACGUAACUGGGUGACUAUAAAGAUGCUCUACAGGUAUCUCCGAAGGUGUUAGUUGAGUUAGUAUGGAUCAAGACUGGGAUUUGUCACUCCGUGUGACGGAGAGGUAUCUCGGGGCCCACUCGGUAAUACAACAUCACACAUAAGCCUUGCAAGCAAUGUAACUUAGUGUAAGUUGCGGGAUCUUGUAUUACGGAACGAGUAAAGAGACUUGCCGGUAAACGAGAUUGAAAUAGGUAUGCGGAUACUAACGAUCGAAUCUCGGGCAAGUAACAUACCGAAGGACAAAGGGAAUGACAUACGGGAUUAUACGAAUCCUUGGCACUGAGGUUCAAACGAUAAGAUCUUCGUAGAAUAUGUAGGAUCCAAUAUGGGCAUCCAGGUCCCGCUAUUGGAUAUUGACCGAGGAGUCUCUCGGGUCAUGUCUACAUAGUUCUCGAACCCGCAGGGUCUGCACACUNNNNNNNNNNNNNNNNNNNNNNNNNNNNNNNNNNNNNNNNNNNNNNNNNNNNNNNNNNNNNNNNNNNNNNNNNNNNNNNNNNNNNNNNNNNNNNNNNNNNAUUUAGAUUGAAUUUUCUCUAUAAUUUCUAAUAUAGUUUCAAUUUUCAGUGAGUUUAGGCCCGUAAGCCUGCUUUAGAGAGGAGCUCGAUGGAGAAGCUACGACGGGGCUUAUAAACAAGUGUUAGUCCCCCUCGCUGGGCGAGGUGGGACUAAACUUAUCGUGCAGCCGAGGAGGGGCUUUAGUCCCGGGUGGAGCCACGCCCCGGGACUAAAGACCCCCUUUAGUCCCCGUUGGAGCCACGCACCGGGACUAAAGAUCCACCUAUAUAAGCGGGACUUCGAAAAAUUCCAACCCAAAUCGUCCAUUUCUCUUCUUCUUCCUCUCGUUCUCCUGCCCGGUGCGGCACAGCGACGAACUCGACGACGCCGUCAGGCUGCCCGACGUCCUGCUCGCCGCCGCCUGCCGUCCUCCUCGCCGCCGCCGUCGUCCUCGCGCGCGCCGUCCUCCUCGCCGCGCGCCGUCGACACCUCCGGCCGGUAAGCCCCCCGCCCCCUCCUCCCCAACACUCCGGCCAGUAGAAGAAAAGAAGGAAAAGGAGAAGAAAAUAAGAAAAAGGAGAAGAAAAGAAGAGGAGGAGAGGACAAGAAGAGGAAAAAUAGAAGAAGAAAAGAAGAAAAAGGAGAAGAAAAGAAGAAAAAGGAGAAGAAAAUAAGAAAAAUGAGAAGAAAAAAAGAAAAAGGGAAGAAAGGAAGAAAAAGGAGAAGAAAGGAAGAAAAAGGAGAAGAAAGGAAGAAAAAGAAAAAAAAUGUCAUUUAAUUCCAAUUGUUAUUAGGUUUGUGCUAGAUUAUUAGGGUUAGUAAUAUUUAGAAUUAGGUUAGGGUUACAAGAAGAAGAAAUAUGAAUAAAAAUAAGAAAAUAAGAUUAGGAAAAAUGAAAAUAAGAAGAGGAGGAGAAGAAAAGAAGAAAAAGGAGAAUAAGAAGAGGAGGAGAGGAGAAGAAGAGGAAAAAUAGAAGAAGAGGAGAAGUAGAAGAAGAGAAAAAAUUAGAAGAGGAGGAGAGGAGAAGUAGAAGAAGAGAAGAGGAGAAGUACUACAAGAAGAGGAGAAGUAGAAGUAGAAGAAGAAGUAGAAGAAGAGGAGACAUAUUGUAUAGUGUCAUUUAGUUUUGCUAUUGUAUAGUGUAUAUGNNNNNNNNNNNNNNNNNNNNNNNNNNNNNNNNNNNNNNNNNNNNNNNNNNNNNNNNNNNNNNNNNNNNNNNNNNNNNNNNNNNNNNNNNNNNNNNNNNNNGGUGCUGGGGUCGAACCCCAGACCUGUUGGAGUGCAAACCGCAUCCCUACCACUCUGCUAGGCUCUAGGUACUCGGCAAAGGAGGACCCAAGCAGAGGAACUACUAACUGCUCUGUCCUGCUGAUAAAACAGGAAAAAGAAAACAAAAAGGGGGAUGAUUCUACUAGGAUUCGAUCCCUGCACCUGACGGAAGAACAACGCACUGCGUACCACUGUGCUACGACGCAUUGUCUGACCGAGGAGGGAACUAAGGCAACCUGACAUGCCUCGCUUUAGCCCGCUGGACUGCACCUGCGAUCCGGUGACAGGGAGGUCACCGGAGCUGCAUCUCUGUCCCGCCUCUACUACGCCUGCGGGAGAGGGAAAGGGCUCCUGCGCGGCUACCCUGUACCGCCCCUCAUCGAACAAACUGCCCCUGCUACACACCACGCACACACACACUUCCUGACGCCCUCUCCUUGGAACAGAGAACGCCUCUACUACGCCUGCUAACUCACGGGGAAGGGAGGAGGCGGUCGUCACCUAGAACCGGAAGAGGGGGCGCCGGUCUGCGACGGGAGAGCGCCGGAGAGGAAGAAGGACGUCGGAGUAGCUGUUCCUGAACCGAAGAAACGCUGCAGGGGAAGGAGCAUCGGGAACUCUCCGUAGACGUGGACGGAUCCAGCGGAGUAGUCGGUCCCCGGGGCUCCUAGUGCCGGGAAUGGAUCGCGGGGAUCCACCCCGAACUCCUGGACAUGGCGACGGCGGCGAUCGGAGGCGGAAGCGAGGCGUUCUCCGGCGAGGAGCUGCACCACUCGGACUACCCCUACAGGUUCCCUACUGUCGACGGGAGGUGAGAGAUGGGAAGGAGAAGAGGUGGCGGCGGCGGACUGGGGAGAGGAGGAACCCUAGGAGGAGGGGGGAGGCACGGACGCCCGGGUUAUAAGGGUCCCCCUCGACGUUGGCGCCCUCACGGCGUCAACAGGUGCACUCACGACCUGACGGAAAGCUGCAGAGGAAAGCUACGGCGUGAGAGGAGGAUGGAGCUGAUGUUCUGGGCCUCUACUCGCGAGGGAGGAGUAGAUGGGCCACACCUUGCGCGGGAAGCAGCCCAACUUGGCGAGAUAUAAAGAUUAAACCCCUCCCUAAGCAGUUUCCUUUAACAGGAAUACAAGAGAAGAAAGAAAUGCCCAAGGUUGUAAACACAUGACUAAAAAAAAAACACAAGAAGCUCCCUGGACUUGGAAAAUCUAACCUUACUUUAUAAAAAUCAGAACAAGAAUUUAGGAGCAAUUAGAUAUUUUACAAAACAGCAAUAUUUUGAUCUGUUUUGUGAUUAUAUAUGCCCCUAUAAACACCCCAACAAAUCCAGCAACUUACAUACUCAUCCACCACAAUUCUAGCUAAAACAUGGCAUUAUUUUUAAAGGAAAGAAAGAGGUGAUUUUUUAUAUAGGGAAGAAAUAGAGGGGGGGAGAAGGUGGUUGGUUUUGAAAGGGAAACAUAUAAAUGAGCACUUGCUAACACAUGCUACACUCCACACAAGGCACACAACACAUGACCACAUGAAAUAUAACACCCACUACUCACCCCUAGUAAGAGCCUAUGCAAGCAUGAUCCUGACAUACAAACAUAAGACAUGGCAAGGGAUGAUAUGUAGUGCAUGCAUGCAAGUGAAGUAAGCACUAGGGAACACACAUGGAAUCAUGGCACAAAAUAAUAGCAUCACAAUCUCUGACAAGGUGGCCCCACAAGAAAGGUUACAAAAAGGGAAAGACCUACACUUGGGGCAUUACAGUAAAGUACUGCUUGAGACAGGAAUCCGGGACUAAUUUAUGUGGAUUCUUCAUUUGCGAGGAUGAUUCACCAGACGACCUCUAAGAACGGCAGAUAUUUUAAAGAACUUGAUGUACCAAAACACAAUAAUAUAGAACGACAGAUAUAAUUUGUCAUAUAUAUAUAUAUAUAUAUAUAUAUAUAUAUAUAUAUAUNNNNNNNNNNNNNNNNNNNNNNNNNNNNNNNNNNNNNNNNNNNNNNNNNNNNNNNNNNNNNNNNNNNNNNNNNNNNNNNNNNNNNNNNNNNNNNNNNNNNUAGUGUACCGGGAGUGCCGGGAGGGGUGCCGGGGACCAUCGGGAGGGGUGUCACGCCCCAAGGGGUCUCAUGGGCUAUGGGAAGAGAUAAACCAGCCCCUAGUGGGCUGGAAUAAGUUCCCACUAAGGCCCAUAAGGUUUGAGAAGGAAAAAACACAAGGUGGAAAGAGUUUCCAAGUGGGAAGGUGGAAUCCUACUCCAAGUAGGAUUGGAGUAGGACUCCUCCACCUCCAAUUUCGGCCAAACCUUUAGGUUUUGAGGCUGCCUCCUCCCCUCCCUCCCACCUAUAUAUACGGAGGUAUUAGGGCUGAUUUGAGACGACUUUUCCACGGCAGCCCGACCACAUACCUCCAUAGUUUUUCCUCUAGAUCGCGUUUCUGCGGAGCUCGGGCGGAGCCCUGCUGAGACGAGAUCAUCACCAACCUCCGGAGCGCCGUCACGCUGCCGGAGAACUCUUCUACCUCUCCGUCUCUCUUGCUGGAUCAAGAAGGCCGAGAUCAUCGUCGAGCUGUACGUGUGCUGAACGCGGAGGUGCCGUCCGUUCGGUACUAGAUCGUGGGACUGAUCGCGGGAUUGUUCGCGGGGCGGAUCGAGGGACGUGAGGACGUUCCACUACAUCAACCGCGAUCUCUAAUCGCUUCUGCUGUACGAUCUACAAGGGUACGUAGAUCACUCAUCCCCUCUCGUAGAUGGACAUCACCAUGAUAGGUCUUCGUGCGCGUAGGAAAAUUUUUGUUUCCCAUGCGAUGUUCCCCAACAGUGGCAUCAUGAGCUAGGUUCAUGCGUAUAUGUCUUCUCGAGUAGAACACAAAAGGUUUUGUGGGCGGUGAUGUGCGUUUUGCUGCCCUCCUUAGUCUUUUCUUGAUUCCGCGGUAUUGUUGGAUUGAAGCGGCUUGGACCGACAUUACUCGUACGCUUACGAGAGACUGGUUUCAUCGUUACGAGUAACCCCCUUUGCUCAAAGAUGACUGGCAAGUGACGGUUUCUCCAACUUUAGUUGAAUCGGAUUUGACCGAGGAGGUCCUUGGAUGAGGUUAAAUAGCAAUUCAUAUAUCUCCGUUGUGGUGUUUGCGUAAGUAAGAUGCGAUCCUACUAGAUACCCUUGGUCACCACGUAAAACAUGCAACAACAAAAUUAGAGGACGUCUAACUUGUUUUUGCAGGGUAUGAUUGUGAUGUGAUAUGGCCAAUGAUGUGAUGUGAUAUAUUGGAUGUAUGAGAUGAUCAUGUUGUAAUAGAAAUAUCGACUUGCACGUCGAUGGUACGGCAACCGGCAGGAGCCAUAGGGUUGUCUUUAUACUAACAUAUGUGCUUGCAGAUGCGUUUACUAUUUUGCUAGGAUGUAGCUUUAGUAGUAAUAGCAUAAGUAGCACGACAACCCCGAUGGCAACAUGUUGAUGGAUGAUCAUGGUGUGGCGCCGGUGACAAGAAGAUCGUGCCGGUGCUUUGGUGAUGGAGAUCAAGAAGCACGUGAUGAUGGCCAUAUCAUGUCACUUAUGAAUUGCAUGUGAUGUUAAUCCUUUUACGCACCUUAUUUUGCUUAGAACGACGGUAGCAUUAUGAGGUGAUCUCUCACUAAAAUUUCAAGACGAAAUUGUGUUCUCCCCGACUGUGCACCGUUGCGACAGUUCUUCGUUUUGAGACACCACGUGAUGAUCGGGUGUGAUAGACUCAACGUUCACAUACAACGGGUGCAAAACAGUUGCACACGCGGAACACUCGGGUUAAGCUUGACGAGCCUAGCAUGUGCAGACAUGGCCUCGGAACACAUGAGACCGAAAGGUCGAGCAUGAAUCGUAUAGUUGAUAUGAUUAGCAUAGGGAUGCUUACCACUGAAACUAUUCUCGACUCACGUGAUGAUCGGACUUGAGAUAGCGAAUUUGGAUCAUGUACCACUCAAAUGACUAGAGAGAUGUACUUUUUGAGUGGGAGUUCUUAAGUAAUAUGAUUAAUUGAACUAAUUGUCAUGAACAUAGUCUAAUGGUCUUUGCGAAUUAUGAUGUAGCUUGCGCUAUAGCUCUAUUGUUUUUAUAUGUUCCUAGAGAAAAUUUAGUUGAAAAUUGAUAGUAGCAACCUUUGCAGACUGAGUCUGUAAAACCGAGGAUUGUCCUCGUUGCUACGCAGAAGGCUUAUGUCCUUAAUGCACCACUCGGUGUGCUGCACCUCGAGCGUCGUCUGUGGAUGCUAUGAACAUCCGACAUACACGUUACUGAUGACUACACGAUAGUUCAGUGCAAGAUACUUGAUGGCUUAGAAGCAAGGCGCCGAAAACGUUGUAAAACGUCACGGAACAUAAGUGAUGUUCCGAAGAGAUGAAAUUGUGAUUUCAUGCUUGUGCCCUUGUUAAGAGGUACGAGACCUCCAAACAAGAUUCUUUGUCCACAAAGUAAAGGAGAAAAGCUCAAUCGUUGAGCAUGUGCUCAGAUUGUCUGAGUACGACAAUCGCUUGAAUCAAGUGGGAGUUAAUCUUCCAGAUGAGAUAGUGAUGGUUCUCCAAAGUCACUGCCACCAAGCUAUGAGAGCUUCGUGAUGAACUAUAACAUAUCAAGGAUAGAUACUAUGAUCUUUUGAGUGAUUCGCGAUGUUUGACACUGCGAAAGUAGAAAUCAAGAAGGAGCAUCAAUAGUUGAUGGUUAGUAAAACCACUAAGUUUCAAGAAAGGCAAGGGCUAGAAGGGAUACUUCGUGAAACAGCAAAACAGUUGCUGCACUAAUGAAGAGACCCAAGAUUAAACCCAAAACCCGAGACUAAGUGCUUCUGUAAUAAGGGGAACAGUCGCUGAGGCGGAGCAACUCUAGAUACUUGGUGGAUAAGAAGGCUGGCAAAAGUCGAGAGAAGUAUAUUUGAUAUACAUAAUGUUGAUGUGUACUUUACUAGUACUCCUAGUAGCACAAGGGUAUUGGAUACCGGUUCGGUUGCUAAGUGAUUAGUAACGCGAAAUGAAAGCUACGACAUAAACGAAGACUAGCUAAAGGCGAGGUGACGAUACGUGUUGGAAGUGUUUCCAAGGUUGAUAUAAUCAAACGUCGCACGCUCCCUCUACCAUCGGGAUUGGUGUUGAACCUAAAUAAUUGUUAUUUGGUGUUUGCGUUAAGCGUGAACAUGAUUGGAUCAUGUUCAUUGCGAUACGAUUAUUCAUUCAAAGAGAAUAAUGGUUACUCUAUUUGCUUGAAUGAUCACCUUCAAUGGUUUAUUGAAUCUCGAUUGUAGUGUUACACAUUGGUGCCAAAAGAUACGAGUUAAUAAUGAUAGUACCACUUACUUGUGGAACUGCCGCUUGAGUCAUGUCAGUAUAAAUUGCAUGAAGAGGCUCCAUGCUGAUGGAUCUUUGUACUCACCUGAUUUCGAAUCACUAGUGACAUGCAAAUCAUACCACGUGAGCAAGGCCUUGUUUUCAUUGAGAUGAAAUAAGAUAGUAACUUAUUGGAAGUGAUACAUUUUGAUGUAUGCAGUCCAAUGGGUGCUGAGGCACGCAGUGGAUAUCAUUAUGUUCUUACUUCACUGACCACUUGAGUAGAUACAGGAGUAUUUACUUAAUGAAUCACAAGUCUGAAAUAUUGAAAAGUUCAAUUCCGUUUCAGAGUGAAGUUCGUCGUAACAAGAGGAUGAAGUGUCUACGAUAUGAUCAUAGAAAUGAAUAUCUGAGUUACGAGUUUUGGUACGCAGUUAAGACAAUGUGGAAGUUAUUUCGCAGUUCAUGCCACCUGGAACAUCAUAGUGUGAUGAUGUGUCUGAACAUCAUAGCCACGCACUAUUUGGUAUAAUAUAUACUAUGGUGUCUCUUAUCGAAUUACCACUAUCGUUUAUGGGUUAUGCAUUAGAGACAACCGCACUCACUUUAAAUAGGGCACCGCGUAUUUCCGUUGAAGAUGACACAGUAUAGACUGAGGUUUAGAGAAAUCUAAACUGUCGUUUCUUGAAAGUUUGGGGUUUCGACACUUAUGUGAAAAAGUUUCAGUCUGAUAAGCUCGAACCCAAAGCGGAUAAAUGCAUCUUCAUAGGAUAUCCAAAACAGUUGGGUACAUCUCCUAUCUCAGAUCCGAAAGCAAAGUGUUUGUUUCUAGAAACGGAUCCUUUCUCGAGGAAAGGUUUCUCUUGAAAGAAUUGAGUGGGAGGGUAGUAGAACUUGAUGAGGUCAUUGAACCAUCACUUCAACCAGUGUGUAGCAGGGCGCAGGAAGUUGUUCAUGUGGCGCCUACACCAAUUGAAGUGGAAGCUGAUGAUGAUGAUCAUUGAGCUUCGAAUCAAGUUACUACAAAACCUCGUAGGUCGACAAGGUCGCGUACUGCUGCAGAGUAGUACGGUAACCCUGUCUUGGAGGUCAUGUUGUUGAGCAACAGUGAACCUACGAGUUAUGGAGAAAGCGAUGGUGGGCCCGGGUUCCGACAAAUGGCUGGAAGCCAUGAAAUCCGAGAGAGGAUCCAUGUAUGAAACCAAAGUGUAGACUUUGGAAGAACUACUUGAUGGUCAUAGGACUAUUGAGUAAAGAUGGAUCUUUAAAAGGAAGACAGACGAUGAUAGUGAUAAGUCGCUAUUAAGAAAAGCUCGACUUGUCGCAAAGAUGUUUCCGACAAGAUCAAACAGUUGACUAUGAUGAGACUUUCUCACUCGUAGCGAUGCUGAAAGGCUGUUAGAAUUAUGUUAGUAGUUGCUGCAUUAUUUAUGAAAUAUUGCAUGUAGGAUGUCAAAACAUUGUUUCCUCAACGGUUUCCUUGAGCAAACAUUGUAUGAGAUACAACCAUGAGGUUUUGUCGAUCCUAAAGAUACUAGCAAGUAUGCAAGCUCCAGUGAUCCUUCAAUGGACUGGUGCAAGCAUCUCGGAGUUGGAAUAUACACUUUGAUGAGCUGAUCAAAGAUUUUGGGUUUGUACAAGGUUUAUGAGAAACUUGUAUUUCCAAAGAAGUGAGUGGGAGCACUAUAGAAUUUACAAUAAGUAUAUGUGGUUGACAUAUUGUGGAUCAGAAGUAAUGUAGAAUUUCUGUAAAGCAUACAAGGUUGUUUGAAAGGAGUUUUCAAAGGAAUACCUGGAUUGAGCUACUUGAACGUUGAACAUCAAAGAUCUAUGGAGAUAGAUUGAAAGCGCUUAAUGGAAGUUUCAACAAGAUGCAUGCCUUGACAAGUGUUUGAAGGAGUUCAAAAUAGAUCAGCAAAUAAGGAGUUCUUAGUUGCAUUGUAAGGUGUGAAUUUGAGUAAGACUCAAAACCCAACCACGGCAGAAUAAAGAGAAUAGACGAAGGUCGUCUUCUAUGCCUUAGCCGUAGAAUCUAAAGUAUGCCAUGCUGUGUACCGCACCUGAUGUGUGCCUUGACUCAAAGUCUGUUGAGAGGUACAGAGAGUGAUCCAUGAUUGAAUCACUAGCAGCGGUCAAAAUUUAUCCUUAGUAACUAAUGGACUAAGGAAUUUUUCUCGAUUAUGGAGGUGGUUAAAGAGUUCGUCGUAAAGGGUUACGUCGAUGCAAGCUUUGACACUAAUCCGAAUAACUAUGUGUAGUGAAACGGAUUCGUAUAGUAGAGUAGAUAUUUGGAGCAUUUCCGAAUAGCACGUAGUAGCAGCAUCUAUAAGAUGACAUAAAGAUUUGUAAAGAACGCACGGAUCUGACAGUUUCAGAACCGUUGACUAAAACCUCUCUCACGAGCAAAGACGUGAUCAGACCCCAUAACUAUAUGGGUGUUGGAUUCGUUGGAAUCACAUGGUGAUGUGAACUAGAUUAUUGACUCUAGUGCAAGUGGGAGACUGUUGGAAAUAUGCCGUAGAGGCAAUAAUAAAUUAGUUAUUAUUAUAUUUCUUAGUUCAUGAUAAUCGUUUAUUAUCCAUGCUAUAAUUGUAUUGAUUGGAAACACAGUGCAUGUGUGGAUAUAUAGACAAAACACUGUCCCUAGUAAGCCUCUAGUUGACUAGCUCGUUGAUCAAAGAUGGUCAAGGUUUCCUAACCAUAGGCAAGUGUUUUCACUUGAUAACGGGAUCACAUCAUUAGGAGAAUCAUGUGAUGGACUAGACCCAAACUAAUAGACGUAGCAUGUUGAUCGUGUCAUUUUGUUGCUACUGUUUUCUGCGUGUCAAGUAUUUCUUCCUAUGACCAUGAGAUCAUAUAACUCACGGACACCGGAGGAAUGCUUCGUGUGUAUCAAACGUCGCAACGUAACUGGGUGACUAUAAAGAUGCUCUACAGGUAUCUCCGAAGGUGUUCGUUGAGUUAGUAUGGAUCGAGACUGGGAUUUGUCACUCCGUGUGACAGAGAGGUAUCUCGGGGCCCACUCGAUAAUACAACAUCACACACAAGCCUUGCAAGCAAUGUGACUUAAUGUAAGUUGCGGGAUCUUGUAUUACGGAACGAGUAAAGAGACUUGCCGGUAAACGAGAUUGAAAUAGGUAUACGGAUACUGACGAUCGAAUCUCGGGCAAGUAACAUACCGAAGGACAAAGGGAAUGACAUACGGGAUUAUAUGAAUCCUUGACACUGAGGUUCAAACGAUAAGAACUUCAUAGAAUAUGUAGGAUCCAAUAUGGGCAUCCAGGUCCCACUAUUGGAUAUUGACCGAGGAGUCUCUCGGGUCAUGUCUACAUAGUUCUCGAACCCGUAGGGUCUGCACACUUAAGGUUUGACGUUAUUUUAUGCGUAUUUGAGUUAUAAGGUUGGUUACCGAAUGUUGUUCGGAGUCCCGGAUGAGAUCACGGACGUCACGAGGGUUUCCGGAAUGGUCCGGAAACAAAGACUGAUAUAUAGGAUGACCUCAUUUGAUUACCGGAAGGUUUUCGGAAUUACCGGGAAUGGACCGGGAAUGACGAAUGGGUUCCUUGAGUUCACCGGGGGGGGGGGCAACCCACCCCGGGGAAGCCCAUAGGCCUUGGGGGUGGCGCACCAGCCCUUAGUGGGCUGGUGGGACAGCCCAAGAAGGCCAUAUGCGCAUUGGGAAGAAAAUCAAAGAGGAAAGGAAAAAAAAAGAAGGAGGUGGGAAAGGGAAGAAGGACUCCACCUUCCAAACCAAGUAGAAUUCGGUUUGGGAAGGGGAGGCCUUCCCCCUUUGCUCGGCCGACCCCCUUGGGAGUCCUUGGACCCCAAGGCAAGUCUCCCCCCUCCUCCUCCUAUAUAUAGUGGGGUUUUAGGGCUGAUUUGACACAACUUUGCCACGGCAGCCCGACCACAUAUCUCCACGGUUUCACAUCUAGAUCGAGUUUCUGCGGAGCUCGGGCGGAGCCCUACUGAGACAAGAUCAUCACCAACCUCCGGAGCACCGUCACGCUGCCGGAGAACUCUUCUACCUCUUCGUCUCUCUUGCUGGAUCAAGAAGGCCGAGAUCAUCGUCGAGCUGUACGUGUGCUGAACGCGGAGGUGCCGUCCGUUCGGCACUAGAUCGUGGGACUGUUCGCGGGAUAGUUCGCGGGGCGGAUCGAGGGACGUGACGACGUUCCACUACAUCAACCGCGUUCACUAACACUUCUGCAGUACAAUCUACAAGGGUACGUAGAUCACUCAUCCCCUCUCGUAGAUGGACAUCACCAUGAUAGGUCUUCGUGCGCGUAGGAAAUUUUUUGUUUCCCAUGCGACGUUCCCCAACAGGACACCGGCUUUGGAGCCGGGUAGCUUCGAAGUGACGCUUCGGUCUAGUCGUAACUGGCGCGGAGAGCGCCACGUGCCAGGCGCGUAAUGAUGGCAAUUACUGCUGACGGGACCGGGCCUGGGCCCUGGGUCCCGCCACGAUGCCCCCUCGGCCUCCGCACGGGAGAUCCUCUGCGGAUUUACUCCGCGAUGGUUGGGCUUUGGGGGCGUUACCGCCCGUAAUACACGGAAUGAAUGGGGCCGGCGCGCACUGGAUCCCCUCCCCACGACGCUUCGUGGCGUUUAAAUGGGACGCGAGGGCUUCAAGGAGGCCAUUCGCCCCCUCUUCUUGCCCUGCUCCAUGCUUUCUUCCUCCUUGCGUCCUGAGAGGAAGAGCUCGCGCCCUUUGUCUCCUUCUUCUUCGCCGCCGAGACCUCCGCCGACCGCUCCGAGCUCUCGCCACCCGCAGCCAUGGCCGGUAGAUCUUCAUGGAGGAAGUCGACAGCGCAGCAGGCGUCCUUGCACGGGGCCUGGCUGGGCAGCGAUGUCGACGAGGAGCUCAUUGAUGCGCUCCAUCAUCAUCGUCUGCUGCCCCCGGUCUCCCAAGUGUCGGUGCGCCUUCCUGGCUCCGAGGUCUCUCCCGCGCCUCUCGUGGGAGAGGUUGUGGUCUUCGCCGAGCACUUCUACCGGGGUUUCGGGCUCCUGGCUAGCUCAUUCUUCACCGAGUGGCUCCAGUUCUUCGGCCUGCAACCGCAUCAUUUGGCGCCGAACGCCAUACUGCAGCUGGCCGCCUUCGUGGUCCUGUGCAAGGGCUUCGUGGGAAUCGAGUCUCGCGUCGAUCUGUGGCGCAACCUGUUCUUUUUUAAGCAGCAAUCCAUCGACAUGGAAAAAUCUGAGGUGGAGAAGCUCAAGGGGCCGCACCCCAUGACGCCGUGCGGGGCUGCGUUGGUGCAUCACCGCCCGAAGUUCGGCUUUCCCCAGAUGCCUUUGCAAGACUCCGUCAAGCAUUGGCAGAAGGGGUUCUUCUACGUGAGGAGCACCGACCCGUCCCAGGACGCUCUCAACAUGCCCCCGUUCACCAUCGCCCCUCCGACGCGGAAAAAUUGGGACGCGAAGACUCCCAAGCCGCAUCCUGAGGUGGCGCCUAUUCGCGCCUACCUUGAUGUCUUGAGGGAGAGCGGCCUCCUCGGCCGCGACCUUCUUGCCACCAUGGUGGUCCGCCGGAUUCUGCCUCUGCAAAGGCGGCCGCAUCUGGUCUGCCAGAUGAGCGGCCGGCUUGAUCCAUGCCGGCUGUCCAUCAAUAGGUUCACCCCGGGUGCUGUGGCGCGAAGGGUGAACCUGAUCUCCACCACCCGCAUGGAUGAGGGCGGGGAAUGGACAUGGGGAUGGCCCUGUUCAACCGGUCUCAUCCGCCUCUGGUGGUAGCCUUUCUCCCUUCUUUUCUGUCGUUUUGUUCUGAAGCCGGUGGCGUUUGCUGAGCCUACUUGAAUUCCUUUCUAGUAGAUGUUCCAAACCAUGCAGGGGUCCCUCCGUCCGCCUGCUCCUGAUGUGGAGGCGCACGGCGCCUCCGAGAUGGAGGACGAGGAUGCGAUGGAGCCCCGCUCAGACUCCUCCGCCAGCUCGGGAGAUUCCCUGGAGUCAGAAGGGACCGAGCCGUCUAGUGAGUACCCGCGGCACGCCGUGGCAGACUGGACGGACGACGAUGAGGAAGCCUCAUUCUUCUCUGAUGCAGCGUUCGAGGGAGACUCCGACGAGGUGGAGGAGGUCACCGGCCCACUACCGUCGCGCGACCGGUGUCAAGGUGGCGGAGCAACCGCUGCUGACGAGGCAGCCGGGAAGAAGGGCAAUGGUGACACAACUUCCCGGCCGGCCUCUAAGCGACCGGCGCCGGGUCCCCUAGCCGGGCAGCGAGCAGGCGGCACCAAGAGGCGCCGUGGCGGUUGCCGGAGGCAGGUCCCGGUAGUUGUCGGGUAUGGUUUCCUCCUCUUCUCCCUUCCAUAUCUUGAGAUGAACUUUGUUCCUGAGAAGCUUGGCUUGACAGGGAGGCGGAGGAUGCGGAUGAAGACACCGCCUCCGCGGCCGAGCGGGCCGGCUGGGCAACAGCUGAUGCUGCCGAUAGGGAGCUGGAGAUAGAGUCCAAGCGCCGGUGGCACACAGCUGUGGGGAAGGCUGCCGUGGAUCAGACUUGCCCCAGCCGGGUCGAGAGGCAGGCGGAGAAGCGUGCGAAGGCUAGACAGGACCCAUCCGCACACGCUCGUGUGGAGGAGGCAGCUAGCGAGGCCGCUUCGAGGCCGACCCCGAGGACUGAAGGGACCCAGCCGCCUGAGCCAGCAGCGCCGGAGCAGGUGGACCUGGAGACGAUCCCGGUUUCUCCCCAGAGCAGGUGGACCUGGAGCCGGUGCUGGAUCUGGCCGCGCCAAACGCAGCCCCUGACGCCCCAGGGGCAACCAUGGAUGCGUCGGACGUGGCUCAUCCGCCUCGUGUGGAGGAGGUAGCGCCGGCUGGGGCGGCGCCCGAGCCGGCCGUUGAGCCGGCACCAGGAGCCGGCGCCAUCGUCGUCCCCCAGCAGGGCCCUGUCGCGCCAAGGGCAGGGGGCCGGCCUGCGAGCCGGCCCAUGAAGUCAUGGUGGGCGGCGAAUGCGGCCCGCCUGCGAAUGCCCGCCGGCACCGUUCUUUCCGGCAUGCCGGAGCUGGUGACUCUGUUUGGCAGCGGCCGGUCGAAGGUGGAGCAGGCGGCCCGCGUGGUAUGCGGCGACAUGGAGCACCUGGAAGCCUGUACCCAGGUAGGCCUUGCCUUUUUKGGUUUUUCUUUGCACKUUUUUUCUCUUCUCUUGACGUCAGUGGGGGCGCGACAGCGCACCCACUGGGUGUAGCCCCCGAGAAUCGGGCGGGUCGAUUGCCAACCGGUUUGAAUCUCUUGGAGGCCUUUUCUUCUGCAUAUUUUUCUUCAGUGGGGGCGCGCAAGCGCACCCACUGGGUGUAGCCCCCAAGAAUCGGGCUGGUUAUCCUUUUAACCCACUCGAAUCGUAAUCAUGUUCCCUUUCUCUCCCCUUUGACAGGCGCUAUACGAUGCUCAGGUACAGGCGUACAACGAGCUUCGGGACCAGCACCUGGGGGCUGAUCGCCGGAUCGCCGAGCUUGAAGUCCGGCUAGGCGAGGCCGCCGCGGAGCGUGAUGCCCUUCGCGAAGCCGGCGGCCAGCUCCAAGAGCAGCUGGACCUUCUUCAGCCGGAGAAGAAGGAGCUCGAGGCGGCCAGUCGGGUCGAGCUGGAGCGGCUGCGGGCCAUGCUGCAGGAGAAGGAGGCCUCUUACUCUGCUGACAUGGACCGCCUCGCGUCGCUCCAUCUUGAGGAGGCGAACCUCAAGGACGCCGCGUUGAGGGCGAAGGAUGAAGCCCUUACCCAGAAGCAAGUGCAUCUGGGUAAGGCGCUGGAGUCCGCCGCGACCCUCCAGGAGGAAAUCGCCCGCCUCACUCAUGCGAGUGAGGUGCGGGAGCGUGAGGUCCUCGAGGUCUUUCAUGAGACCGACGGUGCCUACCAGCGUAGGUUUCCUUUCCUUGUUUUGCGUUUGGUUUUUUUGGCUGUCUCCUCCUCUUGCUGUGUUCUUACGUCCUGGUUGUCUUUACCCCAGAUCUCUUCUCCGAGACCCAGGUCGCAGCCGACACCGCCGUUGAGGUGUGCCGCGAGGAGCGCCGCGCGGCCGGGCAGGUGGUAGAUACUACCUCCGGCUGGAGCAUCGAGGAGAUUGGUGUGGGGCUUCGGGCCCGCUUACACGUCCUGGGCGAGUCUGUGACUCAGCUCCAAGUUGCGGGUUCGUCGAUGGUGACGGCCCUGUGGCAGGUGGGCGUGGAGCCGAUGACCAUAAGCCGUCUUGCCCGUUGGCUCGCGGCGGGUGAAGAGCGCCUGGACGCCUGGCGAGCCUCCGCAGCGUGGUCUGGGGCUUAUAUGGACCUGCGCUUGGCCAAGUCAUGGUAUCGCAACCUGAACUUGGGCAAGCUGGCUGCCCAGCGCGAUGGCUCAGAGGCGGAGUUGCAAGGCCUGGAGGAGGAGCUCCCGGUGAGGGCCAACGUCGUGGCUGAGUACGCAGCCUGGGACGACUUCGUCUUGGAGNNNNNNNNNNNNNNNNNNNNNNNNNNNNNNNNNNNNNNNNNNNNNNNNNNNNNNNNNNNNNNNNNNNNNNNNNNNNNNNNNNNNNNNNNNNNNNNNNNNNUGUUGGGGAACGUCGCAUGGGAAACAAAAAUUUUCCUACGCGCACGAAGACCUAGCAUGGUGAUGUCCAUCUACGAGAGGGGAUGAGUGAUCUACGUACCCUUGUAGAUCGUACAGCAGAAGCGUUAGUGAACGCGGUUGAUGUAGUGGAACGUCCUCACGUCCCUCGAUCCGCCCCGCGAACAAUCCCGCGAUCAGUCCCACGAUCUAGUACCGAACGGACGGCACCUCCGCGUUCAGCACACGUACAGCUCGACGAUGAUCUCGGUCUUCUUGAUCCAGCAAGAGAGACGGAGAGGUAGAAGAGUUCUCCGGCAGCGUGACGGCGCUCCGGAGGUUGGUUAUGACCUUGUCUCAGCAGGGCUCCGCUCGAGCUCCGCAGAAACGCGAUCUAGAGGAAAAACCGUGGAGGUAUGUGGUCAGGCUGCCGUGGAAAAGUCGUCUCAAAUCAGCCCUAAAACCUCCGUAUAUAUAGGUGGGAGGGAGGGGACCUUGCCUUGGGGCUCAAGGAGCCCCAAGGGGGUCGGCCGAGUCCAAGGGGGAAGGCUCGCCCCCCCAAACCGAGUUGGACUUGGUUUGGUGGGUGGGAGUCCUUCCUUCCCUUCCCACCUCCUUUUUUUUUCUUUUCUCUUUGAUUUUCUUUCCUAGGCGCAUAGGGCCCUUUUGGGCUGUCCCACCAGCCCACUAAGGGAUGGUGUGCCACCCUCAAGGUCUAUGGGCUUCCCCAGGGUGGGUUGCCCCCCUCGGUGAACUCCCGGAACCCAUUCGUCAUUCCCGGUACAUUCCCGGUAACUCCGAAAACCUUCCGGUAAUCAAAUGAGGUCAUCCUAUAUAUCAAUCUUCGUUUCCGGACCAUUUCGGAAACCCUCGUGACGUCCGUGAUCUCAUCCGGGACUCCGAACAACAUUCGGUAACCAACCAUAUAACUCAAAUACGCAUAAAACAACGUCGAACCUUAAGUGUGCAGACCCUGCGGGUUCGAGAACUAUGUAGACAUGACCCGAGAGACUCCUCGGUCAAUAUCCAAUAGCGGGACCUGGAUGCCCAUAUUGGAUCCUACAUACUCUACGAAGAUCUUAUCGUUUGAACCUCAGUGGCAAGGAUUCAUAUAAUCCCGUAUGUCAUUCCCUUUGUCCUUCGGUAUGUUACUUGCCCGAGAUUCGAUCGUCAGUAUCCGCAUACCUAUUUCAAUCUCGUUUACCGGCAAGUCUCUUUACUCGUUCCGCAAUACAAGAUCCCCCAACUUACACUAAGUUACAUUGCUUGCAAGGCUUGUGUGUGAUGUUGUAUUACCGAGUGGGCCCCGAGAUACCUCUCCGUCACACGGAGUGACAAAUCCCAGUCUUGAUCCAUACUAACUCAACGAACACCUUCGGAGAUACCUGUAGAGCAUCUUUAUAGUCACCCAGUUACGUUGCGACGUUUGAUGCACGCAAAGCAUUCCUCCGGUGUCAGUGAGUUAUAUGAUCUCAUGGUCAUAGGAAUAAAUACUUGACACGCAGAAAACAGUAGCAACAAAAUGACACGAUCAACAUGCUACGUCUAUUAGUUUGGGUCUAGUCCAUCACGUGAUUCUCCUAAUGACGUGAUCCAGUUAUCAAGCAACAACACUUUGUUCAUAAUCAGAAGACACUGACUAUCUUUGAUCAACUCGCUAGCCAACUAGAGGCUUGCUAGGGACGGUGUUUUGUCUAUGUAUCCACACAUGUAAAUGAGUCUUCAUUCAAUACAAUUAUAGCAUGGAUAAUAAACGAUUAUCUUGAUACAGGAAUUAUAAUAAUAACUAUAUUUAUUAUUGCCUCUAGGGCAUAAUUCCAACAGUCUCCCACUUGCACUAGAGUCAAUAAUCUAGCCCUCACAUCAUCAUGUGAAUUACAUUGUAAUAAAUCUAACACCCAUACAGUUCUGGUGUUGAUCAUGCUUUGGCCGUGGAAGAGGUUUAGUCAGCGGGUCUGCUACAUUCAGAUCCGUGUGCACUUUGCAUAUAUUUACGUCCUCUCCCUCGACGUAGUCGCGGAUGAGGUUGAAGCGUCGUUUGAUGUGUCUGGUCUUCUUGUGAAACCGUGGUUCCUUUGCUAAGGCAAUGGCACCCGUGUUGUCACAGAACAAGGUUAUUGGAUUCAGUGCGCUUGGUACCACUCCAAGAUCCUCAUGAACUGCUUCAUCCAGACACCCUCCUUAGCCGCCUCCGAGGCAGCCAUGUACUCCGCUUCACAUGUAGAAUCUGCUACGACGCUUUGCUUGGAACUGCACCAGCUUACCGCACCCCCAUUAAAAACUAAAUACGUAUCCGGUUUGCGACUUAGAGUCGUCCGGAUCUGUGUCAAAGCUUGCAUCGACGUAAACCUUUUACGGCGAGCUCUUCGUCACCUCCAUACACGAGAAACAUAUCCUUAGUCCUUUUCAGGUACUUCAGGAUAUUCUUGACCGCUGUCCAGUGAUCCACUCCUGGAUUACUCUGGAACCUACCUGCCAUACUUAUGGCCAGGCUAACAUCCGGUCUUGUGCACAACAUUGCAUACAUGAUAGAACCUAUCCCGGNUGAAGCAUAGGGGACGGAGCGCAUAUGCUCUCUAUCUUCAUCAGUUUGCUGGGCACUGAGUCUUACUCAAUCUCGUANNNNNNNNNNNNNNNNNNNNNNNNNNNNNNNNNNNNNNNNNNNNNNNNNNNNNNNNNNNNNNNNNNNNNNNNNNNNNNNNNNNNNNNNNNNNNNNNNNNNUUAAAUAUAAUGAUAUCAAGCUCAUGACAACUCAUGAGUUAUAAUCACCCUGCAACUACAAAUGCUAACAUUAGUAGUUGAGCAAGCCCUACCUAGCCAUGCAAGUUCCUAGGAAGGAGUAAGGUGUUUAGGCUCAUGGCAUAUGAAGAGGCAAUAUAGUUUUCAGUGGUAGGCAGCGAGCAAUAUGACGUGGAAUCGAAACUAACAUAACAAGUCUAGAUAUGGGAUCAAGGUCAUGUCAUCUUGCCUGUGAUAUCCUCAGCUUGGAAAGGUUCUGGAUCGUCCUGCACGUACUCCCCUGACUCCACGUAAUCGGUCUCCGCUCCCGGUGCUACCCAAUGCAAGAACAACAGCCAAUGAACAGCAGCACCACAAAAUGCAACAAUCACAUGAUGCAUGAGAUGAACGUUGAGCAUGCACCACUAUUUCUACCACUAGCACAAGCAAGAAUAACUACAACAAGUUCCUGGACAGAACUUUGCACUAAACUAUUUGGACAUGCCUGGGAAUGAAAUGAACAGAUGCAUCUCGUAAAAACGGUGCAAAACCAUAUAAAGAACUUUGCAAACGGAGCUACGGAUCAACGGGAAUCAACGAAACACGAUAUGAAGUCCUACGUGAAAGAUUCAUCACCACACACACAAUUGGCACGAAUCUGGUGUUCCCAGGUUGCCAAGACAUAUAUUAACCCAACAUGAAUGAAAUGGAGCAAGGUAGAACACUCCAACAACAAUUAAACGCAAACUUUGCACAAAAUGUCAAAACUACGCAAUCUGCCAGCUUCUGCAUCUUAGCUGUUUGAGAGCAAAAUGCAACAUAGCUACAGGUCUUCAAACAUGACAAAUAAUAUAUGGGGAUGUUUCCAACCAAGAAUACUACCAUCUCCAGCAAGAAUCACAGCAAAAGGAAUUAAACUCUAGAAGAUACAAGGCCACAAACUUUCCCAAAACCAUCAGUUCUCAGGGACUUUGUGAAAAUUCCUGCACCUGAGUUUCUGUUUCUGUUCUGAAGCUUUUUGACAGCAAUCAAAACACAAUCUACUGGACUCCAAAUGACUUGAAAAUUGACAGGAAGCUUCACAAACAUACCAGGUUAAAAACACUAGCACUUAACUAAGUCCAGUUCCCAACAUAAUGACCAGCACAACCUUAUUUAUAGGGGAAGAAAAUGUUUUCAGCAUUCCAGACUUAGUGAAAUUUUCAGAGUUCAAAAAUCUGGAAUUUUCCAGCCACAUGCCCACUUUGUCUAGGCAUAGUUUGCACACACAUGUUCCCAAGAGGUGUUUGACACCACUAUGGUGUUGAGCAUAAACCCCUACUACUAACACACAAAAUCCAUGCCCUUGGGCUCCUUCUAUACCAUGGGAACAAGGCCCAAACUUUCAACAAAGUGCAAAUGCAAUCCAUAAGGUAUGCUCCUACAAUGACAAGUACAUAGGAGAGUUUCAUGUGCACAAUGACAAAGUGACAUGGGGGUUUGAAACCCCGAUGUAUGUGUCAUGCACAUCAACAACUCCAACACACANNNNNNNNNNNNNNNNNNNNNNNNNNNNNNNNNNNNNNNNNNNNNNNNNNNNNNNNNNNNNNNNNNNNNNNNNNNNNNNNNNNNNNNNNNNNNNNNNNNNCUACACACCACGCACACACACACUUCCUGACGCCCUCUCCUUGGAACAGAGAACGCCUCUACUACGCCUGCUAACUCACGGGGAAGGGAGGAGGCGGUCGUCACCUAGAACCGGAAGAGGGGGCGCCGGUCUGCGACGGGAGAGCGCCGGAGAGGAAGAAGGACGUCGGAGUAGCUGUUCCUGAACCGAAGAAACGCUGCAGGGGAAGGAGCAUCGGGAACUCUCCGUAGACGUGGACGGAUCCAGCGGAGUAGUCGGUCCCCGGGGCUCCUAGUGCCGGGAAUGGAUCGCGGGGAUCCACCCCGAACUCCUGGACAUGGCGACGGCGGCGAUCGGAGGCGGAAGCGAGGCGUUCUCCGGCGAGGAGCUGCACCACUCGGACUACCCCUACAGGUUCCCUACUGUCGACGGGAGGUGAGAGAUGGGAAGGAGAAGAGGUGGCGGCGGCGGACUGGGGAGAGGAGGAACCCUAGGAGGASGGGGGGAGGCACGGACGCCCGGGUUAUAAGGGUCCCCCUCGACGUUGGCGCCCUCACGGCGUCAACAGGUGCACUCACGACCUGACGGAAAGCUGCAGAGGAAAGCUACGGCGUGAGAGGAGGAUGGAGCUGAUGUUCUGGGCCUCUACUCGCGAGGGAGGAGUAGAUGGGCCACACCUUGCGCGGGAAGCAGCCCAACUUGGCGAGAUAUAAAGAUUAAACCCCUCCCUAAGCAGUUUCCUUUAACAGGAAUACAAGAGAAGAAAGAAAUGCCCAAGGUUGUAAACACAUGACAAAAAAAACACAAGAAGCUCCCUGGACUUGGAAAAUCUAACCUUACUUUAUAAAAAUCAGAACAAGAAUUUAGGAGCAAUUAGAUAUUUUACAAAACAGCAAUAUUUUGAUCUGUUUUGUGAUUAUAUAUGCCCCUAUAAACACCCCAACAAAUCCAGCAACUUACAUACUCAUCCACCACAAUUCUAGCUAAAACAUGGGCAUUAUUUUUAAAGGAAAGAAAGAGGUGAUUUUUUUAUAUAGGGAAGAAAUAGAGGGGGGGAGAAGGUGGUUGGUUUUGAAAGGGAAACAUAUAAAUGAGCACUUGCUAACACAUGCUACACUCCACACAAGGCACACAACACAUGACCACAUGAAAUAUAACACCCACUACUCAACCCCUAGUAAGAGCCUAUGCAAGCAUGAUCCUGAUAUACAAACAUAAGACAUGGCAAGGGAUGAUAUGUAGUGCAUGCAUGCAAGUGAAGUAAGCACUAGGGAACACACAUGGAAUCAUGGCACAAAAUAAUAGCAUCACAAUCUCUGACAAGGUGGCCCCACAAGAAAGGUUACAAAAAGGGAAAGACCUACACUUGGGGCAUUACAGUAAAGUACUGCUUGAGACAGGAAUCCGGGACUAAUUUAUGUGGAUUCUUCAUUUGCGAGGAUGAUUCACCAGACGACCUCUAAGAACGGCAGAUAUUUUAAAGAACUUGAUGUACCAAAACACAAUAAUAUAGAACGACAGAUAUAANNNNNNNNNNNNNNNNNNNNNNNNNNNNNNNNNNNNNNNNNNNNNNNNNNNNNNNNNNNNNNNNNNNNNNNNNNNNNNNNNNNNNNNNNNNNNNNNNNNNUGCUGCAUCCUAAGAUUGAAUAAGUGGCUAUCUUACGCAAAGGAGAAGUGGCAGUGGCCUACGCCAACGAUCGGGAAUACUUGAUCAGAAAGUGAUCCUGAACACCUACCUACGGCAAUCAUGACCCCACCGUGUUCCCGGUCGAAGAGAGAUCUUCGAAGGGACGGUCACGGUUACGCACACAGUUGGCAUAUUUUAUUAGUUUAUGUUUAAGUUUUCUAAUACCGGAUGUUAACAAAAUAUUCCAAGUUGCCACAUAACCGCGGGCACGACUUUCCGAAAGAUUAAACCCUGCAGGGGUGCUCCAACUAGUCCAUCACAAACGAACACAGGCCGUAAAGGCAUCCUCUAUCACGAAUCUCGUGAUCUCGUUGGAUUCCUUAGAGGAAAACCUCAACUAUGGGGGAAACCAAAGCUUCACCGGUAAUCCUAUACGCAAGAUAUACCGCUAAGGCAAGGCAAGACUAGCAGGACCUCCCGACGUGUCGACGACCCCGAUAAGAGCCGCGUAUCUCAGUCUCAGGACACGCCGGAUGGAACUAGCUACAGGUGCCAAACCUCAAGUUUCCUUGUGGUGGCCCCGCAGGCAGACCAGUUUGGACCAACACUCAUGAGGAGCACUGGCCCGGGUUGUUGAUUAGAAUCCUCGGGUUAGCUAUUCCCUAUGCAGAUUAUUAUUAGGUGAUUAGCAAAUAGUACCAAAGUUGGGUCCUGCCGGACAAGCCUUAACACUACGCGAUUUAUCAAGGGGGUCCCCAUAACAACCCCGAACGUGUUAGGAGCGAUCAUUAUGGAAUCAAACACCGGUAACCGGUAACUAAGGCGGCAAUAACGGGACAAGACACCCAGCAAAAGGCUCGGCCUCCCGUCAUCUACCAAGUGUAUAGAUACAUUAAUUUAAUAACAGAAAUUAAUAUAAUGAUAUCAAGCUCAUGACAACUCAUGAGUUAUAAUCACCUGCAACUAACAAUGCUAACAUUAGUAGUUGANNNNNNNNNNNNNNNNNNNNNNNNNNNNNNNNNNNNNNNNNNNNNNNNNNNNNNNNNNNNNNNNNNNNNNNNNNNNNNNNNNNNNNNNNNNNNNNNNNNNCCCCAACUGGCUGCCCAAGCAGUCUCUCGAGCAGCUGCUCGACGCCCCCUGCAAGAUACAUUCGGGGGGCGGCGCCGUCUACCCAUACCCUUGGACAGUGCAGCGUUGCACGCUGGCUGUCGCAAGGGGAGGGCCUGCCGGCUCCUCCGGGUGCGCAGGCGGCGCCCCGUGCACCGGCUCCCCAUCACGCUCCUCUUCCGCCGCCGCCGCCUCGCGACGACGGCCCACACCAUGACGACUACCCGCAUCAAGAUAGAGCGUUCGUCGUCUUCACCAGUGAAGGCGACGACAAGCACAACCUGCGCCAAAGGUGGCACGAGGUAAACGCCACUGUCCCCCCGGUUCCCCAGUACAUGCAUUCGUCUGACAAACCAAUUACAUGGAGCCGGGUGGACCACCCUGCCGUGAUGCCCAACCCGGGGUCAUACGCACUCGUCGUCGACCCCACCUUCGCCUCGAAGAGGCUCACCUGCCGAUUCUCCCGGGUGCUGGUCGACGGUGGCAGCAGCAUCAACAUCCUCUACCUCGACACUCUCCGCAAGCUUGGGCUCAAGGAGACGGACGUCCUUCCAACCAGCACUGUCUUCCAUGGCAUCGUGCAUGGGCGGUCGUGCUCGCCCAUCGGCAAGAUCCAGCUGGACGUCCUCUUCAGCGACAAGGCCCACUUCCGUCGCGAGUUCAUAUGGUUCGAGGUGGUGGACCUCAGCAGCCCGUAUCACGCGCUGCUGGGGAGACUGGCUCUGGCCAAAUUCAUGGCUAUCCCGCACUACGCCUACCUGAAAAUGAAGAUGUCGGGUCCCAAGGGCAUCAUCGCUGUUGUUGGCGACUACAAGAAGUCGCUCGAGUGUGCCCAAGAUAGCAGCCGCCUCGCCGACGCCUUGGUGAUUGCCGAGGAGAAGCGGUAGAUUGACCGGGCUCGUGGCCCAGGGCUACCGAGCAGCCGGCGAUUCCUUCUCCUCUGUCCCAAUCGGCCNNNNNNNNNNNNNNNNNNNNNNNNNNNNNNNNNNNNNNNNNNNNNNNNNNNNNNNNNNNNNNNNNNNNNNNNNNNNNNNNNNNNNNNNNNNNNNNNNNNNGCAAUUGGACUCUUCUGUUAACCAAGGGGUCACCGGCCAAGAACAUCACCAUAGCUGCGUGUCCCCGAGCCCGGCUCCUCGUCGUCGCCGUUCUCCACAGCUCCAUCCCUGCGUCCGCAAUGAGCUCCCCCCUUUCCCAAGCCCCCCUGUUGCCACUACUCCGGCCAUGCUCGCCCCUGCUACGACUGCUCCGGCCAUGGUCCCCUGCUGCCAGUGCUCCGGCCAUGCUCUGUUUUUUGUUGCAUAAUGAGAUGAGAUGAAUAGACAGAUGAAUUUGUGUUGCAUAAUGAUAUGAGAUGAGAUGUAUGAAAUGUGCUUUAUUUUUUUUUAGGAUGUGCUCUAUUUUUGGCAAUGCGAUCUGUUUUUUAGAUAGAGAAACAAAUUUUAAAUUUUGCAUACGCAUGAUGAGUUUUGAAAUGAAUAUGUGAAGCUCCCAUUUUGAGAGAUGAAAUGUUUCGUGGAAAUGUGCUCUGUUUUUAAAAUGAAAAUAUGAAGGUAGUAUUUUUGUUAAAUGAAAAUGUGAAGCAAGUCUUUUUUUAGAAAUGGAGGAGGGGGGGGGGGGGGGGUUACGUCGGGACAUGCAUGAGAGAGAGGGCGUCCGCUCGCCCGACCAACUAUCGAGGCCACGCUAAUCCAUCUCUCAUGUUUUCAUAUUACCAUGUUGUAAUAUUUGCAGAAACCAUGGACAGAGACUNNNNNNNNNNNNNNNNNNNNNNNNNNNNNNNNNNNNNNNNNNNNNNNNNNNNNNNNNNNNNNNNNNNNNNNNNNNNNNNNNNNNNNNNNNNNNNNNNNNNAAGCUUAGGAUCCCAAUGUGCUGGAAACUGGAAAGGUCAUUGUCAGAAAUAAUUGACCUGGCGUUAUGGAAAAUGCUUUUAGUUAGUCCUGCAAAGAAAAACGCUUCCACUUAAUAUUUUUUUUACACUCGUAUGUGGUUUAAAUGAUGUCCAUUAUAAAUUGUAAUCUGCAGGCAGUGGAAACCAUGGAAAAUAUCGAUGCAUCUGACUAUUUAAUCUGGACGUGGUUUGAAGAUAUUCUGGGGAGUUAGUUUCAUAUAAGAAGGGGUUUGGGGAUGUUUUCAACUAGAAAUUCGAUCAGACUUAGUUUUUCCUCUCUGCAAAACAUGCCUUGCUAACUGGUAAACUCAAAUAUCUCAAACGAAUGAUAUUUUCUUAUUUUCCAGUUUUUGGUCCUGUUAUUUAUCAUUUUCUCAAGGUCACUGAAUUCCAUGUUAAUAUGACUAGGACUGGAUUGGACCACUACAUGAUGCUAUAGUAAACGCAAUUGGACUCUUCUGUUAACCAAGGGGUUCACCGGCCAAGAACAUCACCAUAGCUGCGUGUCCCCNNNNNNNNNNNNNNNNNNNNNNNNNNNNNNNNNNNNNNNNNNNNNNNNNNNNNNNNNNNNNNNNNNNNNNNNNNNNNNNNNNNNNNNNNNNNNNNNNNNNUGUUGAAAUUUUAUGAUCUGUCUUUGAAUGGUUCAUUUUGAACUACACAAAAAGUAUGGAGUUCAAAUAAGUUAAAACAAUGAAAUCCCUUUCUAAGAGAUGAGUUCUCGUUCGAAACCCUGCUACUUCGAGAGAGAUUGUCAGUUUUGUACACGAACUGCAUCCAGUUUUUGUCGUAGCCCUCUCAACUUUUUAACACAUGCUAUGUGGGUGAAAUGAUGAUAGCAUGCCAGCUUUCAACAUUUUCAGAGUUCAUUUGUAGUGCUUUUCAAUUUCAGGGUCAACUAGCUAGMAAAAAAAUAAGUAAAWGCACGAAAUAUACCAAAUGAAGUCAGAAAUUGUUGAAAUUUUGUGAUGUGCCUUUGAAUGGUGCAUUUUGAACACACAAAAAGUAUGGAGUUCAAAUAAGUUAAAAAAAUGAAAUCCCUUUGUAAGAGAUGAGUUCUCGUUCGAAACCCUGCUACUUCGAGAGAGAUUGUCAGUUUUGUACACGAACUGCAUCCAGUUUUUGUCGUAGCCCUCUCAACUUUUUAACACAUGCUAUGUGGGUGAAAUGAUGAUAGUAUGCCAACUUUCAACAUUUUCAGAGUUCAUUUGUAGUGCUUUUCAAUUUCAGGGUCAACUAGCUACAAAAAAAUAAGUAAAUGCACGAAAUAUACCAAAUGAAGUCAGAAAUUGUUGAAAUUUUGUGAUGUGCCUUUGAAUGGUGCAUUUUGAACACACAAAAAGUAUAGAGUUCAAAUAAGUUAAAAAUAAAUAAAAUCCCUUUGUAAGAGAUGAGUUCUCGUUCGAAACCGUGCUACUUCGAGAUAGAUUGUCAGUUUUGUACACGAACUGCAUCCAGUUUUUGUCGUAGCCCUCUCAACUUUUUAACACAUGCUAUGUGGGUGAAAUGAUGAUAGCAUGCCAACUUUCAACAUUUUCAGAGUUCAUUUGUAGUGCUUUUCAAUUUCAGGGUCAACUAGCUCAAAAAAACUAAGUAAAUGCACGAAAUAUACCAAAUGAAGUCAAAAUAACAAAAUAGAUAAUAGUUUGGAUAGUCAAAAUUAUUAAUUAUGAAAAUAAGAAGUAGUUUUGCAUUAUUUAUUCAAUUUGAAACACUUUUCAUUAUCAUAGUUUUGUCAAAUUCUCAAAUAUGCAAAAAGAAUUUUUAAUAAACAUAGUUUUUAAUUGAAAAUAACAAAAUAGAUAAUAGUUUGGAUAGUCAAAAUUAUUAAUUAUGAAAAUAAAAAAUAGUUUGAACUAUUUAUUCAAUUUGAAACACUUUUCAUUAUCAUAGUUUUGUCAAAUUCUCAAAUAUGCAAAAAGAAUUUUUAAUAAACAUAGUUUUUAAUUGAAAAUAACAAAAUAGAUAAUAGUUUGGAUAGUAAAAAUUAUUAAUUAUGAAAAUAAAAAAUAUUUUUGCAUUAUUUAUUCAAUUUGAAACACUUUUCAUUAUCAUAGUUUUGUCAAAUUCUCAAAUAUGCAAAAAGAAGUUUUAAUAAACAUAGUUUUUAAUUGAAAAUGAAAAAAUAAGUUAAUAGUUUGGAUAGUCAAAAUUAUUAAUUUGGAAAAUAUAAAAUAGUUUUGAAUUAUUUAUUCAAUUUCAAACACUUUUCACUAUCAUAGUUUUGUCAAAUUCUCAAAUAUGCAAAAAUAAUUUUUAAUAAACAUAGUUUUUAAUUGAAAAUAACAAAAUAAGUUAAUAGUUUGGAUAGUCAAAAUAAUUAAUUUUGAAAACAGAAAAAAAUUGAAACUAUAUGAGAAAUCAUGGACAAAAUUCGACCUGAAUUCACUUUGAAUUCAGAUUGAAUCUUUCCAGCACAUUGGGAUCCUAAGCUUNNNNNNNNNNNNNNNNNNNNNNNNNNNNNNNNNNNNNNNNNNNNNNNNNNNNNNNNNNNNNNNNNNNNNNNNNNNNNNNNNNNNNNNNNNNNNNNNNNNNCACUUAAGACAAUGUGGAAUUGUUUCACAGUUAACACCGCCUGGAACACCACAGCGUAAUGGUGUGUCCGAACGUCGUAAUCGUACUUUAUUAGAGAUGGUGCGAUCUAUGAUGUCUCUUACCGAUUUGCCGUUAUCGUUUUGGGGUUAUGCAUUAGAAACAGCUGCAUUCACUUUAAAUAGGGCACCAUCAAAAUCCGUUGAGACGACACCAUACGAACUGUGGUAUGGCAAAAGGCCAAAGUUGUCGUUUCUUAAAGUUUGGGGAUGUGAUGCUUAUGUCAAAAAGCUUCAGCCUGAAAAGCUGGAACCCAAAGCGGAAAAGUGCGUCUUCAUAGGUUACCCAAAAGAGACAGUUGGGUACACCUUCUAUCUCAAAUCCGAGGGCAAAGUGUUUGUUGCUAAAAACGGAGCUUUUCUCGAGAAGGAGUUUCUCUCGAGAGAAUUGAGUGGGAGGAAGAUAGAACUUGACGAGGUUGUCGAACCUCUCAUCCCUCUGGAUGGUGGCGCAGGGCAAGGGGAAACCUCUGUCGUUGCGACGCCGGUUGAAGAGGAAGUUAAUGAUGAUGAUCAUGAAACUCCGGUUCAAGUUUCUGUCAAACCACGCAGGUCGACGAGACCACGUGCUGCUCCAGAGUGGUACGGUAAUCCUGUCUUAUCAAUCAUGUUGUUAGACAACAAUGAACCUGCAAAUUAUGAAGAAGCAAUGGUGGGCCCAGAUUCCAACAAAUGGCUAGAAGCCAUGAAGUCCGAGAUAGGAUCCAUGUAUGAGAACAAAGUGUGGACUUUGGAGGUACUACCUGAGGGCCGCAAGGCUAUUCAGAACAAAUGGAUUUUUAAGAGGAAGACGGACGCUGACGGCAAUGUGACCGUUUAUAAAGCUCGACUUGUGGCAAAGGGUUUUUCACAAGUUCAAGGAGUUGACUACGAUGAGACAUUCUCACCCGUAGCGAUGCUUAAGUCCGUCAGAAUCAUGUUAGCAAUAGCUGCAUUUUUCGAUUAUGAAAUCUGGCAGAUGGAUGUCAAAACGGCGUUCCUUAACGGUUUCCUUAAGGAAGAGUUGUAUAUGAUACAACCCGAAGGUUUUGUCGAUCAUAAGAAUGCUAACAAGGUGUGCAAGCUCCAGCGAUCCAUUUAUGGACUGGUGCAAGCAUCUCGGAGUUGGAACAAACGCUUUGAUGAGGUGAUCAAAGCAUUUGGGUUUAUACAAGUGGUUGGAGAAUCUUGUAUUUACAAGAAAGUGAGUGGGAGCUCUGUGGCGUUUCUAAUAUUAUAUGUGGAUGACAUAUUGCUGAUUGGAAACAACGUGGAGUUUUUAGAGAGCAUAAAGGAUUACUUGAAUAUGAGUUUCUCUAUGAAGGACCUAGGAGAAGCUGCUUACAUUCUAGGCAUUAAGAUCUAUAGGGAUAGAUCAAAACGCCUGAUAGGACUUUCACAAAGCACAUACCUUGAUAAAGUUUUGAAGAGGUUCAAAGUGGAACAGUCCAAGAAAGGGUUCUUGCCAGUUUUACAAGGUACGAGAUUGAGUAAGACUCAGUGCCCAGCAACUGAUGAAGAUAGAGAGCAUAUGCGCUCCGUCCCCUAUGCUUCAGCCAUAGGUUCUAUCAUGUAUGCAAUGUUGUGCACAAGACCGGAUGUUAGCCUGGCCAUAAGUAUGGCAGGUAGGUUCUAGAGUAAUCCAGGAGUGGAUCACUGGACAGCGGUCAAGAAUAUCCUGAAGUACCUGAAAAGGACUAAGGAUAUGUUUCUCGUGUAUGGAGGUGACGAAGAGCUCGCCGUAAAAGGUUACGUCGAUGCAAGCUUUGACACAGAUCCGGACGACUCUAAGUCGCAAACCGGAUACGUAUUUAUUUUUAAUGGGGGUGCGGUAAGCUGGUGCAGUUCCAAGCAAAGCGUCGUAGCAGAUUCUACAUGUGAAGCGGAGUACAUGGCUGCCUCGGAGGCGGCUAAGGAGGGUGUCUGGAUGAAGCAGUUCAUGAGGAUCUUGGAGUGGUACCAAGCGCACUGAAUCCAAUAACCUUGUUCUGUGACAACACGGGUGCCAUUGCCUUAGCAAAGGAACCACGGUUUCACAAGAAGACCAGACACAUCAAACGACGCUUCAACCUCAUCCGCGACUACGUCGAGGGAGAAGACGUAAAUAUAUGCAAAGUGCACACGGAUCUGAAUGUAGCAGACCCGCUGACUAAACCUCUUCCACGGCCAAAGCAUGAUCAACACCAGAACUGUAUGGGUGUUAGAUUUAUUACAAUGUAAUUCACAUGAUGAUGUGAGGGCUAGAUUAUUGACUCUAGUGCAAGUGGGAGACUGUUGGAGUUAUGCCCUAGAGGCAAUAAUAAAUAUAGUUAUUAUUAUAAUUCCUGUAUCAAGAUAAUCGUUUAUUAUCCAUGCUAUAAUUGUAUUGAAUGAAGACUCAUUUACAUGUGUGGAUACAUAGACAAAACACCGUCCCUAGCAAGCCUCUAGUUGGCUAGCGAGUUGAUCAAAGAUAGUCAGUGUCUUCUGAUUAUGAACAAAGUGUUGUUGCUUGAUAACUGGAUCACGUCAUUAGGAGAAUCACGUGAUGGACUAGACCCAAACUAAUAGACGUAGCAUGUUGAUCGUGUCAUUUUGUUGCUACUGUUUUCUGCGUGUCAAGUAUUUAUUCCUAUGACCAUGAGAUCAUAUAACUCACUGACACCGGAGGAAUGCUUUGCGUGCAUCAAACGUCGCAACGUAACUGGGUGACUAUAAAGAUGCUCUACAGGUAUCUCCGAAGGUGUUCGUUGAGUUAGUAUGGAUCAAGACUGGGAUUUGUCACUCCGUGUGACGGAGAGGUAUCUCGGGGCCCACUCGGUAAUACAACAUCACACUCAAGCCUUGCAAGCAAUGUAACUUAGUGUAAGUUGGGGGAUCUUGUAUUGCGGAACGAGUAAAGAGACUUGCCGGUAAACGAGAUUGAAAUAGGUAUGCGGAUACUGACGAUCGAAUCUCGGGCAAGUAACAUACCGAAGGACAAAGGGAAUGACAUACGGGAUUAUAUGAAUCCUUGCCACUGAGGUUCAAACGAUAAGAUCUUCGUAGAAUAUGUAGGAUCCAAUAUGGGCAUCCAGGUCCCGCUAUUGGAUAUUGACCGAGGAGUCUCUCGGGUCAUGUCUACAUAGUUCUCGAACCCGCAGGGUCUGCACACUNNNNNNNNNNNNNNNNNNNNNNNNNNNNNNNNNNNNNNNNNNNNNNNNNNNNNNNNNNNNNNNNNNNNNNNNNNNNNNNNNNNNNNNNNNNNNNNNNNNNAAUAUAAACAUUUAAAAAACUCCCCAAGGAACAUUCUCUGAAACACGACAUUUUAAAAAAUCAAGACUUAUAUAUGAAAAGUUAACCGUUUAAAAAUCUAACAUUUUGAAAAAUUCAAGACAUGUAUAUGAAAAGUGAACAGUUAAAAAUCUAAUAUUUUCCCUAAUUUCAUAACAUUUAAGAAAAAGGAAAGAGAAAAAGAUAAAAACCAAAAUAUAAAGCAAAAAACCGAACAUGAACCGUCUAGAAAGUUCCUAAAACCAGGAUUCUGUAGAGCACGUAGCUGCUAUGGCUCGAUGCAUCUCUCGGUCAUUCACCUUCCUGAAAUGACGAAUGUUUUGUUGCAGAAUGCAUCAAAUAGGUUUCAUCAUUCUUUCGUCUUUCAUCUGCUUUCGAAUUUCCCUUUCGUCAGGGUUAGGUGGAGCACUACAGCCGAAGGCCAUGCUCACAUAGAGGGCCUAUUUGGUGCACCGAGCAAUUGGUGCUACUUGUGCACUGGACCCCACACAAUUGAUGCUCGCCAUGAUGGUGAUAAGAUAAAAAAAACCUUUUAUUUACUUUGUAGGGGCGCACAACCGCGAUAUGGUGCCACAUAAUUUGACCACGAGCAUGACAAAAAACCAGGAGACAUAUGAAUCCAGGCGUGGAUCGGAGGUUACGUUCCGAACGUACAACCCCCUACACGAUUUGGGUCAGCCCGUUGGGCGCCAUUUGUUACGUUCUUUAUUUUCUAUUAUCCUCGUUUUUUGUUUUACCAUUAAAUUUAUAUAUAAUAAUUUUAUUUUGAGAAAAUUUUAAAAUAUUCACAAAAACAUUACAAAGCCAUAAAAUGUUCGUAACUUCAAAAGUAUUGUUUAUUAUUUCAAAAACUAUUNNNNNNNNNNNNNNNNNNNNNNNNNNNNNNNNNNNNNNNNNNNNNNNNNNNNNNNNNNNNNNNNNNNNNNNNNNNNNNNNNNNNNNNNNNNNNNNNNNNNGGUAAUCAGAGCUACCGAUCUAUGUCUUCUCACCCCAACUCUCCACCUCCUGGCACUGCUGCCGCCGUAGCAGCCUCUGCCUCCCCGGAACGCCCCCACGCGACUCUCUCUCCCGAUCUCACCUCUGCCCCACCCGUCCCCGGUGCCUUCUCCCUCUCUACUGCCCCGGCUGAGACCCUCCCUGCUCCACCACCCUCUCGCCUCCCUUCCAGCAUCUCCGACGUCGUUGAUUUCAAGCUGGCCCUUGAUGGCACGAACUUCAUCCGGUGGCGCAACUUCCUCAACCUCAUCCUCGCCUGCUACCACGCCGAAAACCAUGUCUAGGACGGUGCGGUCGACCGCCUCUCCAACCCACAGUGGCGCGACGACGACAACACAAUCGUGCUGUGGUUCUUUGCCACAGUGGACGGGGCUCUCCUCGACAUCGUCGCCCCGGCCGACUCCACCGCCUACACCAUCUGGAAGCGCCUCCACGAGUUCUUCCUCGCGAACGAGGCGGAACUCGCGAUGCAUCUUGGAUAGGAGUUCCGGGCGUGCGUUCGCGGCGACCUCUCCGUCAACGACUACUGUCGUCGUCUGCAGAACAUCGCCGCCGCCCUCGCCGACGUCCGCGAACCCGUCUCUGAUCGUACCUUGACGCUGCAGAUGCUCGAUGGCAUCGGGAAAAAGUUCGAGCUUCAGGCCGCCAUCAUCCAGUCCACUGUGCCUCUUCCCUCCUUCGCCCAGGCCCGCUCGCGCCUCGCCCUUGCGGAGCUCACCCUAGACAAGCGGGCGCGCGCUGAGGGCGCGCACGUGAUGGCUGUCCAUGAUGAGCGCGGCGGCGGAUGCGGCGACCGCGGGGAUCGUGGCGAUCGUGGUCGUGGCGGUGGCAACCCUCCUGGCGGUGGGCGCGGCGGCGACAACCAAGGCGGCGCUCCCUACGCCGGUCGCGGUGGCGGCAACCGUGCUGGUGGUGGACGCGGGCGCGGCCGUGGCCGCGGCCGCGGUGAUGCCCCUCCAGUGGCGGUCGCGGCUCCCACCAGCAGCCCUGGCUGGGGUACUUUGCCCCUGUCGGGAUGCCGUUCCCACCGCCCCGCGCGCCGUGGAUCCCGCCCAACUUGGCCGGCAUCCUUGGUCCUCGUCCCGGCGCUCCGACGCAUGCCUACCCGGUGGUCCAGUCGACCGCGCCGCCUGUCCCCUACUCUGGCUCACCUCCCACUUGGGACGCGACGACCAUGUACCACGCUGCACCGAGAUAUGGGCCUACUUUUUCCCCUCAUGCCGAGUGGAUCAUGGACACAGGGGCUUCUUCCCACAUGACCGGGGACCCAGGUAUUCUGAUCAAGUCUCAUCCUUUAUUAGCGUCUCAUUCUCGCCACAUUAUUGUCGGUAAUGGGGCUCGCCUCCCGGUCGUCGCCAUUGGUAACGCCCGUCUUUCUUCUCGACCCUUCUACCUCACUCACAUUCUCCUCUCCCCCAACAUUGUCCAAAACCUCAUUUUCGUGCGUCAAUUCACUCGUGACAAUUUAUGUUCUGUGGAGUUUGACCCUUUUGGUUUUUCCGUGAAGGAUCUUCGCACCAAGGUGGUCCUUGUGAGGUGCAAUAGCUCCGGUGACCUCUACCGCGUCUCCCACGUCUCAGGCACUCCUGGUAGCGCUACACCGGUGGCCCUCGCUGCUACCUCAUCGGAUCUUUGGCAUAAGAGGCUCGGGCACCCGAGCUCCUCCACCCUAGUUUAUUUUCCCUUUGAUGUUCCUUCAAGAUUUAAUAAAACCCCCUUGUCACCCCUUUGUACUGCCUGCCAUUUAGGCAAGCACACACACCUUCCCUUCCCCACCUCUACUUCCUACACCACCGCGCCAUUUCAACUCUUACAUUGUGACUUGUGGACCUCUCCCAUUGUUAGUUUUUCCGGCUAUAAAUACUAUCUUGUUAUUUUGGAUGAUUACACGCAAUACUCUUGGACUUUCCCCCCUUCAUGCCAAAUCCGAUACUUGUGCCACUUUGCAGCGCUUCUUCGCUUACGUUCUCACUCAGUAUCACGUCACUAUCCGCUGUUUGCAGUGCGACAAUGGCGGUGAGUUCCUCACCACGGUGCUCCGCGACUUCUUCUCCUCCCAUGGCAUCACGUUUCGUCUUACCUGCCCCCAUACAUCCCCACAAAAUGGCAAAGAGGAACGCCAUAUACGCACUACUAACGAUGUUAUCCGGACUCUCCUCUUCCAAGCACACCUCCCUCCGCCAUUUUGGGUCGAAGCCCUCCAUACCGCCACCACCCUCCUUAACAUCCGCCCAUCCCGUGCCAUCCACCACUUCACCCCCACUUCCUUCUCUAUGGCGAACAUCCCACCUACGAUCACUUGCGCACCUUCGGAUGUCUUUGCUUUCCAAACCUCUCAGCCACUGCGCCACACAAACUUUCUCCACGAUCCACACGCUGCGUCUUCCUUGGCUACCCACGCGAACAGAAGGGCUGUCGCUGCUUCGACCUCUCAUCUUGCAAAGUUAUUACCUCUCGCCAUGUCGUCUUUGACGAACACAACUUUCCUUAUAUCUCCUCUUCGCCUGCCACAGAAGAUCUGGCCACUAUCCACCCUGUUCCCCCCGCUCCAACCGGAUCUCUGGCGCCUGCCCAACCAGCUUCGCUCCCGCCUACCGCGCCUCGCCCGCCGCGCCCUCUGGGCCCCGCUGCCCAUGCACCACAUGCAACCUCCCCACCUGCAUGUCCGCGUCCCCUGCCUCCCCAUGCACCACAUGCCCUGCCUCCCCCCAUGCGCGCACUAGGCCCUGCCUCGCCUGCCGCUUCCCCACCUACUCCACCUCGUGACCCGCGCGUGUCGGUUACGCCCGCGCACACACCGCGUCCUCACCCCACGUCCUGUAGCUCCUCGAGCCCCACCACCCAUGCACGCCAUGCAGCUUCCCGCGCUGCCCGCCCGCCCGACUUGGCCUCCUCCACCACUCCACUACGCCCUACGUCUCCCUCGGCGCCUCCCAUCACACCAGCUUCCCCGCCCAGCUUUCCUGCUGCUGUACCGCCUUCCUCGCUACCACCUGCUGUUGUGCCCAUCUCUCCGCGCCACCACCCUCAUCCCAUGAUCACUCGGGGCAAACGCGGGUUUACCAUGCCUAAGCAACAUUUCGACCUGUCCGUUACCACCGCCCCUUCGCCCCUUCCCUCCUCCUACCACCCCGCCCUCCGUGAUCCCCAUUGGCACGACGCGAUGUUGGAUGAGUAUAAUGUGCUAAUACAGAAUGACACUUGGUCUUUGGUGCCUUGUCCUGCAGGUGUUAACGUGGUGACGGCAAAUGGAUCUUCUGUCAAAAACUCCGUCCCGAUGUGUCGGGGGAUAACUCCGGGGUAGGCUCAUCGAGCCUAUUCCUUCAUUCCUGGCCCAAUGGGCAUGAAGGCGCAGAGAUUCUCAAGGCCCAAGUCUUCUAACCGGCUAGGCAUCCCCUGCCGGCUGGAAGACGAGGCGACCACCUUUCUGGCCGGCCAGGCAACCCCUGCCGGCUAGAAUCCAGGCGGCCUCCCCUUCGGACCCGGCCUGGUCCCGCCAGCCGGGCUAAGGAGGAGGCGGCCACCCUCAAGCUGUCUGACCAAGCAGGCUAGCCGACCGAGGAUCACCAGUCACAUCAGAUCGUAGGUCAGGAAAGGACCUCACGAUUAAAGGUAGCUACGCGUCAGCAAAGGUACUGAAUCAGGGCGCCCGGCUGGUACGAGCGUCGGUGGCCACGCCGCUGACCUACCCCGGCUCUGAUCCAUCACCUAGCCUGAUGUCGGACCGUCACACUCCCACUCCAUUACUGCACUCGGCGUGGGGAACAGUGGAGGCGGUCGUACUGCCUGCCCAUGAAGAAUCUCGCGGGGCACGGCUCGACGUACAGCGUGUGCUCAGCGUCAACCUUACGCGGGAGCCACAUUGGCCAGCUGGCGGGUCCCACAGCAAUCGAGACCAUGCAUCCGGCGGGCCCCUCAUCGACAAGACAAGACCCUUGUGGGCCCCUGGCCAGCCGGCGAAGCAGCCAGCCGAGUCCCACGCAUGUACCCUUUAUCCAUAUUGUAGGCCGGCGGGUUCGUCUAUAAAACCCCCCGGCCGCCCCCGAUGCAAGGAGGCCGAUCACUUACCAGUCAUUCAACACUACACACUCACCAACCAACAGAGAGCGAGGUAGAGACGAGUCGGCUGCUCCCCUCUUCCUCCUCCCAACACAGCUCCAGGAGCAACAUUGUACUAUGUUCCCAUACAUCAAACACACAAGCAGGAUUAGGGGUAUUAUCUCUAGGGAGAGCCCUGAACCUGGGUACAUCGUGCGUCCCAUGCGUGUACCAACCUCGUUCCCAGCGCCCACCUUUGUCCCUUCGGUUCUCAUCGACUUUAGCCUACCUAUGUCAUAUGUUGUGAGUAUUCACCAACAUUUGGCGCCCACCGUGGGAACGAUCGCGGCAUCGGCUGGCUUCACGCGCUGGGCGGGGGCCCGCACCUACACCACCGGAUGCAUCGCGUCCGGAUCAGUUUGCAUGCCCGUGGAGCUCGCUUUCGACGAGGCGACGCUCAUGAUGAUCGACGUCCCCGUCCGCCAUGCGGAUUCGGACGAAGAUUCAGAUGACGAGGCGCUCCCUAGCGUCGCCGUCGCUGCUAUGGAGAACCUCAGCGUUCUCUUCAGCGAUCUUCGCCUCAACGACGGCCCAUGCUACUUCGGCGAGGACUACGACGUUGAGGCGCUCUGCGCCAGCUUCAGCAUGCUCUCUAUCGCUGAGACGCCUGCCCAUUACGUUUACCCCAGUAACGUCCUCAUCUUCGAUGGCCCUUCACCGUCGGUGGGGUUCUUCACCCCAUACCACGUCGCUGCCGUCUCCAACGCCGCGGAGGUGAUGGUUAUCGGCGCCGGCACCGGCACGUCUCCCCGCAAGGCCUCCGCGGGCGCUAGCGAGCCCGCUGUGGCCGCCGCAGACACUCUUCGGGAUGCCAUCGUCGGCCUGAAGACACCGGUCACUGCUUCCGCCGACCCUGCAGACGCUCGGGCCUCACUGGAGGAGGCUCGCAAGCGUAUCUUGGAGGAGGGCAUCGCCGUGGCCUCGGCAAAACGUCGGCUGGAGGCUACACAUCGUGAGUAUAACUCCGCAUAUGGUCUUACUCCGAUUUCCGAGGCCCCCAGCCGGCUUGGAUCGGUCCGCAGUCGCGGACGAUUUGUCGCCGAGGUUCUAGGCGGGGACCUGCCCACCUACGAGACUCCUGCGGCCAACAUGCGGGCGGGACAGGCGGCCAUGGAGGAGAUGGCAAGCUUCAAAGGCGAGGAGUGCCCCUUCCAGAAGAUGUGUGUCAAGGAUCUCCUUGACGCUGCUACCCAGCAGUACGCUCGGUUCGACCCUGGCCAGGCUCAUUCAGAGUCCCCGGGACCGAACUCGGGAGCUCGCCGCAACCCUAGCGGCCAGCACCACGCCGAAGGAUCUUCCUCGCAUCGCCCUUCCGGCUGGAGGGGCGAGGGAAGCCAAGGCCGGCGCUCGCAGCACCAGAGCGAGCACACUUCAGGCCUACGUCGCGGAGGCAACGAGGGCGACUCGGAGUACGGGGAUCUUCCCCCGCGAAGAACUCACGCAUCCGGCUCCCGAGGAGCCUCCCCUCUCGCCACCAGGGCUGGCGCCCCCGCCUCCCAGAACGAGCGGGACGCCCGCCGCCGUAUCAUCGCCCUGGCCCAUUCGGCCCUCCUAGAGGAAGACGGACCCGUCGGUCCGGCUUGCUUCGGCCCCCGGAUCCGAGGGGAGCCGUUCCCCCGAGGUUUCACCCUACCUCGGGAUACGCUGAAAUACAACGGCACGGCCAAGCCAGAAGAUUGGCUGAUCGACUACACCACGGCCAUAGGCAUCGCCAGGGGCAACAAGCGUGUAGCGGUUCGCUAUGUGCCACUCGUGCUGGCCGGCUCGGCUCGGACCUGGCUUAACAGCCUCCUGGCCGGCAGCAUCAACUCCUGGGUGGACUUCGAGGAGGCGUUCGUCCGCAACUUCACCGACACCUACAAGCGCCCUGGUCGGCCUCGCGAGCUGGCCAUGUGCGUCUAGAAGGCCGACGAACCCCUCGGCGACUACGUCACCCGGUCGACCGAGCUCCGCAACUCCUGUGAGGGGGUGCAUGAGGUACAAGCCAUACAGUAAUUCAUUGACGGAUGCCGAGACGRCACCCUCUCAAGCACAAGCUCAUGUGCGCCGAGCCCAGCUCCUUGGCGGUGCUCAUGGCCAAGACGGACAAGUACGCCACGGCCGACUCCGGAAUGUGCAUCAAGGUGACCGCCUCGGACAAGGUUGUGCCUGCGCCGGCUACUCCCAAGCCGGCUGGGGACAACCGAGGCGGCCAGAACAACUACAAGCGCAAGGCCAAUCAGAUGGCUAACAACAAGCUAGUGGCCAACAUGGAGGGAGAGGCGUCGGCUUCCCAAGCCGGCCCUCCACGAAAGCGUCGCAAUCAGGGCAACCCCAACUGGCUGCCCAAGCAGUCUCUCGAGAAGCUGCUCAACGCCCCCUGCAAGAUACAUUUGGGGGCGGCGCCGUCUACCCAUACCCUUCGAUAGUGCAGCAUCGCACGCCGGCUGUCGCAAGGGGAGGGCCUGCCGGCUCCUCCGGGUGCGCAGGCGGCGCCCUGUGCACCGGCUCCCCAUCACGCUCCGCUUCCACCGCCGCCGCCUCGCGACGACGGCCCACACCCUGACGACUACCCGCAUCAAGACGGAGCGUUCGUUGUCUUCACCAGUGAAGGCGACGACAAGCACAGCCUGCGCCAAAGGCGGCGCGAGGUAAACGCCACUGUCCCCCUCCCCCCGGUUCCCCAGUACAUGCAUUUGUCUGACAAACCAAUUACAUGGAGCCGGGUGGAACACCCUGUGGUGAUGCCCAACCCGGGGUCAUACGCACUUGUCCUCGACCCCACCUUCGCCUCCAAAAGGCUAACCUGCCGAUUCUCCCGGGUGCUGGUCAACGGCGGCAGCAGCAUUAACAUCCUCUACCUCGACACUCUCCGCAAGCUCGGGCUCAAGGAGACGGACGUCCUGCCAACCAGCACUGUCUUCCAUGGCAUCGUGCCUCCACUACAGGAAUCGGGCAUUUUGCCGUCAAGACGCUAAAGACGGCAAAGAGAGAAUUACAGACGGCAAAUUUUUUGCCGUCAGCCCAUGACGGCAAAAAAUGUCGUCAGACCAUGUGCCCGCAAAGGGUAAUUUCGCCGUCAGCAUUUUUUCGGGCAGACGGCUAAAUAUUUUCCGUUAGUGAAAAUGGUUUGCCGUCAUCUAUUAUGAGGCAGACGGCAAAAAACCUAAAAUAACCACCCGGACCGCGUUAACUCUUUGCCGUCAUCCGACCGGAAUGCAAGACGACAAAGAUUACGGGUUUGCCGUCAGUUGUUAUCAAUACCAGACGGCAAAGAAAUUUUCUUUUAAAAAUAAAAUAAACAACAAUCCUCAGUUAUCAAAAAAUGUAUUGCAUAACACAUAAUCUUCAUUAUUAAAAAACCCAAAAUAUAAACAACAAUCCUCAGUUAUCAAAAAGGCUCAAUCAUCAAUUAUCACAAAAUAUAUACACACUAUAAUGUACAUAAUACACACAAUGCAUCAUAAUACAUCGAGCGGAACCAGCCCCUUCUCCCGUCCUGACGCCCCCGCACAGGAGCGUCACUGCCCAACGCCCAGCCGCAUCGCGCUCUCGUCGACCUCGCCGGCCGGUCGCCGGUCGGAGCCCAGCCUCUUAUUCCUGCCCGCCUGGCGCGGUAGCGCUCCCCUGCGUGCGCUCGUGCUCCCGCCCCUGCGUCGUCUCCUGUAACGGAUGGAUGGAUGGAUGCGGAUGAAUGAUUUGUUGCUUGUUGGUAGAUGGAUGGAUGCAACGGAUCAGGAUUUGGGAAAGGUCACUCACGGACCCCAGCGGAGCCUGAGCAACCCACACCAUACGAACGUGCCAAUGGAGAUGGAGCUCUGGCCAUGGCCGAUAUGUGCGACGCUGGCGGUCGCCACGCUCCUCUACUACCUGGCCAGCCCGACACGCAGCCGCAGUGUGGGCACGGGGCUGAUGCGGAUGUCGUCGAGCCCCACGCCGCUGCCCGUCGCCGGCAACCUGCUCAGCCUCCGUCGCGGCAACCUCCACCACAUGGCCCCGUCAUGACGCUCCGUGGUGUCCUCGCGCGACGCGGCCCGGGAGGCGUUCACGAGGCACGACCCGCGCCUGGCCGCGCGCGUCGUGGAUAGGGGCGGCGGGGAGAUGGAUGGGGGCGGCGGGGGAGAUGGAUGGGGGCGGCGGGGGAGAUGGAUGGGGGCGGCGGGUGCGACGGGGGAGAUGGAUGGGGCGGCGGGGGAGAUGGAUGGGUACGAGAGAGAAGACAGGUGGGGAGAGGAUAAGGUCGGGUGGAGGUGAGUGGUGGGCCAGCUGGUUUUUUUUUGAGGGGACCAGCCGGGUUGAGUGGGUGGGAGAGCCAGCGACGGUGGGAUGGGCCGUCACGUCAUCGAUCGGUGGGAUCGAUCCGCGUGGUGUGCUUUCUCUUUGCCGUCAUCCGGUUAUUUUUCAAGACGGCAAAUUAAGUCUUUGCCGUCAUCCGGUUAUUUUUCAAGACGGCAAAUUAAGUCUUUGCCGUCAUCCGGUUAUUUUUCAAGACGGCAAAAUAUUUUUUCACCCACGUCCGUGCGUGGUGCGAUGGGGUGGGCUGGUGUGUCUCAGAUCUUUCCACGUCAUUGAUCCGCGUGAUCAAUCUGUGCGUUGUGCUUCUUAUUUUGCCGUCAUCUAGUUACUUUUACAGAGGGCAAAAUUAUUUUGCCAUCAUCCAGUUAUUUUCAAAGUACGGCAAAAUAAUUUUGCCGUCAUCUAGUUAUUUUUACAGACGGAAAAAUACAUCUUUGCCGUCAUCCAGUUAUUUUUACAGAUGGCAAAAUAUUUUUUCACCCAUGUCCGUGCGUGGUGGGAUGGGGUAGGCUGGUGUGUCUCAGAUCUUGCCACGUCAUCGAUCCGCGUGAUCGAUCCGUGUGAUGUGCUUCUUCUUUGCCGUCAUCACUUUCUAUUACAGGCGGCAAAUUAUGUCUUUUCCGUCAUCCGCUUAUUUUUACAGACGGCAAAAUAAUUUUGCCGUCUGCAAUUUUUAUUAUAGACGGCAAAAUAAGUUUACGCCGGCAGUCAUUCUUUGCCGUCAGCAGCUGACGGCAACUGACGGCAAAAGUGCUCUUUGCCGUCAUCCACGAAGAAAAGCUGACGGCAAAGAUCUGAACAGACGGCAAAUUACCUGAUUCCCGUAGUGCUCGGCAGUCGUGCUCACCCAUCGGCAAGAUCCAGCUGGACGUCCUCUUCGGCGACAAGGCCCACUUCCGCCGAGAGUCCAUAUGGUUCGAGGUGGUGGACCUCAGCAGCCCGUAUCACACGUUGCUGGGGAGACUGGCUCUGGCCAAAUUCAUGGCUAUCCCGCACUACGCCUACCUGAAAAUGAAGAUGCUGGGUCCCAAGGCCAUCAUCACUGUUGUUGGCGACUACAAGAAGUCGCUCGAGUGUGCCCAAGAUAGCAGCCGCCUCGCCGACGCCUUGGUGAUUGCCGAGGAGAAGCGGCAGAUCGACCGGCUCGUGGCCCAGGCUACCGAGCAGCCGGCGAUUCCUUCUCCUCCGUCCCAAUCGGCCGGCGAGGGCUCUUUCAAGCCGGCUAAAGAGACCAAGCAGGUCCCACUCGACCCUGCCAACCCAAAGUAGUGCAUCACCAUCGGGGCUGGCCUCAGCCCCAAAUAGGAAGGCGAGCUCGUCGACUUCCUCCAUGAGAAUCGGGACAUCUUUGCAUGGUCCCCCAAGGACAUGUCGGGUGUUCCGAGGAAGUACGCCGAGCACAAACUUCACGUGCGACCGGAUGCAAAGCCGGUGAAACAACCUUUGCGCCGCUUCACCGAGGGGAAGCGGCGCACAAUUGGAGAAGAGAUCACCCAGCUCCUUGCAGCCGGCUUCAUCAUGGAGGUUUUCCACCCGGACUGGCUGGCGAACCCAGUCCUGGCGCUGAAGAAGAACAACACAUGGAGAAUGUGCAUCGACUACACUAGCCUGAAUAAGGCCUAUCCGAAAGACCCUUUCGUGUUGCCUAGGAUAGAUCAUGUGAUCGACUCCACUACAGGCUGCGAACUGCUGUCAUUUCUGGAUGCUUAUUCAGGCUACCAUCAAAUCAAGCGGGAUCCAGCUGAUCGCCUGAAGACCUCCUUCAUCAUGCCCUUCGGGGCCUACUGCUACACCACCAUGACGUUCGGUCUGAAGAACGCAUGUGCGACGUUCCAACGCUGCAUGCAGAAGUGCCUACUGUCACAGAUUGGUAGAAACAUCCACGUCUAUGUGGAUGACAUCAUCGUCAAGACGAAGCAGCACUUCAGCCUCCUCGACGACCUGCGAGAGACAUUCGCCAAUCUGCGCGAAUACAAGAUCCGGCUCAAUCCUGAGAAGUACGUCUUCGGGGUCCCAGACGGCAAACUCUUGGGGUUCUUCGUAUCUGUCCGCGGCAUCGAAGCGAACCCUGAGAAGAUCAGCACCAUCGAGCGGAUGGUGCGGCCGGCUCGGAUCCUCGACGUCCAGAAGCUUGCCGGCUGCUUGGCAUCCCUCAGCCGGUUCAUCAGCUGGCUUGGCGAGAAGGCCCUUCCACUCUACCAGCUCAUGAAGAAGACGACGAAGUUCGAGUGGGACGACCAGGCGGACGAAGCCUUCCGUGACCUCAAGCGGGUAAUCUCGAGCUUGCCAAUCUUGGCAGCCCCAUCUGAAAGGGAACCUGUUGGGGAACGUCGCAUGGGAAACAAAAAUUUUCCUACGCGCACGAAGACCUAGCAUGGUGAUGUCCAUCUACGAGAGGGGAUGAGUGAUCUACGUACCCUUGUAGAUCGUACAGCAGAAGCGUUAGUGAACGCGGUUGAUGUAGUGGAACAUCCUCACGUCCCUCGAUCCGCCCCGCGAACAAUCCCGCGAUCAGUCCCACGAUCUAGUACCGAACGGACGGCACCUCCGCGUUCAGCACACGUACAGCUCGACGAUGAUCUCGGUCUUCUUGAUCCAGCAAGAGAGACGGAGAGGUAGAAGAGUUCUCCGGCAGCGUGACGGCGCUCCGGAGGUUGGUUAUGACCUUGUCUCAGCAGGGCUCCGCUCGAGCUCCGCAGAAACGCGAUCUAGAGGAAAAACCGUGGAGGUAUGUGGUCAGGCUGCCGUGGAAAAGUCGUCUCAAAUCAGCCCUAAAAACUCCGUAUAUAUAGGUGGGAGGGAGGGGACCUUUGGCCUUGGGGCUCAAGGAGCCCCAAGGGGGUCGGCCGAGUCCAAGGGGGAAGGCUGCCCCCCCAAACCGAGUUGGACUUGGUUUGGUGGGUGGGAGUCCUUCCUUCCCUUCCCACCUCCUUUUUUUUAUUUUCUCUUUGGUUUUCUUUCCUAGGCGCAUAGGGCCCUUUUGGGCUGUCCCACCAGCCCACUAAGGGCUGGUGUGCCACCCUCAAGGCCUAUGGGCUUCCCCAGGGUGGGUUGCCCCCCCCCCCCGGUGAACUCCCGGAACCCAUUCGUCAUUGCCGGUACAUUCCCGGUAACUCCGAAAACCUUCCGGUAAUCAAAUGAGGUCAUCCUAUAUAUCAAUCUUCGUUUCCGGACCAUUCCGGAAACCCUCGUGACGUCUGUGAUCUCAUCCGGGACUCCGAACAACAUUCGGUAACCAACCAUAUAACUCAAAUACGCAUAAAACAACGUCGAACCUUAAGUGUGCAGACCCUGCGGGUUCGAGAACUAUGUAGACAUGACCCGAGAGACUCCUCGGUCAAUAUCCAAUAGCGGGACCUGGAUGCCCAUAUUGGAUCCUACAUAUUCUACGAAGAUCUUAUCGUUUGAACGUCAGUGCCAAGGAUUCAUAUAAUCCCGUAUGUCAUUCCCUUUGUCCUUCGUUCUGUUACUUGCCCGAGAUUCGAUCGUCAGUAUCCGCAUACCUAUUUCAAUCUCGUUUACCGGCAAGUCUCUUUACUCGUUCCGCAAUACAAGAUCCCGCAACUUACACUAAGUUACAUUGCUUGCAAGGCUUGUGUGUGAUGUUGUAUUACCGAGUGGGCCCCGAGAUACCUCUCUGUCACACGGAGUGACAAAUCCCAGUCUUGAUCCAUACUAACUCAACUAACACCUUCGGAGAUACCUGUAGAGCAUCUUUAUAGUCACCCAAUUACGUUGCGACGUUUGAUACACACAAAGCAUUCCUCCGGUGUCAGUGAGUUAUAUGAUCUCAUGGUCAUAGGAAUAAAUACUUGACACGCAGAAAACAGUAGCAACAAUAUGACACGAUCAACAUGUUACGUCUAUUAGUUUGGGCCUAGCCCAUCACGUGAUUCUCUUAAUGACGUGAUCCAGUUAUCAACCAACAACACUUUGUUCAUAAUCAGAAGACACUGACUAUCUUUGAUCAACUGGCUAGCCAACUAGAGGCUUGCUAGGGACGGUGUUUUGUCUAUGUAUCCACACAUGUAAAUGAGUCUUCAUUCAAUACAAUUAUAGCAUGGAUAAUAAAGAUUAUCUUGAUACAGGAAUUAUAAUAAUAACUAUAUUUAUUAUUGCCUCUAGGGCAUAAUUCCAACAGUCUCCCACUUGCACUAGAGUCAAUAAUCUAGCCCUCACAUCAUCAUGUGAAUUACAUUGUAAUAAAUCUAACACCCAUACAGUUCUGGUGUUGAUCAUGCUUUGGCCGUGGAAGAGGUUUAGUCAGCGGGUCUGCUACAUUCAGAUCCGUGUGCACUUUGCAUAUAUUUACGUCCUCUCCCUCGACGUAGUCGCGGAUGAGGUUGAAGCGUCGUUUGAUGUGUCUGGUCUUCUUGUGAAACCGUGGUUCCUUUGCUAAGGCAAUGACACCCGUGUUGUCACAGAACAAGGUUAUUGGAUUCAGUGCGCUUGGCACCACUCCAAGAUCCGUCAUGAACUGCUUCAUCCAGACACUCUCCUUAGCCGCCUCCGAGGCAGCCAUGUACUCCGCUUCACAUGUAGAAUCUGCUACGACGCUUUGCUUGGAACUGCACCAGCUUACCGCACCCCCAUUAAGAAUAAAUACGUAUCCGGUUUGCGACUUAGAGUCGUCCGGAUCUGUGUCAAAGCUUGCAUCGACGUAACCUUUUACGACGAGCUCUUCGUCACCUCCAUACACGAGAAACAUCUCCUUAGUCCUUUUCAGGUACUUCAGGAUAUUCUUGACCGCUGUCCAGUGAUCCACUCCUGGAUUACUCUGGAACCUACCAGCCAUACUUAUGGCCAGGCUAACAUCCGGUCUUGUGCACAACAUUGCAUACAUGAUAGAACCUAUGGCUAAAGCAUAGGGGACGGAGCGCAUAUGUUCUCUAUCUUCAUCAGUUGCUGGGCACUGAGUCUUACUCAAUCUCGUACCUUGUAAAACUGGCAAGAACCCUUUCUUGGACUGUUCCAUUUUGAACCUCUUCAAAACAUUAUCAAGGUAUGUGCUUUGUGAAAGUCCUAUCACGCGUUUUGAUCUAUCCCUAUAGAUCUUAAUGCCUAGAAUGUAAGAAGCUUCUCCUAGGUCCUUCAUAGAGAAACUCUUAUUCAAGUAAUCCUUUAUGCUCUCUAAAAACUCCACGUUGUUUCCAAUCAGCAAUAUGUCAUCCACAUAUAAUCUUAGAAAUGCCACAGAGCUCCCACUCACUUUCUUGUAAAUACAAGAUUCUCCAACCACUUGUAUAAAUCCAAAUGGUUUGAUCACCUCAUCAAAGCGUUUGUUCCAACUCCAAGAUGCUUGCACCAGUCUAUAAAUGGAUCGCUGGAGCUUGCACACCUUGUUAGCAUUCUUAGGAUCGACAAAACCUUCGGGUUGUAUCAUAUACAACUCUUCCUUAAGGAAACCGUUAAGGAACGCCGUUUUGACAUCCAUCUGCCAGAUUUCAUAAUCGAAAAAUGCAGCUAUUGCUAACAUGAUUCUGACGGACUUAAGCAUCGCUACGGGUGAGAAUGUCUCAUCGUAGUCAACUCCUUGAACUUGUGAAAAAACCCUUUGCCACAAGUCGAGCUUUAUAAACGGUCACAUUGCCGUCAGCGUCCGUCUUCCUCUUAAAAAAACUCCAUUUGUUCUGAAWWGCCUUGCGGCCCUCAGGUAAGUMCCUCCAAAGUCCACACGUUGUUCUCAUACANNNNNNNNNNNNNNNNNNNNNNNNNNNNNNNNNNNNNNNNNNNNNNNNNNNNNNNNNNNNNNNNNNNNNNNNNNNNNNNNNNNNNNNNNNNNNNNNNNNNAUACGGGAUUAUACGAAUCCUUGGCACUGAGGUUCAAACGAUAAGAUCUUCGUAGAAUAUGUAGGAUCCAAUAUGGGCAUCCAGGUCCCGCUAUUGGAUAUUGACCGAGGAGUCUCUCGGGUCAUGUCUACAUAGUUCUCGAACCCGCAGGGUCUGCACACUUAAGGUUCGACGUUGUUUUAUGCGUAUUUGAGUUAUAUGGUUGGUUACCGAAUGUUGUUCGGAGUCCCGGAUGAGAUCACGGACGUCACGAGGGUUUCCGGAAUGGUCCGGAAACGAAGAUUGAUAUAUAGGAUGACCUCAUUUGAUUACCGGAAGGUUUUCGGAGUUACCGGGAAUGUACCGGGAAUGACGAAUGGGUUCCGGGAGUUCACCGGGGGGGGGGGGGCAACCCACCCCGGGGAAGCCCAUAGGCUUUGGGGAGACACACCAGCCCUUAGUGGGCUGGUGGGACAGCCCCAAGGGGACCUAUGCGCCAAGAGAAGGAAAUCAAAGGAAAAGAAAAAAAAAGGAGGGAAGAAGUGGGAAGGGAGGGGGACUCCUCCCACCAAACCAAGUCCAACUCGGUUUGGGGGGGGAGUCCUCCCCCCCUUGGCUCGGCCGACCCCUUGAGGGUCCCUUGGACCCCAAGGCAAGGUCCCCCUCCCUCCUCCUAUAUAUAUGGAGCUUUUAGGGCAUAAUUGAGACGACUUUCUCACGGCUGCCCGACCACAUACCUCCACAGUUUUUCCUCUAGAUCGCGUUUCUGCGGAGCUCGGGCGGAGCCCUGCUGAGAUGAGAUCAUCACCAACCUCUGUAGCGCCGUCACGCUGCCGGAGAACUCUUCUACCUCUCCGUCUCUCUUGCUGGAUCAAGAAGGCCGAGAUCAUCGUCGAGCUGUACGUGUGCUGAACGCGGAGGUGCCGUCCGUUCGGUACUAGAUCGUGGGACUGAUCGCGGGAUUGUUCGCGGGGCGGAUCGAGGGACGUGAGGACGUUCCACUACAUCAACCGCGUUCUCUAACGCUUCUGCUGUACGAUCUACAAGGGUACGUAGAUCACUCAUCCCCUCUCGUAGAUGGACAUCAUCAUGAUAGGUCUUCGUGCGCGUAGGAAAAUUUUUGUUUCCCAUGCGACGUUCCCCAACAGGGCUUUCCCCAGAUGCCUUUGCAGGACUCCGCCAAGCAUUGGCAAAAGGGGUUCUUCUAUGUGAGGAGGACCGACCCGGCCCAGGACGCUCUCAACAUGCCCCCGUUCGCCGUCGCUCAUCCGACGCGGCAAAACUGGGACGCGAAGACUCCCAAGCAGCAUCCUGAGGUGGCGCCUAUUCGCGCCUACCUUGAUGUCUUGAGGGAGAGCGGCCUCCUCGGCCGCGACCUUCUUGCCACCAUGGUGGUCCGCCAGAUUCUGCCUCUGCAGAGGCGGCCACAUCUGGUCUGCCAGAUGAGCGGCCGGCUUGAUCCAUACCGGCUGUCCAUCAAGAGGUUCACCCCGGGUGCUGUGGCGUGAAGGGUGAACUUGAUCUCCACCGCCCGCAUGGAUGAGGGCGGGAAAUGGACAUGGGGGAUGGCCCCGUUCAACCAGGCGCAUCCGCCUCUGAUGGUAGCCUUUCUCCCUUCUUUUCUGUCGUUUUGUUCUGAAGUCGGUGGCAUUUGCUAAGCCUGGUUAAAUUCCUUUCUUGUAGAUGUUCCAGACCCUGCAGGGGUCCCUCCGUCCGCCUGCUCCUGAGGUGGAGGUGUCCGGCGCCUCCGAGAUGGAGGACGAGGAUGCGAUGGAGCCCCGCUCAGACUCCUCCGCCGGCUCGGGAGAUCCCCUGGAGUCGGAAGGUACCGAGCCGUCUGGUGAGUACCCGAGGCACGCCCUAGCAGACUGGACGGACGACGAUGAGGAAGCCUCAUUCUACUCUGAUGUAGCCUUCGAGGGACUCUCCGACGAGGUGGAGGAGGUCACCGGCCCACUACCAUCUCGCGUCCGGCGUCAAGGUGGCGGAGCGACCGCUGCAGACAAGGCAGUCGGGAAGAAGGGCAAGGGUGCCACAACUUCCCGGCCGGCCUCUAAGCGACCGGCGUCGGGUCCCCUAGCCAGGCAGCGAGCAGGCGACGCCAAGAGGCGCCGUGGCGGUGGUCGGAGGCAGGUCCCAGUAGUUGUCGGGUAUGGUUUCCUCCUCUUCUUCCGUCCAUAUCUUGAGAUGAACUUUGUUCCUGAGAAGCUUGGCUUGACAGGGAUGCGGAGGAUGCGGAUGAAGACACCGCCUCCGCGGCCGAGCGGGCCGGCUGGGCAGCAGCUGUUGCUGCCGAUAGGGAGCUGGAGAUAGAGUCCAAGCGCCGGUGGGACACGGCUGUGGGGAAGGCCGCCGUAGAUCAGCCUUGCCUCAGCCGGGUCGAGAGGCCGGCGGAGAAGCGUGCAAAGGCUAGACAGGACCCCUCCGCACACGCUCGUGUGGAGGAGCCAGCUAGCGAGGCCGCCUCCAGGCCGACCCCGAGGACCGAAGGGACCCAGCCGCCUGAGCCGGCAGCCCCGGAGCAGGUGGACCUAGAGACGAUCCCGGUUUCUCCCCGGGCCGAAGCAGCUCCUGAUGCGCCGGUGCUGGAUCUGGCCGCGCCGGACGCGGCCCCUGACGCCCCAGGGGCGACCAUGGAUGCGCCGGACGCGGCUCAUCCGCCUCCUGUGGAGGAGGUAGCGCCGGCUGGUGCGGCGCCCGAGCCGGCCGUUGAGCCGGCACCAGGAGCCGGCGCCAUCGUCGUCCCCCAGCAGGGCCAUGUCGCGCCAAGGGCAGGGGGCCGGCCUGGGAGCCGGCCCAUGAAGUCAUGACGGGCGGCAAACGCAGCCCGCCUGCGAAUGCCCGCUCGCACCGUUCUUUCCGGCGUGCCGGAGCUGGUGAUGCUGUUUGACAGCGGCCGGUCGAAGGUGGAGCAGGCGGCCCGCGUGGUAUGCGGCGACAUGGAGCGCCUGGAAGCCCGUACCCAGGUAGGCCUUGCCUUUUUUGGUUUUUCUUUUGCUUUUUUCUCUUCUCUUGACGUCAGUGGGGGCGCGACAGCGCACCCACUAGGUGUAGCCCCCGAGAAUUGGGCGGGUUGAUUGCCAACCGGUCCGAAUCUCUUGGAGGCCUUUUUCUUCUGCAUAUUUUUCUUCAGUGGGGGCGCGCAAGCGCACCCACUCGGUGUAGCCCCCGAGAAUCGGGCUGGUUAUGCUUUUAACCAGAUCGAAUCUUAAUCAUGUUCGCUUUCUCUCCCCUUUGGCAGGCGCUAUACGAUGCUCAGGUACAGGCGUACAACGAGCUUCGGGACCAGCACCUGGGGGCUGAUAGCCAGAUCGCCGAGCUUGAACUCCGACUAGGCGAGGCCGCCGCGGAGCGUGAUGCCCUUCGCGAAGCCGGCGGCCGGCUCCAAGAGCAGCUGGACCUUCUUCAAGCGGAGAAGAAGGAGCUCCAGGCGACCGGCCGGGUCGAGCUGGAGCGGCUGCGGGCCAUGCUGCAGGAGAAGGAGGCCUCCAACUCUGCUGACAUGGACCGCCUCGCGUCGCUCCAUCUUGAGGAGGCGAACCUCAAGGACGCCGCCUUGAGGGCGAAGGAUGAAGCCCUUACACAGAAGCAAGCGCAGCUGGGUAAGGCGCUGGAGUCCGCCGGGACCCUCUAGGAGGAAAUCGCCCGCCUCACUCAUGCGAGUGAGGUGCGGGAGCGCGAGGUCCUCGAGGUCUUUCAUGAGACCGACAACGCCUUCCAGCGUAGGUUUCCUUUCCUUGUUUUGCGUUUUUUUGGCCGUCUCCUCCUCUUGCUGUGUUCUUACGUCCUGGCUAUCUUUACCCCAGAUCUCUUCUCCGAGACCCAGGUCGCAGCCGACACUGCCGUUGAGGUGUGCCGCGUGGCUGGAGAGGAGGUAGAUACUACCUCCGGCUGGAGCGUCGAGGAGAUUGGUGUGGGGGCUUCGGGCCCGCCUGCACGUCGUGGGCGAGUCUGUGACUCAGCUCCAGGUUGCGGGUUCGUCAAUGGUGGCGGCCCUGUGGCCGGAGGGCGUGGAGCUGACGACCAUGAGCCGUCUUGCCCGUUGGCUCACGGCGGGUGGAGAGCGCCUCGACGCCUGGCGAGCCUCCGCAGCGUGGUCUGGAGCUUAUAUUGCCCUGCGCUUGGCCAAGUCAUGGUAUCGCAACCUGAACAUGGGCAAGCUCGCUGCCCAGCGCGACGACUCAGAGGCGGAGCUGCAAGGCCUGGAGGAGGAGCUCCUGGUGAGGGCCAGCGCCGUGGCUGAGUACGCAGCCUGGGACGACUUCGUCUUGGAGUGGGAUGAAGACGGCGGUAUGAUCGCUGAGGAUGUGCACGGCCUUCAGCCCUACGACACCGAUGGCAGCUCCGACGAGGCGGCCUGGGCUGCGGAAAUCUGCAGCCGCCUCCAGCGGUGGGGAGUAUGCCAACUCCGGGAUCAGCGGAGCCGGGGGCCGCAACGGGGGAGACGGCGCAUCCACCUCGGGAGGAGCCGGAGGCGGCGAUGCUACCACAUCAGGAGCAGCAGCCGAGAUGACCAUUGAGGCCGCUGUCCCGUGACUGAUGUCCUUUUGUGUUUUUGGUUGUACCCCCGGAGGGAUGUAACGAACGCGGGCCGUGGGCCAAUGCUUUUUAUGAAUGUAUAUAUUCAGCAUUAUAUUCGUCACCAAGCGUGUUGUCUUAUGAUCCCGUCUUUUGAUUCCUGGUUGACUUCUCUUAUCCGAAGCCAUCAAGACGUAAAGAACAAGACAUAAGCCAAUAAAAGGCCGGCUUGAAUGAACCAACUUGAGCCGGUCGUCACUAGUAUAGCCGGACUGUGCAUGUAUUCGACCUGACCCGGCGUCACAUCGCGAACCGAGCGACCGGAGCCUGCCCGCAGGUUCAAGAGAUGGACCGGGAAUCAGCCUGUACACUAUGUGCCCGACUACAAGGAUUGACCGUCCGAGCGGCUGGCGAGCCCCCGAGCUUGUUUAAAGCUAGCAAGGGGCCGCGCUGCGUAGCCUCCGAGCUUGAGCAAGCCAGCAAGAGGUGGUACGUGGUGUAGCCCGUACACUGAGUGAAAACUCUUUUAGCAAGAGAAAGCAUGGAGCCUGCUUUUUUCACCAUAUUUGUGGUUCUCGGCAGUCAGAGGCCGUCUUGAGUCUCGGCAAUCAGAGUCCGUCUUGAGUCUUAAAGGAGAUCGUAUAUACGAUCGAGCCCGCACGAGACGGUCGUCCCAAGUAUAGCCGGACUUUGCAUGUAUUCGACCUUACCUGGCGUCAUAUCGCGAACCGAGCGACCGGAGUCAGCCCGCAGGUUCAAGCGAUGGACCAGGGGUUAGCCAGUACACUAUGUGUCCGUUAUAAGGGUUUGACCGUUCAGGCGGCUGGCGAGCCCCCGAGCUUGUUAUAAGCUAGCAAGGGGCCGCGCCGCGUAGCCUCCGAGCUUGAGCAAGCCAGCAAGAGGUGGUACGCUGUGUAGCCCGUAAACGUGAGUGAGAACUCUUGACAAAAAGAAACAUGGAGCAUGUCCUUUUUAUUGCCUUCUUUGUUCCCUGAAGAGGGAGGAAGAUACAUGUGCAUGCUCUUUCCUUUGCUUGUCUUCUGCCUUUUAGCAAUAGAACGGGCGAAGCAACGCCGUGUUCCAUGGGCGCUCUGUUUCUUGGCCGGAGUCGUCCUUCUUGCGCUUCCUUGGCUUCUGGGCGUCAAUCAGGUAGUAAGCGUUGUUGUGUAACGCCCUACUGAUGAAGGGUCCCUCCCAAGGGGGUGAGAGCUUGUGCCGGCCGGCAGUGCGCUGGAUUCUUCUGAGGACCAAGUCUCCCUCCCUAAAAGAGAGAGGCCUGAUCCUUUUGCUGUGGUAGUAUCUUAGCUUCUGUUGGUAGAUGGCCGUCCGGCUCAAAGCCAAGUCCCUUGCUUCCGCGAGGAGAUCCACACCGUCCUCUCUGGCCUCCUUUGCCUCCGUUUCUGUGUAUAGGUUGACCCAAGGCGAGUCGAAUUCGACAUCCGUGGGAAUGAUAGCCUCAGACCCGUAUACCAGAAAGAAUGAAGUGAAGCCGGUCGACCGGUUGGGCAUGGUGCGGAGGCUCCAUAGCACAGCCGGCAGUUCUUUGAUCCAGCAGCCGGCUGACCUGACCAGUGGUGCCACCAGCCUUGGCUUGAUGCCGGCUAGGAUCAGGCCGUUGGCCCUCUCCGCUUGGCCGUUUGACUGGGGGUGUGCCACCGAGGCCAGGUCGAGCCGGAUGCCUACCUUGGAACAGUAGAGCGCCAGGGCGCCCUUGGCGAAGUUGGUGUCGUUGUCGGUGAUGAUGUUGUGGGGAACGCCAUAUCGGACAGAGAUGUCCGUGAUAAACCUCACAGCAGUGGGGCCGUCAAGCUUCUUGAUAGGCCUGGCUUCGAUCCACUUGGUGAACUUGUCGACGGCUACAAGAAGAUGUGUCAUCCCUCCGCGAGCCGUCUUGAAGGGCCCAACCAUGUCCAGUCCCCAGACGGCGAAUGUCCAUGAUAAGGGGAUGGUUUUCAGUGCUGAAGGCGGCAUAUGGCUCUGUGCACUAAAGCGUUGGCAGCCUUCACAUUUGUCCACCAGAUCCACAACCUCCUCGAGGGCCGUGGGCCAGUAGAAUCCAUGGCGGAAUGCUUUGGCUACCAGGGUUCUGGAGGCGGCAUGAUGCCCACACUCCCCCUAGUGGAUGUCUCUGAGGAUCUCCUGCCCUUUUUCUGAUUCGACGCAACGUUGGAACACGCCGGUCGUGCUGCGUCGCACCAGCUCACGAUUGAUGAUGGCGUAAGCGGCGGACGUGCACUGGGUCUGUCUCACCUCCGCCUCAUUUUGAGGAAGUUCGCCACGAAGAAGGAAGGCCAGAAUGGCCUGAGCCCAUGAUGGAGCCGACACAAGAGUCGCCUCCGCUUCGUCUUGACUGUUUGGGGCUUCUGCAACCCCCGAGCUUGAUGGCAUCUUUGGUGCUAUUGCUGCAGCCGGUUCCUCGUCUAUCUCCAUGACGUCCACCCACUGGGAGGAUUCGAACCCGGGCAGAGCCGGGGUUGUCGUUGUUGGAGUUGGGUGGACCAAUGGAGCCGAAUUAGGAUCCGAAGCCGGUGUAGUUGGUGGAGCCGACGGCGCUUGCACCGUAGACUCAGUCGGUGCCGCAUUUGGAGCCGGAGCCGUCAGUGCAGCCGGCGUGGGGUCCGCAGCCGGCAUAACUGGCGGAGCCGACGGCACUUGUAUCGUGGAUUUGACCGGUACGAAGAUUGAUGCCGACUCCGGAGACGGCUUGUGGAGUUGCUCGAGGGAGAUGCCAGCUCGGAUGGCCUGCCUUGUGGAGCCGAUCUUUGCUAGUGUGUGUGCCGCCUCAUUUUCUGCCAUGCGAACAUGGUGGAACUCACAACCCUCGAAGGGGCCGCUGAGCUGCUGGAUGAGGAAGCGGUAGCUUGCCAUGUUGGCGUCCCUGGCAUCCCAUUCGCCAGAGACCUGCUGCACCACCAAGUCCGAAUCGCCGAAGCAUAUGAGCCGUCGGAUGCCAAUCUCCUUGGCAAGCCGGAGGCCGUGGGCCAGUGCUUCGUACUCGGUGACGUUGUUGGAGGCGGCGAAGUGGAUCUGGAGAGCGUACUUGAGCUGGUUCCCUUUCGGAGACGUCAAGAUGAUGCCGGCUCCUAGUCUCGUCCGCAUCUUCGAGCCGUCGAAGUGCAUCCGCCAAUGCGUGGAGUCUGGAGGCGGUGGCUCGAACUGGGUCUCGGCUCAGUCGACUAAGAAGUCGGCCACCACCUGUGAUUUGAUGGCGGUGCGAGGCUCGUACUGAAAGUCAUGGUCCGCCAUGGCGAUGGACCAUUGGGCAAUUCUGCUCGUGGCAUCACGGUAACCUACUUGCCCACGAUCUCUGAGAGUGGAGCCGUGCUCACCCCAGUGAUGGCACGCUCUUGGAAGUAUUGUUUUAAUUUCUUUGCACCAAGGUAAACACCAUAACACAUUUUCUGAUAAUGAGGGUAGUUCUGCUUAGAGGCGGAGAAGAAAUCGCUAAGGUAGUAGACAGGGCGCUGUACUGGCAGGGCCUUGCCUUCCUCUUUACGCUGAACUACCAACACUACGCUGACCACGCGAGUGGUCACCGUGAUAUAUAUGAGUAUGGGUUCUGUUGGAAUUAUGCCCUAGAGGCAAUAAUAAAUAUAGUUAUUAUUAUAAUUCCUGUAUCAAGAUAAUCGUUUAUUAUCCAUGCUAUAAUUGUAUUGAAUGAAGACUCAUUUACAUGUGUGGAUACAUAGACAAAACACCGUCCCUAGCAAGCCUCUAGUUGGCUAGCCAGUUGAUCAAAGAUAGUCAGUGUCUUCUGAUUAUGAACAAAGUGUUGUUGCUUGAUAACUGGAUCACGUCAUUAGGAGAAUCACGUGAUGGACUAGACCCAAACUAAUAGACGUAGCAUGUUGAUCGUGUCAUUUUGUUGCUACUGUUUUCUGCGUGUCAAGUAUUUAUUCCUAUGACCAUGAGAUCAUAUAACUCACUGACACCGGAGGAAUGCUUUGUGUGUAUCAAACGUCGCAACGUAACUGGGUGACUCUAAAGAUGCUCUACAGGUAUCUCCGAAGGUGUUAGUUGAGUUAGUAUGGAUCAAGACUGGGAUUUGUCACUCCGUGUGACGGAGAGGUAUCUCGGGGCCCACUCGGUAAUACAACAUCACACACAAGCCUUGCAAGCAAUGUAACUUAGUGUAAGUUGCGGGAUCUUGUAUUGCAGAACGAGUAAAGAGACUUGCCGGUAAACGAGAUUGAAAUAGGUAUGCGGAUACUGACGAUCGAAUCUCGGGCAAGUAACAUACCGAAGGACAAAGGGAAUGACAUACGGGAUUAUAUGAAUCCUUGGCACUGAGGUUCAAACGAUAAGAUCUUCGUAUAAUAUGUAGGAUCCAAUAUGGGCAUCCAGGUCCCGCUAUUGGAUAUUGACCGAGGAGUCUCUUGGGUCAUGUCUACAUAGUUCUCGAACCCGUAGGGUCUGCACACUUAAGGUUCGACGUUGUUUUAUGCGUAUUUGAGUUGUAUGGUUGGUUACCGAAUGUUGUUCGGAGUCCCGGAUGAGAUCACGGACGUCACGAGGGUUUCCGGAAUGGUCCGGAAACGAAGAUUGAUAUAUAGGAUGACCUCAUUUGAUUACCGGAAGGUUUUCGGAGUUACCGGGAAUGUACCGGGAAUGACGAAUGGGUUCCGGGAGUUCACCGGGGGGGGGGGGGACCCCCCCCUGGGGAAGCCCAUAGGCCUUGAGGGUGGCACACCAGCCCUUAGUGGUCUGGUGGGACAGCCCAAAAGGGCCCUAUGCGCCUAGGAAAGAAAAUCAAAGAGAAAAGAAAAAUAAGGAGGUGGGAAGGGAAGGAAGGACUCCCACCCACCAAACCAAGUCCAACUCGGUUUGGGGGGGGGAGGCUUCCCCCUUGGACUCGGACGACCCCCUUGGGGCUCCUUGGGCCCCAAGGCAAGGUCCCCUCCCUCCCACCUAUAUAUACGGAGGUUUUAGGGCUGAUUUGAGACAACUUUUCCACGGCAGCCCGACCACAUACCUCCACGGUUUUUCCUCUAGAUCGCGUUUCUGCGGAGCUCGGGCGGAGCCCUGCUGAGACAAGGUCAUCACCAACCUCCGGAGUGCCGUCACGCUGCCGGAGAACUCUUCUACCUCUCCGUCUCUCUUGCUGGAUCAAGAAGGCCGAGAUCAUCGUCGAGCUGUACGUGUGCUGAACGCGGAGGUGCCGUCCGUUCGGUACUAGAUCGUGGGACUGAUCGCGGGAUUGUUCGCGGGGCGGAUCGAGGGACGUGAGGACGUUCCACUACAUCAACCGCGUUCACUAACGCUUCUGCUGUACGAUCUACAAGGGUACGUAGAUCACUCAUCCCCUCUCGUAGAUGGACAUCACCAUGAUAGGUCUUCGUGCGCGUAGGAAAAUUUUUGUUUCCCAUGCGACGUUCCCCAACAGUGGCAUCAUGAGCUAGGUUCAUGCGCAGAUGUCUUCUCAAGUAGAACACAAAAGUUUUUGUGGGCGGUGAUGUGCGUUUUGCUGCCCUCCUUAGUCUUUUCUUGAUUCCGCGGUAUUGUUGGAUUGAAGCGGCUUGGACCGACAUUACUCGUACGCUUACGAGAGACUGGUUUCAUCGCUACGAGUAACCCCGUUGCUCAAAGAUGACUGGCAAGUGUCGGUUUCUCCAACUUUAGUUGAAUCGGAUUUGACCGAGGAGGUCCUUGGAUGAGGUUAAAUAGCAACUCAUAUAUCUCCGUUGUGGUGUUUGCGUAAGUAAGAUGCGAUCCUACUAGAUACCCAUGGUCACCACGUAAAACAUGCAACAACAAAAUUACAGGACGUCUAACUUGUUUUUGCAGGGUAUGCUUGUGAUGUGAUAUGGCCAACGAUGUGAUGUGAUAUAUUGGAUGUAUGAGACGAUCAUGUUGUAAUAGAAAAUAUCGACUUGCACGUCGAUGGUACGGCAACCGGCAGGAGCCAUAGGGUUGUCUUUAUACUAACGUUUGUGUCUUGCAGAUGCGUUUACUAUUUUGCUAGGAUGUAGCUUUAGUAGUAAUAGCAUGAGGUAGCACGACACGCCCGAUGGCAACACGUUGAUAGAGAUCAUGGUGUGGCGCCGGUGACAAGAAGAUCGUCGCCGGUGUCGUUUGGUGAGUGGAGAUACAAAGAAGCACGUGAUGAGUCGGCCAUAUCAUGUCUACUUAUAGUAAUUGCAUUGUGAUUAGUUUAACUUUCCUUUUUAUGCCUACCUUUUAUUUUGUCUUAAGAACGGACGGUAGCUAUUAUGAGGUGAUCUCUNNNNNNNNNNNNNNNNNNNNNNNNNNNNNNNNNNNNNNNNNNNNNNNNNNNNNNNNNNNNNNNNNNNNNNNNNNNNNNNNNNNNNNNNNNNNNNNNNNNNCCUUUGCUGCACUAAUGAAGAGACCCAAGAUUAAACCCAAACCCGAGACUAAGUGCUUCUGUAAUGAGGGGAACAGUAACUGAGGCGGAGCAACUCUAGAUACUUGGUAGAUAAGAAGGCUGGCAAAAGUCGAGAGAAGUAUAUUUGAUAUACAUGAUGUUGAUGUGUACUUUACUAGUACUCCUAGUAGCAUGAGGGUAUUGGAUACCGGUUCGGUUGCUAAGUGAUUAGUAACACGAAAUGAAAGCUACGGCAUAAAUGGAGACUAGGUAAAGGCGAGGUGACGAUACGUGUUGGAAGUGUUUCCAAGGUUGAUAUGAUCAAAACGUCGCACGCUCCCUCUACCAUCGGGAUUGGUGUUAAAACCUAAAUAAUUGUUAUUUGGUGCUUGCGUUAAGCAUGAACAUGAUUGGAUCGUGUUUAUUGCAAUACGAUUAUUCAUUUAAAGAGAAUAAUGGUUACUCUUAUUUUUUGAAUAAUCACCUUCAAUGGUUUAUUGAAUCUCGAUCGUAGUGUUACACAUGUUCAUGAUAUUGGUAACCAAAAGAUACGAGUUAAUGAUGAUAGUACCACUUACUUGUGGAACUGCCGCUUGAGUCAUGUCAGUAUAAAUUGCAUGAAGAGGCUCCAUGCUGAUGGAUCUUUGUACUCACCUGAUUUCGAAUCACUAGUGACAUGCAAAUCAUACCACGUGAGCAAGGCCUUGUUUUCAUUGAGAUGAAAUAAGAUAGUAACUUAUUGGAAGUGAUACAUUUUGAUGUAUGCAGUCCAAUGGGUGCUGAGGCACGCAGUGGAUAUCAUUAUGUUCUUACUUCACUGACCACUUGAGUAGAUACAGGAGUAUUUACUUAAUGAAUCACAAGUCUGAAAUAUUGAAAAGUUCAAUUCCGUUUCAGAGUGAAGUUCGUCGUAACAAGAGGAUGAAGUGUCUACGAUAUGAUCAUAGAAAUGAAUAUCUGAGUUACGAGUUUUGGUACGCAGUUAAGACAAUGUGGAAGUUAUUUCGCAGUUCAUGCCACCUGGAACAUCAUAGUGUGAUGAUGUGUCUGAACAUCAUAGCCACGCACUAUUUGGUAUAAUAUAUACUAUGGUGUCUCUUAUCGAAUUACCACUAUCGUUUAUGGGUUAUGCAUUAGAGACAACCGCACUCACUUUAAAUAGGGCACCGCGUAUUUCCGUUGAAGAUGACACAGUAUAGACUGAGGUUUAGAGAAAUCUAAACUGUCGUUUCUUGAAAGUUUGGGGUUUCGACACUUAUGUGAAAAAGUUUCAGUCUGAUAAGCUCGAACCCAAAGCGGAUAAAUGCAUCUUCAUAGGAUAUCCAAAACAGUUGGGUACAUCUCCUAUCUCAGAUCCGAAAGCAAAGUGUUUGUUUCUAGAAACGGAUCCUUUCUCGAGGAAAGGUUUCUCUUGAAAGAAUUGAGUGGGAGGGUAGUAGAACUUGAUGAGGUCAUUGAACCAUCACUUCAACCAGUGUGUAGCAGGGCGCAGGAAGUUGUUCAUGUGGCGCCUACACCAAUUGAAGUGGAAGCUGAUGAUGAUGAUCAUUGAGCUUCGAAUCAAGUUACUACAAAACCUCGUAGGUCGACAAGGUCGCGUACUGCUGCAGAGUAGUACGGUAACCCUGUCUUGGAGGUCAUGUUGUUGAGCAACAGUGAACCUACGAGUUAUGGAGAAAGCGAUGGUGGGCCCGGGUUCCGACAAAUGGCUGGAAGCCAUGAAAUCCGAGAGAGGAUCCAUGUAUGAAACCAAAGUGUAGACUUUGGAAGAACUACUUGAUGGUCAUAGGACUAUUGAGUAAAGAUGGAUCUUUAAAAGGAAGACAGACGAUGAUAGUGAUAAGUCGCUAUUAAGAAAAGCUCGACUUGUCGCAAAGAUGUUUCCGACAAGAUCAAACAGUUGACUAUGAUGAGACUUUCUCACUCGUAGCGAUGCUGAAAGUCUGUUAGAAUUAUGUUAGUAGUUGCUGCAUUAUUUAUGAAAUAUUGCAUGUAGGAUGUCAAAACAUUGUUUCCUCAACGGUUUCCUUGAGCAAACAUUGUAUGAGAUACAACCAUGAGGUUUUGUCGAUCCUAAAGAUACUAGCAAGUAUGCAAGCUCCAGUGAUCCUUCAAUGGACUGGUGCAAGCAUCUCGGAGUUGGAAUAUACACUUUGAUGAGAUGAUCAAAGAUUUUGGGUUUUUUACAAAGUUUAUGAGAAACCUGUAUUUCCAAAGAAGUGAGUGGGAGCACUAUAGAAUUUCUGAUAGGUAUAUGUGGUCGACAUAUUGUGGAUCAGAAGUAAUGUAGAAUUUCUGUAAAGCAUACAAGGUUGUUUUGAAAGAAGUUUUCAAAGGAGUACCUGGAUUACGCUACUUGAACGUUGAGCAUCAAAGAUCUAUGGAGAUAGAUCGAAAAGCACUUAACGGAAGUUUCAACAAGAUGCAUGCCUUGACAAGUUUUUGAAAGGAGUUCAAAAUAGGUCAGCAAAGAAGGAGUUCUUGGUUGCGUUGUGAGGUGUGAAUUUGAGUAAGACUCAAAACCSCGCCCCGGCAGAAUAAAGAGAAUAGACGAAGGUCGUCUUCUAUGCCUUAGCCGUAGAAUCUAAAGUAUGCCAUGCUGUGUACCNNNNNNNNNNNNNNNNNNNNNNNNNNNNNNNNNNNNNNNNNNNNNNNNNNNNNNNNNNNNNNNNNNNNNNNNNNNNNNNNNNNNNNNNNNNNNNNNNNNNUUUUUUUUCUUUCUUUCUGUUUCUGUUUCAAAAAAGUCCUGGAUUUUCAAAAAAUGUUUUGGAAUUUGAAAAAAUGUUCCAGAAUUUGAAAAAAUGUUUCGGAAUUUGUAAAAAUGUUCCAAAAUUUAACAAAUUGUUCCAUAAAUUGAAACAAUGUUUCAUAAUUUGAAAAAAUGUUCCAGAAUUUGAAUAAAUGUUUCAGAAUUUCAAACAAUGUUCCGGAAUUUUUAUACAAAGGUUUCGUAUUUUCCGAAAAAUGUUCUGGAAUUUGAAAAAAUGUUCCAGAAUUUUGAAAAAAACGUUCCGGAUUUUAGAAAAAUGUUCUGGAAUUUGAAAAAAUGUACCAGAAUUUUAUAAAAAAUGUUUCGUAUUUUUCAAGAAAAUGUUCCGUAAUUUAAAAAAAAAUCCGGCAUUUUAGAAGAUGUUUCAGAAUUUGAAAAAUGUUCCGAAUAUUUAUAAAUAGUUUCGGAUUUUUCAGAAAAAUGUUCCGAAAUUUCAAAAAAUGCUCUGGAUUUUGAUAAAAUUGUUUUGUAUAUUUCAUACAAAUGUUCCGGAAUUUCAAAAGUAUUCCGACUUUUGAAAAAAAUGUUCCGGAAUUUGUAAAAAAUGUUUGCAAAAUGUUCGUAAUUUUCUAAAAAAAAUGUUCGCGCUUUCGAAAACAAUGUUUCCUAAUUUUCAAACAUUAUAAUAAAAAAACUUCGAAAAAAAUUGUUCCAAGAAAUCAAAAGGGGUAACGCUACGCGUCCGCCGGAUGAAUUUUGAAAAAAUUAUUCGUCACCUAGCUAGCCGUCGGAUGNNNNNNNNNNNNNNNNNNNNNNNNNNNNNNNNNNNNNNNNNNNNNNNNNNNNNNNNNNNNNNNNNNNNNNNNNNNNNNNNNNNNNNNNNNNNNNNNNNNNCAGACUUGCUCUGAAAAUUCAGAGCCUGGAGCGAAAGGUGGGAGGGGAGGGUGCGCGCUGUCCUCUGGGAGCUCUAUACGACGCCUUGUGCACCCGACUGCCAAGGAAACGCACAAAAGACUCAGACCUGGGCUGGCCGGUAGCCAUUUUACUGUAGCGCCAGAUCGAUAAUACAGUAAAAAACACAUGCGAGCAAAUGCUUCUGUAGCUGCUGCAUAUUGUAAAAGACGAACCUUUUCAAAAAUUACGACAUUUUAAAUUGAAUAUGUUUCUGAAAACAUGAUGUUUUUUCAAAUAUGCGAACCUUUUUCAAAAAACGUUGAACACUUUUUGGUUUGGGAAAAGAUUACGUUUCACCGGCUGAUCUGAUUGAUCCAUCCGCCGCCUGCUCGUCCGUUAGAUCUCGCCUCGAUCACGAACCAUUUCCCGAAACUGGCUCGUUGUUUCAGAAACUGAAGCGUUAAUUCAUGACGGGGGCUGAAGCUGGAGCACUCCAGGUUCCUCGUCGUGGCUACUCUGCUACCGGGGACGAGCCUGCCGGAGUCCGGCGAACCGCCACCGCCAUCGGUCCUCGCCAGCUCGCCGGAUCCCCACCUCGCCGACGAGAUCCAGCCCCUCGCCGGGUCCCCACCUCACCGGAUCGCCAGAUCCCCACCUCGUGCGGUGAACGAGGAGGUGUGCGGCGCGGACACCGGCAAGCUUCCGCCGCCGGGAGCUUCUCUGCCUCGCUGGAGAUGCGUCCCUGCUCGCACGCCCGACUCUCCGUUGAGCAUGGAUCCCGGCUGCAACAUGACUUUUGUUGCAAAAAUUCCUGAAACUCGACCGUUGUUGCAAAAAAUUCUUUUGUAAAAAUAUUUAUGUUACAGAAAGAUGAAGAAAAAUAAUAAUUCUGCAACAAGCAAAUUGUUUCUGAAAGUCGACCGUUGUUUCAGGAAUUAACGGAUCCAAAGUUUAUUUCUUGCAAUAAAUCGAAAGUUUCCGCAACUCGAGCGUCGUUUCAGAAAAUAACUGCUGACCAUGCGACGGGAAUGUGCGGUGUUAGAUCGGCAUCCGACGGCUAGCUAGGUGACGAAUAAUUUUUCAAAAUCAUCCGGCGGACGCGUAGCGUUCCCCUUUUGAUUUCUGGAACAUUUUUCGAAUUUUUUAUUAUAUGUUGAAAAUAGGAAACAUUGUUUCGAAAGCGCGAACAUUUUUUAGAAAUACGAACAUUUGCAAACAUUUUUACAAAUUCCGGAACAUUUUUUCAAAAGUCGGAAUACUUUUGAAAUUCCGGAACAUUUGUAUGAAAUAUACAAAACAAUUUUAUCAAAAUCCAGAGCAUUUUUUGAAAUUUCGGAACAUUUUUCUGAAAAUCCGAAACUAUUUAUAAAUAUUCGGAACAUUUUUCAAAUUCUGAAACAUCUUCUAAAAUGCCGGAUUUUUUUUAAAUUACGGAACAUUUUCUUGAAAAAUACGAAACAUUUUUAUAAAAUUCUGGUACAUUUUUUCAAAUUCCAGAACAUUUUUCUAAAAUCCGGAACGUUUUUUUCAAAAUUCUGGAACAUUUUUUCAAAUUCCAGAACAUUUUUCGGAAAAUACGAAACCUUUGUAUAAAAAUUCCGGAACAUUGUUUGAAAUUCUGAAACAUUUAUUCAAAUUCUGGAACAUUUUUUCAAAUUAUGAAACAUUGUUUCAAUUUAUGGAACAAUUUGUUAAAUUUUGGAACAUUUUUACAAAUUCCGAAACAUUUUUUCAAAUUCUGGAACAUUUUUUCAAAUUCCAAAACAUUUUUUGAAAAUCCAGGACUUUUUUGAAACAGAAACAGAAAGAAAGAAAAAAAAAAAAGGAUCUAGACCUCCAACGGCCCUCAAAGUGCUCCACAGUACCGACUGGGCUACCGACUGGGCUACCCCAUCAUAGCGAGCCCACCCGAUGUAGACAACCAAGACAUGUGUACUGUAUUGAACCACACAUGGUAGUGGGCGUGUUUUUUUGGCAGCUUUUUCAUUCCGCUCAGAAAAUGAAAAGUAUUGCUGAAAAAAUGAAAACAUUAUUUUUAAAUGCAGUUUUUAAUAUGUUUUGAAAACAUAAUAUCUAUAUUUUACUUUUUUGAAAAUGCUGCUCUCCAUAAUACAUAUAAAUUGCCACUGAUUUANNNNNNNNNNNNNNNNNNNNNNNNNNNNNNNNNNNNNNNNNNNNNNNNNNNNNNNNNNNNNNNNNNNNNNNNNNNNNNNNNNNNNNNNNNNNNNNNNNNNACUUUCCGGUGACCAUGUUGACACCUGCAGGUCGAGGAACCAAACUCCAAGUUUGUUCUUAAGCAAAGCAUGAAAUUCAGCUAGCAUAGCAUCGUGCCAAUGGUGAUCCAGGAGGGCAGAUUUAUAUGAGGAAGGGAGGGGGGUAGAAAUAGGAGACGCGGUGGUGGCGGUGAGGGAAAAAAGGUUUAGCGUGGCUGUGCAAAGCCUCGUUUGGCACGGGUGGUCAUGCGAUGCGAAUUUACAGGAGGAGGGAUAGGAACGACAGAGUGACGUGGUGGGGAGGGAGUCGGUGGCACAGGGCUGCGAGGUAGAGGUGGUGGGUCUGGGGAGCCGAGGCGGUGUGGGAAUCAGUGGAGGGCCCGGCGGGCGAUCCGAGCGGGAAGGAGGCGGCAGAGGCGACAGUUCCAGGAGAUGCCGUAGCGGGCGAGUCGUGGGGCGACGAGUGUGGGGCAUCGGUUGGAGCGGACGAGGCGGGAGGGGUGGUGGGCGAUCUGGAAACACGUACGGAGCGCGGGUUGGUGGAGCGCUGGGAGGGAAAACGGGGUUACGGGCGCUGCUAUCCAAAGUAUGUGGAGCGCUGGGUGGGAAAGCGGGGGUGCGGGCGCUGCUGUCCGAGGUAGGUGGGGAGGGAAUCCCGAGGGCGAUUGCGCGCAGGUGGCGGCCAGGCGCGGGAUCCGGUGCGGUUGGUUGUGGUGUGACCGGUUGUGUGGGGGGGGGCGUGUAUGGAAAGGUUGUUUCAUCAAAAACCACAUGCCGGGACACAAUGACUUUGCGGGUUUGGAUAUCGAAACACCGAUACCCCUUGUGUUCAAGAGGGUAACCGAGGAACACACAACGGGUGGAGUGAGGAGCUAAUUUGUAGGGUGUGGUGGCAUAUAAGUUGGGGAAACAGAGACAACCGAAAACGCGAAGGUGAUCGUAUCGGGAUUGAACGCCGGUGAGAAGAUAGUAGGGUGUGUGGGGUUGGGUGGUGAUGGAUGGACGGCGGUUGAGUAAGUGUGUGGCGGUGUGGAGAGCCUCGACCCAAAAGGGCGGUGGUAAGUGGGCGAUGGAGAAGUAGCGUGCGGAGGACGUCAUUGGUUGUACGGAGCAUGCGUUCGGCUUUGCCAUUUUGGGGGGAGGGUAUGGGGGCGACGAGAGACGGUAGGUGAUGCCGUGGGUGGAAAAAAGGUAGCGUAGGGAGUUGUUGAUGAAUUUUCCGCCAUUGUCACAUUGCAUGGAUUGUAUGAGUGUGUGAAAUCGGGUGUAGAUGUAAGUGAAGAAGCGUUGGAGAGUGGGGGAUGUGUCGUCUUUGUUGCGGAGGGGAAACGACCAAGAGUAGUGAGAAAAGUCAUCAAGAACAAUGAGAUAAUAUUUAAACCCAGAGAAGCUAAUAAUGGGUGAUGUCCAAAGAUCACAAUGAAUAAGUUGAAACGGCGCAGUGGUACAAUUAUGGGAGGAGGAAAAGGAUAAGCGAGGUUGACGUCCUAGUUGGCAAGAGGGACAGGGGGAGCGAGCAACAUUAUUACAAUCGGGUAAGAAAGUGCGAGAAAGGAAAUCUAAGGAGGCUUUGCCCGGAUGGCCAAGCCGUUGAUGGCACAAGUCGCCGGUGGUGGUGAAGGCAGCCGACUUGCCGAAUGAGGAGGAGGUGCCGUAGAAGGGGUACAACGGGCCGGGACUACUGGACGUCAUGAGCGGAGUCCUGGUGUGGAGGUCCUUCACAGAGAAACCGUGAGGNNNNNNNNNNNNNNNNNNNNNNNNNNNNNNNNNNNNNNNNNNNNNNNNNNNNNNNNNNNNNNNNNNNNNNNNNNNNNNNNNNNNNNNNNNNNNNNNNNNNUUCGGGACCAGCACCUGGGGGCUGAUAGCCAGAUCGCCGAGCUUGAACUCCGACUAGGCGAGGCCGCCGCGGAGCGUGAUGCCCUUCGCGAAGCCGGCGGCCGGCUCCAAGAGCAGCUGGACCUUCUUCAAGCGGAGAAGAAGGAGCUCCAGGCGACCGGCCGGGUCGAGCUGGAGCGGCUGCGGGCCAUGCUGCAGGAGAAGGAGGCCUCCAACUCUGCUGACAUGGACCGCCUCGCGUCGCUCCAUCUUGAGGAGGCGAACCUCAAGGACGCCGCCUUGAGGGCGAAGGAUGAAGCCCUUACACAGAAGCAAGCGCAGCUGGGUAAGGCGCUGGAGUCCGCCGGGACCCUCUAGGAGGAAAUCGCCCGCCUCACUCAUGCGAGUGAGGUGCGGGAGCGCGAGGUCCUCGAGGUCUUUCAUGAGACCGACAACGCCUUCCAGCGUAGGUUUCCUUUCCUUGUUUUGCGUUUUUUUGGCCGUCUCCUCCUCUUGCUGUGUUCUUACGUCCUGGCUAUCUUUACCCCAGAUCUCUUCUCCGAGACCCAGGUCGCAGCCGACACUGCCGUUGAGGUGUGCCGCGUGGCUGGAGAGGAGGUAGAUACUACCUCCGGCUGGAGCGUCGAGGAGAUUGGUGUGGGGCUUCGGGCCCGCCUGCACGUCGUGGGCGAGUCUGUGACUCAGCUCCAGGUUGCGGGUUCGUCAAUGGUGGCGGCCCUGUGGCCGGAGGGCGUGGAGCUGACGACCAUGAGCCGUCUUGCCCGUUGGCUCACGGCGGUGGAGAGCGCCUCGACGCCUGGCGAGCCUCCGCAGCGUGGUCUGGCGCUUAUAUUCSCCUGCGCUUGGCCAAGUCAUGGUAUCGCAACCUGAACAUGGGCAAGCUGGCUSSCCAGCGCGACGGCUCAGAGGCGGAGCUGCAAGGCCUGGAGGAGGAGCUCCUGGUGAGGGCCAGCGCCGUGGCUGAGUACGCAGCCUGGGACGACUUCGUCUUGGAGUGGGAUGAAGACGGCGGUAUGAUCGCUGAGGAUGUGCACGGCCUUCAGCCCUACGACACCGAUGGCAGCUCCGACGAGGCGGCCUGGGCUGCGGAAAUCUGCAGCCGCCUCCAGCGGUGGGGAGUAUGCCAACUCCGGGAUCAGCGGAGCCGGGGGCCGCAACGGGGGAGACGGCGCAUCCACCUCGGGAGGAGCCGGAGGCGGCGAUGCUACCACAUCAGGAGCAGCAGCCGAGAUGACCAUUGAGGCCGCUGUCCCGUGACUGAUGUCCUUUUGUGUUUUUGGGKUGUACCCCCGGAGGGAUGUAACGAACGCGGGCCGUGGGCCAAUGCUUUUUAUGAAUGUAUAUAUUCAGCAUUAUAUUCGUCACCAAGCGUGUUGUCUUAUGAUCCCGUCUUUUGAUUCCUGGUUGACUUCUCUUAUCCCGAAGCCAUCAAGACGUAAAGAACAAGACAUAAGCCAAUAAAAGGCCGGCUUGAAUGAACCAACUUGAGCCGGUCGUCACUAGUAUAGCCGGACUGUGCAUGUAUUCGACCUGACCCGGCGUCACAUCGCGAACCGAGCGACCGGAGCCUGCCCGCAGGUUCAAGCGAUGGACCGNNNNNNNNNNNNNNNNNNNNNNNNNNNNNNNNNNNNNNNNNNNNNNNNNNNNNNNNNNNNNNNNNNNNNNNNNNNNNNNNNNNNNNNNNNNNNNNNNNNNCGGCAAUCACCAAGGCGUCGGCGAGGCGGCUGCUAUCUUGGGCGACACUCGAGCGACUUCUUGUAGUCGCCAACAACAGCGAUGAUGCCCUUGGGACCCGGACSAUCUUCAGUUUUCUAGGUAGGCGUAGUGCGGGAUAGCCAUGAAUUUGGCCAGAGCCGGUCUCCCCACGCAGCGCGUGAUACGGGCUGCUGAGGUCCACCACCUCGAACCAUAUGAACUCGCGACGGAAGUGGGCCUUGUCGCUGAAGAGGACGUCCAGCUGGAUCUUGCCGAUGGGCGAGCACGACCGCCCAUGCACGAUGCCAUGGAAGACAGUGCUGGUUGGAAGGACGUCCGUCUCCUUGAGCCCAAGCUUGCGGAGAGUGUCGAGGUAGAGGAUGUUGAUGCUGCUGCCACCGUCGACCAGCACCCGGGAGAAUCGGCAGGUGAGCCUCUUCGAGGCGAAGGUGGGGUCGACGACGAGUGCGUAUGACCCCGGGUUGGGCAUCACGGCAGGGUGGUCCACCCGGCUCCAUGUAAUUGGUUUGUCAGACGAAUGCAUGUACUGGGGAACCGGGGGGACAGUGGCGUUUACCUCGUGCCACCUUUGGCGCAGGUUGUGCUUGUCGUCGCCUUCACUGGUGAAGACGACGAACGCUCUAUCUUGAUGCGGGUAGUCGUCAUGGUGUGGGCCGUCGUCGCGAGGCGGCGGCGGCGGAAGAGGAGCGUGAUGGGGAGCCGGUGCACGGGGCGCCGCCUGCGCACCCGGAGGAGCCGGCAGGCCCUCCCCUUGCGACAGCCAGCGUGCAACGCUGCACUGUCCAAGGGUAUGGGUAGACGGCGCCGCCCCCGAAUGUAUCUUGCAGGGGGCGUCGAGCAGCUGCUCGAGAGACUGCUUGGGCAGCCAGUUGGGGUCGCCCUGAUUGCGACGCUUUCGUGGAGGGCUGGCUUGGGAAGCCGAUGCCUCUCCCUCCAUGUUGGCCACUAGCUUGUGUUAGCCAUCUGAUCCGCCUUGCGCUUGUAGUUGUUCUGUCCGCCUCGGUUGUCCCCAGCCGGCUUGGGAGUAGCCGGCGCAGGCACAACCUUUUCCGAGGCGGUCACCUUGAUGCACAUUGCGGAGUCCGCCGUGGCGUACUUGUCCGCCUUGGCCAUGAGCACCGCCAAGGAGGUGGGCUCGGCGCACAUGAGCUUGUGCUUGAGGAGGGUGUCGUCUCGGCAUCCGUCAAUGAAUUACUGUAUGGCUUGUACCUCAUGCACCCCCUCACAGGAGUUGCGGAGCUCGGUCACCGGGGGGUGACGUAGUCGCCGAGGGGUUCGUCGGCCUUCUAGACGCACAUGGCCAGCUCGCGAGGCCGACCAGGGCGCUUGUAGGUGUCGGUGAAGUUGCGGACGAACGCCUCCUCGAAGUCCACCCAGGAGUUGAUGCUGCCGGCCAGGAGGCUGUUAAGCCAGGUCCGAGCCGAGCCGGCCAGCACGAGUGGCACAUAGCGAACCGCUACACGCUUGUUGCCCCUGGCGAUGCCUAUNNNNNNNNNNNNNNNNNNNNNNNNNNNNNNNNNNNNNNNNNNNNNNNNNNNNNNNNNNNNNNNNNNNNNNNNNNNNNNNNNNNNNNNNNNNNNNNNNNNNCCAUAUAUAGCAAGGAUAAUUACACAUGCAAUAAUGAAGAGAUGAGCUAGAGACUUAAUUACAGAAAUAAUACUUACAGACAAUAGGAACUAAUGAUCGUUUUGUGGAGGUGUCUUGAUUGUAUAACUGAAAUAAUUCGUCAAAUUCAAMCAAUAGUGACAUGUUUCCAUUGUAAAAGUGCUCAUCUUUAAAUCUCACGUAGAUAUUGUUGAUCGAAUCAUUGUAGGCAUUCAAGUACCAAUCAUGCAGUCUUCGCAUCAUCGUUGAUAGUUUUGUCAACUGCUCAUGUUUCACGAGAGGCUUCCCGUACUGGUAUCUAAGGCCUACUAUCAGGGCAGUUUCGAACUGUACAUCAUUGCUUACGAAAUUAGUAGGAUUGAAACCAAGAUAAUUAGCGGCCACUACCCCUGGAUCAACAUUAGCGACAUCGGUAAACACCUUGAGCGGGGGGCACGAUUGCUUCUCCUGUUCGACGAGCUGGGGAUUUUUUUCCCACUUCUCGAACCACUAGUAAUUAAGCUUCCCGGCCGCUUUAGCAUGUGUCUUUUGAAUAAUUCUCUCAUAGUUUGAUGGCAGCGGACGCGGUACCGAUGGUGGUCGCUCAAGGGCAUCCAGACAGCGCUUCGCUUUUACCGGAUCAACUUUCUCCUUUGGAGGUGGACGUUUAGGUGCAAAAAGGGCCUUAUUAUAGGCAACCACGAUUUCCGCGUUUUCCUCGGGAGCCCUCUCAUAUGGUAAUUUUGGAAGAGGCUUGAGGCUUGGACCAUAUUUGAAUUUCUUCCCGCCUCCAGUGCUGCUAGCCGCCGGAGCGACGGCUUAUCUCUUCCACCGUUGCUGACGCGUCGGAGGAGGCGGAGGAGGAAGAGGUUGAGUGCGCUCACGCGCCGGAGGAGGCAAAGGAGGAGGAGGCGUAGUGCCCUCACGAGCUGGAGGAUGCGGAGGAGGAGAAGGCGGAGUGCGCUGACGCACCGGAGGAGACGGAGUGCUUUCACGCGCCGGAGGAGGCAGAGGAGGAGGAUACGAAGGAGGAGGAGGAGUCUACUGAGGCGUCUAGUGUGGAAGCUUGAUGUACUCCUUUCUCCAUAUACAUGUAGACCUUAAAGCAUUUUCCAGAUGAAUYCUCCCCUUCACCUAUAGGGUAGUCAAGCUCCAGCUCCUCAAAUCCCUCCGUUAUUUCAUCCACAGUCACAAAUAGCAUAGUCAUGUGGAAUUGGACGACAAUGGAAAGUUCCGUCAGCUCGAGGAGGUAGAAUAGAGCCGAUCGUCACCUUCAAGGUCAGGUUUUGGCAUCUCGCCAGUAGCACAAAAUGUUCAGCCUCCGUGAUACUAUCCACGGGGUAGCGAGGAGCCGUGAAAUCAGGCUGAACGAGCUNNNNNNNNNNNNNNNNNNNNNNNNNNNNNNNNNNNNNNNNNNNNNNNNNNNNNNNNNNNNNNNNNNNNNNNNNNNNNNNNNNNNNNNNNNNNNNNNNNNNCGACGCUCGACGUACAAUGCGUGCUCAGCGUCAACCUUACGCGGAGCCCACUGGCCAGCCGGCGGGUCCACAGCAAUCGAGACCAUGCAGGCGCGGGCCCCUCAUCGACAAGACAAGACCCUUGUGGGCCCCUGGCCAGCCGGCGAAGCAGCCAGCCGGGUCCCACGCAUGUACCCUUUAUCCAUAUUGUGGGCCGGCGGGUUCGCUAUAAAACCCCCGGCCGCCCACAUGCAAGGAGGUCGAUCACUUACCAGUCAUUCAACACUACACACUCACCAACCAACAGAGAGUGAGGUAGAGACGAGCCGGCUGCUCCCCUCUUCCUCCUCCCAACACAGCUCCAGGAGCAACAUUGUACUCUGUUCCCAUACAUCAAACACACAAGCAGGAUUAGGGGUAUUAUCUCUAGGGAGAGCCCUGAACCUGGGUACAUCGUGCGUCGCAUGCGUGUACCAACCUCGUUCCCAGCGCCCACCUUUGUCCCUUCGGUUCUCACUGACUUUAGCCUACCUAUGGCAUAUGUUGUGAGUAUUCACCGACACUGGCGCACUCCAAUACCUCACUCUCACACGGCCAGACCUCACAUAUGUCGUCCAACAGAUCUGUUUGUUCAUGCACGCUCCGCUUGAUUCCCAUUAUCAGCUAAUCAAACGGGUCUUGCGCUAUCUUUGCGGCACUACUCAUUAUGGUCUCCAGCUCUUUCGCUCCUCGUCCCACGACCUCAUUUCUUACAGUGAUGCCGACUGGGUCGGGUGCCCCGACACUCGCAAAUCCACGUCUGGGUUCUGUGUCUUCCCCAGCUCCGAUCUCAUUUCCUGGUCGUCCAAGCGCCAGCCAAUGGUUUCCCGUUCCAGUGUCGAGGCUGAGUACCGGGCUAUGGCCAACUGCGUCACCGAGUCUUGCUGGCUCCGCCAGCUUCUUGCAGAGCUUCAUCGCCCCCACGUCGAGCUACCGUUGUCUAUUGCAACAACGUCAGUGCCGUGUACCUCUCCUCCAACCCGGUACAACAUCAACGGACGAAGCAUAUUGAGAUUGAUCUUCACUUCAUCCGUGAUCGCGUUGCUCUUGGCGAGGCCAAGGUCUUGCAUGUUCCGACUACUUCACAGUCUGCCGACAUCUUCACCAAGGGGCUACCUUCAUCGGUGUUUUGUGACUACCGAGCCAGUCUCAACGUCCUCUCCAGUGAUGUUCNNNNNNNNNNNNNNNNNNNNNNNNNNNNNNNNNNNNNNNNNNNNNNNNNNNNNNNNNNNNNNNNNNNNNNNNNNNNNNNNNNNNNNNNNNNNNNNNNNNNUGAGCAACCCACACCAUACGAACGUGCCAAUGGAGAUGGAGCUCUGGCCAUGGCCGAUAUGUGCGACGCUGGCGGUCGCCACGCUCCUCUACUACCUGGCCAGCCCGACACGCAGCCGCAGUGUGGGCACGGGGCUGAUGCGGAUGUCGUCGAGCCCCACGCCGCUGCCCGUCGCCGGCAACCUGCUCAGCCUCCGUCGCGGCAACCUCCACCACAUGGCCCCGUCAUGACGCUCCGUGGUGUCCUCGCGCGACGCGGCCCGGGAGGCGUUCACGAGGCACGACCCGCGCCUGGCCGCGCGCGUCGUGGAUAGGGGCGCGGGGAGAUGGAUGGGGGCGGCGGGGGAGAUGGAUGGGGGCGGCGGGGGAGAUGGGAUGGGGGGCGGCGGGUGCGACGGGGGAGAUGGAUGGGGGCGGCGGGGGAGAUGGAUGGGUACGAGAGAGAAGACAGGUGGGGAGAGGAUAAGGUCGGGUGGAGGUGAGUGGUGGGCCAGCUGGUUUUUUUUUUGAGGGGACCAGCCGGGUUGAGUGGGUGGGAGAGCCAGCGACGGUGGGAUGGGCCGUCACGUCAUCGAUCGGUGGGAUCGAUCCGCGUGGUGUGCUUUCUCUUUGCCGUCAUCCGGUUAUUUUUCAAGACGGCAAAUUAAGUAUUUGCCGUCAUCCGGUUAUUUUUCAAGACGGCAAAUUAAGUCUUUGCCGUCAUCCGGUUAUUUUUCAAGACGGCAAAAUAUUUUUUCACCCACGUCCGUGCGUGGUGCGAUGGGGUGGGCUGGUGUGUCUCAGAUCUUUCCACGUCAUUGAUCCGCGUGAUCAAUCUGUGCGUUGUGCUUCUUAUUUUGCCGUCAUCUAGUUACUUUUACAGAGGGCAAAAUUAUUUUGCCAUCAUCCAGUUAUUUUCAAAGUACGGCAAAAUAWUUUAGCCGUUCAUCUAGUUAUUUUUACAGUACGGAAAAWWCAUCUUUGCCGUCAUCCAGUUAUUUUUACAGAUGGCAAAAYAUUUUUUCACCCAUGUCCGUGCGUGGUGGGAUGGGGUAGGCUGGUGUGUCUCAGAUCUUGCCACGUCAUCGAUCCGCGUGAUCGAUCCGUGUGAUGUGCNNNNNNNNNNNNNNNNNNNNNNNNNNNNNNNNNNNNNNNNNNNNNNNNNNNNNNNNNNNNNNNNNNNNNNNNNNNNNNNNNNNNNNNNNNNNNNNNNNNNCCAUUUAGCAGCGACUCGAUACAGAAGCUAAGUGAAAGGCUAGUAGCGGAGCCUAUACCGGAAUUCUUAAAACCUUAGUUUUAGCGUUUUACUGUUAAAUCAAAUUGAAAAAAUUGAAACAGUAAUAUAAUCAAGCAAUCAAAURUGAUAUAUCACUAGUAGAAAAUUGGGAUUUAGUCUCGGUUCCAGAGGGGCUUUAGUCCCAGUUCUUCAACCGGGACAAAACAAUCGGACUAAAGGCCCAAACAUUUAGUCCCGAUUGGCUUAUGAACCGGACCCAAAGGAUCUCCACGCGGCCGUUGCGAGGCGCCCAGGCAGGAGGACCUUUAGUCCCGGUUGGUAACACCAACCGGGACCCAAAGGCAGUCACGCGUCAGCAGCUCGUAGGCGUUGGGUUCUUUGUUUUUUUAAAUGAGGGGGGCGUAGGGGUUUUGGAGGGUUUUAUUAGGGGUUUCAUAUUGUGUUAGAUAGCUACUACAUAUAGAGAGAAGUGACAUUUCUUUCUCCGUGCUUGGUCGACGGUACCUACUACAUAUAGAGAGAACUUGAUGUUAGCUAGUAAGUAAAUGAAGGAACCAUUAAUUACACAACAUCGUCAUGAACAUAUAUAGAGUGAAAUGACCUCUCUUUCUCCGUGCUUGGUCAAACAACUCGACGCUACUACAUAUAGUACAGGAUCAUACAUAUAUACAAUAUAUAAUAUCUCUUGCAAUCCCUAACUAGCUAAUAUCUAUCGCCCACCAAAAUCGGUAAGAAAUCCUGAUGAUAUUCUCCAUCUGAUGGUAUGACAUGCUCAAUAAAGAAUCCCGUCAAUUCCUCUUGAAUUGCUCGUAUGCAAUCCAGGGUCGCGCUAUUCGUCACCCUGGGUGAGGAAUAGUUAUUCUUCACCCCCUCUAUUUUUGUUGGAAUUAUGCCCUAGAGGCAAUAAUAAAUAUAGUUAUUAUUAUAAUUCCUGUAUCAAGAUAAUCGUUUAUUAUCCAUGCUAUAAUUGUAUUGAAUGAAAGCUCAUUUACAUGUGUGGAUACAUAGACAAAACACCGUCCCUAGCAAGCCUCUAGUUGGCUAGCGAGUUGAUCNNNNNNNNNNNNNNNNNNNNNNNNNNNNNNNNNNNNNNNNNNNNNNNNNNNNNNNNNNNNNNNNNNNNNNNNNNNNNNNNNNNNNNNNNNNNNNNNNNNNGGCUCAAGUUGGUUCAUUCAAGCCGGCCUUUUAUUGGCUUAUGUCUUGUUCUUUACGUCUUGAUGGCUUCGGAUAAGAGAAGUCAACCAGGAAUCAAAAGACGGGAUCAUAAGACAACACGCUUGGUGACGAAUAUAAUGCUGAAUAUAUACAUUCAUAAAAAGCAUUGGCCCACGGCCCGCGUUCGUUACAUCCCUCCGGGGGUACAACCAAAAACACAAAAGGACAUCAGUCACGGGACAGCGGCCUCAAUGGUCAUCUCGGCUGCUGCUCCUGAUGUGGUAGCAUCGCCGCCUCCGGCUCCUCCCGAGGUGGAUGCGCCGUCUCCCCCGUUGCGGCCCCCGGCUCCGCUGAUCCCGGAGUUGGCAUACUCCCCACCGCUGGAGGCGGCUGCAGAUUUCCGCAGCCCAGGCCGCCUCGUCGGAGCUGCCAUCGGUGUCGUAGGGCUGAAGGCCGUGCACAUCCUCAGCGAUCAUACCGCCGUCUUCAUCCCACUCCAAGACGAAGUCGUCCCAGGCUGCGUACUCAGCCACGGCGCUGGCCCUCACCAGGAGCUCCUCCUCCAGGCCUUGCAGCUCCGCCUCUGAGCCGUCGCGCUGGGCAGCCAGCUUGCCCAUGUUCAGGUUGCGAUACCAUGACUUGGCCAAGCGCAGGGCCAUAUAAGCUCCAGACCACGCUGCGGAGGCUCGCCAGGCGUCGAGGCGCUCUCCACCCGCCGUGAGCCAACGGGCAAGACGGCUCAUGGUCGUCAGCUCCACGCCCUCCGGCCACAGGGCCGCCACCAUUGACGAACCCGCAACCUGGAGCUGAGUCACAGACUCGCCCACGACGUGCAGGCGGGCCCGAACGCCCCACACCAAUCUCCUCGANNNNNNNNNNNNNNNNNNNNNNNNNNNNNNNNNNNNNNNNNNNNNNNNNNNNNNNNNNNNNNNNNNNNNNNNNNNNNNNNNNNNNNNNNNNNNNNNNNNNGCUUGAGAAUGCAAGCUAUGCAGAUGUCGUAAAAUUCAUGACACACGGCUUCCGCGUUAAAUUUCCUUUCAGACUUCGCCAAUCUGGAGACUUCUUGGGAUGUCUGAUGGAUGAUUUGGCGCCGUGAGUUUGAGAUCUUGAUACCUCGUACUUGUAAGCUCUGCUUUUGUUUUUGCACAUGCACACCUGAUCAUUCUACAUUUUCGUUUUUUUUUUGUCAGCACAUUCACUAAAGAUUGGAUUCUAACAAUUCUUUCGAUUGAUGUAAGUUUCAUGGGUUGCGCAGCUAAAGCAGUUCCAGAACCAUUUGAUAUUUGCUUGUAUAUAAUUAUGGCGUCAUUAGCAUAUGCCAGGCUUAUUGCUGGUACGUGAGAAUUACAUAUUCCAGUAUGGUUUACUGCCUGUGUCUAUAAAUCAGAUCACAAAUAAACCUGUUUUGUUUUAUGCAGUGUUCUGGAGGUUUGUAUUGGUGCCCCUGGUCGUAUUAAUCUUCCUUGCCCACAAGUAUUGGAAAACAAGGAUCACGAUGGAUGCUGUUGAGAAGUUCCUCCAGAUGCAGCAAAUGAUCGGCCCGUCAAGGUACGCCUAUACAGACAUCACCGCAGUCACCAGCCAUUUCAGAGAUAAGCUGGGUCAGGGAGGCUAUGGCUCCGUGUACAAGGGUGUGCUGCUCCAGGCAAUGUCCAUGUCGGGGUCAAGAUGCUAGAGGNNNNNNNNNNNNNNNNNNNNNNNNNNNNNNNNNNNNNNNNNNNNNNNNNNNNNNNNNNNNNNNNNNNNNNNNNNNNNNNNNNNNNNNNNNNNNNNNNNNNGGGUGAAAAAAUAUUUUGCCAUCUGUAAAAAAUAACUGGAUGACGGCAAAGAUGUAUUUUUCCGUCUGUAAAAAUAACUAGAUGACGGCAAAAUUAUUUUGCCGUCUUUGAAAAUAACUGGAUGAUGGCAAAAUAAUUUUGCCCUCUGUAAAAGUAACUAGAUGACGGCAAAAUAAGAAGCACAACGCACAGAUUGAUCACGCGGAUCAAUGACGUGGAAAGAUCUGAGACACACCAGCCCACCCCAUCGCACCACGCACGGACGUGGGUGAAAAAAUAUUUUGCCGUCUUGAAAAAUAACCGGAUGACGGCAAAGACUUAAUUUGCCGUCUUGAAAAAUAACCGGAUGACGGCAAAUACUUAAUUUGCCGUCUUGAAAAAUAACCGGAUGACGGCAAAGAGAAAGCACACCACGCGGAUCGAUCCCACCGAUCGAUGACGUGACGGCCCAUCCCACCGUCGCUGGCUCUCCCACCCACUCAACCCGGCUGGUCCCCUCAAAAAAAAACCCAGCUGGCCCACCACUCACCUCCACCCGACCUUAUCCUCUCCCCACCUGUCUUCUCUCUCGUACCCAUCCAUCUCCCCCGCCGCCCCCAUCCAUCUCCCCCGUCGCACCCGCCGCCCCCAUCCAUCUCCCCCGCCGCCCCCAUCCAUCUCCCCCGCCGCCCCCAUCCAUCUCCCCGCCGCCCCUAUCCACGACGCGCGCGGCCAGGCGCGGGUCGUGCCUCGUGAACGCCUCCCGGGCCGCGUCGCGCGAGGACACCACGGAGCGUCAUGACGGGGCCAUGUGGUGGAGGUUGCCGCGACGGAGGCUGAGCAGGUUGCCGGCGACGGGCAGCGGCGUGGGGCUCGACGACAUCCGCAUCAGCCCCGUGCCCACACUGCGGCUGCGUGUCGGGCUGGCCAGGUAGUAGAGGAGCGUGGCGACCGCCAGCGUCGCACAUAUCGGCCAUGGCCAGAGCUCCAUCUCCAUUGGCACGUUCGUAUGGUGUGGGUUGCUCAGGCUCCGCUGGGGUCCGUGAGUGACCUUUCCCAAAUCCUGAUCCGUUGCAUCCAUCCAUCUACCAACAAGCAACAAAUCAUUCAUCCGCAUCCAUCCAUCCAUCCGUUACAGGAGACGACGCAGGGGCGGGAGCACGAGCGCACGCAGGGGAGCGCUACCGCGCCAGGCGGGCAGGAAUAAGAGGCUGGGCUCCGACCGGCGACCGGCCGGCGAGGUCGACGAGAGCGCGAUGCGGCUGGGCGUUGGGCAGUGACGCUCCUGUGCGGGGGCGUCAGGACGGGAGAAGGGGCUGGUUCCGCUCGAUGUAUUAUGAUGCAUUGUGUGUAUUAUGUACAUUAUAGUGUGUAUAUAUUUUGUGAUAAUUGAUGAUUGAGCCUUUUUGAUAACUGAGGAUUGUUGUUUAUAUUUUGGGUUUUUUAAUAAUGAAGAUUAUGUGUUAUGCAAUACAUUUUUUGAUAACUGAGGAUUGUUGUUUAUUUUAUUUUUAAAAGAAAAUUUCUUUGCCGUCUGGUAUUGAUAACAACUGACGGCAAACCCGUAAUCUUUGUCGUCUUGCAUUCCGGUCGGAUGACGGCAAAGAGUUAACGCGGUCCGGGUGGUUAUUUUAGGUUUUUUGCCGUCUGCCUCAUAAUAGAUGACGGCAAACCAUUUUCACUAACGGAAAAUAUUUAGCCGUCUGCCCGAAAAAAUGCUGACGGCGAAAUUACCCUUUGCGGGCACAUGGUCUGACGACAUUUUUUGCCGUCAUGGGCUGACGGCAAAAAAUUUGCCGUCUGUAAUUCUCUCUUUGCCGUCUUUAGCGUCUUGACGGCAAAAUGCCCGAUUCCUGUAGUGGAGGCACGAUGCCAUGGAAGACAGUGCUGGUUGGCAGGACGUCCGUCUCCUUGAGCCCGAGCUUGCGGAGAGUGUCGAGGUAGAGGAUGUUAAUGCUGCUGCCGCCGUUGACCAGCACCCGGGAGAAUCGGCAGGUUAGCCUUUUGGAGGCGAAGGUGGGGUCGAGGACAAGUGCGUAUGACCCCGGGUUGGGCAUCACCACAGGGUGUUCCACCCGGCUCCAUGUAAUUGGUUUGUCAGACAAAUGCAUGUACUGGGGAACCGGGGGGAGGGGGACAGUGGCGUUUACCUCGCGCCGCCUUUGGCGCAGGCUGUGCUUGUCGUCGCCUUCACUGGUGAAGACAACGAACGCUCCGUCUUGAUGCGGGUAGUCGUCAGGGUGUGGGCCGUCGUCGCGAGGCGGCGGCGGUGGAAGCGGAGCGUGAUGGGGAGCCGGUGCACAGGGCGCCGCCUGCGCACCCGGAGGAGCCGGCAGGCCCUCCCCGUUGCGACAGCCGGCGUGCGAUGCUGCACUAUCGAAGGGUAUGGGUAGACGGCGCCGCCCCCAAAUGUAUCUUGCAGGGGGCGUUGAGCAGCUUCUCGAGAGACUGCUUGGGCAGCCAGUUGGGGUUGCCCUGAUUGCGACGCUUUCGUGGAGGGCCGGCUUGGGAAGCCGACGCCUCUCCCUCCAUGUUGGCCACUAGCUUGUUGUUAGCCAUCUGAUUGGCCUUGCGCUUGUAGUUGUUCUGGCCGCCUCGGUUGUCCCCAGCCGGCUUGGGAGUAGCCGGCGCAGGCACAACCUUGUCCGAGGCGGUCACCUUGAUGCACAUUCCGGAGUCGGCCGUGGCGUACUUGUCCGUCUUGGCCAUGAGCACCGCCAAGGAGCUGGGCUCGGCGCACAUGAGCUUGUGCUUGAGGAGGGUGCCGUCUCGGCAUCCGUCAAUGAAGUACUGUAUGGCUUGUACCUCAUGCACCCCCUCAUAGGAGUUGCGGAGCUCGGUCCACCGGCCGGGUGACGUAGUCUCGGAGGGGUUCGUCGGCCUUCUGGACGAAAAUGGCCAGCUCGCAAGGCCGACCAGGGCGCUUGUAGGUGCCGGUGAAGUUGUGGACGAACGCCUCCUCGAAGUCCACCCAGGAGUUGACGCUGCCGGCCGGGAGGCUGUUAAGCCAGGUCCGGGCCGAGCCGGCUAGCAUGAGUGGCACGUAGGGAACCGCUACGCGCUUGUUGCCCCUCGCGAUGCCUACGGCCGUGGUGUAGUCGAUCAGCCAGUCUUCUGGCUUAGCCGUGCCGUUAUAUUUCGACGUAUCCCGAGGUAGGGUGAAACCUCGGGGGAACGGCUCCCCUCGGAUCCGGGGACCGAAGCAAGCCGGAUCGACGGGUCCGUCUUCCUCUAGGAGGUCCGAAUAGGCCAGGGCGAUGAUACGCCGGCGGGCGUCCCGCUCGUCCUGGGAGGCGGGGGCGCCAGCCCCGGUGGCGAGAGGGGAGGCUCCUCGGGAGCCGGAUGCGUGAGUUCUUCGCGGGGGAAGAUCCCCGUACUCCGAGUCGCCCUCGUUGCCUCCGCGACGUAGGCCUGAAGUGUGCUCGCUCUGGUGCUGCGAGCGCCGGCCUUGGCUUCCCUCGCCCCUCCAGCCGGAAGGGCGAUGCGAGGAAGAUCCUUCRGCGUGGUGCUGGCCRCUAGGGUUGCGGCGAGCUCCCGAGUUUGGUCCCGGGGACUCUGAAUGAGCCUGGCCAGGGUCGAACCGAGCGUACUGCUGGGUAGCAGCGUCAAGGAGAUCCUUGACACGCAUCUCCUGGAAGGGGCACUCCUCGCCUUCGAAGCUUGCCAUCUCCUCCAUGGCCGCCUGUCCCGCCCGCAUGUUGGCCGCAGGAGUCUCGUAGGUGGGCAGGUCCCCGCCUAGAACCUCGGCGACGAAUCGUCCGCGACUGCGGACCGAUCCAAGCCGGCUGGGGGCCUCGGAAAUCGGAGUAAGACCAUAUGCGGAGUUAUACUCACGAUGUGUAGCCUCCAGCCGACGUUUUGCCGAGGCCACGGCGAUGCCCUCCUCCAAGAUACGCUUGCGAGCCUCCUCCAGUGAGGCCCGAGCGUCUGCAGGGUCGGCGGAAGCAGUGACCGGUGUCUUCAGGCCGACGAUGGCAUCCCGAAGAGUGUCUGCGGCGGCCACAGCGGGCUCGCUAGCGCCCGCGGAGGCCUUGCGGGGAGACGUGCCGGUGCCGGCGCCGAUAACCAUCACCUCCGCGGCGUUGGAGACGGCAGCGACGUGGUAUGGGGUGAAGAACCCCACCGACGGUGAAGGGCCAUCGAAGAUGAGGACGUUACUGGGGUAAACGUAGUGGGCAGGCGUCUCAGCGAUAGAGAGCAUGCUGAAGCUGGCGCAGAGCGCCUCAACGUCGUAGUCCUCGCCGAAGUAGCAUGGGCCGUCGUUGAGGCGAAGAUCGCUGAAGAGAACGCUGAGGUUCUCCAUAGCAGCGACGGCGACGCUAGGGAGCGCCUCGUCAUCUGAAUCUUCGUCCGAAUCCGCAUGGCGGACGGGGACGUCGAUCAUCAUGAGCGUCGCCUCGUCGAAAGCGAGCUCCACGGGCAUGCAAACUGAUCCGGACGCGAUGCAUCCGGUGGUGUAGGUGCGGGCCCCCGCCCAGCGCGUGAAGCCAGCCGAUGCCGCGAUCGUUCCCACGGUGGGCGCCAAAUGUUGGUGAAUACUCACAACAUAUGACAUAGGUAGGCUAAAGUCGAUGAGAACCGAAGGGACAAAGGUGGGCGCUGGGAACGAGGUUGGUACACGCAUGGGACGCACGAUGUACCCAGGUUCAGGGCUCUCCGUAGAGAUAAUACCCCUAAUCCUGCUUGUGUGUUUGAUGUAUGGGAACAUAGUACAAUGUUGCUCCUGGAGCUGUGUUGGGAGGAGGAAGAGGGGAGCAGCCGACUCGUCUCUACCUCGCUCUCUGUUGGUUGGUGAGUGUGUAGUGUUGAAUGACUGGUAAGUGAUCGGCCUCCUUGCAUCGGGGGCGGCCGGGGGUUUUAUAGACGAACCCGCCGGCCUACAAUAUGGAUAAAGGGUACAUGCGUGGGACUCGGCUGGCUGCUUCGCCGGCUGGCCAGGGGCCCACAAGGGUCUUGUCUUGUCGAUGAGGGGCCCGCCGGCUGCAUGGUCUCGAUUGCUGUGGGACCCGCCAGCUGGCCAAUGGGGCUCCCGCGUAAGGUUGACGCUGAGCACACGCUGUACGUCGAGCGUCGCCCCGCGAGAUUCUUCAUGGGCAGGCAGUACGACCGCCUCCACUGUUCCCCACGCCGAGUGCAGUAAUGGAGUGGGAGUGUGACGGUCCGACAUCAGGCUAGGUGAUGGAUCAGAGCCGGGGUAGGUCAGCGGCGUGGCCACCGACGCUCGUACCAGCCGGGCGCCCUGAUUCAGUACCUUUGCUGACGCGUAGCUACCUUUAAUCGUGAGGUCCUUUCCUGACCUACGAUCUGAUGUGACUGGUGAUCCUCGGUCGGCUAGCCUGCUUGGUCAGACAGCUUGACGGGUGGCCGCCUCCUCCUUAGCCCGGCUGGCGGGACCAGGCCGGGUCCGAAGGGGAGGCCGCCUGGAUUCUAGCCGGCAGGGGUUGCCUGGCCGGCCAGAAAGGUGGUCGCCUCGUCUUCCAGCCGGCAGGGGAUGCCUAGCCGGUUAGAAGACUUGGGCCUUGAGAAUCUCUGCGCCUUCAUGCCCAUUGGGCCAGGAAUGAAGGAAUAGGCUCGAUGAGCCUACCCCGGAGUUAUCCCCCGACACAUCGGGACGGAGUUUUUGACAGAAGAUCCAUUUGCCGUCACCACGUUAACACCUGCAGGACAAGGCACCAAAGACCAAGUGUCAUUCUGUAUUAGCACAUUAUACUCAUCCAACAUCGCGUCGUGCCAAUGGGGAUCACGGAGGGCGGGGUGGUAGGAGGAGGGAAGGGGCGAAGGGGCGGUGGUAACGGACAGGUCGAAAUGUUGCUUAGGCAUGGUAAACCCGCGUUUGCCCCGAGUGAUCAUGGGAUGAGGGUGGUGGCGCGGAGAGAUGGGCACAACAGCAGGUGGUAGCGAGGAAGGCGGUACAGCAGCAGGAAAGCUGGGCGGGGAAGCUGGUGUGAUGGGAGGCGCCGAGGGAGACGUAGGGCGUAGUGGGGUGGUGGAGGAGGCCAAGUCGGGCGGGCGGGCAGCGCGGGAAGCUGCAUGGCGUGCAUGGGUGGUGGGGCUCGAGGAGCUACAGGACGUGGGGUGAGGACGCGGUGUGUGCGCGGGCGUAACCGACACGCGCGGGUCACGAGGUGGAGUAGGUGGGGAAGCGGCAGGCGAGGCAGGGCCUAGUGCGCGCAUGGGGGGAGGCAGGGCAUGUGGUGCAUGGGGAGGCAGGGGACGCGGACAUGCAGGUGGGGAGGUUGCAUGUGGUGCAUGGGCAGCGGGGCCCAGAGGGCGCGGCGGGCGAGGCGCGGUAGGCGGGAGCGAAGCUGGUUGGGCAGGCGCCAGAGAUCCGGUUGGAGCCGGGGGGAACAGGGUGGAUAGUGGCCAGAUCUUCUGUGGCAGGCGAAGAGGAGAUAUAAGGAAAGUUGUGUUCGUCAAAGACGACAUGGCGAGAGGUAAUAACUUUGCAAGAUGAGAGGUCGAAGCAGCGACAGCCCUUCUGUUCGCGUGGGUAGCCAAGGAAGACGCAGCGUGUGGAUCGUGGAGAAAGUUUGUGUGGCGCAGUGGCUGAGAGGUUUGGAAAGCAAAGACAUCCGAAGGUGCGCAAGUGAUCGUAGGUGGGAUGUUCGCCAUAGAGAAGGAAGUGGGGGGUGAAGUGGUGGAUGGCACGGGAUGGGCGGAUGUUAAGGAGGGUGGUGGCGGUAUGGAGGGCUUCGACCCAAAAUGGCGGAGGGAGGUGUGCUUGGAAGAGGAGAGUCCGGAUAACAUCGUUAGUAGUGCGUAUAUGGCGUUCCUCUUUGCCAUUUUGUGGGGAUGUAUGGGGGCAGGUAAGACGAAACGUGAUGCCAUGGGAGGAGAAGAAGUCGCGGAGCACCGUGGUGAGGAACUCACCGCCAUUGUCGCACUGCAAACAGCGGAUAGUGACGUGAUACUGAGUGAGAACGUAAGCGAAGAAGCGCUGCAAAGUGGCACAAGUAUCGGAUUUGGCAUGAAGGGGGGAAAGUCCAAGAGUAUUGCGUGUAAUCAUCCAAAAUAACAAGAUAGUAUUUAUAGCCGGAAAAACUAACAAUGGGAGAGGUCCACAAGUCACAAUGUAAGAGCUGAAAUGGCGCGGUGGUGUAGGAAGUAGAGGUGGGGAAGGGAAGGUGUGUGUGCUUGCCUAAAUGGCAGGCAGUACAAAGGGGUGACAAGGGGGUUUUAUUAAAUCUUGAAGGAACAUCAAAGGGAAAAUAAACUAGGGUGGAGGAGCUCGGGUGCCCGAGCCUCUUAUGCCAAAGAUCCGAUGAGGUAGCAGCGAGGGCCACCGGUGUAGCGCUACCAGGAGUGCCUGAGACGUGGGAGACGCGGUAGAGGUCACCGGAGCUAUUGCACCUCACAAGGACCACCUUGGUGCGAAGAUCCUUCAUGGAAAAACCAAAAGGGUCAAACUCCACAGAACAUAAAUUGUCACGAGUGAAUUGACGCACGAAAAUGAGGUUUUGGACAAUGUUGGGGGAGAGGAGAAUGUGAGUGAGGUAGAAGGGUCGAGAAGAAAGACGGGCGUUACCAAUGGCGACGACCGGGAGGCGAGCCCCAUUACCGACAAUAAUGUGGCGAGAAUGAGACGCUAAUAAAGGAUGAGACUUGAUCAGAAUACCUGGGUCCCCGGUCAUGUGGGAAGAAGCCCCUGUGUCCAUGAUCCACUCGGCAUGAGGGGAAAAAGUAGGCCCAUAUCUCGGUGCAGCGUGGUACAUGGUCGUCGCGUCCCAAGUGGGAGGUGAGCCGGAGUAGGGGACAGGCGGCGCGGUCGACUGGACCACCGGGUAGGCAUGCGUCGGAGCGCCGGGACGAGGACCAAGGAUGCCGGCCAAGUUGGGCGGGAUCCACGGCGCGCGGGGCGGUGGGAACGGCAUCCCGACAGGGGCAAAGUACCCCAGCCAGGGCUGCUGGUGGGAGCCGCGACCGCCACUGGAGGGGCAUCACCGCGGCCGCGGCCACGGCCGCGCCCGCGUCCACCACCAGCACGGUUGCCGCCACCGCGACCGGCGUAGGGAGCGCCGCCUUGGUUGUCGCCGCCGCGCCCACCGCCAGGAGGGUUGCCACCGCCACGACCACGAUCGCCACGAUCCCCGCGGUCGCCGCAUCCGCCGCCGCGCUCAUCAUGGACAGCCAUCACGUGCGCGCCCUCAGCGCGCGCCCGCUUGUCUAGGGUGAGCUCCAAAAGGGCGAGGCGCGAGCGGGCCUGGGCGAAGGAGGGAAGAGGCACAGUGGACUGGAUGAUGGCGGCCUGAAGCUCGAACUUUUUCCCGAUGCCAUCGAGCAUCUGCAGCGUCAAGGUACGAUCAGAGACGGGUUCGCGGACGUCGGCGAGGGCGGCGGCGAUGUUCUGCAGACGACGACAGUAGUCGUUGACGGAGAGGUCGCCGCGAACGCACGCCCGGAACUCCUAUCCAAGAUGCAUCGCGAGUUCCGCCUCGUUCGCGAGGAAGAACUCGUAGAGGCGCUUCCAGAUGGUGUAGGCGGUGGAGUCGGCCGGGGCGACGAUGUCGAGGAGAGCCCCGUCCACUGUGGCAAAGAACCACAGCACGAUUGUGUUGUCGUCGUCGCGCCACUGUGGGUUGGAGAGGCGGUCGACCGCACCGUCCUAGACAUGGUUUUCGGCGUGGUAGCAGGCGAGGAUGAGGUUGAGGAAGUUGCGCCACCGGAUGAAGUUCGUGCCAUCAAGGGCCAGCUUGAAAUCAACGACGUCGGAGAUGCUGGAAGGGAGGCGAGAGGGUGGUGGAGCAGGGAGGGUCUCAGCCGGGGCAGUAGAGAGGGAGAAGGCACCGGGGACGGGUGGGGCAGAGGUGAGAUCGGGAGAGAGAGUCGCGUGGGGGCGUUCCGGGGAGGCAGAGGCUGCUACGGCGGCAGCAGUGCCAGGAGGUGGAGAGUUGGGGUGAGAAGACAUAGAUCGGUAGCUCUGAUUACCAAGAAGAAUUGUGAAACAAUGCACACACUUUACUCAUCAAGUGAUUACACAUAUAUACGCCAAGGGUCACCACCGAUCCCUACAUGCAGGGAUAUGGAGGAGGUGGUGCCGCGGUCAUCCCCAGGACCAGGUAUGGUGGUUACAGUGGAUAAGUACAAGGCAGCGUAAUGCACAAGGAACGUAACAACUCAACAAUAAAAGCCCUUUAUCAAAAAAAAAACUAUGCAACACUAGACUGCAGGUACACACUCACAUUCAUGGUUACAAGAAUUUAGCCUUAGGAAAAAUAGAUAAAAGUGUGAACACCAUCGUCGACAUGAAUUCCUCUGCAAUCAUCAUCAUCUCCAUACACUAAGCCCAAGCUUUAUCAAUCACAAGGGUUCAUACUUCAUACAGGACAGGCUGGGUCUGUUCAUACCCACUCCAAAAAUUUCGAGCAUCAUCAGCAGCUGAAGAAAACAGAGUACUCUGCAUUUUUUACAUCAUGCUUUUUGUGUGUGUCUUUCAAGAAGAUAAAUACGUUUCAAUUAACAGUUGGAGAUCUACAUCCUCUAACUGCUAAAUAUUAUUACAUCUUUCCACAUAAAACUUCACAUGUCUGGGAAAACAUAAUAGUAGGUUAUUUCGUAAGACUUGAGACAUUAAAUCACACACACACACACACAUAUGCUACUCAUUAUCCUCCUCUGAGAUCUCUGUCAGCUCGGACAACAAAGGGUAAGAAUCCGGGACAGCGGUGUGAUCGUCGUCGCAGAAGAAUGGCCUGGAAGGCAUCUGCAGGCCAUCAAAGCCACCUUCCAACAUGUCUAUGACCUCGCUCAUCGUUGGCCUGUCAUGUGACUUCAUCUGAAUGCACCAUAAUCCAACGAUGCACAGCUUCUUCUCCAAUUCAUGCAUGCUUGCAACUGGACAUAUCGCAUCUACUACUGGAGCAGUUAGUUUGUCAUACACCCAUGAUGGGUAGUAAGACUGGCUUGAGUUCGCCGCAUUUGGAUCAGCGUUCCUUCUUCCUCCAGUCAUCUCCAACAACAACAUUCCAAAGCUGUAAACGUCAGACUUGCUCGAUAUGACACCAAAGCUCCUGGAUAUCAUCUCAGGAGCUAUGUACCCAAUUGUUCCACGUAGGGCUCUCGAUGGCACAAAACUGUUGUCCCUUGGGUAUAAUUUAGCGAGACCGAAAUCAGCAACUUUAGGGAUGAAAUUGUUGUCUAGCAAGAUGUUGUGCGGCUUGAUGUCGAAGUGGAGAAUCUGCAUCUCGCAACCCUGGUGCAGGUAGUUGAUACCCCUCGCAAUGCCCAAAGCGAUCUCGUUGAGCUUGUCCCAGGAGAAAGUCUUCUCAGCCGAGAAGAUGUACUUGUCCAGAGAACCUUGAGGCAUGUACUCGUAAACCAGUGCUCUCCUCAUUUCCUCUGAGCAGAAUCCCAUGAGGCGCACCACGUUAACGUGAUGGAUCCUACCGAUGGUUGAGACUUCAUUGAUAAAAUCUUCUCCAUUGCAGUUAGGAUUGCCCUCUAGCAUCUUGACAGCAACAUGAACAUUGCCUGGCAAUAGCACACCCUUGAACACAGACCCGUAGCCUCCCUGACCCAGCUUAUCUCUGAAAUGGCUUGUGAUUGCUGUGAUGUCAGUGUAGGCAUACCUCAUUGGACCUAGCAUUUGUUGCAUUCGGAGGAACUUCUCGACAGCAUCAAUUGUGAUCCUCGUUUUCCAAUACUUGUGGGCGAGGAAGAUCAACACAGCCAGUGGUGCCAACACAAACCUGCAUAACACUGCAUAAACAAGUUUAUAUAGUUUUAGUGGGUGGGUACACACAUGCGUAGAUGUGAUGAUGAAGAAACUGCAAUUAAGAUCAGAACAUUCGGAAUUACCAGCUAGCCACUUCAUAGAGAAGAAGACUAACGCUAUGAUUCCUGAGGGAUAAUCAUCAUAUCCAGUUGCAUACAGUGAGCACUCCCAGAAAGCUCCAUCGACCAAAAGAAUUUUCCGAACACAACUCUUGACGCCAUCACUACAAUCCUGCGAUAAGUCGCUGCAAUACCAUCCAACGAGACAUAGAAGGAAUGAAAGAGGGGCUUAACGGUUUUGGGAUAAGACACUUAUACAGGCAAAACUCACCGAAACUGGAGUAUUAGGCACUCUUUAAUGAUUAUGCUACUCAGGCCAAUGUCAUAUCUGAAAGGGAAUCGAACAGCAAAUCCAAUCCUCAUGGAUUUCACAACAUCUGCAUAACUUGCAUUUUCUAGCGGCCCUAGACUGUCCCAAGGCCGAGNNNNNNNNNNNNNNNNNNNNNNNNNNNNNNNNNNNNNNNNNNNNNNNNNNNNNNNNNNNNNNNNNNNNNNNNNNNNNNNNNNNNNNNNNNNNNNNNNNNNGCCACUAGGGUUGCGGCGAGCCCCCGAGUUUGGUCCCGGGGACUCUGAAUGAGCCUGGCCAGGGUCGAACCGAGCGUGCUGCUGGGUAGCAGCGUCAAGGAGAUCCUUGACACGCUUCUCCUGGAAGGCGCGCUCCUCGCCUUCCAGGCUUGCCAUCUCCUCCAUGGCCGCGUGCGCCGUCCGCAUGUUGGCCGCAGGAGUCUCGUAGGUGGGCAGGUCCCCGCCUAGAACUUCGGCGACGAACCGUCCGCGACUGCGGACCGAUCCAAGCCGACUGGGGGCCUCGUAAAUCGGAGUAAGACCAUAUGCGGAGUUAUACUCACGAUGUGUAGCCUCCAACCGAUGUUUUGCCGAGGCCACGGCGAUGACCUCCUCCAAGAUACGCUUGCGAGCCUCCUCCAGUGAGGCCCGAGCGUCUACAGGGUCGGCAGAAGCGGUAAUCGGUGUCUUCAGGCCGGCGAUGGCGUCCCGAAGAGUGUCUGCGGCGGCUGCAGCGGGCUCGCCAGCUCCCUGGAGGCCUUGCCGGGAGCCGUGCUGGUGCCGGCGCCGAUAACCAUCACCUCCACGGCGUUGGAGACGGCAGCGACGUGGUAUGGGGUGAAGAACCCCACAGACGGUGGAGGGCCAUCGAAGAUGAGGACGUUACUGGGCUAAACGUCCUGGGCAGGCGUCUCAGCGAUAGAGAGCGUGCUGAAGCUGGCGCAGAGUGCCUCAACGUCGUAGUCCUCGCCGAAGUAGCAUGGGCCGUCAUUGAGGCGAAGAGCACUCAGGUUCCCCAUAGCAGCGACGAUGACGCUAGGGAGUGCCUCGUCAUCGGAAUCUUCGUCCGAAUCCGCAUGGCGGACGGGGACGUCGAUCAUCAUGGGCGUCGCCUCGUCGAAAGCGAGCUCCACGGGCAUGCAAACUGAUCCGGACGCGAUGAAUCUGGUGGUGUAGGUGCGGGGCCCCGCCCAGCGCGUGAAGCCAGCUGAUGCCGCGAUCGGCCCCACAGUGGGCGCCAAAUGUCAGUGAAUACUCACAACAUAUGCCAUAGGUAGGCUAAAGUCGGUGAGAACCAAAGGGACAAAGGUGGGCGCUGGGAACAAGGUUGGUACACGCAUGGGACGCACGAUGUACCCAGGUUCAGGGCUCUCCAUAGAGAUAAUACACCUAAUCCUGCUUGUGUGUGUGAUGUAUGGGAACAGAGUACAAUGUUGCUCCUGGAGCUGUGUUGGGAGGAGGAAGAGGGGAGCAGCCGGCUCGUCUCUACCUCGCUCUCUGUUGGUUGGUGAGUGUGUAGUGUUGAAUGACUGGUAAGUGAUCGGCCUCCUUGCAUGGGGGGCGGCCGGGGGGUUUUAUAGACGAACCCGCCGGCCUACAAUAUGGAUAAAGGGUACAUGCGUGGGACCCUGCUGGCUGCUUCGCCGGUUGGCCAGGGGCCCACAAGGGUCUUGUCUUGUCGAUGAGGGGCCCGCCGGCUGCAUGGUCUCGAUUGCUGUGGGACCCGCCGGCUGGCCAAUGGGGCGCCCGCGUACGGUUGACGCUGAGCACACGCUGUACGUCGAGCGUUGCCCCACGAGAUUCUUCAUGGGCAGGCAGUACGACUGCCUCCACUGUUCCCCACGCCGAGUGCAGUAAUGGAGUGGGAGUGUGACGGUCCGACAUAAGGGUAGGUGAUGGAUCGGAGCCGCGGUAGGUCAGCGGCGUGGCCGCCGACGCUCGUACCUGCCGAGAGCCCUGAUUCAGUACCUUUGCUGACGCGUAGCUACCGUUUAAUCGUGAGGUCCUUUCCUGACCUACGAUCUGAUGUGACUGGUGAUCCUCGGCCCGGCUAGCCUGCUUGGUCAGCCGGCUUGACGGGUGGCCGCCUCCUCCUUAGCCCUGCUGGCGGGACCAGGCCGGGUCCGAACGGGGAGGCCGCCUGGAGUUCUAGCCGGAACGGGGUUGCCUGGCCGGCCAGAAAGGUGGCCGCCUCGUCUUCCAGCCGGCAGGGGAUGCCUAGCCAGUCAGAAGACUUGGGCCUUGAGAAUCUCUGCGCCUUCAUGCCCAUUGGGCCAGGAAUGAAGGAACAGGCUUGAUGAGUCUACCCCGGGGUUAUCCCCCCGACAGUAGUCCCCGAAGCUGGCGAGGUCUGCCGCCUGCUAGCGGGCGGCCUCACCGGCUUGUUGAUUUGUCAUGAUAUUUUGGCCGUUGUUUGCGGCGAAGGACGCCGGCUUCGGAGCCGGGUAGCUUCGAAGCGACGCUUCGGUCCAGUCGUAACUGGCCUGGAGAGCGCCACGUGCCAGGCCCCGCCUGGCGUAAUGAUGGCGAUUACUGCUGACGGGACCGGGCCUGGGCCCUGGGUCCCGCCACGACGCCCCCUUGGCCUCCGCGCGGGAGAUCCUCUGUGGAUUUACUCCGCGACGGUUGGGCUUAGGGGGGCGUUACCGCCCGUAAUACACGGAAUUAAUGGGGCCCGGCGCGCACCGGAUCCCCUCCCCACGACGCUUCGUGGGGUUUAAAUGGGAUGCGAGGGCUUCGAGGAGGUCAUUCGCCCCCUCUUCUUGCCCUGCUCCGUGCUUUCUUCCUCCUUGCGUCCUGAGAGGAACAUCUCGCGCCCUUCGUCUCCUUCUUCUUCGCCGUUGAGACCUCCGCCGACCGCUUCGAGCUCUCUCCACCCGCAGCCAUGGCCGAUGGAUCUUCCUCGAGGAAGUCGUCGGCGCAGCAGGCGUCCUUGCAGGGGGCCUGGCUGGGCAGCAUGUCGACGAGGAGCUCAUCGAUGCGUUCCGUCAUCAUCGUCUGCUGCCCCCGGCCUCCCAAGUGUCGGUGCGCCUUCCUGGCUCCGAGGCCUCUCCCGCUCCUGUCGCGGGAGAGGUUGUGGUCUUUGCCGAGCACUUCUACCGGGGUUUCGGGCUCCCGGCUAGCUCAUUCUUCGCUGAGUGGCUCCAGUUCUUUGGCCUGCAACCACAUCAUUUGGCGCCGAACGCCAUACUGCAGUUAGCCGCCUUCGUGGUCCUGUGCGAGGGCUUCGUGGGAAUCGAGCCUCACGUCGAUAUGUGGCGCAGCCUAUUCUUUUUUAAGCAGCAAUCCAUCGCCAUGGAGAAAUUUGAGGUGGAGAAGCUCAAGGGGCCGUGCCCCAUGACGCCGUGCGGGGCCGCGUUGGUGCAUCACCGCCCAAAGUCCGGCUUGUUGGAAUUAUGCACUAGAGGCAAUAAUAAAUGUAUAGUUAUUAUUAUAAUUCCUGUAUCAAGAUAAUAGUUUAUUAUCCAUGCUAUAAUUGUAUUGAAUGAAGACUCAUUUACAUGUGUGGAUACAUAGACAAAACACCGUCCCUAGCAUGCCUCUAGUUGGCUAGCCAGUUGAUCGAUGAUAGUCAGUGUCUUCUGAUUAUGAACAAGGUGUUGUUGCUUGAUAACUGGAUCACGUCAUUGGGAGAAUCACGUGAUGGACUAGACCCAAACUAAUAGACGUAUCAUGUUGAUCGUGUCAUUUUGUUGCUACUGUUUUCUGCGUGUCAAGUAUUUAUUCCUAUGACCAUGAGAUCAUAUAACUCACUGACACCGGAGGAAUGCUUUGUGUGUAUCAAACGUCGCAACGUAACUGGGUGACUAUAAAGAUGCUCUACAGGUAUCUCCGAAGGUGUUAGUUGAGUUAGUAUGGAUCAAGACUGGGAUUUGUCACUCCGUGUGACGGAGAGGUAUCUCGGGGCCCACUCGGUAAUACAACAUCACACAUAAGCCUUGCAAGCAAUGUAACUUAGUGUAAGUUGCGGGAUCUUGUAUUACGGAACGAGUAAAGAGACUUGCCGGUAAACGAGAUUGAAAUAGGUAUGCGGAUACUAACGAUCGAAUCUCGGGCAAGUAACAUACCGAAGGACAAAGGGAAUGACAUACGGGAUUAUACGAAUCCUUGGCACUGAGGUUCAAACGAUAAGAUCUUCGUAGAAUAUGUAGGAUCCAAUAUGGGCAUCCAGGUCCCGCUAUUGGAUAUUGACCGAGGAGUCUCUCGGGUCAUGUCUACAUAGUUCUCGAACCCGCAGGGUCUGCACACUUAAGGUUCGACGUUGUUUUAUGCGUAUUUGAGUUAUAUGGUUGGUUACCGAAUGUUGUUCGGAGUCCCGGAUGAGAUCACGGACGUCACGAGGGUUUCCGGAAUGGUCCGGAAACGAAGAUUGAUAUAUAGGAUGACCUCAUUUGAUUACCGGAAGGUUUUCGGAGUUACCGGGAAUGUACCGGGAAUGACGAAUGGGUUCCGGGAGUUCACCGGGGGGGGGGGGUCAACCCACCCCGGGGAAGCCCAUAGGCUUUGGGGAGACACACCAGCCCUUAGUGGGCUGGUGGGACAGCCCCAAGGGGACCUAUGCGCCAAGAGAAGGAAAUCAAAGGAAAAGAAAAAAAARGAGGGAAGAAGUGGGAAGGGAGGGGGACUCCUCCCACCAAACCAAGUCCAACUCGGUUUCGGGGGGGGAGUCCUCCCCCCCUUGGCUCGGCCGACCCCUUGAGGGUCCCUUGGACCCCAAGGCAAGGUCCCCCUCCCUCCUCCUAUAUAUAUGGAGCUUUUAGGGCAGAUUUGAGACGACUUUCUCACGGCUGCCCGACCACAUACCUCCAUAGUUUUUCCUCUAGAUCGCGUUUCUGCGGAGCUCGGGCGGAGCCCUGCUGAGACGAGAUCAUCACCAACCUCCGGAGCGCCGUCACGCUGCCGGAGAACUCUUCUACCUCUCCGUCUCUCUUGCUGGAUCAAGAAGGCCGAGAUCAUCGUCGAGCUGUACGUGUGCUGAACGCGGAGGUGCCGUCCGUUCGGUACUAGAUCGUGGGACUGAUCGCGGGAUUGUUCGCGGGGCGGAUCGAGGGACGUGAGGACGUUCCACUACAUCAACCGCGUUCUCUAACGCUUCUGCUGUACGAUCUACAAGGGUACGUAGAUCACUCAUCCCCUCUCGUAGAUGGACAUCACCAUGAUAGGUCUUCGUGCGCGUAGGAAAAUUUUUGUUUCCCAUGCGACGUUCCCCAACAGUGGCAUCAUGAGCUAGGUUCAUGCGUAGAUGUCUUCUCGAGUAGAACACAAAAGGUUUUGUGGGCGGUGAUGUGCGUUUUGCUGCCCUCCUUAGUCUUUUCUUGAUUCCGCGGUAUUGUUGGAUUGAAGCGGCUUGGACCGACAUUACUCGUACGCUUACGAGAGACUGGUUUCAUCGUUACGAGUAACCCCCUUUGCUCAAAGAUGACUGGCAAGUGACGGUUUCUCCAACUUUAGUUGAAUCGGAUUUGACCGAGGAGGUCCUUGGAUGAGGUUAAAUAGCAACUCAUAUAUCUCCGUUGUGGUGUUUUGCGUAAGUAAGAUGCGAUCCUACUAGAUACCCUUGGUCACCACGUAAAACAUGCAACAAUAAAAUUAGAGGACGUCUAACUUGUUUUUGCAGGGUAUGAUUGUGAUGCGAUAUGGCCAACGAUGUGAUGUGCUAUAUUGGAUGUAUGAGAUGAUCAUGUUGUAAUAGAAAUAUCGACUUGCACGUCGAUGGUACGGUAACCGGCAGGAGCCAUAGGGUUGUCUUUAUACUAACGUUUGUGCUUGCAGAUGCGUUUACUAUUUUGCUAGGAUGUAGCUUUAGUAGUAAUAGCAUAAGUAGCACGACAACCCCGAUGGCAACACGUUGAUGGAUGAUCAUGGUGUGGCGCCGGUGACAAGAAGAUCGUGCCGGUGCUUUGGUGAUGGAGAUCAAGAAGCACGUGAUGAUGGCCAUAUCAUGUCACUUAUGAAUUGCAUGUGAUGUUAAUCCUUUUACGCACCUUAUUUUGCUUAGAACGACGGUAGCAUUAUGAGGUGAUCUCUCACUAAAAUUUCAAGACGAAAUUGUGUUCUCCCCGACUGUGCACCGUUGCGACAGUUCUUCGUUUUGAGACACCACGUGAUGAUCGGGUGUGAUAGACUCAACGUUCACAUACAACGGGUGCAAAACAGUUGCACACGCGGAACACUCGGGUUAAGCUUGACGAGCCUAGCAUGUGCAGACAUGGCCUCGGAACACAUGAGACCGAAAGGUCGAGCAUGAAUCGUAUAGUUGAUAUGAUUAGCAUAGGGAUGCUUACCACUGAAACUAUUCUCGACUCACGUGAUGAUCGGACUUGAGAUAGCGAAUUUGGAUCAUGUACCACUCAAAUGACUAGAGAGAUGUACUUUUUGAGUGGGAGUUCUUAAGUAAUAUGAUUAAUUGAACUAAUUGUCAUGAACAUAGUCUAAUGGUCUUUGCGAAUUAUGAUGUAGCUUGCGCUAUAGCUCUAUUGUUUUUAUAUGUUCCUAGAGAAAAUUUAGUUGAAAAUUGAUAGUAGCAACCUUUGCAGACUGAGUCUGUAAAACCGAGGAUUGUCCUCGUUGCUACGCAGAAGGCUUAUGUCCUUAAUGCACCACUCGGUGUGCUGCACCUCGAGCGUCGUCUGUGGAUGCUAUGAACAUCCGACAUACACGUUACUGAUGACUACACGAUAGUUCAGUGCAAGAUACUUGAUGGCUUAGAAGCAAGGCGCCGAAAACGUUGUAAAACGUCACGGAACAUAAGUGAUGUUCCGAAGAGAUGAAAUUGUGAUUUCAUGCUUGUGCCCUUGUUAAGAGGUACGAGACCUCCAAACAAGAUUCUUUGUCCACAAAGUAAAGGAGAAAAGCUCAAUCGUUGAGCAUGUGCUCAGAUUGUCUGAGUACGACAAUCGCUUGAAUCAAGUGGGAGUUAAUCUUCCAGAUGAGAUAGUGAUGGUUCUCCAAAGUCACUGCCACCAAGCUAUGAGAGCUUCGUGAUGAACUAUAACAUAUCAAGGAUAGAUACUAUGAUCUUUUGAGUGAUUCGCGAUGUUUGACACUGCGAAAGUAGAAAUCAAGAAGGAGCAUCAAUAGUUGAUGGUUAGUAAAACCACUAAGUUUCAAGAAAGGCAAGGGCUAGAAGGGAUACUUCGUGAAACAGCAAAACAGUUGCUGCACUAAUGAAGAGACCCAAGAUUAAACCCAAAACCCGAGACUAAGUGCUUCUGUAAUAAGGGGAACAGUCGCUGAGGCGGAGCAACUCUAGAUACUUGGUGGAUAAGAAGGCUGGCAAAAGUCGAGAGAAGUAUAUUUGAUAUACAUAAUGUUGAUGUGUACUUUACUAGUACUCCUAGUAGCACAAGGGUAUUGGAUACCGGUUCGGUUGCUAAGUGAUUAGUAACGCGAAAUGAAAGCUACGACAUAAACGAAGACUAGCUAAAGGCGAGGUGACGAUACGUGUUGGAAGUGUUUCCAAGGUUGAUAUAAUCAAACGUCGCACGCUCCCUCUACCAUCGGGAUUGGUGUUGAACCUAAAUAAUUGUUAUUUGGUGUUUGCGUUAAGCGUGAACAUGAUUGGAUCAUGUUCAUUGCGAUACGAUUAUUCAUUCAAAGAGAAUAAUGGUUACUCUAUUUGCUUGAAUGAUCACCUUCAAUGGUUUAUUGAAUCUCGAUUGUAGUGUUACACAUUGGUGCCAAAAGAUACGAGUUAAUAAUGAUAGUACCACUUACUUGUGGAACUGCCGCUUGAGUCAUGUCAGUAUAAAUUGCAUGAAGAGGCUCCAUGCUGAUGGAUCUUUGUACUCACCUGAUUUCGAAUCACUAGUGACAUGCAAAUCAUACCACGUGAGCAAGGCCUUGUUUUCAUUGAGAUGAAAUAAGAUAGUAACUUAUUGGAAGUGAUACAUUUUGAUGUAUGCAGUCCAAUGGGUGCUGAGGCACGCAGUGGAUAUCAUUAUGUUCUUACUUCACUGACCACUUGAGUAGAUACAGGAGUAUUUACUUAAUGAAUCACAAGUCUGAAAUAUUGAAAAGUUCAAUUCCGUUUCAGAGUGAAGUUCGUCGUAACAAGAGGAUGAAGUGUCUACGAUAUGAUCAUAGAAAUGAAUAUCUGAGUUACGAGUUUUGGUACGCAGUUAAGACAAUGUGGAAGUUAUUUCGCAGUUCAUGCCACCUGGAACAUCAUAGUGUGAUGAUGUGUCUGAACAUCAUAGCCACGCACUAUUUGGUAUAAUAUAUACUAUGGUGUCUCUUAUCGAAUUACCACUAUCGUUUAUGGGUUAUGCAUUAGAGACAACCGCACUCACUUUAAAUAGGGCACCGCGUAUUUCCGUUGAAGAUGACACAGUAUAGACUGAGGUUUAGAGAAAUCUAAACUGUCGUUUCUUGAAAGUUUGGGGUUUCGACACUUAUGUGAAAAAGUUUCAGUCUGAUAAGCUCGAACCCAAAGCGGAUAAAUGCAUCUUCAUAGGAUAUCCAAAACAGUUGGGUACAUCUCCUAUCUCAGAUCCGAAAGCAAAGUGUUUGUUUCUAGAAACGGAUCCUUUCUCGAGGAAAGGUUUCUCUUGAAAGAAUUGAGUGGGAGGGUAGUAGAACUUGAUGAGGUCAUUGAACCAUCACUUCAACCAGUGUGUAGCAGGGCGCAGGAAGUUGUUCAUGUGGCGCCUACACCAAUUGAAGUGGAAGCUGAUGAUGAUGAUCAUUGAGCUUCGAAUCAAGUUACUACAAAACCUCGUAGGUCGACAAGGUCGCGUACUGCUGCAGAGUAGUACGGUAACCCUGUCUUGGAGGUCAUGUUGUUGAGCAACAGUGAACCUACGAGUUAUGGAGAAAGCGAUGGUGGGCCCGGGUUCCGACAAAUGGCUGGAAGCCAUGAAAUCCGAGAGAGGAUCCAUGUAUGAAACCAAAGUGUAGACUUUGGAAGAACUACUUGAUGGUCAUAGGACUAUUGAGUAAAGAUGGAUCUUUAAAAGGAAGACAGACGAUGAUAGUGAUAAGUCGCUAUUAAGAAAAGCUCGACUUGUCGCAAAGAUGUUUCCGACAAGAUCAAACAGUUGACUAUGAUGAGACUUUCUCACUCGUAGCGAUGCUGAAAGGCUGUUAGAAUUAUGUUAGUAGUUGCUGCAUUAUUUAUGAAAUAUUGCAUGUAGGAUGUCAAAACAUUGUUUCCUCAACGGUUUCCUUGAGCAAACAUUGUAUGAGAUACAACCAUGAGGUUUUGUCGAUCCUAAAGAUACUAGCAAGUAUGCAAGCUCCAGUGAUCCUUCAAUGGACUGGUGCAAGCAUCUCGGAGUUGGAAUAUACACUUUGAUGAGAUGAUCAAAGAUUUUGGGUUUUUUACAAAGUUUAUGAGAAACCUGUAUUUCCAAAGAAGUGAGUGGGAGCACUAUAGAAUUUCUGAUAGGUAUAUGUGGUCGACAUAUUGUGGAUCAGAAGUAAUGUAGAAUUUCUGUAAAGCAUACAAGGUUGUUUUGAAAGAAGUUUUCAAAGGAGUACCUGGAUUACGCUACUUGAACGUUGAGCAUCAAAGAUCUAUGGAGAUAGAUCGAAAAGCACUUAACGGAAGUUUCAACAAGAUGCAUGCCUUGACAAGUUUUUGAAAGGAGUUCAAAAUAGGUCAGCAAAGAAGGAGUUCUUAGGUUGCGUUGUGAGGUGUGAAUUUGAGUAAGACUCAAAACCCGACCCCGGCAGAAUAAAGAGAAUAGACGAAGGUCGUCUUCUAUGCCUUAGCCGUAGAAUCUAAAGUAUGCCAUGCUGUGUACCGCACCUGAUGUGUGCCUUGACUCAAAGUAUGUUGAGAGGUACAGAGAGUGAUCCAUGAUUGAAUCACUAGCAGCGGUCAAAAUUUAUCCUUAGUAACUAAUGGACUAAGGAAUUUCUUUCUCGAUUAUGGAGGUGGUUAAAGAGUUCGUCGUAAAGGGUUACGUUGAUGCAAGCUUUGACACUAAUCCGAAUAACUAUGAGUAGUGAAACGGAUUCGUAUAGUAGAGUAGAUAUUUGGAGCAUUUCCGAAUAGCACGUAGUAGCAGCAUCUAUAAGAUGGCAUAAAGAUUUGUAAAGAACACACGGAUCUGAAAGUUUCAGAACCAUUGACUAAAACCUCUCUCACGAGCAAGACGUGAUCAGACCCCAUAACUAUAUGGGUGUUGGAUUCGUUGGAAUCACAUGGUGAUGUGAACUAGAUUAUUGACUCCAGUGCANNNNNNNNNNNNNNNNNNNNNNNNNNNNNNNNNNNNNNNNNNNNNNNNNNNNNNNNNNNNNNNNNNNNNNNNNNNNNNNNNNNNNNNNNNNNNNNNNNNNGACCGGGGGGGGGGGGGUUGGGCAACCCGACCCCGGGGAAGCCCAUAGGCUUUGGGGAGACACACCAGCCCUUAGUGGGCUGGUGGGACAGCCCCAAGGGGACCUAUGCGCCAAGAGAAGGAAAUCAAAGGAAAAGAAAAAAAAACGAGGGAAGAAGUGGGAAGGGAGGGGGACUCCUCCCACCAAACCAAGUCCAACUCGGUUUCGGGGGGGGAGUCCUCCCCCCUUGGCUCGGCCGACCCCUUGAGGGUCCCUUGGACCCCAAGGCAAGGUCCCCCUCCCUCCUCCUAUAUAUAUGGAGCUUUUAGGGCAUAAUUGAGACGACUUUCUCACGGCUGCCCGACCACAUACCUCCAUAGUUUUUCCUCUAGAUCGCGUUUCUGCGGAGCUCGGGCGGAGCCCUGCUGAGAUGAGAUCAUCACCAACCUCUGUAGCGCCGUCACGCUGCCGGAGAACUCUUCUACCUCUCCGUCUCUCUUGCUGGAUCAAGAAGGCCGAGAUCAUCGUCGAGCUGUACGUGUGCUGAACGCGGAGGUGCCGUCCGUUCGGUACUAGAUCGUGGGACUGAUCGCGGGAUUGUUCGCGGGGCGGAUCGAGGGACGUGAGGACGUUCCACUACAUCAACCGCGUUCUCUAACGCUUCUGCUGUACGAUCUACAAGGGUACGUAGAUCACUCAUCCCCUCUCGUAGAUGGACAUCAUCAUGAUAGGUCUUCGUGCGCGUAGGAAAAUUUUUGUUUCCCAUGCGACGUUCCCCAACAGGGCUUUCCCCAGAUGCCUUUGCAGGACUCCGCCAAGCAUUGGCAAAAGGGGUUCUUCUAUGUGAGGAGGACCGACCCGGCCCAGGACGCUCUCAACAUGCCCCCGUUCGCCGUCGCUCAUCCGACGCGGCAAAACUGGGACGCGAAGACUCCCAAGCAGCAUCCUGAGGUGGCGCCUAUUCGCGCCUACCUUGAUGUCUUGAGGGAGAGCGGCCUCCUCGGCCGCGACCUUCUUGCCACCAUGGUGGUCCGCCAGAUUCUGCCUCUGCAGAGGCGGCCACAUCUGGUCUGCCAGAUGAGCGGCCGGCUUGAUCCAUACCGGCUGUCCAUCAAGAGGUUCACCCCGGGUGCUGUGGCGUGAAGGGUGAACUUGAUCUCCACCGCCCGCAUGGAUGAGGGCGGGAAAUGGACAUGGGGGAUGGCCCCGUUCAACCAGGCGCAUCCGCCUCUGAUGGUAGCCUUUCUCCCUUCUUUUCUGUCGUUUUGUUCUGAAGCCGGUGGCGUUUGCUGAGCCUACUUGAAUUCCUUUCUAGUAGAUGUUCCAAACCAUGCAGGGGUCCCUCCGUCCGCCUGCUCCUGAUGUGGAGGCGCACGGCGCCUCCGAGAUGGAGGACGAGGAUGCGAUGGAGCCCCGCUCAGACUCCUCCGCCAGCUCGGGAGAUUCCCUGGAGUCAGAAGGGACCGAGCCGUCUAGUGAGUACCCGCGGCACGCCGUGGCAGACUGGACGGACGACGAUGAGGAAGCCUCAUUCUUCUCUGAUGCAGCGUUCGAGGGAGACUCCGACGAGGUGGAGGAGGUCACCGGCCCACUACCGUCGCGCGACCGGUGUCAAGGUGGCGGAGCAACCGCUGCUGACGAGGCAGCCGGGAAGAAGGGCAAUGGUGACACAACUUCCCGGCCGGCCUCUAAGCGACCGGCGCCGGGUCCCCUAGCCGGGCAGCGAGCAGGCGGCACCAAGAGGCGCCGUGGCGGUUGCCGGAGGCAGGUCCCGGUAGUUGUCGGGUAUGGUUUCCUCCUCUUCUCCCUUCCAUAUCUUGAGAUGAACUUUGUUCCUGAGAAGCUUGGCUUGACAGGGAGGCGGAGGAUGCGGAUGAAGACACCGCCUCCGCGGCCGAGCGGGCCGGCUGGGCAACAGCUGAUGCUGCCGAUAGGGAGCUGGAGAUAGAGUCCAAGCGCCGGUGGCACACAGCUGUGGGGAAGGCUGCCGUGGAUCAGACUUGCCCCAGCCGGGUCGAGAGGCAGGCGGAGAAGCGUGCGAAGGCUAGACAGGACCCAUCCGCACACGCUCGUGUGGAGGAGGCAGCUAGCGAGGCCGCYUCSAGGCCGACCCCGAGGACYGAAGGGACCCAGCCGCCUGAGCCRGCAGCSCCGGAGCAGGUGGACCURGAGACGAUCCCGGUUUCUCCCCGGGCCGAAGCAGCUCCUGAUGCGCCGGUGCUGGAUCUGGCCGCGCCRRACGCAGCCCCUGACGCCCCAGGGGCAACCAUGGAUGCGUCGGACGUGGCUCAUCCGCCUCGUGUGGAGGAGGUAGCGCCGGCUGGGGCGGCGCCCGAGCCGGCCGUUGAGCCGGCACCAGGAGCCGGCGCCAUCGUCGUCCCCCAGCAGGGCCCUGUCGCGCCAAGGGCAGGGGGCCGGCCUGCGAGCCGGCCCAUGAAGUCAUGGUGGGCGGCGAAUGCGGCCCGCCUGCGAAUGCCCGCCGGCACCGUUCUUUCCGGCAUGCCGGAGCUGGUGACUCUGUUUGGCAGCGGCCGGUCGAAGGUGGAGCAGGCGGCCCGCGUGGUAUGCGGCGACAUGGAGCACCUGGAAGCCUGUACCCAGGUAGGCCUUGCCUUUUUUGGUUUUUCUUUGCACGUUUUUUCUCUUCUCUUGACGUCAGUGGGGGCGCGACAGCGCACCCACUGGGUGUAGCCCCCGAGAAUCGGGCGGGUCGAUUGCCAACCGGUUUGAAUCUCUUGGAGGCCUUUUCUUCUGCAUAUUUUUCUUCAGUGGGGGCGCGCAAGCGCACCCACUGGGUGUAGCCCCCGAGAAUCGGGCUGGUUAUCCUUUUAACCCACUCGAAUCGUAAUCAUGUUCCCUUUCUCUCCCCUUUGACAGGCGCUAUACGAUGCUCAGGUACAGGCGUACAACGAGCUUCGGGACCAGCACCUGGGGGCUGAUCGCCGGAUCGCCGAGCUUGAAGUCCGGCUAGGCGAGGCCGCCGCGGAGCGUGAUGCCCUUCGCGAAGCCGGCGGCCAGCUCCAAGAGCAGCUGGACCUUCUUCAGCCGGAGAAGAAGGAGCUCGAGGCGGCCAGUCGGGUCGAGCUGGAGCGGCUGCGGGCCAUGCUGCAGGAGAAGGAGGCCUCUUACUCUCCUGACAUGGACCGCCUCGCGUCGCUCCAUCUUGAGGAGGCGAACCUCAAGGACGCCGCGUUGAGGGCGAAGGAUGAAGCCCUUACCCAGAAGCAAGUGCAUCUGGGUAAGGCGCUGGAGUCCGCCGCGACCCUCCAGGAGGAAAUCGCCCGCCUCACUCAUGCGAGUGAGGUGCGGGAGCGUGAGGUCCUCGAGGUCUUUCAUGAGACCGACGGUGCCUACCAGCGUAGGUUUCCUUUCCUUGUUUUGCGUUUGGUUUUUUUGGCUGUCUCCUCCUCUUGCUGUGUUCUUACGUCCUGGUUGUCUUUACCCCAGAUCUCUUCUCCGAGACCCAGGUCGCAGCCGACACCGCCGUUGAGGUGUGCCGCGAGGAGCGCCGCGCGGCCGGGCAGGUGGUAGAUACUACCUCCGGCUGGAGCAUCGAGGAGAUUGGUGUGGGGCUUCGGGCCCGCUUACACGUCCUGGGCGAGUCUGUGACUCAGCUCCAAGUUGCGGGUUCGUCGAUGGUGACGGCCCUGUGGCAGGUGGGCGUGGAGCCGAUGACCAUAAGCCGUCUUGCCCGUUGGCUCGCGGCGGGUGAAGAGCGCCUGGACGCCUGGCGAGCCUCCGCAGCGUGGUCUGGGGCUUAUAUGGACCUGCGCUUGGCCAAGUCAUGGUAUCGCAACCUGAACUUGGGCAAGCUGGCUGCCCAGCGCGAUGGCUCAGAGGCGGAGUUGCAAGGCCUGGAGGAGGAGCUCCCGGUGAGGGCCAACGUCGUGGCUGAGUACGCAGCCUGGGACGACUUCGUCUUGGAGNNNNNNNNNNNNNNNNNNNNNNNNNNNNNNNNNNNNNNNNNNNNNNNNNNNNNNNNNNNNNNNNNNNNNNNNNNNNNNNNNNNNNNNNNNNNNNNNNNNNAACGUCGUCACGUCCCUCGAUCCGCCCCGCGAACUAUCCCGCGAACAGUCCCACGAUCUAGUGCCGAACGGACGGCACCUCCGCGUUCAGCACACGUACAGCUCGACGAUGAUCUCGGCCUUCUUGAUCCAGCAAGAGAGACGAAGAGGUAGAAGAGUUCUCCGGCAGCGUGACGGUGCUCCGGAGGUUGGUGAUGAUCUUGUCUCAGUAGGGCUCCGCCCGAGCUCCGCAGAAACUCGAUCUAGAUGUGAAACCGUGGAGAUAUGUGGUCGGGCUGCCGUGGCAAAGUUGUGUCAAAUCAGCCCUAAAAACCCCACUAUAUAUAGGAGGAGGAGGGGGGAGACYUGCCUUGGGGUCCAAGGACUCCCAAGGGGGUCGGCCGAGCCAAGGGGGAAGGCCUMCCCYUCCCAAACCGAAUUCUACUUGGUUUGGAAGGUGGAGUCCUUCUUCCCUUUCCCACCUCCUUCUUUUUUUCCUUUCUUCUUUGAUUUUCUUCCCAAUGCGCAUAUGGCCUUCUUGGGCUGUCCCACCAGCCCACUAAGGGCUGGUUCGCCACCCCCAAGGCCUAUGGGCUUCCCCGGGGUCGGGUUGACCCCCCCCCCCCGGUCGAACUCCCGGAACCCAUUCGUCAUUCCCGGUACAUUCCCGGUAAUUCCGAAAACCUUCCGGUAAUCAAAUGAGGUCAUCCUAUAUAUCAAUCUUUGUUUCCGGACCAUUCCGGAAACCCUCGUGACGUCCAUGAUCUCAUCCGGGACUCCGAACAACAUUCGGUAACCAACCAUAUAACUCAAAUACGCAUAAAAUAACGUCGAUCCUUAAGUGUGCAGACCCUACGGGUUCGAGAACUAUGUAGACAUGACCCGAGAGACUCCUCGGUCAAUAUCCAAUAGCGGGACAUGGAUGCCCAUAUUGGAUCCUACAUAUUCUACGAAGAUCUUAUCGUUUGAACCUCAGUGUCAAGGAUUCAUAUAAUCCCGUAUGUCAUUCCCUUUGUCCUUCGGUAUGUUACUUGCCCGAGAUUCGAUCGUCAGUAUCCGUAUACCUAUUUCAAUCUCGUUUACCGGCAAGUCUCUUUACUCGUUCCGUAAUACAAGAUCCCGCAACUUACAUUAAGUCACAUUGCUUGCAAGGCUUGUGUGUGAUGUUGUAUUACCGAGUGGGCCCCAAGAUACCUCUCCGUCACACGGAGUGACAAAUCCCAGUCUCGAUCCAUACUAACUCAACGAACACCUUCGGAGAUACCUGUAGAGCAUCUUUAUAGUCACCCAGUUACGUUGCGACGUUUGAUACACACAAAGCAUUCCUCUGGUGUCCGUGAGUUAUAUGAUCUCAUGGUCAUAGGAACAAAUACUUGACACGCAUAAAACAGUAGCAACAAAAUGACACGAUCAACAUGCUACGUCUAUUAGUUUGGGUCUAGUCCAUCACAUGAUUCUCCUAAUGAUGUGAUCCCUUUAUCAAGUGAUAACACUUGCAUAUGGUCAGGAAACCUUGACCAUCUUUGAUCAACGAGCUAGUCAACUAGAGGCUUACUAGGGACAGUGUUUUGUCUAUGUAUCCACACAUGCACUGUGUUUCCAAUCAAUACAAUUAUAGCAUGGAUAAUAAACGAUUAUCAUGAACUAAGAAAUAUAAUAAUAACUAAUUUAUUAUUGCCUCUAGGGCAUAUUUCCAACAUGUCCUUCGUUGCAAACAACGACCAAAAUAUCAAGACAAAUCAACAAGCCGGUGAGGCCGCCCGCCAGCAGGCGGCAGACCUCGCCAGCUUUGGGGACUACUGUCGGGGGGAUAACCCCGGGGUAGGCUCAUCGAGCCUGUUCCUUCAUUCCCGGCCCAAUGGGCAUGAAGGCGCAGAGAUUCUCAAGGCCCAAGUCUUCUGACUGGCUAGGCAUCCCCUGCCGGCUGGAAGACGAGGCGGCCACCUUUCUGGCCGGCCAGGCAACCCCUUCCGGCUAGAAUCCAGGCGGCCUCCCCUUCGGACCCGGCCUGGUCCCGCCAGCAGGGCUAAGGAGGAGGCGGCCACCCUCAAGCCGGCUGACCAAGCAGGCUAGCCGGCCGAGGAUCACCAGUCACAUCAGAUCGUAGGUCAGGAAAGGACCUCACAAUUAAAGGUAGCUACGCGUCAGCAAAGGUACUGAAUCAGGGCGCCCGGCAGGUAUGAGCGUCGGCGGCCACGCCGCUGACCUACCCCGGCUCUGAUCCAUCACCUAGCCUGAGGAGUCGGCGGUCACACUCCCACUCCAUUACUGCACUCGGCGUGGGGAGCAGUGGAGGCGGUCGUACUGCGUGCCCAUGAAGAAUCUCGUGGGGCGACGCUCGACGUACAACGCGUGCUCAGCGUCAACCUUACGCGGGAGCCCCAUUGGCCAGCCGGCGGGUCCCACAGCAAUCGAGACCAUGNNNNNNNNNNNNNNNNNNNNNNNNNNNNNNNNNNNNNNNNNNNNNNNNNNNNNNNNNNNNNNNNNNNNNNNNNNNNNNNNNNNNNNNNNNNNNNNNNNNNCCCACUCGAUAAUACAACAUCACACACAAGCCUUGCAAGCAAUGUGACGUUAAUGUAAGGUUGCGGGAUCUUGUAUUACGGAACGAGUAAAGAGACUUGCCGGUAAACGAGAUUGAAAUAGGUAUACGGAUACUGACGAUCGAAUACUCGGGCAAGUAACAUACCGAAGGACAAAGGGAAUGACAUACGGGAUUAUAUGAAUCCUUGACACUGAGGUUCAAACGAUAAGAACUUCAUAGAAUAUGUAGGAUCCAAUAUGGGCAUCCAGGUCCCACUAUUGGAUAUUGACCGAGGAGUCUCUCGGGUCAUGUCUACAUAGUUCUCGAACCCGUAGGGUCUGCACACUUAAGGUUUGACGUUAAGAAAUUGUUGAAAGUUUUUUGAUGUGUCUUAGAAUGGUGCAUUUUGAACACACAAAAAGUAUGGAGUUCAAAUAAGUUCAAAAGAAAUGAAAUCCCUUUGUAAGAGAUGAGUUCUCGUUCGAAACCAUGAUACUUCGAGAGAGAUUGUUCGUUUUGUACACGAAGUGCAUCCAGUUUUCGUCGUAGCCCUCUCAACUUUUUAACACAUGCUAUGUGGGUGAAAUGAUGAUAGUAUGCCAACUUUCAACAUUUUCAGAGUUCAUUUGUAGUGCUUUUCAAUUUCAGGGUCAACUAGCUCAAAAAAAACUAAGUAAACUGCAUGAAGAAUACCAAAUGAAGUCAGAAAUUGUUGAAAUUUUGUGAUGUGCCUUAGAAUGGUGCAUUUUGAACACACAAAAAGUAUGGAGUUCAAAUAAGUUCAAAAAAACUGAAAUCCUUUUGUAAGAGAUGAGUUCUCGUUCGAAACCCUGAUACUUCGAGAGAGAUUGUCCGUUUUGUAUACGAAGUGCAUCCAGUUUUUGUCGUAGCCCUCUCAACUUUUUAACACAUGCUAUGUGGGUGAAAUGAUGAUAGCAUGCCAACUUUCAACAUNNNNNNNNNNNNNNNNNNNNNNNNNNNNNNNNNNNNNNNNNNNNNNNNNNNNNNNNNNNNNNNNNNNNNNNNNNNNNNNNNNNNNNNNNNNNNNNNNNNNACAGAACGUGCGACUGAUGUUGUUGAUCGAUGUAAAGCGGUUUUUCUAAAAUAAUUGGUGGUUGGAUGGUUAGGAGAACAGAAAUAUUCAUGUCCCGUGAGAGUUCAAGUUCUAGGCUUGAAGUUGGUGCUCGCAUUAUUUUUGAAUUUAUUUUUGGCUUCUGUCAGUGUUCAUUCAGUGAAAGGAGACAUCCCGUCGAGGCGAGACACAUGUGAUGACUUUGUAAAGUCUGAAGAUGCUUUGUCGACUCAGUCUCUCGGAGAUGCUCAAAGAAGUAGAGUAUGCGUGCGUGCGUGCGUGUGUGCAUGCAUAACGACAAGUGUAUGCUCAUGUAUGCAAGCGACUUCGAUCGUAUUGUGUUAAAAAAAACUCAAUUGCAAAGUAAAGACAGUGACGAAUAAAAAUCCCCUUUUGCAGGGGAGCCCAACUCUGCCCGUUUAUAACCCUUGUGGCGGACAGUGACGAAUAUUGUGUUUAAAAAAUAUUUUCCGGACAGAAAGACGUAUCCACAUUUUUUGCAACUCGGACCCUUGUGGCUGCCGGCGAGCGAUUCCCGCCCUAAUUCUCCGGCGUCUAAGCGAGCUCCUCGUCUUUCCUUGGGCUCCGGCGAAGCGCCCCCAUUCCUCUGCUCCGGUGAGUAAUCCCCCUUGCUCUCACUUCGUUUUUAGUGACACGAUUAUUUUCAGGAUCUGCGCAUUAGAAAGAGCUUAGUUACAGAAGCGUCGAUCCGCAGAACAAAGCUCCAUGUGAUUCCGAUAUGCUGCAAAUAUCUACUAGUACAUGGUGAUGACUGGUUAUUCAUGCAUCAGCUGGCAGGUGCUAGCACGAGGGGAGGGGAAAGAUCGGAACAUGUUCAGUCGACUGCUGAUAUUUGAAAGGGAAACAGGGAAAUAGAUAUUCUGUGAUGUUCUCAGCACAAUGGAAAUGACAAUCAUGUUUCCUGAGGAUNNNNNNNNNNNNNNNNNNNNNNNNNNNNNNNNNNNNNNNNNNNNNNNNNNNNNNNNNNNNNNNNNNNNNNNNNNNNNNNNNNNNNNNNNNNNNNNNNNNNAUGUCCGUGCGUGGUGGGAUGGGGUAGGCUGGUGUGUCUCAGAUCUUGCCACGUCAUCGAUCCGCGUGAUCGAUCCGUGUGAUGUGCUUCUUCUUUGCCGUCAUCACUUUCUAUUACAGGCGGCAAAUUAUGUCUUUCCGUCAUCCGCUUAUUUUUACAGACGGCAAAAUAAUUUUGCCGUCUGCAAUUUUUAUUAUAGACGGCAAAAUAAGUUUACGCCGGCAGUCAUUCUUUGCCGUCAGCAGCUGACGGCAACUGACGGCAAAAGUGCUCUUUGCCGUCAUCCACGAAGAAAAGCUGACGGCAAAGAUCUGAACAGACGGCAAAUUACCUGAUUCCCGUAGUGCUCGGCAGUCGUGCUCACCCAUCGGCAAGAUCCAGCUGGACGUCCUCUUCGGCGACAAGGCCCACUUCCGCCGAGAGUCCAUAUGGUUCGAGGUGGUGGACCUCAGCAGCCCGUAUCACACGUUGCUGGGGAGACCGGCUCUGGCCAAAUUCAUGGCUAUCCCGCACUACGCCUACCUGAAAAUGAAGAUGCUGGGUCCCAAGGCCAUCAUCACUGUUGUUGGCGACUACAAGAAGUCGCUCGAGUGUGCCCAAGAUAGCAGCCGCCUCGCCGACGCCUUGGUGAUUGCCGAGGAGAAGCGGCAGAUCGACCGGCUCGUGGCCCAGGCUACCGAGCAGCCGGCGAUUCCUUCUCCUCCGUCCCAAUCGGCCGGCGAGGGCUCUUUCAAGCCGGCUAAAGAGACCAAGCAGGUCCCACUCGACCCUGCCAACCCAAAGUAGUGCAUCACCAUCGGGGCUGGCCUCAGCCCCAAAUAGGAAGGCGAGCUCGUCGACUUCCUCCAUGAGAAUCGGGACAUCUUUGCAUGGUCCCCCAAGGACAUGUCGGGUGUUCCGAGGAAGUACGCCGAGCACAAACUUCACGUGCGACCGGAUGCAAAGCCGGUGAAACAACCUUUGCGCCGCUUCACCGAGGGGAAGCGGCGCACAAUUGGAGAAGAGAUCACCCAGCUCCUUGCAGCCGGCUUCAUCAUGGAGGUUUUCCACCCGGACUGGCUGGCGAACCCAGUCCUGGCGCUGAAGAAGAACAACACAUGGAGAAUGUGCAUCGACUACACUAGCCUGAAUAAGGCCUAUCCGAAAGACCCUUUCGUGUUGCCUAGGAUAGAUCAUGUGAUCGACUCCACUACAGGCUGCGAACUGCUGUCAUUUCUGGAUGCUUAUUCAGGCUACCAUCAAAUCAAGCGGGAUCCAGCUGAUCGCCUGAAGACCUCCUUCAUCAUGCCCUUCGGGGCCUACUGCUACACCACCAUGACGUUCGGUCUGAAGAACGCAUGUGCGACGUUCCAACGCUGCAUGCAGAAGUGCCUACUGUCACAGAUUGGUAGAAACAUCCACGUCUAUGUGGAUGACAUCAUCGUCAAGACGAAGCAGCACUUCAGCCUCCUCGACGACCUGCGAGAGACAUUCGCCAAUCUGCGCGAAUACAAGAUCCGGCUCAAUCCUGAGAAGUACGUCUUCGGGGUCCCAGACGGCAAACUCUUGGGGUUCUUCGUAUCUGUCCGCGGCAUCGAAGCGAACCCUGAGAAGAUCAGCACCAUCGAGCGGAUGGUGCGGCCGGCUCGGAUCCUCGACGUCCAGAAGCUUGCCGGCUGCUUGGCAUCCCUCAGCCGGUUCAUCAGCUGGCUUGGCGAGAAGGCCCUUCCACUCUACCAGCUCAUGAAGAAGACGACGAAGUUCGAGUGGGACGACCAGGCGGACGAAGCCUUCCGUGACCUCAAGCGGGUAAUCUCUAGCUUGCCAAUCUUGGCAGCCCCAUCUGAAAGGGAACCUGUUGGGGAACGUCGCAUGGGAAACAAAAAUUUUCCUACGCGCACGAAGACCUAGCAUGGUGAUGUCCAUCUACGAGAGGGGAUGAGUGAUCUACGUACCCUUGUAGAUCGUACAGCAGAAGCGUUAGUGAACGCGGUUGAUGUAGUGGAACGUCCUCACGUCCCUCGAUCCGCCCCGCGAACAAUCCCGCGAUCAGUCCCACGAUCUAGUACCGAACGGACGGCACCUCCGCGUUCAGCACACGUACAGCUCGACGAUGAUCUCGGUCUUCUUGAUCCAGCAAGAGAGACGGAGAGGUAGAAGAGUUCUCCGGCAGCGUGACGGCGCUCCGGAGGUUGGUUAUGACCUUGUCUCAGCAGGGCUCCGCUCGAGCUCCGCAGAAACRCGAUCUAGAGGAAAAACCGUGGAGGUAUGUGGUCAGGCUGCCGUGGAAAAGUCGUCUCAAAUCAGCCCUAAAACCUCCGUAUAUAUAGGUGGGAGGGAGGGGACCUUGCCUUGGGGCUCAAGGAGCCCCAAGGGGGUCGGCCGAGUCCAAGGGGGAAGGCUCGCCCCCCCCAAACCGAGUUGGACUUGGUUUGGUGGGUGGGAGUCCUUCCUUCCCUUCCCACCUCCUUUUUUUUAUUUUCUCUUUGGUUUUCUUUCCUAGGCGCAUAGGGCCCUUUUGGGCUGUCCCACCAGCCCACUAAGGGCUGGUGUGCCACCCUCAAGGCCUAUGGGCUUCCCCAGGGUGGGUUGCCCCCCCCCCCCCCGGUCGAACUCCCGGAACCCAUUCGUCAUUCCCGGUACAUUCCCGGUAACUCCGAAAACCUUCCGGUAAUCAAAUGAGGUCAUCCUAUAUAUCAAUCUUCGUUUCCGGACCAUUCCGGAAACCCUCGUGACGUCUGUGAUCUCAUCCGGGACUCCGAACAACAUUCGGUAACCAACCAUAUAACUCAAAUACGCAUAAAACAACGUCGAACCUUAAGUGUGCAGACCCUGCCGGUUCGAGAACUAUGUAGACAUGACCCGAGAGACUCCUCGGUCAAUAUCCAAUAGCGGGACCUGGAUGCCCAUAUUGGAUCCUACAUAUUCUACGAAGAUCUUAUCGUUUGAACGUCAGUGCCAAGGAUUCAUAUAAUCCCGUAUGCCAUUCCCUUUGUCCUUCGUUCUGUUACUUGCCCGAGAUUCGAUCGUCAGUAUCCGCAUACCUAUUUCAAUCUCGUUUACCGGCAAGUCUCUUUACUCGUUCCGCAAUACAAGAUCCCGCAACUUACACUAAGUUACAUUGCUUGCAAGGCUUGUGUGUGAUGUUGUAUUACCGAGUGGGCCCCGAGAUACCUCUCUGUCACACGGAGUGACAAAUCCCAGUCUUGAUCCAUACUAACUCAACUAACACCUUCGGAGAUACCUGUAGAGCAUCUUUAUAGUCACCCAAUUACGUUGCGACGUUUGAUACACACAAAGCAUUCCUCCGGUGUCAGUGAGUUAUAUGAUCUCAUGGUCAUAGGAAUAAAUACUUGACACGCAGAAAACAGUAGCAACAAUAUGACACGAUCAACAUGCUACGUCUAUUAGUUUGGGCCUAGCCCAUCACGUGAUUCUCUUAAUGACGUGAUCCAGUUAUCAACCAACAACACUUUGUUCAUAAUCAGAAGACACUGACUAUCUUUGAUCAACUGGCUAGCCAACUAGAGGCUUGCUAGGGACGGUGUUUUGUCUAUGUAUCCACACAUGUAAAUGAGUCUUCAUUCAAUACAAUUAUAGCAUGGAUAAUAAAGAUUAUCUUGAUACAGGAAUUAUAAUAAUAACUAUAUUUAUUAUUGCCUCUAGGGCAUAAUUCCAACAGUCUCCCACUUGCACUAGAGUCAAUAAUCUAGCCCUCACAUCAUCAUGUGAAUUACAUUGUAAUAAAUCUAACACCCAUACAGUUCUGGUGUUGAUCAUGCUUUGGCCGUGGAAGAGGUUUAGUCAGCGGGUCUGCUACAUUCAGAUCCGUGUGCACUUUGCAUAUAUUUACGUCCUCUCCCUCGACGUAGUCGCGGAUGAGGUUGAAGCGUCGUUUGAUGUGUCUGGUCUUCUUGUGAAACCGUGGUUCCUUUGCUAAGGCAAUGACACCCGUGUUGUCACAGAACAAGGUUAUUGGAUUCAGUGCGCUUGGCACCACUCCAAGAUCCGUCAUGAACUGCUUCAUCCAGACACUCUCCUUAGCCGCCUCCGAGGCAGCCAUGUACUCCGCUUCACAUGUAGAAUCUGCUACGACGCUUUGCUUGGAACUGCACCAGCUUACCGCACCCCCAUUAAGAAUAAAUACGUAUCCGGUUUGCGACUUAGAGUCGUCCGGAUCUGUGUCAAAGCUUGCAUCGACGUAACCUUUUACGACGAGCUCUUCGUCACCUCCAUACACGAGAAACAUCUCCUUAGUCCUUUUCAGGUACUUCAGGAUAUUCUUGACCGCUGUCCAGUGAUCCACUCCUGGAUUACUCUGGAACCUACCAGCCAUACUUAUGGCCAGGCUAACAUCCGGUCUUGUGCACAACAUUGCAUACAUGAUAGAACCUAUGGCUAAAGCAUAGGGGACGGAGCGCAUAUGCUCUCUCUCUUCAUCAGUUGCUGGGCACUGAGUCUUACUCAAUCUCGUACCUUGUAAAACUGGCAAGAACCCUUUCUUGGACUGUUCCAUUUUGAACCUCUUCAAAACAUUAUCAAGGUAUGUGCUUUGUGAAAGUCCUAUCACGCGUUUUGAUCUAUCCCUAUAGAUCUUAAUGCCUAGAAUGUAAGAAGCUUCUCCUAGGUCCUUCAUAGAGAAACUCUUAUUCAAGUAAUCCUUUAUGCUCUCUAAAAACUCCACGUUGUUUCCAAUCAGCAGUAUGUCAUCCACAUAUAAUCUUAGAAAUGCCACAGAGCUCCCACUCACUUUCUUGUAAAUACAAGAUUCUCCAACCACUUGUAUAAAUCCAAAUGGUUUGAUCACCUCAUCAAAGCGUUUGUUCCAACUCCAAGAUGCUUGCACCAGUCUAUAAAUGGAUCGCUGGAGCUUGCACACCUUGUUAGCAUUCUUAGGAUCGACAAAACCUUCGGGUUGUAUCAUAUACAACUCUUCCUUAAGGAAACCGUUAAGGAACGCCGUUUUGACAUCCAUCUGCCAGAUUUCAUAAUCGAAAAAUGCAGCUAUUGCUAACAUGAUUCUGACGGACUUAAGCAUCGCUACGGGUGAGAAUGUCUCAUCGUAGUCAACUCCUUGAACUUGUGAAAAACCCUUUGCCACAAGUCGAGCUUUAUAAACGGUCACAUUGCCGUCAGCGUCCGUCUUCCUCUUAAAAAUCCAUUUGUUCUGAAUAGCCUUGCGGCCCUCAGGUAGUACCUCCAAAGUCCACACGUUGUUCUCAUACAUGGAUCCUUUCUCGGACUUCAUCGCUUCUAGCCAUUUGUUGGAAUCUGGGCCCACCAUUGCUUCUUCAUAAUUUGCAGGUUCAUUGUUGUCUAACAACAUGAUUGAUAAGACGGGAUUACCGUACCACUCUGGAGCAGCACGUGGUCUCGUCGACCUGCGUGGUUCGACAGAAACUUGAACCGGAGUUUCAUGAUCAUCAUCAUUAACUUCCUCCUCAACCGGCGUCGCAACGACACAGGUUUCCCCUUGCCCUGCGCCACCAUCCAGAGGGAUGAGAGGUUCGACAACCUCGUCAAGUUCUAUCUUCCUCCCACUCAAUUCUCUCGAGAGAAACUCCUUCUCGAGAAAAGCUCCAUUUUUAGCAACAAACACUUUGCCCUCGGAUUUGAGAUAGAAGGUGUACCCAACUGUCUCUUUUGGGUAACCUAUGAAGACGCACUUUUCCGCUUUGGGUUCCAGCUUUUCAGGCUGAAGCUUUUUGACAUAAGCAUCACAUCCCCAAACUUUAAGAAACGACAACUUUGGCCUUUUGCCAUACCACAGUUCGUAUGGUGUCGUCUCAACGGAUUUUGAUGGUGCCCUAUUUAAAGUGAAUGCAGUUGUUUCUAAUGCAUAACCCCAAAACGAUAACGGCAAAUCGGUAAGAGACAUCAUAGAUCGCACCAUCUCUAAUAAAGUACGAUUACGACGUUCGGACACACCAUUACGCUGUGGUGUUCCAGGCAGUGUUAACUGUGAAACAAUUCCACAUUGUCUUAAGUGAGCACCAAACUCGAAACUCAGAUAUUCACCCCCACGAUCAGACCGUAGGAACUUGAUCUUCUUGUUACGAUGAUUUUCAACUUCACUCUGAAAUUGCUUGAACCUUUCAAAUGUUUCAGACUUGUGCUUCAUCAAGUAGACAUAACCAUAUCUACUCAAAUCGUCAGUGAAGGUGAGAAAAUAACGAUAUCCGCCGCGUGCCUCCACGCUCAUCGGACCACACACAUCGGUAUGUAUGAUUUCCAACAAGUCACUUGUACGCUCCAUUGUUCCGGAGAACGGAGUCUUAGUCAUCUUGCCCAUGAGGCAUGGUUCGCACGUGUCAAGUGAAUCAAAGUCAAGUGACUCCAAAAGUCCAUCAGCAUGGAGUUUCUUCAUGCGCUUUACACCAAUAUGACCUAAGCGGCAGUGCCAAAAAAUAUGGCGCUAUCAUUGUUAACUCUAACUCUUUUGGUCUCAAUGUUAUGUAUAUGCGUAUCGCUAUCAAGAUUCAAUAUGAACAAUCCUCUCACAUUAGGUGCAUGACCAUAAAAGAUGUUACUCAUAGAAAUAGAACAACCAUUAUUCUCUGACUUAAAAGAGUAACCGUCUCGCAAUAAACAAGAUCCAGAUAUAAUGUUCAUGCUCAACGCAGGCACUAAAUAACAAUGAUUUAAGUUCAUCACUAAUCCUGAUGGCAACUGAAGUGAAACUGUGCCGACGGCGAUUGCAUCAACCUUGGAACCAUUUCCUACGCGCAUCGUCACUUCAUCCUUUGCCAGCCUUCGUCUAUUCCGCAGUUCCUGUUUCGAGUUGCAAAUAUGAGCAACAGAACCGGUAUCGAAUACCCAGGCACUACUACGAGAGCCGGUUAAGUACACAUCAAUAACAUGUAUAUCAAAUAUACCUGAUUUUUCUUUGCCCGCCUUCUUAUCUGCCAGAUACUUGGGGCAAUUGCGCUUCCAGUGACACAUACCCUUGCAAUAGUAGCACUCCGUUUCAGGCUUAGGUCCAGCUUUGGGUUUCUUCGUCGGAUUGGCAACAAGCUUGCCGCUCUUCUUUGAAUUACCCUUAUUGCCUUUGCCGUUUCUCUUGAAACUAGUGGUCUUAUUCACCAUCAACACUUGACGCUCUUUACGGAGUUCAGACUCUGCGACUUUCAGCAUCGCAAACAACUCGCCGGGAGACUUGUUCAUUCCUUGCAUGUUGUAGUUCAACACAAAGCCUUUAUAGCUUGGCGGCAGUUAUUGAAAGAUUCUGUCAGUGAUAGCCUCUUGCGGGAGUUCAAUACCCAGCUCAGCUAGACGGUUUGAGUACCCAGACAUUUUGAGCACAUGUUCACUUACAGACGAGUUCUCCUCCAUCUUGCAAGCAUAGAAUUUAUCGGAGGUCUCAUACCUCUCGAUCCGGGCGUUCUUCUGAAAGAUAAACUUCAACUCCUGGAACAUCUCAAAUGCUCCAUGACGCUCAAAGCGACGUUGAAGUCCCGGUUCUAAGCCAUACAAGACUGCACAUUGAACUAUUGAGUAGUCCUCCUUACGUGCCAACCAAGCGUUCUUAACAUCCUGAUCAGCCGUAGAGGGUGGUUCAUCUCCUAACGCAGCAUUAAGGACAUAAUCCUUCUUCCCAGCUUGUAAGAUUAGCUUAAGAUUACGAGCCCAGUCUACAAACUUGCUUCCAUCAUCUUUCAACUUAGCUUUCUCUAGGAACGUAUUAAAAAUCAGGAUGACUGUAGCGUGAGCCAUGAUCUACAACACAAAUAUAUUCAAAGUGGACUUAGACUAUGAUCAAGAUAAUUAGAGUUUAACUUAAUCAAAUUAUUCGCUAAACUCCCACUCAAAAAGUACAUCUCUCUAGUCAUUUGAGUGGUUCAUGAUCCACUUACACUAGCUUAAGUCCGAACAUCACGUGAGUUGAGUAUAGUUUCAGUGGUAAGCAUCUCUAUGCUAACCAUAUCAUCUAUAUGAUUCAUGAUCGACCUUUCGGUCUCAUGUGUUCCGAGGCCAUGUCUGCACAUGCUAGGCUCGUCAAGCUUAACCCGAGUGUUCCGCGUGCGCAACUGUUUUGCACCCGUUGUAUGUGAACAUUGAGUCUAUCACACCCGAUCAUCACGUGGUGUCUCGAAACGACGAACUGUAGCAACGGUGCACAGUCGGGGAGAACACAAUUUCGUCUUGAAAUUUUAGUGAGAGAUCACCUCAUAAUGCUACCGUCGUUCUAAGCAAAAUAAGGUGCAUAAAAGGAUUAACAUCACAUGCAAUUCAUAAGUGACAUGAUAUGGCCAUCAUCACGUGCUUCUUGAUCUCCAUCACCAAAGCACCGGCACGAUCUUCUUGUCACCGGCGCCACACCAUGAUCUCUAUCAACGUGUUGCCAUCGGGGCUGUCGUGCUACUCAUGCUAUUACUACUAAAGCUACAUCCUAGCAAAAUAGUAAACGCAUCUGCAAGCACAAACGUUAGUAUAAAGACAACCCUAUGGCUCCUGCCGGUUGCCGUACCAUCGACGUGCAAGUCGAUAUUUUCUAUUACAACAUGAUCGUCUCAUACAUCCAAUAUAUCACAUCACAUCGUUGGCCAUAUCACAUCACAAGCAUACCCUGCAAAAACAAGUUAGACGUCCUGUAAUUUUGUUGUUGCAUGUUUUACGUGGUGACCAUGGGUAUCUAGUAGGAUCGCAUCUUACUUACGCAAACACCACAACGGAGAUAUAUGAGUUGCUAUUUAACCUCAUCCAAGGACCUCCUCGGUCAAAUCCGAUUCAACUAAAGUUGGAGAAACCGACACUUGCCAGUCAUCUUUGAGCAACGGGGUUACUCGUAGCGAUGAAACCAGUCUCUCGUAAGCGUACGAGUAAUGUCGGUCCAAGCCGCUUCAAUCCAACAAUACCGCGGAAUCAAGAAAAGACUAAGGAGGGCAGCAAAACGCACAUCACCGCCCACAAAAACUUUUGUGUUCUACUUGAGAAGACAUCUGCGCAUGAACCUAGCUCAUGAUGCCACUGUUGGGGAACGUCGCAUGGGAAACAAAAAUUUUCCUACGCGCACGAAGACCUAUCAUGGUGAUGUCCAUCUACGAGAGGGGAUGAGUGAUCUACGUACCCUUGUAGAUCGUACAGCAGAAGCGUUAGUGAACGCGGUUGAUGUAGUGGAACGUCCUCACGUCCCUCGAUCCGCCCCGCGAACAAUCCCGCGAUCAGUCCCACGAUCUAGUACCGAACGGACGGCACCUCCGCGUUCAGCACACGUACAGCUCGACGAUGAUCUCGGCCUUCUUGAUCCAGCAAGAGAGACGGAGAGGUAGAAGAGUUCUCCGGCAGCGUGACGGCACUCCGGAGGUUGGUGAUGACCUUGUCUCAGCAGGGCUCCGCCCGAGCUCCGCAGAAACGCGAUCUAGAGGAAAAACCGUGGAGGUAUGUGGUCGGGCUGCCGUGGAAAAGUUGUCUCAAAUCAGCCCUAAAACCUCCGUAUAUAUAGGUGGGAGGGAGGGGACCUUGCCUUGGGGCCCAAGGAGCCCCAAGGGGGUCGUCCGAGUCCAAGGGGGAAGCCUCCCCCCCCCAAACCGAGUUGGACUUGGUUUGGUGGGUGGGAGUCCUUCCUUCCCUUCCCACCUCCUUAUUUUUCUUUUCUCUUUGAUUUUCUUUCCUAGGCGCAUAGGGCCCUUUUGGGCUGUCCCACCAGACCACUAAGGGCUGGUGUGCCACCCUCAAGGCCUAUGGGCUUCCCCAGGGUGGGUUGACCCCCCCCCCCCCCGGUGAACUCCCGGAACCCAUUCGUCAUUCCCGGUACAUUCCCGGUAACUCCGAAAACCUUCCGGUAAUCAAAUGAGGUCAUCCUAUAUAUCAAUCUUCGUUUCCGGACCAUUCCGGAAACCCUCGUGACGUCCGUGAUCUCAUCCGGGACUCCGAACAACAUUCGGUAACCAACCAUACAACUCAAAUACGCAUAAAACAACGUCGAACCUUAAGUGUGCAGACCCUACGGGUUCGAGAACUAUGUAGACAUGACCCAAGAGACUCCUCGGUCAAUAUCCAAUAGCGGGACCUGGAUGCCCAUAUUGGAUCCUACAUAUUAUACGAAGAUCUUAUCGUUUGAACCUCAGUGCCAAGGAUUCAUAUAAUCCCGUAUGUCAUUCCCUUUGUCCUUCGGUAUGUUACUUGCCCGAGAUUCGAUCGUCAGUAUCCGCAUACCUAUUUCAAUCUCGUUUACCGGCAAGUCUCUUUACUCGUUCUGCAAUACAAGAUCCCGCAACUUACACUAAGUUACAUUGCUUGCAAGGCUUGUGUGUGAUGUUGUAUUACCGAGUGGGCCCCGAGAUACCUCUCCGUCACACGGAGUGACAAAUCCCAGUCUUGAUCCAUACUAACUCAACUAACACCUUCGGAGAUACCUGUAGAGCAUCUUUAGAGUCACCCAGUUACGUUGCGACGUUUGAUACACACAAAGCAUUCCUCCGGUGUCAGUGAGUUAUAUGAUCUCAUGGUCAUAGGAAUAAAUACUUGACACGCAGAAAACAGUAGCAACAAAAUGACACGAUCAACAUGCUACGUCUAUUAGUUUGGGUCUAGUCCAUCACGUGAUUCUCCUAAUGACGUGAUCCAGUUAUCAAGCAACAACACUUUGUUCAUAAUCAGAAGACACUGACUAUCUUUGAUCAACUGGCUAGCCAACUAGAGGCUUGCUAGGGACGGUGUUUUGUCUAUGUAUCCACACAUGUAAAUGAGUCUUCAUUCAAUACAAUUAUAGCAUGGAUAAUAAACGAUUAUCUUGAUACAGGAAUUAUAAUAAUAACUAUAUUUAUUAUUGCCUCUAGGGCAUAAUUCCAACAGAACCCAUACUCAUAUAUAUCACGGUGACCACUCGCGUGGUCAGCGUAGUGUUGGUAGUUCAGCGUAAAGAGGAAGGCAAGGCCCUGCCAGUACAGCGCCCUGUCUACUACCUUAGCGAUUUCUUCUCCGCCUCUAAGCAGAACUACCCUCAUUAUCAGAAAAUGUGUUAUGGUGUUUACCUUGGUGCAAAGAAAUUAAAACAAUACUUCCAAGAGCGUGCCAUCACUGGGGUGAGCACGGCUCCACUCUCAGAGAUCGUGGGCAAGUAGGUAACCGUGAUGCCACGAGCAGAAUUGCCCAAUGGUCCAUCGCCAUGGCGGACCAUGACUUUCAGUACGAGCCUCGCACCGCCAUCAAAUCACAGGUGGUGGCCGACUUCUUAGUCGACUGAGCCGAGACCCAGUUCGAGCCACCGCCUCCAGACUCCACGCAUUGGCGGAUGCACUUCGACGGCUCGAAGAUGCGGACGAGACUAGGAGCCGGCAUCAUCUUGACGUCUCCGAAAGGGGACCAGCUCAAGUACGCUCUCCAGAUCCACUUCGCCGCCUCCAACAACGUCACCGAGUACGAAGCACUGGCCCACGGCCUCCGGCUUGCCAAGGAGAUUGGCAUCCGACGGCUCAUAUGCUUCGGCGAUUCGGACUUGGUGGUGCAGCAGGUCUCUGGCGAAUGGGAUGCCAGGGACGCCAACAUGGCAAGCUACCGCUUCCUCAUCCAGCAGCUCAGCGGCCCCUUCGAGGGUUGUGAGUUCCACCAUGUUCGCAUGGCAGAAAAUGAGGCGGCACACACACUAGCAAAGAUCGGCUCCACAAGGCAGGCCAUCCGAGCUGGCAUCUCCCUCGAGCAACUCCACAAGCCGUCUCCGGAGUCGGCAUCAAUCUUCGUACCGGUCAAAUCCACGAUACAAGUGCCGUCGGCUCCGCCAGUUAUGCCGGCUGCGGACCCCACGCCGGCUGCACUGACGGCUCCGGCUCCAAAUGCGGCACCGACUGAGUCUACGGUGCAAGCGCCGUCGGCUCCACCAACUACACCGGCUUCGGAUCCUAAUUCGGCUCCAUUGGUCCACCCAACUCCAACAACGAUAACCCCGGCUCUGCCCGGGUUCGAAUCCUCCCAGUGGGUGGACGUCAUGGAGAUAGACGAGGAACCGGCUGCAGCAAUAGCACCAAAGAUGCCAUCAAGCUCGGGGGUUGCAGAAGCCCCAAACAGUCAAGACGAAGCGGAGGCGACUCUUGUGUCGGCUCCAUCAUGGGCUCAGGCCAUUCUGGCCUUCCUUCUUCGUGGCGAACUUCCUCAAAAUGAGGCGGAGGUGAGACAGACCCAGUGCACGUCCGCCGCUUACGCCAUCAUCAAUCGUGAGCUGGUGCGACGCAGCACGAUCGGCGUGUUCCAACGUUGCGUCGAAUCAGAAAAAGGGCAGGAGAUCCUCAGAGACAUCCACUAGGGGGAGUGUGGGCAUCAUGCCGCCUCCAGAACCCUGGUAGCCAAAGCAUUCCGCCAUGGAUUCUACUGGCCCACGGCCCUCGAGGAGGUUGUGGAUCUGGUGGACAAAUGUGAAGGCUGCCAACGCUUUAGUGCACAGAGCCAUAUGCCGCCUUCAGCACUGAAAACCAUCCCCUUAUCAUGGACAUUCGCCGUCUGGGGACUGGACAUGGUUGGGCCCUUCAAGACGGCUCGCGGAGGGAUGACACAUCUUCUUGUAGCCGUCGACAAGUUCACCAAGUGGAUCGAAGCCAGGCCUAUCAAGAAGCUUGACGGCCCCACUGCUGUGAGGUUUAUCACGGACAUCUCUGUCCGAUAUGGCGUUCCCCACAACAUCAUCACCGACAACGACACCAACUUCGCCAAGGGCGCCCUGGCGCUCUACUGUUCCAAGGUAGGCAUCCGGCUCGACCUGGCCUCGGUGGCACACCCCCAGUCAAACGGCCAAGCGGAGAGGGCCAACGGCCUGAUCCUAGCCGGCAUCAAGCCAAGGCUGGUGGCACCACUGGUCAGGUCAGCCGGCUGCUGGAUCAAAGAACUGCCGGCUGUGCUAUGGAGCCUCCGCACCAUGCCCAACCGGUCGACCGGCUUCACUUCAUUCUUUCUGGUAUACGGGUCUGAGGCUAUCAUUCCCACGGAUGUCGAAUUCGACUCACCUUGGGUCAACCUAUACACAGAAACGGAGGCAAAGGAGGCCAGAGAGGACGGUGUGGAUCUCCUCGCGGAAGCAAGGGACUUGGCUUUGAGCCGGACGGCCAUCUACCAACAGAAGCUAAGAUACUACCACAGCAAAAGGAUCAGGCCUCUCUCUUUUAGGGAGGGAGACUUGGUCCUCAGAAGAAUCCAGCGCACUGCCGGCCGGCACAAGCUCUCACCCCCUUGGGAGGGACCCUUCAUCAGUAGGGCGUUACACAACAACGCUUACUACCUGAUUGACGCCCAGAAGCCAAGGAAGCGCAAGAAGGACGACUCCGGCCAAGAAACAGAGCGCCCAUGGAACGCGGCGUUGCUUCGCCCGUUCUAUUGCUAAAAGGCAGAAGACAAGCAAAGGAAAGAGCAUGCACAUGUAUCUUCCUCCCUCUUCAGGGAACAAAGAAGGCAAUAAAAAGGACAUGCUCCAUGUUUCUUUUUGUCAAGAGUUCUCACUCACGUUUACGGGCUACACAGCGUACCACCUCUUGCUGGCUUGCUCAAGCUCGGAGGCUACGCGGCGCGGCCCCUUGCUAGCUUAUAACAAGCUCGGGGGCUCGCCAGCCGCCUGAACGGUCAAACCCUUAUAACGGACACAUAGUGUACUGGCUAACCCCUGGUCCGUCGCUUGAACCUGCGGGCUGACUCCGGUCGCUCGGUUCGCGAUAUGACGCCAGGUAAGGUCGAAUACAUGCAAAGUCCGGCUAUACUUGGGACGACCGUCUCGUGCGGGCUCGAUCGUAUAUACGAUCUCCUUUAAGACUCAAGACGGACUCUGAUUGCCGAGACUCAAGACGGCCUCUGACUGCCGAGAACCACAAAUAUGGUGAAAAAAGCAGGCUCCAUGCUUUCUCUUGCUAAAAGAGUUUUCACUCAGUGUACGGGCUACACCGCGUACCACCUCUUGCUGGCUUGCUCAAGCUCGGAGGCUACGCAGCGCGGCCCCUUGCUAGCUUUAAACAAGCUCGGGGGCUCGCCAGCCGCUCGGACGGUCAAUCCUUGUAGUCGGGCACAUAGUGUACAGGCUGAUUCCCGGUCCAUCUCUUGAACCUGCGGGCAGGCUCCGGUCGCUCGGUUCGCGAUGUGACGCCGGGUCAGGUCGAAUACAUGCACAGUCCGGCUAUACUAGUGACGACCGGCUCAAGUUGGUUCAUUCAAGCCGGCCUUUUAUUGGCUUAUGUCUUGUUCUUUACGUCUUGAUGGCUUCGGAUAAGAGAAGUCAACCAGGAAUCAAAAGACGGGAUCAUAAGACAACACGCUUGGUGACGAAUAUAAUGCUGAAUAUAUACAUUCAUAAAAAGCAUUGGCCCACGGCCCGCGUUCGUUACAUCCCUCCGGGGGUACAACCAAAAACACAAAAGGACAUCAGUCACGGGACAGCGGCCUCAAUGGUCAUCUCGGCUGCUGCUCCUGAUGUGGUAGCAUCGCCGCCUCUGGCUCCUCCCGAGGUGGAUGCGCCGUCUCCCCCGUUGCGGCCCCCGGCUCCGCUGAUCCCGGAGUUGGCAUACUCCCCACCGCUGGAGGCGGCUGCAGAUUUCCGCAGCCCAGGCCGCCUCGUCGGAGCUGCCAUCGGUGUCGUAGGGCUGAAGGCCGUGCACAUCCUCAGCGAUCAUACCGCCGUCUUCAUCCCAGCUCCAAGACGAAGUCGUCCCAGGCUGCGUACUCAGCCACGGCGUUGGCCCUCACCGGGAGCUCCUCCUCCAGGCCUUGCAACUCCGCCUCUGAGCCAUCGCGCUGGGCAGCCAGCUUGCCCAAGUUCAGGUUGCGAUACCAUGACUUGGCCAAGCGCAGGUCCAUAUAAGCCCCAGACCACGCUGCGGAGGCUCGCCAGGCGUCCAGGCGCUCUUCACCCGCCGCGAGCCAACGGGCAAGACGGCUUAUGGUCAUCGGCUCCACGCCCACCUGCCACAGGGCCGUCACCAUCGACGAACCCGCAACUUGGAGCUGAGUCACAGACUCGCCCAGGACGUGUAAGCGGGCCCGAAGCCCCACACCAAUCUCCUCGAUGCUCCAGCCGGAGGUAGUAUCUACCACCUGCCCGGCCGCGCGGCGCUCCUCGCGGCACACCUCAACGGCGGUGUCGGCUGCGACCUGGGUCUCGGAGAAGAGAUCUGGGGUAAAGACAACCAGGACGUAAGAACACAGCAAGAGGAGGAGACAGCCAAAAAAACCAAACGCAAAACAAGGAAAGGAAACCUACGCUGGUAGGCACCGUCGGUCUCAUGAAAGACCUCGAGGACCUCACGCUCCCGCACCUCACUCGCAUGAGUGAGGCGGGCGAUUUCCUCCUGGAGGGUCGCGGCGGACUCCAGCGCCUUACCCAGAUGCACUUGCUUCUGGGUAAGGGCUUCAUCCUUCGCCCUCAACGCGGCGUCCUUGAGGUUCGCCUCCUCAAGAUGGAGCGACGCGAGGCGGUCCAUGUCAGCAGAGUAAGAGGCCUCCUUCUCCUGCAGCAUGGCCCGCAGCCGCUCCAGCUCGACCCGACUGGCCGCCUCGAGCUCCUUCUUCUCCGGCUGAAGAAGGUCCAGCUGCUCUUGGAGCUGGCCGCCGGCUUCGCGAAGGGCAUCACGCUCCGCGGCGGCCUCGCCUAGCCGGACUUCAAGCUCGGCGAUCCGGCGAUCAGCCCCCAGGUGCUGGUCCCGAAGCUCGUUGUACGCCUGUACCUGAGCAUCGUAUAGCGCCUGUCAAAGGGGAGAGAAAGGGAACAUGAUUACGAUUCGAGUGGGUUAAAAGGAUAACCAGCCCGAUUCUUGGGGGCUACACCCAGUGGGUGCGCUUGCGCGCCCCCACUGAAGAAAAAUAUGCAGAAGAAAAGGCCUCCAAGAGAUUCAAACCGGUUGGCAAUCGACCCGCCCGAUUCUCGGGGGCUACACCCAGUGGGUGCGCUGUCGCGCCCCCACUGACGUCAAGAGAAGAGAAAAAAGUGCAAAGAAAAACCAAAAAAGGCAAGGCCUACCUGGGUACAGGCUUCCAGGUGCUCCAUGUCGCCGCAUACCACGCGGGCCGCCUGCUCCACCUUCGACCGGCCGCUGCCAAACAGAGUCACCAGCUCCGGCAUGCCGGAAAGAACGGUGCCGGCGGGCAUUCGCAGGCGGGCCGCAUUCGCCGCCCACCAUGACUUCAUGGGCCGGCUCGCAGGCCGGCCCCCUGCUCUUGGCGCGACAGGGCCCUGCUGGGGGACGACGAUGGCGCCGGCUCCUGGUGCCGGCUCAACGGCCGGCUCGGGCGCCGCCCCAGCCGGCGCUACCUCCUCCACACGAGGCGGAUGAGCCACGUCCGACGCAUCCAUGGUUGCCCCUGGGGCGUCAGGGGCUGCGUUUGGCGCGGCCAGAUCCAGCACCGGCUCCAGGUCCACCUGCUCUGGGGAGAAACCGGGAUCGUCUCCAGGUCCACCUGCUCCGGCGCUGCUGGCUCAGGCGGCUGGGUCCCUUCAGUCCUCGGGGUCGGCCUCGAAGCGGCCUCGCUAGCUGGCUCCUCCACACGAGCGUGUGCGGAUGGGUCCUGUCUAGCCUUCGCACGCUUCUCCGCCUGCCUCUCGACCCGGCUGGGGCAAGUCUGAUCCACGGCAGCCUUCCCCACAGCUGUGUGCCACCGGCGCUUGGACUCUAUCUCCAGCUCCCUAUCGGCAGCAUCAGCUGUUGCCCAGCCGGCCCGCUCGGCCGCGGUGGCGGUGUCUUCAUCCGCAUCCUCCGCCUCCCUGUCAAGCCAAGCUUCUCAGGAACAAAGUUCAUCUCAAGAUAUGGAAGGGAGAAGAGGAGGAAACCAUACCCGACAACUACCGGGACCUGCCUCCGGCAACCGCCACGGCGCCUCUUGGUGCCGCCUGCUCGCUGCCCGGCUAGGGGACCCGGCGCCGGUCGCUUAGAGGCCGGCCGGGAAGUUGUGGCACCAUUGCCCUUCUUCCCGGCUGCCUCGUCAGCAGCGGUUGCUCCGCCACCUUGACACCGGUCGCGCGACGGUAGUGGGCCGGUGACCUCCUCCACCUCGUCGGAGUCUCCCUCGAACGCUGCAUCAGAGAAGAAUGAGGCUUCCUCAUCGUCGUCCGUCCAGUCUGCCACGGCGUGCCGCGGGUACUCACUAGACGGCUCGGUCCCUUCCGACUCCAGGGAAUCUCCCGAGCCGGCGGAGGAGUCUGAGCGGGGCUCCAUCGCAUCCUCGUCCUCCAUCUCGGAGGCGCCGUGCGCCUCCACAUCAGGAGCAGGCGGACGGAGGGACCCCUGCAUGGUUUGGAACAUCUACUAGAAAGGAAUUCAAGUAGGCUCAGCAAACGCCACCGGCUUCAGAACAAAACGACAGAAAAGAAGGGAGAAAGGCUACCACCAGAGGCGGAUGAGACCGGUUGAACAGGGCCAUCCCCAUGUCCAUUCCCCGCCCUCAUCCAUGCGGGUGGUGGAGAUCAGGUUCACCCUUCGCGCCACAGCACCCGGGGUGAACCUAUUGAUGGACAGCCGGCAUGGAUCAAGCCGGCCGCUCAUCUGGCAGACCAGAUGCGGCCGCCUUUGCAGAGGCAGAAUCCGGCGGACCACCAUGGUGGCAAGAAGGUCGCGGCCGAGGAGGCCGCUCUCCCUCAAGACAUCAAGGUAGGCGCGAAUAGGCGCCACCUCAGGAUGCGGCUUGGGAGUCUUCGCGUCCCAAUUUUUCCGCGUCGGAGGGGCGAUGGUGAACGGGGGCAUGUUGAGAGCGUCCUGGGACGGGUCGGUGCUCCUCACGUAGAAGAACCCCUUCUGCCAAUGCUUGACGGAGUCUUGCAAAGGCAUCUGGGGAAAGCCGAACUUCGGGCGGUGAUGCACCAACGCAGCCCCGCACGGCGUCAUGGGGUGCGGCCCCUUGAGCUUCUCCACCUCAGAUUUUUCCAUGUCGAUGGAUUGCUGCUUAAAAAAGAACAGGUUGCGCCACAGAUCGACGCGAGACUCGAUUCCCACGAAGCCCUUGCACAGGACCACGAAGGCGGCCAGCUGCAGUAUGGCGUUCGGCGCCAAAUGAUGCGGUUGCAGGCCGAAGAACUGGAGCCACUCGGUGAAGAAUGAGCUAGCCAGGAGCCCGAAACCCCGGUAGAAGUGCUCGGCGAAGACCACAACCUCUCCCACGAGAGGCGCGGGAGAGACCUCGGAGCCAGGAAGGCGCACCGACACUUGGGAGACCGGGGGCAGCAGACGAUGAUGAUGGAGCGCAUCAAUGAGCUCCUCGUCGACAUCGCUGCCCAGCCAGGCCCCGUGCAAGGACGCCUGCUGCGCUGUCGACUUCCUCCAUGAAGAUCUACCGGCCAUGGCUGCGGGUGGCGAGAGCUCGGAGCGGUCGGCGGAGGUCUCGGCGGCGAAGAAGAAGGAGACAAAGGGCGCGAGCUCUUCCUCUCAGGACGCAAGGAGGAAGAAAGCAUGGAGCAGGGCAAGAAGAGGGGGCGAAUGGCCUCCUUGAAGCCCUCGCGUCCCAUUUAAACGCCACGAAGCGUCGUGGGGAGGGGAUCCAGUGCGCGCCGGCCCCAUUCAUUCCGUGUAUUACGGGCGGUAACGCCCCCAAAGCCCAACCAUCGCGGAGUAAAUCCGCAGAGGAUCUCCCGUGCGGAGGCCGAGGGGGCAUCGUGGCGGGACCCAGGGCCCAGGCCCGGUCCCGUCAGCAGUAAUUGCCAUCAUUACGCGCCUGGCACGUGGCGCUCUCCGCGCCAGUUACGACUAGACCGAAGCGUCACUUCGAAGCUACCCGGCUCCAAAGCCGGUGUCCUGUUGGGGAACGUCGCAUGGGAAACAAAAAAUUUCCUACGCGCACGAAGACCUAUCAUGGUGAUGUCCAUCUACGAGAGGGGAUGAGUGAUCUACGUACCCUUGUAGAUUGUACUGCAGAAGUGUUAGUGAACGCGGUUGAUGUAGUGGAACGUCGUCACGUCCCUCGAUCCGCCCCGCGAACUAUCCCGCGAACAGUCCCACGAUCUAGUGCCGAACGGACGGCACCUCCGCGUUCAGCACACGUACAGCUCGACGAUGAUCUCGGCCUUCUUGAUCCAGCAAGAGAGACGAAGAGGUAGAAGAGUUCUCCGGCAGCGUGACGGUGCUCCGGAGGUUGGUGAUGAUCUUGUCUCAGUAGGGCUCCGCCCGAGCUCCGCAGAAACUCGAUCUAGAUGUGAAACCGUGGAGAUAUGUGGUCGGGCUGCCGUGGCAAAGUUGUGUCAAAUCAGCCCUAAAACCCCACUAUAUAUAGGAGGAGGAGGGGGGAGACUUGCCUUGGGGUCCAAGGACUCCCAAGGGGGUCGGCCGAGCAAAGGGGGAAGGCCUCCCCUUCCCAAACCGAAUUCUACUUGGUUUGGAAGGUGGAGUCCUUCUUCCCUUUCCCACCUCCUUCUUUUUUUUUCCUUUCCUCUUUGAUUUUCUUCCCAAUGCGCAUAUGGCCUUCUUGGGCUGUCCCACCAGCCCACUAAGGGCUGGUGCGCCACCCCCAAGGCCUAUGGGCUUCCCCGGGGUGGGUUGCCCCCCCCCCCSCGGUGAACUCAAGGAACCCAUUCGUCAUUCCCGGUCCAUUCCCGGUAAUUCCGAAAACCUUCCGGUAAUCAAAUGAGGUCAUCCUAUAUAUCAGUCUUUGUUUCCGGACCAUUCCGGAAACCCUCGUGACGUCCGUGAUCUCAUCCGGGACUCCGAACAACAUUCGGUAACCAACCUUAUAACUCAAAUACGCAUAAAAUAACGUCAAACCUUAAGUGUGCAGACCCUACGGGUUCGAGAACUAUGUAGACAUGACCCGAGAGACUCCUCGGUCAAUAUCCAAUAGUGGGACCUGGAUGCCCAUAUUGGAUCCUACAUAUUCUAUGAAGUUCUUAUCGUUUGAACCUCAGUGUCAAGGAUUCAUAUAAUCCCGUAUGUCAUUCCCUUUGUCCUUCGGUAUGUUACUUGCCCGAGAUUCGAUCGUCAGUAUCCGUAUACCUAUUUCAAUCUCGUUUACCGGCAAGUCUCUUUACUCGUUCCGUAAUACAAGAUCCCGCAACUUACAUUAAGUCACAUUGCUUGCAAGGCUUGUGUGUGAUGUUGUAUUAUCGAGUGGGCCCCGAGAUACCUCUCUGUCACACGAAGUGACAAAUCCCAGUCUCGAUCCAUACUAACUCAACGAACACCUUCGGAGAUACCUGUAGAGCAUCUUUAUAGUCACCCAGUUACGUUGCGACGUUUGAUACACACGAAGCAUUCCUCCGGUGUCCGUGAGUUAUAUGAUCUCAUGGUCAUAGGAAGAAAUACUUGACACGCAGAAAACAGUAGCAACAAAAUGACACGAUCAACAUGCUACGUCUAUUAGUUUGGGUCUAGUCCAUCACAUGAUUCUCCUAAUGAUGUGAUCCCGUUAUCAAGUGAAAACACUUGCCUAUGGUUAGGAAACCUUGACCAUCUUUGAUCAACGAGCUAGUCAACUAGAGGCUUACUAGGGACAGUGUUUUGUCUAUGUAUCCACACAUGCACUGUGUUUCCAAUCAAUACAAUUAUAGCAUGGAUAAUAAACGAUUAUCAUGAACUAAGAAAUAUAAUAAUAACUAAUUUAUUAUUGCCUCUACGGCAUAUUUCCAACAGUCUCCCACUUGCACUAGAGUCAAUAAUCUAGUUCACAUCACCAUGUGAUUCCAACGAAUCCAACACCCAUAUAGUUAUGGGGUCUGAUCACGUCUUUGCUCGUGAGAGAGGUUUUAGUCAACGGUUUUGAAACUGUCAGAUCCGUGCGUUCUUUACAAAUCUUUAUGUCAUCUUAUAGAUGCUGCUACUACGUGCUAUUCGGAAAUGCUCCAAAUAUCUACUCUACUAUACGAAUCCGUUUCACUACACAUAGUUAUUCGGAUUAGUGUCAAAGCUUGCAUCGACGUAACCCUUUACGACGAACUCUUUAACCACCUCCAUAAUCGAGAAAAAUUCCUUAGUCCAUUAGUUACUAAGGAUAAAUUUUGACCGCUGCUAGUGAUUCAAUCAUGGAUCACUCUCUGUACCUCUCAACAGACUUUGAGUCAAGGCACACAUCAGGUGCGGUACACAGCAUGGCAUACUUUAGAUUCUACGGCUAAGGCAUAGAAGACGACCUUCGUCUAUUCUCUUUAUUCUGCCGUGGUUGGGUUUUGAGUCUUACUCAAAUUCACACCUUACAAUGCAACUAAGAACUCCUUAUUUGCUGAUCUAUUUUGAACUCCUUCAAACACUUGUCAAGGCAUGCAUCUUGUUGAAACUUCCAUUAAGCGCUUUCAAUCUAUCUCCAUAGAUCUUUGAUGUUCAACGUUCAAGUAGCUCAAUCCAGGUAUUCCUUUGAAAACUCCUUUCAAACAACCUUGUAUGCUUUACAGAAAUUCUACAUUACUUCUGAUCCACAAUAUGUCAACCACAUAUACUUAUUGUAAAUUCUAUAGUGCUCCCACUCACUUCUUUGGAAAUACAAGUUUCUCAUAAACCUUGUACAAACCCAAAAUCUUUGAUCAGCUCAUCAAAGUGUAUAUUCCAACUCCGAGAUGCUUGCACCAGUCCAUUGAAGGAUCACUGGAGCUUGCAUACUUGCUAGUAUCUUUAGGAUCGACAAAACCUCCUGGUUGUAUCACAUACAAUGUUUGCUCAAGGAAACCGUCGAGGAAACAAUGUUUUGACAUCCUACAUGCAAUAUUUCAUAAAUAAUGCAGCAACUACUAACAUAAUUCUAACAGACUUCUAGCAUCGCUACGAGUGAGAAAGUCUCAUCAUAGUCAAAUGUUUGAUCUUGUCGGAAACAUCUUUGCGACAAGUCGAGCUUUUCAUAAUAGUGACUUAUCACCAUCAUCGUCUGUCUUCCUUUUAAAGAUCCAUCUUUACUCAAUAGUCCUCUGACCAUCAAGUAGUUCUUCCAAAGUCUACACUUUGUUUUCAUACAUGGAUCCUCUCUCGGAUUUCAUGGCUUUCAGCCAUUUGUCGGAAUCCGGGCCCACCAUUUCUUUCUUCAUAACUCGUAAGUUCAUUGUUGCUCAACAACAUGACCUCCAAGACAGGGUUACCGUACCACUCUGCAGUAGUACGCGACCUUGUCAACCUACGAGGCUUGUAGUAACUUGAACCGAUGCUCGAUGAUCACCAUCAUCAGCUUCCACUUCAAUUGGUGUAGGCGCCACAGGAACAACUUCCUGCGCCCUACUACACACUGGUUGAAGUGAUGGUUCAAUAACCUCAUCAAGUUCUACUACCCUCUCACUCAAUUCUUUCAAGAGAAACCUUUCCUCGAGAAAGGAUCCGUUUCUAGAAACAAACACUUUGCUUUCGGAUCUGAGAUAGGAGAUGUACCCAACUGUUUUGGAUAUCCUAUGAAGAUGCAUUUAUCCGCUUUGGGUUCGAGCUUAUCAGACUGAAACAUUUUCACAUAAGUGUCGAAGCCCCAAACUUUCAAGAAACGACAGUUUAGAUUUCUGUAAACCUCAGUCUAUACUGUGUCAUCUCAACGGAAAUAUGCGGUGCCCUAUUUAAAGUGAAUGCAGUUGUCUCUAAUGCAUAACCCAUAAACGAUAGUGGUAAUUCGAUAAGAGACAUCACAGCAUGCACCAUACCAAAUAGUGUGUUUCUAUGACGUUCAGACACAUCAUCACACUAUGAUGUUCUAGGUGGCAUAAACUGUGAAACAAUUUCCACAUUGUCUUAACUGCGUACCAAAACUCGUAACUCAGAUAUUCAUUUCUAUGAUCAUAUCGUAGACAGUUUAUCCUCUUGUUACGACGAACUUCACUCCGAAACAGAAUUGAACUUUUCAAUAUUUCAGACUUGUGACUCAUUAAGUAAAUAUUCUAGUAUCUACUCAAAUCGUCAUUGAAGUAAGAACAUAAUGAUAUCCACUGCGUGCCUCAGCACCCAUUGGACUGCAUACAUCAAAAUGUAUCACUUCCAACAAGUUACUAUCUUAUUUCAUCUCAAUGAAAACAAUGCCUUGCUCAUGUGGUAUGAUUUGCAUGUCACUAGUGAUUUGAAAUCAGGUGAGUACAAAGAUCCAUCAGCAUGGAGCCUCUUCAUGCAAUUUAUACCAACAUGACUCAAGCGGCAGUGCCACAAGUAAGUGGUACUAUCAUCAUUAACUCGUAUCUUUUGGUACCAAUAUCAUGAACAUGUGUAACACUACGAUCGAGAUUCAAUAAACCAUUGAAGGUGAUUAUUCAAAAAAAUAGAGUAACCAUUAUUCUCUUUAAAUGAAUAAUCGUAUUGCAAUAAACACGAUCCAAUCAUGUUCAUGCUUAACGCAAGCACCAAAUAACAAUUAUUUAGGUUUAACACCAAUCCCGAUGGUAGAGGGAGCGUGCGACGUUUUGAUCAUAUCAACCUUGGAAACACUUCCAACACGUAUCGUCACCUCGCCUUUAGCUAGUCUCCAUUUAUGCCGUAGCUUUCAUUUCGUGUUACUAAUCACUUAGCAACCGAACCGGUAUCCAAUACCCUCAUGCUACUAGGAGUACUAGUAAAGUACACAUCAACAUCAUGUAUAUCAAAUAUACUUCUCUCGACUUUUGCCAGCCUUCUUAUCUACCAAGUAUCUAGAGUUGCUCCGCCUCAGUUACUGUUCCCCUCAUUACAGAAGCACUUAGUCUCGGGUUUGGGUUUAAUCUUGGGUCUCUUCAUUAGUGCAGCAAAGGUUUUGCCGUUUCACGAAGUAUCCCUUCUAGCCCUUGCCUUUCUUGAAACUUAGUGGUUUUACUAACCAUCAACUAUUGAUGCUCCUUCUUGAUUUCCACUUUCGCAGUGUCAAACAUCGCGAACGCUCAAGGAUCAUUGUAUCUAUCCUUGAUAUGUUAUAGUUCAUCACGAAGCUCUCACAGCUUGGUUGCAGUGACUUUGGAGAACCAUCACUAUCUCAUCUGGAAGAUUAACUCCGACUUGAUUCAAGCGAUUGUCGUACUCAGACAAUCUGAGCACACGCUCAACGAUUGAGCUUUUCUCCUUUAAUUUGUGGACAAAGAAUCUUGUCGGAGGUCUUGUACCUCUUAACAAGGGCACAAGCAUGAAAUCACAAUUUCAUCUCUUUAGAACAUCACUUAUGUUCCGCGACGUUUUAAAACGUUUUCGGCGCCUUGCUUCUAAGCCAUUAAAUAUUUUGCACUGAACUAUCGUGUAGUCAUCAGAAACGUGUAUUUCAGAUGUUCACAGCAUCCACAGACGACGCUUGAGGUGCAGCACACCGAGUGGUGCAUAAAAUACAUAAGCCUUCUGCGCAGCAACGAGGACAAUCCUCGGUUUUACAAACUUAGUCUGCAAAGUUUGCUACUAUCAACUUUCAACUAAAUUUUCUCUAGGAACAUAUAAAAACAGUAGAGCUAUAGCGCAAGCUACAUUGUAAUUCGCAAAGACCAUUAGACUAUGUUCAUGACAAUUAGUUCAAUUAAUCAUAUUACUUAAGAACUCCCACUCAAAAAGUACAUCUCUCUAGUCAUUUGAGUGGUACCUGAUCCAAAUCCACUAUCUCAAGUCCGAUCAUCACGUGAGUCGAGAAUAGUUUCAUUGGUAAGCAUCUCUAUGCUAAUCAUAUCAACUAUACGAUUCAUGCUCGACCUUUCGGUCUCAUGUGUUCCGAGGCCAUGUCUACACAUGCUAGGCUCGUCAAGCUUAACCCGAGUGUUCCGCGUGUGCAACUGUUUUGCACCCGUUGUAUGUGAACGUUGAGUCUAUCACACCCGAUCAUCACGUGGUGUCUCGAAACGAAGAACUGUCGCAACGGUGCACAGUCGGGGAGAACACAAUUUCGUCUUGAAAUUUUAGUGAGAGAUCACCUCAUAAUGCUACCGUCGUUCUAAGCAAAAUAAGGUGCAUAAAAGGAUUAACAUCACAUGCAAUUCAUAAGUGACAUGAUAUGGCCAUCAUCAUGUGCUUCUUGAUCUCCAUCACCAAAGCACCGGCACGAUCUUCUUGUCACCGGCGUCACACCAUGAUCUCCAUCAUCAUGAUCUCCAUCAACGUGUCGCCAUCGGGGUUGUCGUGCUACUCAUGGUAUUACUACUAAAGCUACAUCCUAGCAAAAUAGUAAACGCAUCUGCAAGCACAAACGUUAGUUUAAAGACAACCCUAUGGCUCCUGCCGGUUGCCGUACCAUCGACGUGCAAGUCGAUAUUAACUAUUACAACAUGAUCAUCUCAUACAUCCAAUAUAUCACAUCACAUCGUUGGCCAUAUCACAUCACAAGCAUACCCUGCAAAAACAAGUUAGACGUCCUGUAAUUUUGUUGUUGCAUGUUUUACGUGGUGACCAUGGGUAUCUAGUAGGAUCGCAUCUUACUUACGCAAACACCACAACGGAGAUAUAUGAGUUGCUAUUUAACCUCAUCCAAGGACCUCCACGGUCAAUUCCGAUUCAACUAAAGUUGGAGAAACUGACACCCGCGAGUCAUCUUUGAGCAACGGAGUUACUCGUAGCGAUGAAACCAGUCUCUCGUAAGCGUACGAGUAAUGUCGGUCCGAGCCGCUUCGAUCCAACAAUGCCGCGGAAUCAAGAAAAGACUAAGGAGGGCAGCAAAACGCACAUCACCGCCCACAAAAACUUUUGUGUUCUACUUGAGAAGACAUCUACGCAUGAACCCAGCUCAUGAUGCCACUGUUGGGGAACGUCGCAUGGGAAACAAAAAUUUUCCUACGCGCACGAAGACCUAUCAUGGUGAUGUCCAUCUACGAGAGGGGAUGAGUGAUCUACGUACCCUUGUAGAUCGUACAGCAGAAGCGUUAGUGAACGCGGUUGAUGUAGUGGAACGUCUGUUGGAAAUAUGCCCUAGAGGCAAUAAUAAAUUAGUUAUUAUUAUAUUUCUUUGUUCAUGAUAAUCGUUUAUUAUCCAUGCUAUAAUUGUAUUGAUUGGAAACACAAUACUUGUGUGGAUACAUAGACAAAACACUGUCCCUAGUAAGCCUCUAGUUGACUAGCUCGUUGAUCAAAGAUGGUCAAGGUUUCCUGGCCAUAGGCAAGUGUUGUCACUUGAUAACGGGAUCACAUCAUUAGGAGAAUCAUGUGAUGGACUAGACCCAAACUAAUAGACGUAGCAUGUUGAUCGUGUCAUUUUGUUGCUACUGUUUUCUACGUGCCAAGUAUUUAUUCCUAUGACCAUGAGAUCAUAUAACUCACUAACACCGGAGGAAUGCUUUGUGUGUAUCAAACGUCGCAACGUAACUGGGUGACUAUAAAGAUGCUCUACAGGUAUCUCCGAAGGUGUUAGUUGAGUUAGUAUGGAUCAAGACUGGGAUUUGUCACUCCGUGUGACGGAGAGGUAUCUCGGGGCCCACUCGGUAAUACAACAUCACACACAAGCCUUGCAAGCAAUGUAACUUAGUGUAAGUUACGGGAUCUUGUAUUACGGAACGAGUAAAGAGACUUGCCGGUAAACGAGAUUGAAAUAGGUAUGCGGAUACUAACGAUCGAAUCUCGGGCAAGUAACAUACCGAAGGACAAAGGGAAUGACAUACGGGAUUAUAUGAAUCCUUGGCACUGAGGUUCAAACGAUAAGAUCUUUGUAGAAUAUGUAGGAUCCAAUAUGGGCAUCCAGGUCCCGCUAUUGGAUAUUGACCGAGGAGUCUCUCGGGUCAUGUCUACAUAGUUCUCGAACCCGCAGGGUCUGCACACUUAAGGUUCGACGUUGUUUUAUGCGUAUUUGAGUUAUAUGGUUGGUUACCGAAUGUUGUUCGGAGUCCCGGAUGAGAUCACGGAUGUCACGAGGGUUUCCGGAAUGGUCCGGAAACGAAGAUUGAUAUAUAGGAUGACCUCAUUUGGUUACCGGAAGGUUUCCGUGCAUUACCAGAAAAGUUUCGGGCUCAUCGGCUAUGGGAAGAGAUAAACCAGCCCCUAGUGGGCUGGAAUAAGUUCCCACUAAGGCCCAUAAGGUUUGAGAAGGAAAAAACACAAGGUGGAAAGAGUUUCCAAGUGGGAAGGUGGAAUCCUACUCCAAGUAGGAUUGGAGUAGGACUCCUCCACCUCCAAUUUCGGCCAAACCUUUAGGUUUUGAGGCUGCCUCCUCCCCUCCCUCCCACCUAUAUAUACGGAGGUAUUAGGGCUGAUUUGAGACGACUUUUCCACGGCAGCCCGACCACAUACCUCCAUAGUUUUUCCUCUAGAUCGCGUUUCUGCGGAGCUCGGGCGGAGCCCUGCUGAGACGAGAUCAUCACCAACCUCCGGAGCGCCGUCACGCUGCCGGAGAACUCUUCUACCUCUCCGUCUCUCUUGCUGGAUCAAGAAGGCCGAGAUCAUCAUCGAGCUGUACGUGUGCUGAACGCGGAGGUGCCGUCCGUUCGGUACUAGAUCGUGGGACUGAUCGCGGGAUUGUUCGCGGGGCGGAUCGAGGGACGUGAGGACGUUCCACUACAUCAACCGCGAUCUCUAAUCGCUUCUGCUGUACGAUCUACAAGGGUACGUAGAUCACUCAUCCCCUCUCGUAGAUGGACAUCACCAUGAUAGGUCUUCGUGCGUGUAGGAAAAUUUUUGUUUCCCAUGCGACGUUCCCCAACAACGUCUUCACGUCCCUCGAUCCGCCCCGCGAACUAUCCCGCGAACAGUCCCACGAUCUAGUGCCGAACGGACGGCACCUCCGCGUUCAGCACACGUACAGCUCGACGAUGAUCUCGGCCUUCUUGAUCCAGCAAGAGAGACGUAGAGGUAGACGAGUUCUCCGGCAGCGUGGCGGCGCUCCGGAGGUUGGUGAUGAUCUUGUCUCAGCAGGGCUUCGCCCGAGCUCCGCAGAAACUCGAUCUAGAUGUGAAACCGUGGAGAUAUGUGGUCGGGCUGCCGUGGCAAAGUUGUGUCAAAUCAGCCCUAAAACCCCACUAUAUAUAGGAGGAGGAGGGGGAGACCUGCCUUGGGGUCCAAGGACUCCCAAGGGGGUCGGCCGAGCCAAGGGGGAAGGCCUCCCCCUCCCAAACCGAAUUCUACUUGGUUUGGAAGGUGGAGUCCUUCUUCCCUUUCCCACCUCCUUCUUUUUUUCCUUUCUUCUUUGAUUUUCUUCCCAAUGCGCAUAUGGCCUUCUUGGGCUGUCCCACCAGCCCACUAAGGGCUGGUUCGCCACCCCCAAGGCCUAUGGGCUUCCCCGGGGUGGGUUGCCCCCCCCCCCCGGUGAACUCCCGGAACCCAUUCGUCAUUCCCGGUACAUUCCCGGUAAUUCCGAAAACCUUCCGGUAAUCAAAUGAGGUCAUCCUAUAUAUCAAUCUUUGUUUCCGGACCAUUCCGGAAACCCUCGUGACGUCCAUGAUCUCAUCCGGGACUCCGAACAACAUUCGGUAACCAACCAUAUAACUCAAAUACGCAUAAAAUAACGUCGAUCCUUAAGUGUGCAGACCCUACGGGUUCGAGAACUAUGUAGACAUGACCCGAGAGACUCCUCGGUCAAUAUCCAAUAGCGGGACAUGGAUGCCCAUAUUGGAUCCUACAUAUUCUACGAAGAUCUUAUCGUUUGAACCUCAGUGUCAAGGAUUCAUAUAAUCCCGUAUGUCAUUCCCUUUGUCCUUCGGUAUGUUACUUGCCCGAGAUUCGAUCGUCAGUAUCCGUAUACCUAUUUCAAUCUCGUUUACCGGCAAGUCUCUUUACUCGUUCCGUAAUACAAGAUCCCGCAACUUACAUUAAGUCACAUUGCUUGCAAGGCUUGUGUGUGAUGUUGUAUUACCGAGUGGGCCCCAAGAUACCUCUCCGUCACACGGAGUGACAAAUCCCAGUCUCGAUCCAUACUAACUCAACGAACACCUUCGGAGAUACCUGUAGAGCAUCUUUAUAGUCACCCAGUUACGUUGCGACGUUUGAUACACACAAAGCAUUCCUCUGGUGUCCGUGAGUUAUAUGAUCUCAUGGUCAUAGGAACAAAUACUUGACACGCAUAAAACAGUAGCAACAAAAUGACACGAUCAACAUGCUACGUCUAUUAGUUUGGGUCUAGUCCAUCACAUGAUUCUCCUAAUGAUGUGAUCCCUUUAUCAAGUGAUAACACUUGCAUAUGGUCAGGAAACCUUGACCAUCUUUGAUCAACGAGCUAGUCAACUAGAGGCUUACUAGGGACAGUGUUUUGUCUAUGUAUCCACACAUGCACUGUGUUUCCAAUCAAUACAAUUAUAGCAUGGAUAAUAAACGAUUAUCAUGAACUAAGAAAUAUAAUAAUAACUAAUUUAUUAUUGCCUCUAGGGCAUAUUUCCAACAUGUCCUUCGUUGCAAACAACGACCAAAAUAUCAAGACAAAUCAACAAGCCGGUGAGGCCGCCCGCCAGCAGGCGGCAGACCUCGCCAGCUUUGGGGACUACUGUCGGGGGGAUAACCCCGGGGUAGGCUCAUCGAGCCUGUUCCUUCAUUCCCGGCCCAAUGGGCAUGAAGGCGCAGAGAUUCUCAAGGCCCAAGUCUACUGACCGGCUAGGCAUCCCCUGCCGGUUGGAAGACGAGGCGGCCACCUUUCUGGCCGGCCAGGCAACCCCUGCCGGCUAGAAUCCAGGCGGCCUCCCCUUCGGACCCGGCCUGGUCCCGCCAACUGGGCUAAGGAGGAGGCGGCCACCCUCAAGCCGGCUGACCAAGCAGACUAGCCGGCCGAGGAUCACCAGUCACAUCAGAACGUAGUUCAGGAAAGGACCUCACGAUUAAAGGUAGCUACGCAUCAGCAAAGGUAUUGAAUUAGGGUGCCCGGCAGGUACAUGCGUCGACGGCCACACCGCUGACCUACCCCGGCUCUGAUCCAUCACCUAGCCUGAUGUCGGACCGUCACACUCCCACUCCAUUACCGCACUCAGCGUGGGGAACAGUGGAGCCGGUCGUACUGCCUGCCCAUGAAGAAUCUCGCGGGGCAACGCUCGACGUACAACGCGUGCUCAGCGUCAACCUUACGCGGGAGCCCCAUUGGCCAGCCAGCGGGUCCCACAACAAUCGAGACCAUGCAGCCGGCGGGCCCCUCAUCGACAAGAUAAGACCCUUGUGGGCCCCUGGACAACCGGCGAAGCAGCCAGCCGGGUCCCACACAUGUACCCUUUAUCCAUAUUGUAGCCUGGUGGGUUCGUCUAUAAAACUCCCCGGCCGCCCCCCAUGCAAGGGGGCCGAUCACUUACCAGUCAUUCAACACUACACACUCACCAACCAACAGAGAGCGAGGUAGAGACGAGCCGGCUGCUCCCCUCUUCCUCCUCCCAACACAGCUCCAGGAGCAACAUUGUACUCUGUUCCCAUACAUCAAACACACAAGCAAGAUUAGGGGUAUUAUAUCUACGGAGAGCCCUGAACCUGGGUACAUCGUGCGUCCCAUGCGUGUACCAACCUCGUUCCCAGCGCCCACUUUUGUCCCUUCGGUUCUCAUCGACUUUAGCCUACCUAUGGCAUAUGUUGUGAGUAUUCACCCACACGAUGUCUCCUUGAAUCGCUACAAGGCAUGAUGGGUGGUUCGUGGUUUCACACAGCAGGCUGGCGUUGACUAUGUGGAGACCUUCAGCCCCGUGGUCAAGCCCGCUACAAUCCGCGUCGUGCUCAGCCUUGCCACCGUCAACAACUGGCCACUCCGGCAAAUGGAUGUCAAGAAUGCCUUCCUCCAUGGAGAUCUCGUUGAGACAGUCUACUGCCAACAACCCUCCGGCUUCGUCGAUACCACUCAUCCCACGCAUGGCUGCCGCCUCAACAAGUCCCUCUAUGGCCUCAAGCAGGCUCCCCGGACUUGGUUUCUUCUCUUCACUGGGUUUCUCCACACGCUUGGCUUUGUCUCAUCCAAGUGUGACACCUCGCUCUUCAUUCUUCGCCGAGAUUCCUCCAUGGCGUAUCUCCUUUUGUAUGUCGAUGACAUCAUCUUGACAGCCAGCAACACCUCCCUCCUUGAGUCGCUUGUGUCAUCGCUUGCUCGCGAGUUCUCUAUGAGCGAUCUCGGAGAUAUUCACCACUUCCUAGGCAUCAACGUGCAUCGCAACACUGCCAGGUUGUUCUUGUCUCAGGAACAUUACGCCCUUGAGGUUUUGGAUCGUGCCAACAUGCUCAAUUGCCAUCUCGGCUCCACACCGAUUGACACCCGCUCUAAGCUCACGAGUGCGGUUGGCACCCCCUUCUCCGAUCCCACCAAAUAUUGUAGUAUCGCCGGUUGUCGGGGGGAUAAUCCCGGGGUAGGCUCAUCGAGCCUGUUCCUUCAUUCCCGGUCCAAUGGGCAUGAAGGCGCAGAGAUUCUCAAGGCCCAAGUCUUCUAACCGGCUAGGCAUCCCCUACCGGCUGGAAGACGAGGCAGCCACCUUUCUGGCCGGCCAGGCAACCCCUGUCGGCUAGAAUCCAGGCGGCCUCCCCUUCGGACCCGGCCUGGUCCCGCCAGCCGGGCUAAGGAGGAGGCGGCCACCCUCAAGCCGGCUGACCAAGCAGGCUAGCCAGCCGAGGAUCACCAGUCACAUCAGAUCGUAGGUCAGGAAAGGACCUCACGAUUAAAGGUAGCUACGCGUCAGCAAAGGUACUGAAUCGGGGCUCUCGGCAGGUACGAGCGUCGGCGGCCACGCCGCUGACCUACCGCGGCUCCGAUCCAUCACCUACCCUUAUGUCGGACCGUCACACUCCCACUCCAUUACUGCACUCGGCGUGGGGAACAGUGGAGGCAGUCGUACUGCCUGCCCAUGAAGAAUCUCGCGGGGCAACGCUCGACGUACAGCGUGUGCUCAGCGUCAACCGUACGCGGGAGCCCCAUUGGCCAGCCGGCGGGUCCCACAGCAAUCGAGACCAUGCAGCCGGCGGGCCCCUCAUCGACAAGACAAGACCCUUGUGGGCCCCUGGCCAACCGGCGAAGCAGCCAGCAGGGUCCCACGCAUGUACCCUUUAUCCAUAUUGUAGGCCGGCGGGUUCGUCUAUAAAACCCCCCGGCCGCCCCCCAUGCAAGGAGGCCGAUCACUUACCAGUCAUUCAACACUACACACUCACCAACCAACAGAGAGCGAGGUAGAGACGAGCCGGCUGCUCCCCUCUUCCUCCUCCCAACACAGCUCCAGGAGCAACAUUGUACUCUGUUCCCAUACAUCACACACACAAGCAGGAUUAGGUGUAUUAUCUCUAUGGAGAGCCCUGAACCUGGGUACAUCGUGCGUCCCAUGCGUGUACCAACCUUGUUCCCAGCGCCCACCUUUGUCCCUUUGGUUCUCACCGACUUUAGCCUACCUAUGGCAUAUGUUGUGAGUAUUCACUGACAUUUGGCGCCCACUGUGGGGCCGAUCGCGGCAUCAGCUGGCUUCACGCGCUGGGCGGGGCCCCGCACCUACACCACCAGAUUCAUCGCGUCCGGAUCAGUUUGCAUGCCCGUGGAGCUCGCUUUCGACGAGGCGACGCCCAUGAUGAUCGACGUCCCCGUCCGCCAUGCGGAUUCGGACGAAGAUUCCGAUGACGAGGCACUCCCUAGCGUCAUCGUCGCUGCUAUGGGGAACCUGAGUGCUCUUCGCCUCAAUGACGGCCCAUGCUACUUCGGCGAGGACUACGACGUUGAGGCACUCUGCGCCAGCUUCAGCACGCUCUCUAUCGCUGAGACGCCUGCCCAGGACAUUUGGCCCAGUAACGUCCUCAUCUUCGAUGGCCCUCCACCGUCUGUGGGGUUCUUCACCCCAUACGACGUCGCUGCCGUCUCCAACGCCGUGGAGGUGAUGGUUAUCGGCGCCGGCACCAGCACGGCUCCCGGCAAGGCCUCCAGGGAGCUGGCGAGCCCGCUGCAGCCGCCGCCGACACUCUUCGGGACGCCAUCGCCGGCCUGAAGACACCGAUUACCGCUUCUGCCGACCCUGUAGACGCUCGGGCCUCACUGGAGGAGGCUCGCAAGCGUAUCUUGGAGGAGGUCAUCGCUGUGGCCUCGGCAAAACAUCGGUUGGAGGCUACACAUCGUGAGUAUAACUCCGCAUAUGGUCUUACUCCGAUUUACGAGGCCCCCAGUCGGCUUGGAUCGGUCCGCAGUCGCGGACGGUUCGUCGCCGAAGUUCUAGGCGGGGACCUGCCCACCUACGAGACUCCUGCGGCCAACAUGCGGACGGCGCACGCGGCCAUGGAGGAGAUGGCAAGCCUGGAAGGCGAGGAGCGCGCCUUCCAGGAGAAGCGUGUCAAGGAUCUCCUUGACGCUGCUACCCAGCAGCACGCUCGGUUCGACCCUGGCCAGGCUCAUUCAGAGUCCCCGGGACCAAACUCGGGGGCUCGCCGCAACCCUAGUGGCCAGCACCACGCUGAAGGAUCUUCCUCGCAUCGCCCUUCCGGCUGGAGGGGCGAGGGAAGCCAAGGCCGGCGCUCGCAGCACCAGAGCGAGCACACAUCGGGCCUAUGUCGCGGAGGCGACGAUGGCGACUCGGAGUACGGGGAUCUUCCCCCGCGAAGAACUCACACAUCCGGCUCCCAAGGAGCCUCCCCUCUCGCCACCGGGGCUGGCGCCCCCGCCUCCCAGGACGAGCGGGACGCCCGCCGGCGUAUCAUCGCCCUGGCCUAUUCGGACCUCCUAGAGGAAGACGAACCCGUCGAUCCGGCUUGCUUCGGUCCCCGGAUCCGAGGGGAGCCGUUCCCCCGAGGUUUCACCCUACCUCGGGAUACGUCGAAAUAUAACGGCACGGCUAAGCCAGAAGACUGGCUGAUCGACUACACCACGGCCGUAGGCAUCGCGAGGGGCAACAAGCACGUAGCGGUUCCCUACGUGCCACUCAUGCUAGCCGGCUCGGCCCGGACCUGGCUUAACAGCCUCCUGGCCGGCAGCGUCAACUCCUGGGUGGACUUCGAGGAGGCGUUCGUCCACAACUUCACCGGCACCUACAAGCGCCCUGGUCGGCCUUGCGAGCUGGCCAUUUUCGUCCAGAAGGCCGACGAACCCCUCCGCGACUACGUCACCCGGCCGGUGGACCGAGCUCCGCAACUCCUGUGAGGGGGUGCAUGAGGUACAAGCCAUACAGUACUUCAUUGACGGAUGCCGAGACGGCACCCUCCUCAAGCACAAGCUCAUGUGCGCCGAGCCCAGCUCCUUGGCGGUGCUCAUGGCCAAGACGGACAAGUACGCCACGGCCGACUCCGGAAUGUGCAUCAAGGUGACCGCCUCGGACAAGGUUGUGCCUGCGCCGGCUACUCCCAAGCCGGCUGGGGACAACCGAGGCGGCCAGAACAACUACAAGCGCAAGGCCAAUCAGAUGGCUAACAACAAGCUAGUGGCCAACAUGGAGGGAGAGGCGUCGGCUUCCCAAGCCGGCCCUCCACGAAAGCGUCGCAAUCAGGGCAACCCCAACUGGCUGCCCAAGCAGUCUCUCGAGAAGCUGCUCAAUGCCCCCUGCAAGAUACAUUUGGGGGCGGCGCCGUCUACCCAUACCCUUCGAUAGUGCAGCAUCGCACGCCGGCUGUCGCAAGGGGAGGGCCUGCCGGCUCCUCCGGGUGCGCAGGCGGCGCCCUGUGCACCGGCUCCCCAUCACGCUCCGCUUCCACCGCCGCCGCCUCGCGACGACGGCCCACACCCUGACGACUACCCGCAUCAAGACGGAGCGUUCGUUGUCUUCACCAGUGAAGGCGACGACAAGCACAGCCUGCGCCAAAGGCGGCGCGAGGUAAACGCCACUGUCCCCCUCCCCCCGGUUCCCCAGUACAUGCAUUUGUCUGACAAACCAAUUACAUGGAGCCGGGUGGACCACCCUGUGGUGAUGCCCAACCCGGGGUCAUACGCACUUGUCCUCGACCCCACCUUCGCCUCCAAGAGGCUAACCUGCCGAUUCUCCCGGGUGCUGGUCAACGGCGGCAGCAGCAUUAACAUCCUCUACCUCGACACUCUCCGCAAGCUCGGGCUCAAGGAGACGGACGUCCUGCCAACCAGCACUGUCUUCCAUGGCAUCGUGCCUCCACUACAGGAAUCGGGCAUUUUGCCGUCAAGACGCUAAAGACGGCAAAGAGAGAAUUACAGACGGCAAAUUUUUUGCCGUCAGCCCAUGACGGCAAAAAAUGUCGUCAGACCAUGUGCCCGCAAAGGGUAAUUUCGCCGUCAGCAUUUUUUCGGGCAGACGGCUAAAUAUUUUCCGUUAGUGAAAAUGGUUUGCCGUCAUCUAUUAUGAGGCAGACGGCAAAAAACCUAAAAUAACCACCCGAACCGCGUUAACUCUUUGCCGUCAUCCGACCGGAAUGCAAGACGACAAAGAUUACGGGUUUGCCGUCAGUUGUUAUCAAUACCAGACGGCAAAGAAAUUUUCUUUUAAAAAUAAAAUAAACAACAAUCCUCAGUUAUCAAAAAAUGUAUUGCAUAACACAUAAUCUUCAUUAUUAAAAAACCCAAAAUAUAAACAACAAUCCUCAGUUAUCAAAAAGGCUCAAUCAUCAAUUAUCACAAAAUAUAUACACACUAUAAUGUACAUAAUACACACAAUGCAUCAUAAUACAUCGAGCGGAACCAGCCCCUUCUCCCGUCCUGACGCCCCCGCACAGGAGCGUCACUGCCCAACGCCCAGCCGCAUCGCGCUCUCGUCGACCUCGCCGGCCGGUCGCCGGUCGGAGCCCAGCCUCUUAUUCCUGCCCGCCUGGCGCGGUAGCGCUCCCCUGCGUGCGCUCGUGCUCCCGCCCCUGCGUCGUCUCCUGUAACGGAUGGAUGGAUGGAUGCGGAUGAAUGAUUUGUUGCUUGUUGGUAGAUGGAUGGAUGCAACGGAUCAGGAUUUGGGAAAGGUCACUCACGGACCCCAGCGGAGCCUGAGCAACCCACACCAUACGAACGUGCCAAUGGAGAUGGAGCUCUGGCCAUGGCCGAUAUGUGCGACGCUGGCGGUCGCCACGCUCCUCUACUACCUGGCCAGCCCGACACGCAGCCGCAGUGUGGGCACGGGGCUGAUGCGGAUGUCGUCGAGCCCCACGCCGCUGCCCGUCGCCGGCAACCUGCUCAGCCUCCGUCGCGGCAACCUCCACCACAUGGCCCCGUCAUGACGCUCCGUGGUGUCCUCGCGCGACGCGGCCCGGGAGGCGUUCACGAGGCACGACCCGCGCCUGGCCGCGCGCGUCGUGGAUAGGGGCGGCGGGGAGAUGGAUGGGGGCGGCGGGGGAGAUGGAUGGGGGCGGCGGGGGAGAUGGAUGGGGGCGGCGGGUGCGACGGGGGAGAUGGAUGGGGCGGCGGGGGAGAUGGAUGGGUACGAGAGAGAAGACAGGUGGGGAGAGGAUAAGGUCGGGUGGAGGUGAGUGGUGGGCCAGCUGGUUUUUUUUUGAGGGGACCAGCCGGGUUGAGUGGGUGGGAGAGCCAGCGACGGUGGGAUGGGCCGUCACGUCAUCGAUCGGUGGGAUCGAUCCGCGUGGUGUGCUUUCUCUUUGCCGUCAUCCGGUUAUUUUUCAAGACGGCAAAUUAAGUCUUUGCCGUCAUCCGGUUAUUUUUCAAGACGGCAAAUUAAGUCUUUGCCGUCAUCCGGUUAUUUUUCAAGACGGCAAAAUAUUUUUUCACCCACGUCCGUGCGUGGUGCGAUGGGGUGGGCUGGUGUGUCUCAGAUCUUUCCACGUCAUUGAUCCGCGUGAUCAAUCUGUGCGUUGUGCUUCUUAUUUUGCCGUCAUCUAGUUACUUUUACAGAGGGCAAAAUUAUUUUGCCAUCAUCCAGUUAUUUUCAAAGACGGCAAAAUAAUUUUGCCGUCAUCUAGUUAUUUUUACAGACGGAAAAAUACAUCUUUGCCGUCAUCCAGUUAUUUUUACAGAUGGCAAAAUAUUUUUUCACCCAUGUCCGUGCGUGGUGGGAUGGGGUAGGCUGGUGUGUCUCAGAUCUUGCCACGUCAUCGAUCCGCGUGAUCGAUCCGUGUGAUGUGCUUCUUCUUUGCCGUCAUCACUUUCUAUUACAGGCGGCAAAUUAUGUCUUUUCCGUCAUCCGCUUAUUUUUACAGACGGCAAAAUAAUUUUGCCGUCUGCAAUUUUUAUUAUAGACGGCAAAAUAAGUUUACGCCGGCAGUCAUUCUUUGCCGUCAGCAGCUGACGGCAACUGACGGCAAAAGUGCUCUUUGCCGUCAUCCACGAAGAAAAGCUGACGGCAAAGAUCUGAACAGACGGCAAAUUACCUGAUUCCCGUAGUGCUCGGCAGUCGUGCUCACCCAUCGGCAAGAUCCAGCUGGACGUCCUCUUCGGCGACAAGGCCCACUUCCGCCGAGAGUCCAUAUGGUUCGAGGUGGUGGACCUCAGCAGCCCGUAUCACACGUUGCUGGGGAGACUGGCUCUGGCCAAAUUCAUGGCUAUCCCGCACUACGCCUACCUGAAAAUGAAGAUGCUGGGUCCCAAGGCCAUCAUCACUGUUGUUGGCGACUACAAGAAGUCGCUCGAGUGUGCCCAAGAUAGCAGCCGCCUCGCCGACGCCUUGGUGAUUGCCGAGGAGAAGCGGCAGAUCGACCGGCUCGUGGCCCAGGCUACCGAGCAGCCGGCGAUUCCUUCUCCUCCGUCCCAAUCGGCCGGCGAGGGCUCUUUCAAGCCGGCUAAAGAGACCAAGCAGGUCCCACUCGACCCUGCCAACCCAAAGUAGUGCAUCACCAUCGGGGCUGGCCUCAGCCCCAAAUAGGAAGGCGAGCUCGUCGACUUCCUCCAUGAGAAUCGGGACAUCUUUGCAUGGUCCCCCAAGGACAUGUCGGGUGUUCCGAGGAAGUACGCCGAGCACAAACUUCACGUGCGACCGGAUGCAAAGCCGGUGAAACAACCUUUGCGCCGCUUCACCGAGGGGAAGCGGCGCACAAUUGGAGAAGAGAUCACCCAGCUCCUUGCAGCCGGCUUCAUCAUGGAGGUUUUCCACCCGGACUGGCUGGCGAACCCAGUCCUGGCGCUGAAGAAGAACAACACAUGGAGAAUGUGCAUGGACUACACUAGCCUGAAUAAGGCCUAUCCGAAAGACCCUUUCGUGUUGCCUAGGAUAGAUCAUGUGAUCGACUCCACUACAGGCUGCGAACUGCUGUCAUUUCUGGAUGCUUAUUCAGGCUACCAUCAAAUCAAGCGGGAUCCAGCUGAUCGCCUGAAGACCUCCUUCAUCAUGCCCUUCGGGGCCUACUGCUACACCACCAUGACGUUCGGUCUGAAGAACGCAUGUGCGACGUUCCAACGCUGCAUGCAGAAGUGCCUACUGUCACAGAUUGGUAGAAACAUCCACGUCUAUGUGGAUGACAUCAUCGUCAAGACGAAGCAGCACUUCAGCCUCCUCGACGACCUGCGAGAGACAUUCGCCAAUCUGCGCGAAUACAAGAUCCGGCUCAAUCCUGAGAAGUACGUCUUCGGGGUCCCAGACGGCAAACUCUUGGGGUUCUUCGUAUCUGUCCGCGGCAUCGAAGCGAACCCUGAGAAGAUCAGCACCAUCGAGCGGAUGGUGCGGCCGGCUCGGAUCCUCGACGUCCAGAAGCUUGCCGGCUGCUUGGCAUCCCUCAGCCGGUUCAUCAGCUGGCUUGGCGAGAAGGCCCUUCCACUCUACCAGCUCAUGAAGAAGACGACGAAGUUCGAGUGGGACGACCAGGCGGACGAAGCCUUCCGUGACCUCAAGCGGGUAAUCUCGAGCUUGCCAAUCUUGGCAGCCCCAUCUGAAAGGGAACCUGUUGGGGAACGUCGCAUGGGAAACAAAAAUUUUCCUACGCGCACGAAGACCUAGCAUGGUGAUGUCCAUCUACGAGAGGGGAUGAGUGAUCUACGUACCCUUGUAGAUCGUACAGCAGAAGCGUUAGUGAACGCGGUUGAUGUAGUGGAACAUCCUCACGUCCCUCGAUCCGCCCCGCGAACAAUCCCGCGAUCAGUCCCACGAUCUAGUACCGAACGGACGGCACCUCCGCGUUCAGCACACGUACAGCUCGACGAUGAUCUCGGUCUUCUUGAUCCAGCAAGAGAGACGGAGAGGUAGAAGAGUUCUCCGGCAGCGUGACGGCGCUCCGGAGGUUGGUUAUGACCUUGUCUCAGCAGGGCUCCGCUCGAGCUCCGCAGAAACGCGAUCUAGAGGAAAAACCGUGGAGGUAUGUGGUCAGGCUGCCGUGGAAAAGUCGUCUCAAAUCAGCCCUAAAACCUCCGUAUAUAUAGGUGGGAGGGAGGGGACCUUGCCUUGGGGCUCAAGGAGCCCCAAGGGGGUCGGCCGAGUCCAAGGGGGAAGGCUCGCCCCCCCAAACCGAGUUGGACUUGGUUUGGUGGGUGGGAGUCCUUCCUUCCCUUCCCACCUCCUUUUUUUUAUUUUCUCUUUGGUUUUCUUUCCUAGGCGCAUAGGGCCCUUUUGGGCUGUCCCACCAGCCCACUAAGGGCUGGUGUGCCACCCUCAAGGCCUAUGGGCUUCCCCAGGGUGGGUUGCCCCCCCCCCCCCCCGGUGAACUCCCGGAACCCAUUCGUCAUUCCCGGUACAUUCCCGGUAACUCCGAAAACCUUCCGGUAAUCAAAUGAGGUCAUCCUAUAUAUCAAUCUUCGUUUCCGGACCAUUCCGGAAACCCUCGUGACGUCCGUGAUCUCAUCCGGGACUCCGAACAACAUUCGGUAACCAACCAUAUAACUCAAAUACGCAUAAAACAACGUCGAACCUUAAGUGUGCAGACCCUGCGGGUUCGAGAACUAUGUAGACAUGACCCGAGAGACUCCUCGGUCAAUAUCCAAUAGCAGGACCUGGAUGCCCAUAUUGGAUCCUACAUAUUCUAUGAAGAUCUUAUCGUUUGAACCUCAGUGCCAAGGAUUCGUAUAAUCCCGUAUGUCAUUCCCUUUGUCCUUCGGUAUGUUACUUGCCCGAGAUUCGAUCGUCAGUAUCCGCAUACCUGUUUCAAUCUCGUUUACCGGCAAGUCUCUUUACUCGUUCCAUAAUACAAGAUCCCGCAACUUACACUAAGUUACAUUGCUUGCAAGGCUUAUGUGUGAUGUUGUAUUACCGAGUGGGCCCCGAGAUACCUCUCCGUCACACGGAGUGACAAAUCCCAGUCUUGAUCCAUACUAACUCAAUUAACACCUUCGGAGAUACCUGUAGAGCAUCUUUAUAGUCACCCAGUUACGUUGCGACGUUUGAUACACACAAAGCAUUCCUCCGGUGUCAGUGAGUUAUAUGAUCUCAUGGUCAUAGGAAUAAAUACUUGACACGCAGAAAACAGUAGCAACAAAAUGAAACGAUCAACAUGCUACGUCUAUUAGUUUGGGUCUAGUCCAUCACGUGAUUCUCCCAAUGACGUGAUCCAGUUAUCAAGCAACAACACCUUGUUCAUAAUCAGAAGACACUGACUAUCAUCGAUCAACUGGCUAGCCAACUAGAGGCAUGCUAGGGACGGUGUUUUGUCUAUGUAUCCACACAUGUAAAUGAGUCUUCAUUCAAUACAAUUAUAGCAUGGAUAAUAAACUAUUAUCUUGAUACAGGAAUUAUAAUAAUAACUAUACAUUUAUUAUUGCCUCUAGGGCAUAAUUCCAACAGUCUCUCACUUGCACUAGAGUCAAUAAUCUAGCCCUCACAUCACCAUGUGAAUUACAUUGUAAUAAAUCUAACACCCAUACAGUUCUGGUGUCGAUCAUGUUUUGGCCGUGGAAGAGGUUUAGUCAGCGGGUCUGCUACAUUCAGAUCCGUCUGCACCUUGCAUAUACUUACGUCCUCCUCCUCGACGUAGUCGCGGAUGAGGUUGAAGCGUCGUUUGAUGUGUCUGGUCUUCUUGUGAAACCUUGGUUCCUUUGCCAGGGCAAUGGCACCAGUGUUGUCACAGAACAAGGUUAUUGGAUCCAGUGCACUUGGCACCACUCCAAGAUCCGUCAUGAACUGCUUCAUCCAGACACCCUCCUUAGCCGCCUCCGAGGCAGCCAUGUACUCCGCUUCACAUGUAGAAUCUGCUACGACGCUUUGCUUGGAACUACAGCAGCUUACUGCACCCCCAUUAAGAAUAAAUACGUAUCCGGUUUGCGACUUAGAGUCGUCCGGAUCUGUGUCAAAGCUUGCAUCAACGUAACCCUUUACGGCGAGCUCUUCGUCACCUCCAUACACGAGAAACAUCUCCUUAGUCCUUUUCAGGUACUUCAGGAUAUUCUUGACCGCUGUCCAGUGAUCCACUCCUGGAUUACUCUGGAACCUGCCUGCCGUACUUAUGGCCAGGCUAACAUGAGGUCUAGUGCACAGCAUCGCAUACAUGAUAGAACAUAUGGCUGAAGCAUAGGGGACGGAGCGCAUAUGCUCUCUAUCUUCAUCAGUUGCUGGGAACUGAGUCCUACUCAAUCUCGUACCUUGUAACACUGGCAAGAACCCUUUCUUGGACUGUUCCAUUUUGAACCUCUUCAAAACUUUAUCAAGGUAUGUGCUUUGUGAAAGUCCUAUCAGGCGUUUUGAUCUAUCCCUAUAGAUCUUAAUGCCUAGAAUGUAAGCAGCUUCUCCUAGGUCCUUCAUAGAGAAACUUUUAUUCAAGUAACCUUUUAUGCUCUCCAAAAGCUCUACGUUGUUUCCAAUCAGUAAUAUGUCAUCCACAUAUAAUAUUAGAAACGCCACAGAGCCCCCACUCACUUUCUUGUAAAUACAAGAUUCUCCAACCACUUGUAUAAACCCAAAUGCUUUGAUCACCUCAUCAAAGCGUUUGUUCCAACUCCGAGAUGCUUGCACCAGUCCAUAAAUGGAUCGCUGGAGCUUGCACACCUUGUCAGCAUUUUUAGGAUCGACAAAACCUUCGGGUUGCAUCAUAUACAACUCUUCCUUAAGGAAACCGUUAAGGAACGCCGUUUUGACAUCCAUCUGCCAGAUUUCAUAAUCGAAAAAUGCAGCUAUUGCCAACAUGAUUCUGACGGACUUAAGCAUCGCUACGGGUGAGAAGGUCUCAUCGUAGUCAACUCCUGGAACUUGUGAAAAACCCUUUGCCACAAGUCGAGCUUUAUAAACGGUCACAUUACCGUCAGCGUCCGUCUUCUUCUUAAAGAUCCAUUUGUUCUGAAUAGCCUUGCGGCCCUCAGGUAGUAUCUCCAAAGUCCACACUUUGUUCUCAUACAUGGAUCCUAUCUCGGAUUUCAUGGCUUCUAGCCAUUUGUUGGAAUCUGGGCCCACCAUUGCUUCUUCAUAAUUUGCAGGUUCAUUGUUGUCUAACAACAUGAUUGAUAAGACGGAUUACCGUACCACUCUGGAGCAGUGCGUGAUCUCGUCGACCUGCGUGGUUCAACAAAAACUUGAACUGGAGUUUCAUGAUCAUCAUCAUUAACUUCCUCCUCAACCGGCGUCGCAAUGACAGAGGUUUCCCCUUGCCCUGCGCCACCAUCCAGAGGGAUGAGAGGUUCGACAACCUCGUCAAGUUCUAUCUUCCUCCCACUCAAUUCUCUCGAGAGAAACUCCUUCUCGAGAAAAGCUCCGUUUUUAGCAACAAACACUUUGCCCUCGGAUUUGAGAUAGAAGGUGUACCCAACUGUCUCUUUUGGGUAACCUAUGAAGACGCACUUUUCCGCUUUGGGUUCCAGCUUUUCAGGCUGAAGCUUUUUGACAUAAGCAUCACAUCCCCAAACUUUAAGAAACGACAACUUUGGCCUUUUGCCAUACCACAGUUCGUAUGGUGUCGUCUCAACGGAUUUUGAUGGUGCCCUAUUUAAAGUGAAUGCAGCUGUUUCUAAUGCAUAACCCCAAAACGAUAACGGCAAAUCGGUAAGAGACAUCAUAGAUCGCACCAUCUCUAAUAAAGUACGAUUACGACGUUCGGACACACCAUUACGCUGUGGUGUUCCAGGCGGUGUUAACUGUGAAACAAUUCCACAUUGUCUUAAGUGAGCACCAAACUCGAAACUCAGAUAUUCACCCCCACGAUCAGACCGUAGGAACUUGAUCUUCUUGUUACGAUGAUUUUCAACUUCACUCUGAAAUUGCUUGAACCUUUCAAAUGUUUCAGACUUGUGCUUCAUCAAGUAGACAUAACCAUAUCUACUCAAAUCGUCAGUGAAGGUGAGAAAAUAACGAUAUCCGCCGCGUGCCUCCACGCUCAUCGGACCACACACAUCGGUAUGUAUGAUUUCCAACAAGUCACUUGCACGCUCCAUUGUUCCGGAGAACGGAGUCUUAGUCAUCUUGCCCAUGAGGCAUGGUUCGCACGUGUCAAGUGAAUCAAAGUCAAGUGACUCCAAAAGUCCAUCAGCAUGGAGUUUCUUCAUGCGCUUUACACCAAUAUGACCUAAGCGGCAGUGCCACAAAAAUAUGGCGCUAUCAUUGUUAACUCUAACUCUUUUGGUCUCAAUGUUAUGUAUAUGCGUAUCGCUAUCAAGAUUCAAUAUGAACAAUCCUCUCACAUUAGGUGCAUGACCAUAAAAGAUGUUACUCAUAGAAAUAGAACAACCAUUAUUCUCUGACUUAAAAGAGUAACCGUCUCGCAAUAAACAAGAUCCAGAUAUAAUGUUCAUGCUCAACGCAGACACUAAAUAACAAUGAUUUAAGUUCAUCACUAAUCCUGAUGGCAACUGAAGUGAAACUGUGCCGACGGCGAUUGCAUCAACCUUGGAACCAUUUCCUACGCGCAUCGUCACUUCAUCCUUUGCCAGCCUUCGUCUAUUCCGCAGUUCCUGUUUCGAGUUAGAAAUAUGAGCAAUAGAACCGGUAUCGAAUACCCAGGCACUACUACGAGAGCCGGUUAAGUACACAUCAAUAACAUGUAUAUCAAAUAUACCUGAUUUUUCUUUGGCCGCCUUCUUAUCUGCCAGAUACUUGGGGCAAUUGCGCUUCCAGUGACCCAUACCCUUGCAAUAGUAACACUCCGUUUCAGGCUUAGGUCCAGCUUUGGGUUUCUUCGUCGGAUUGGCAACAGGCUUGCCGCUCUUCUUUGAAUUACCCUUCUUGCCUUUGCCGUUUCUCUUGAAACUAGUGGUCUUAUUCACCAUCAACACUUGAUGCUCUUUAUGGAGUUCAGACUCUGCGACUUUCAGCAUCGCAAACAACUCGCCGAGAGACUUGUUCAUCCCUUGCAUGUUGUAGUUCAACACAAAGCCUUUAUAGCUUGGCGGCAGUGAUUGAAGGAUUCUGUCAAUGAUAGCCUCUUGCGGGAGUUCAAUACCCAGCUCAGCUAGACGGUUUGAGUAUCCAGACAUUUUGAGCACAUGUUCACUGACAGACGAGUUCUCCUCCAUCUUGCAAGCAUAGAAUUUAUCGGAGGUUUCAUACCUCUCGACCCGGGCGUUCUUCUGAAAGAUAAACUUCAACUCCUGGAACAUCUCAAAUGUUCCAUGACGCUCAAAGCGACGUUGAAGUCCCGGUUCUAAGCCAUACAAGACUGCACAUUGAACUAUUGAGUAGUCCUCCUUACGUGCCAACCAAGCGUUCUUAACAUCCUGAUCAGCCGUAGCGGGUGGUUCAUCUCCUAGCGCAACAUUAAGGACAUAAUCCUUCUUCCCAGCUUGUAAGAUUAGCUUAAGAUUACGAGCCCAGUCUACAAAGUUGCUUCCAUCAUCUUUCAACUUAGCUUUCUCUAGGAACGUAUUAAAAUUCAGGAUGACUGUAGCGUGAGCCAUGAUCUACAACACAAAUAUAUUCAAAGUGGACUUAGACUAUGAUCAAGAUAAUUAGAGUUUAACUUAAUCAAAUUAUUCGCUAAACUCCCACUCAAAAAGUACAUCUCUCUAGUCAUUUGAGUGGUUCAUGAUCCACUUACACUAGCUCAAGUCCGAUCAUCACGUGAGUUGAGUAUAGUUUCAGUGGUAAGCAUCCCUAUGCUAAUCAUAUCAUCUAUAUGAUUCAUGAUCGACCUUUCGGUCUCAUGUGUUCCGAGGCCAUGUCUGCACAUGCUAGGCUCGUCAAGCUUAACCCGAGUGUUCCGCGUGCGCAACUGUUUUGCACCCGUUGUAUGUAAACGUUGAGUCUAUCACACCCGAUCAUCACGUGGUGUCUCGAAACGACGAACUGUAGCAACGGUGCACAGUCGGGGAGAACACAAUUUCGUCUUGAAAUUUUAGUGAGAGAUCACCUCAUAAUGCUACCGUCGUUCUAAGCAAAAUAAGGUGCAUAAAAGGAUUUACAUCACAUGCAAUUCAUAAGUGACAUGAUAUGGCCAUCAUCACGUGCUUCUUGAUCUCCAUCACCAAAGCACCGACACGAUCUUCUUGUCACCGGCGCCACACCAUGAUCUCCAUCAACGUGUUGCCAUCGGGGUUGUCGUGCUACUCAUGCUAUUACUACUAAAGCUACAUCCUAGCAAAAUAGUAAACGCAUCUGCAAGCACAAACGUUAGUAUAAAGACAACCCUAUGACUCCUGCCGGUUUCCGUACCAUCGACGUGCAAGUCGAUAUUUUCUAUUACAACAUGAUCAUCUCAUACAUCCAAUAUAUCACAUCACAUCGUUGGCCAUAUCACAUCACAAGCAUACCCUGCAAAAACAAGUUAGACGUCCUGUAAUUUUGUUGUUGCAUGUUUUACGUGGUGACCAUGGGUAUCUAGUAGGAUCGUAUCUUACUUACGCAAACACCACAACGGAGAUAUAUGAGUUGCUAUUUAACCUCAUCCAAGGACCUCCUCGGUCAAAUCCGAUUCAAGAAACCGACACUUGCCAGUCAUCUUUGAGCAACGGGGUUAUUCGUAGCGAUGAAACCAGUCUCUCGUAAGCGUACGAGUAAUGUCGGUCCAAGCCGCUUCAAUCCAACAAUACCGCGGAAUCAAGAAAAGACUAAGGAGGGCAGCAAAACGCACAUCACCGCCCACAAAAACUUUUGUGUUCUACUCGAGAAGACAUCUACGCAUGAACCUAGCUCAUGAUGCCACUGUUGGGGAACGUCGCAUGGGAAACAAAAAAUUUCCUACGCGCACGAAGACCUAUCAUGGUGAUGUCCAUAUACGAGAGGGGAUGAGUGAUCUAUGUACCCUUGUAGAUCGUACAGCAGAAGCGUUAGUGAACGCGGUUGAUGUAGUGGAACGUCCUCACGUCCCUCGAUCCGCCCCGCGAACAAUCCCGCGAUCAGUCCCACGAUCUAGUACCGAACGGACGGCACCUCCGCGUUCAGCACACGUACAGCUCGACGAUGAUCUCGGCCUUCUUGACCCAGCAAGAGAGACGGAGAGGUAGAAGAGUUCUCCGGCAGCGUGACGGUGCUCCGGAGGUUGGUGAUGACCUUGUCUCAGCAGGGCUCCGCCCGAGCUCCGCAGAAACGCGAUCUAGAGGAAAAACCGUGGAGGUAUGUGGUCGGGCUGCCGUGGAAAAGUCGUCUCAAAUCAGCCCUAAAACCUCCGUAUAUAUAGGUGGGAGGGAGGGGACCUUGCCUUGGGGCUCAAGGAGCCCCAAGGGGGUCGGCCGAGUCCAAGGGGGAAGGCUCCCCCCAAACCGAGUUGGACUUGGUUUGGUGGGUGGGAGUCCUUCCUUCCCUUCCCACCUCCUUUUUUUUUUCUUUUCUCUUUGAUUUUCUUUCCUAGGCGCAUAGGGCCCUUUUGGGCUGUCCCACCAGCCCACUAAGGGCUGGUGUGCCACCCUCAAGGCCUAUGGGCUUCCCCAGGGUGGGUUGCCCCCCCCCCCGGUGAACUCCCGGAACCCAUUCGUCAUUCCCGGUACAUUCCCGGUAACUCCGAAAAUCUUCCGGUAAUCAAAUGAGGUCAUCCUAUAUAUCAAUCUUCGUUUCCGGACCAUUCCGGAAACCCUCGUGACGUCCGUGAUCUCAUCCGGGACUCCGAACAACAUUCGGUAACCAACCACAUAACUCAAAUACGCAUAAAACAACGUCGAACCUUAAGUGUGCAGACCCUGCGGGUUCGAGAACUAUGUAGACAUGACCCGAGAGACUCCUCAGUCAAUAUCCAAUAGCGGGACCUGGAUGCCCAUAUUGGAUCCUACAUAUUCUACGAAGAUCUUAUCGAUUGAACCUCAGUGCCAAGGAUUCAUAUAAUCCCGUAUGUCAUUCCCUUUGUCCUUCGGUAUGUUACUUGCCCGAGAUACGAUCGUCAGUAUCCGCAUACCUAUUUCAAUCUCGUUUACCGGCAAGUCUCUUUACUCGUUCCGCAAUACAAGAUCCCGCAACUUACACUAAGUUACAUUGCUUGCAAGGCUUGUGUGUGAUGUUGUAUUACCGAGUGGGCCCCGAGAUACCUCUCCGUCACACGGAGUGACAAAUCCCAGUCUUGAUCCAUACUAACUCAACUAACACCUUCGGAGAUACCUGUAGAGCAUCUUUAUAGUCACCCAGUUACGUUGCGACGUUUGAUACACACAAAGCAUUCCUCCGGUGUCAGUGAGUUAUAUGAUCUCAUGGUCAUAGGAAUAAAUACUUGACACGCAGAAAACAGUAGCAACAAAAUGACACGAUCAACAUGCUACGUCUAUUAGUUUGGGUCUAGUCCAUCACGUGAUUCUCCUAAUGACGUGAUCCAGUUAUCAAGCAACAACACUUUGUUCAUAAUCAGAAGACACUGACUAUCUUUGAUCAACUCGCUAGCCAACUAGAGGCUUGCUAGGGACGGUGUUUUGUCUAUGUAUCCACACAUGUAAAUGAGUCUUCAUUCAAUACAAUUAUAGCAUGGAUAAUAAACGAUUAUCUUGAUACAGGAAUUAUAAUAAUAACUAUAUUUAUUAUUGCCUCUAGGGCAUAAUUCCAACAAAAAUAGAGGGGGUGAAGAAUAACUAUUCCUCACCCAGGGUGACGAAUAGCGCGACCCUGGAUUGCAUACGAGCAAUUCAAGAGGAAUUGACGGGAUUCUUUAUUGAGCAUGUCAUACCAUCAGAUGGAGAAUAUCAUCAGGAUUUCUUACCGAUUUUGGUGGGCGAUAGAUAUUAGCUAGUUAGGGAUUGCAAGAGAUAUUAUAUAUUGUAUAUAUGUAUGAUCCUGUACUAUAUGUAGUAGCGUCGAGUUGUUUGACCAAGCACGGAGAAAGAGAGGUCAUUUCACUCUAUAUAUGUUCAUGACGAUGUUGUGUAAUUAAUGGUUCCUUCAUUUACUUACUAGCUAACAUCAAGUUCUCUCUAUAUGUAGUAGGUACCGUCGACCAAGCACGGAGAAAGAAAUGUCACUUCUCUCUAUAUGUAGUAGCUAUCUAACACAAUAUGAAACCCCUAAUAAAACCCUCCAAAACCCCUACGCCCCCCUCAUUUAAAAAAACAAAGAACCCAACGCCUACGAGCUGCUGACGCGUGACUGCCUUUGGGUCCCGGUUGGUGUUACCAACCGGGACUAAAGGUCCUCCUGCCUGGGCGCCUCGCAACGGCCGCGUGGAGAUCCUUUGGGUCCGGUUCAUAAGCCAAUCGGGACUAAAUGUUUGGGCCUUUAGUCCGAUUGUUUUGUCCCGGUUGAAGAACUGGGACUAAAGCCCCUCUGGAACCGAGACUAAAUCCCAAUUUUCUACUAGUGAUAUAUCAUAUUUGAUGCUUGAUUAUAUACUGUUUCAAUUUUUCAUGAUUUAACAGAAACGCUAAAUAAGGUUUAGAUCCGGUAUAGCUCCGCUAUAGCCUUUCAUAGCUUCUGAUCGAGUCGCUGCUAAAUGGCAUAGCCCACUAUUUAAAGCAUUGAAAAUAAUUGACCUGGCGUUAUGGAAAAUGCUUUUAGUUUGUCCUGUACAAAAAAAACUUCCACUUAAUAGUUUAUUUCAGUAUUUUUCAGUCGGGCGUAGUUUAAAUGAUGUCCAUUAUAAAUUGUAAUCUGCAGGCACUUGGAACCAAGGGAAAUAUCAAUGCAUCUGCCCAUUUAAUCUGCACGUGGUUUGAAGAUAUUCUGGGGAGUUAGUUUCAUAUUAGGAGGGGUUUAGCGAAGUAUUUCAACUAGAACUAGAUAAAAAUGAGGAAUUAGAUAAGCCUUAGUUUUUCAUCUUUGCAAAACAUGCCUUAGGUAAUCUCAAUAUCUCAAAUGAAUGAUAUUUUCUUAUUUUUCAUUUUUUAGUCCCUGAUAUUUGUCAUUUUCUCAAGGCACCAAAUUCCAUCUUACCAUGACUAGGACAGGAUUGGACCAGUACAGGAUGCUAUAGUAACACAAUUGGACUCUUCUGUUAACCAAGAGGUCAUCGGUCAAGAACAUCACCAUCACUUAGAUGAGCCAGUAGGUGGUAUGUAUCCAACUUUAGUUGGCGGCUAGUAGCCAAGUCUCCUAGUCAGCAACAUCACGUUCAUGUAGAGGCACUAGUUGGCAUGUAAUGUCCAUUCUUUGGAGUUCUAUUUUUAACUCUGGCAGCCACUCACUUAUUCAGCCAUUCAUCUGCACGUCUGUGCUUCUUUGUACAAGUCUGCCAUGGCGAUGCCCACUACCCUCAAGGUCUUAACUAUCUUGUAUGUGCUUGUACUUCUUGUUGCAUAUCAGGUUGAAGGGCGAAAUCAUCGGCCUGAUUGUCCUACUUUCUCAUGCGGCCCACUUGGAUACGUAUCAUCCCCAUUUCGUCAGGCAAGUGAUCCACCUGGGUGUGGUCAUCAAUCGUACGAGCUAGUUUGCAGUGAUACUAAGGCUACAAUUCACAUCGACAAUGCAACAUACUAUGUGUCUGGGAUCAACUACAGUGAUUCUACCUUCUGGAUCGUCGAUGCCGACAUAGAUUUAUACAACAGCUGCCCUCUACCGCGGUGGAAUUAUGAUCAGCAUCCAGCUGCUGGUUUCACGCUGAGAAACCGGCAACACGACACUCAUCACGCCAUCAAAGUUGAAUUGGCACCUGCAGCAUAUAAUCAGGCUAUAUUUGUUAAUUGUUCUCGGGAAGUGAAGGACAACGGUAUGUACAGGCCUGUUGCUUGCUUGAGCACCAGCCAUUCUUUUGUUUAUGUGUUAAUAACUGGUGGCCUAGGGAGAGGGAGUACUAUGGCGAACCUUGAGCCUUGUUGCGGUUAUUUGGCCAUGACUCCAUUAGGUGGCCAGGAAAUUGGCAUGAAGGGCACUGCACCGCUUGAGAAUGCAAGCUAUGCAGAUGUCGUAAAAUUCAUGACACACGGCUUCCGCGUUAAAUUUCCUUUCAGACUUCGCCAAUCUGGAGACUUCUUGGGAUGUCUGAUGGAUGAUUUGGCGCCGUGAGUUUGAGAUCUUGAUACCUCGUACUUGUAAGCUCUGCUUUUGUUUUUGCACAUGCACACCUGAUCAUUCUACAUUUUCGUUUUUUUUUUGCAGCACAUUCACUAAAGAUUGGAUUCUAACAAUUCUUUCGAUUGAUGUAAGUUUCAUGGGUUGCGCAGCUAAAGCAGUUCCAGAACCAUUUGAUAUUUGCUUGUAUAUAAUUAUGGCGUCAUUAGCAUAUGCCAGGCUUAUUGCUGGUACGUGAGAAUUACAUAUUCCAGUAUGGUUUACUGCCUGUGUCUAUAAAUCAGAUCACAAAUAAACCUGUUUUGUUUUAUGCAGUGUUCUGGAGGUUUGUAUUGGUGCCCCUGGUCGUAUUAAUCUUCCUUGCCCACAAGUAUUGGAAAACAAGGAUCACGAUGGAUGCUGUUGAGAAGUUCCUCCAGAUGCAGCAAAUGAUCGGCCCGUCAAGGUACGCCUAUACAGACAUCACCGCAGUCACCAGCCAUUUCAGAGAUAAGCUGGGUCAGGGAGGCUAUGGCUCCGUGUACAAGGGUGUGCUGCUCCCAGGCAAUGUCCAUGUCGGGGUCAAGAUGCUAGAGGGUAACUCCAACUGCAAUGGAGAAGAUUUCAUUAGUGAGGUUUCAACCAUUGGCAGGAUCCACCAUGUCAAUGUGGUGCGUUUAGUUGGCUUCUGCUCGGAGGAAAUGAGAAGGGCGCUUGUCUACGAGUACAUGCCUCGAGGUUCUCUGGACAAAUACAUCUUCUCGGCUGAGAAGACUUUCUCCUGGGACAAGCUCAACGAGAUCGCUUUGGGCAUUGCGAGGGGUAUCGACUACCUGCACCAGGGUUGCGAGAUGCAGAUUCUCCACUUUGACAUCAAGCCGCACAACAUCUUGCUAGACAGCAAUUUCAUCCCUAAAGUUGCUGAUUUCGGUCUCGCUAAACUAUACCCAAGGGACAAAAGUUUUGUGCCAUCGAGAGCCCUACGGGGAACAAUUGGGUACAUAGCUCCUGAGAUGAUAUCUCGUAGCUUUGGUGUCAUAUCGAGCAAGUCUGAUGUUUAUAGCUUUGGGAUGCUCCUGCUAGAGAUGGCCGGAGGAAGAAGGAAUGCUGAUCCAAAUGCGGCAAACACGAGCCAAGCGUACUAUCCGUCGUGGGUGUAUGACAAACUAACUGCUCCAGUGGUGGAUGCGAUAUGUCCAGUUGCUAGCAUGCAUGAAUUAGAGAGGAAGCUGUGCAUCGUUGGAUUAUGGUGCAUUCAGAUGAAGUCACAUGACAGGCCAACGAUGAGCGAGGUCAUAGACAUGUUGGAAGGUGGCUUUGAUGGCCUGCAGAUGCCUUCCAGGCCAUUCUUCUGCGACGACGAUCACACCGCUGUCCCGGAUUCUUACCCUUUGUUGUCCGAGCUGACAGAGAUCUCAGAGGAGGAUAAUGAGUAGCAUAUGUGUGUGUGUGUGUGUGAUUUAAUGUCUCAAGUCUUACGAAAUAACCUACUAUUAUGUUUUCCCAGACAUGUGAAGUUUUAUGUGGAAAGAUGUAAUAAUAUUUAGCAGUUAGAGGAUGUAGAUCUCCAACUGUUAAUUGAAACGUA
rnacentral:lncRNA from 1 species